CGACUUGACCUAAGAGAAUGCAAAAAACUUGCUCAACUUCCAGACUCCAUAAGCUCUCUUGUGUGUCUAUCAGAGUUGUUAUUGUCGGGAUGCCACUCCUUGAGACAAAUCCCAGACUCGAUUGGAAAGUUGACAUCAUUGACUGAGUUGUACUUGAAAUCUAUGGCCAUUGAAAGAUUGCCUGAAUCCAUUGGAUCUUUAAAGAAGCUCGAGACUCUAGAUGCCUCUUGUUGUGCAUCGUUAGCCCGCAUGCCCAACUCAAUAGGCCAUUUAGCAUCUCUGUCUCGACUUGAUCUAAGAGAAUGCAGGAAACUUGCUCAACUUCCGGACUCCAUAGGCUCCCUUGUGUCUCUCUCUUGGUUGUCAUUGUCGGGAUGCCACUCCUUGAGACAAAUCCCAGACUCAAUUGGAAAGUUGACAUCAUUGAUUGAGUUGCGUUUGGAAUCUAUGGCUAUUGAAGAAUUGCCUGAAUCCAUUGGAUCUUUAAAGAAGCUCAGGACUCUAGAUGUCUUUUAUUGUGCAUCGUUAGCCCACAUGCCCAACUCAAUAGGCGAUUUAAUAUCUCUGUCUCAACUUAACCUAAAAGAAUGCAAAAAACUUGCUCAACUUCCAGACUCCAUAGGCUCCCUCGUGUGUAUAUCGCAGCUGUCAUUGUCGGGAUGCCACUCCUUGAGACAAAUCCCAGACUUGAUUGGAAAGUUGACAUCAUUAACUAAGUUGCAUUUGAAAUCUAUGGCCAUUGAAGAAUUGCCUGAAUCCAUUGGAUCUUUAAAGAAGCUCAAGACUUUAGAUGCUUCUUAUUGUGCAUUGUUAGCCCGCAUGCCUAACUCAAUAGGCGAUUUAGCAUCUCUGUCUCAACUUGACCUAAGAGAAUGCAAAAAACUUACUCAACUUCCAGACUCCAUAGGCUCCCUUGUGUCUCUAUCUUGGUUGUCAUUGUCGGGAUGCUGCUCGUUGAGACAAAUCCCAAACUCGAUCGGAAAGUUGACAUCAUUGACUAAGCUGCAUUUGAAAUCCACCGCCAUUGAAGAACUACCUGAAAGCAUCAGAAGUAUGCAGAACUUGAGGAUGUUGGACAUUUGUGAAACUCCUAUAAUAGAACUACUUGAUGACCGGGGAAUAUUGGCAGAACUCCAAGGGUUAAGAGCUUUAGGAUGGAAAAAUCUAGAAGGGCCAGCUAGUAAUAAUGGCCAGUUGGUUUCGCCAAACAAUCUUGAUUUAGAGAAGUAUCAAAAACUAUAUGAGCUGCGCUCUCGCGUACUAGCUCUAGGUAUCACUUACUAGAUUCCGCAAUCGUUGAAUCUUUCUCAACUAAACUUUCUCAAGAAACUCACUAUUUCUGAUUGACUUGAAUGCCUCCCAAACCUUUCUAUAACACUUUGUAGAAAGCUGUGAAACUUGAUUUUGUAUUUUCCAAAAGUCCAAGCUGUUAGUUAGGCAUUCUAUUUACUUUAUGUCUUUCGAUGCAGUUCUCUUAAAGCGUCCCAAGAGUCCUCCUGCCAGCAGCUCAUCCAUGGACUACCAAAUGGCAAAUUCUGAACAUGUUUUGAAGAGAUCAAGACCUUUUGGAAUCUCAUAUGAAGUACUUAUUUCAUCUUGCUUUUUAUUUAUCAUUCUUCAUUAGAGGAUGGCUCAAUCUACAAAGAGAAGUAUUUUACAGAGUGAUCUAUUAUCUGUUAUGUAUGGAAUGCUUUUCUCAACAUUCAUAACUAGAUCUCUUAGAGUUGUCACACGUACUUCUUGCUAUUUUAAGUCUUCUACUCAUGGAAGUGGGGAUUUUUGGUUUUCUUAAAUUAUAAAGUGAAGUUGGAUAAUAUCUCCUGUUCUUUUGCGUUUCUCUUUUUUAAUUAUCUUUUUUUGCAUGCCAUUGAUCGAAAACUUUCUGAAAGUGCUCUCACUUUUGUGCUAUUGCGGCAUAUGAUCAUGCAUUGAGAAUCUUUAGAAGUGUGGAAAGGGAUGGUGGUCAAUUUAUAAAUAUUGAUUGUGGAAAGGGAUGGUGGUCAAUUUAUAAAUAUGAGGGAAAGCCUCACCUUUUAAGUUAGCUUUUGGGGUGAGAUGAGCCCUAGACCACCCAACAAGAAGAAAAUUUUAGUUUUUCAGGUUCCUAGAUACCCUUAACUUUCAUGAUGUUAACCUAAUGAAAUAAUUGAGGAUUGGAAGGAUUAAUAGGAAGUUUGAUGGAGAGAUAAUGGAGCAAAGGGGCUAAGGUUGUCAAUUUGUGUUUGCUUGUCUUAAUUGUGUUUGUGACCAUGUCAAUUCAUCAUGACUUCUAUUAGACAUGUCAAAUCAUUGAAUUAGACAAAAACAUGUAAAUAUCUAAACAUGUGGUGAUGUGUCAUAUUGGGCUGUGUCUGUGUUUUUCGUAUUUGGUAUCGUCAUGUAAAUAGCCUAUGCCAAUAUUGGUAGCAUUAAUGAGGAGCGUGGACUAGGUAAGUGAUGAUUACAUCUUCUCCAUCAUGCAUUCAUUGUGCUUAGUAUGCUAAUAAAAGAGUAGUUCUCAUAUGAGUUUUGCAUCUUUUGAGUGUCAUGGUUUUGAUCUAUUCUCUAAAGGACUCACUGGUUUUGUAAUCUUUAUGACCUUCUAUUAGGUGAAAAAUUUGCCAAUAAACAUUCUACUUGACACAUACAACUACCAAAGCCUCGGUCAAAGUUCUUAUUCUUCAGAUGACUUGCCCAGAAAUGUAGUCAUUACCCUAAGUCAAGGUUCACUUGUUAAGAGUAUGGAUUUCCAUCCAGUGCAACAAAUUCUGUUGCUUGGUUAGCACUUCUUUCUUACUCUAUGAAGACCAUGUUUCUUGCUUAUCUUCAGUUGGGGAUAAGUACACUAGAAGUGUCAAAGUUAUGUACGACGUUCACUUUAGUACCAAUUUUUUUUUUUUAUCACUUAAGUGCCACUUUAAAAGAAAAAAACACACGAUCAUUUGAGUGUCAACUCCGAUUUGGAUCGUCAGAAAUCUGACGUGAUUAUAUUUUAUUAAUUUCUCAAUUCUACAUGGCUCAUCUGCAUGUCUCGUCAGCAUAUAAUCCUUAAAUGACGUCAUCCAAAAGUUAUAAAUAAUGAUCAUUUGAGUGCUAAAUUUUAUUUAAAGUGAUAAUUUGAGUGCCAAAUUUUGUUUAAAAUGAUCACUUUAAUGCUAGUUGUUAUGAAAAAGCAAUAACUUUACCAAGCACGCCACGUGGAAAUGCCACAUGGACUAGAGUUUUUAGAAAAUUUGCUAAGUCAUAUUAUAAAUUUAAUUAUAAAUGACGCAAAAUCAAUUUAGACGGAAUUUCUCAUCAUUGGCACUUAAAUGAUUGUUUUUUCCUCCGAUUUAGCACUUAUUUAAGUCAGCGAAAACUUUUGACACUAAAAUGAGCAUCGUAUAUAACUUUUGGCACUUCUAGUGUACUUAUCCUCUUUAGUUGGAUAUACUUAUUCCCCUUGUAGGCCAUAAGUUUGUGCUUUGGUAUUUGGAAGAUUGCUUUUCAUUGUCCUUUUGACGCUUGCUUUAACUAUUUGAAUCCACGGGAUAUGACUCUUCAAAUUUUCUGCAUCAAUAAUUUUUAGUGGGAACAAAUGUGGGUGAUGUCAUGAUAUGGGAAGUAGACAGUGGUGCAAGGAUUGCUGUGAGAAAAUUCAAGGUUUGGGAUAUGGGAACAUGUUCAAUGGCACUGCAGGUAUAGAAGUUCAAUUCUAAAUAAAAUAAUGGUGUCUUGUUUUUGGACAUGUGAUUAUGGGUUUUGAUUUUUUGUAGGCUUCUCUGGCCAAUGACUACACAACAUCCGUUAACCAUGUAAUGUGGAGUCCUGAUGGAAUCCUUUUCGGUAUGUAUAGAUGUUAGUUUUACUUCUAUAUCAACUUAAGUAAUUAGGCAAUACAUGCUUGCAAAUUGGUGAAAAAACUAAAGCGCCAAGAACUAGACUUCAUUGCAAUAUCUUCAAGAAGAAGAGUUCAUAUGCUACUACUACUGAUGAUUGGUGGUGUUCACUUUAGGUGUUGCUUAUUCCAAACACAUGGUGCACAUAUACUCACAUCAUGGUGGUGAUGACAUAAGGAAUCACCUUGAGGUUUGUUGCCAAACAAGGAGAAAAAAAUUAAGCUUCUCUGUUCUUGUGACAAUUGCCACCUAAAUGUGAGUUCAACUUGAUUUUUGACUCUAAUCUAAUGUCCGAUACAGCUCGAGGCUCAUGUUGGAAGUGUAAAUGAUCUUGCCUUUUCAUGUCCAAACAAACAAUUAUGUGUUGUGACCUGUGGAGAGGACAGGUUGAUCAAGGUAUAUUCUUAUUAUUUUCCUUAGUGUUACAAUGUUCCAUUGUUUGAUCCUUUUUAACCAAACUAGUAGUUAGGCAGGUAUGGGAUGCAGUGAGUGGGGCUAAGCAACUGACUUUCGAGGGUCAUGAAGCACCCGUAUAUUCCAUUUUUCCACACAACAGAGAAAAUAUUCAGGUACUUGGCUAUUUCGUGUACUAACAAGGACACGCUGCAAGCAUGGCCAAUCGGCUCUACGCUUGACCAUUCAUUGGACUUUGUUUGCUAAAACUCGGUUAGGUCAAAAAAUUUGGUUGAAUUUGUAUAAGAAGUGUGAAUCUAUGUUUUAAUGGACCUUGUUCAUUUCAAGGAUUUUGCAAGUCUUCUAACUUUUGACCUAUCUUGAUUAGAAUGUGCUUGUUAAACAUGGUGGCAUGGUUCAAAGAUUAAACUACAAAUUUGAUUAUUUUAGACAAUGCUACUAAGCAUCAACAAUUGGGUAAAAGUCUUCGCAAUAAUGACUUCCUUCUUGAUAUAAGUUCAGAAGGAAAUUUGCUCUGCUUCCAUUAUUGUUCUCCCUCAGUUUCUCCUCUAGUUUUGAUUGUUUAAAUUAAUAAUAGAUUGCUAUUUAUUGUGCCUGGGUGAAGCAGCAAUUGGGGAUGACUUUUUAAUUUUUUUCAAAAAAUUUAUGGUUGUGUACACUAUUAUAAAGAUAUUUUAUGAAAUCUAUUAGAGUUUUAGGUGGAUGUGCUCUAUCUAGACAUGUUAUUGAAAUUGAUGGUAGGAUUGUUUUAUUGUGUAGUUCAUCUUCUCAACAGCAACAGAUGGGAAAAUUAAGGCUUGGUUUUAUGACAACAUGGGGUCAAGAGUUGACUUUGAUGCACCGGGUCACUCUUUUACCAAGAUGGCAUACAGCGCUGAUGGAACAAGGUUUAGACUAUCAGCAUUGCAUUUCAAGCUUGAUUUUAUCCUAUGUCACCCUUUCUAACUUAGAUAACCUAUUUUAGCAAUUUUAUUUGGCUAUAGGUUGUUCUUAUGUGGAACCAACAAAGAAGGAGAGUCAUACUUGGUUGAAUGGAAUGAAAGUGAGGGGGCUAUCAAGCGUACCUAUCAUGGACUUGGAAAGAGAUCUAGUGGGUUCGUGCAGUUUGAUACUGCCAAAAAUAGAUUUUUGGCUGUUGGAGACGAGUCCAUGGUCAAAUUUUGGGAUAUGGACAAUAAUGAUAUUUUGACAAGUAUUGAUGCCGACAGUGAAUUGCCCGGUAAUUCAUUAUUGUUAAUUUAAUAUGAUUGAAUUAGCUGAACCUUUCCAUUAAACUCGCUCUUUAAAUUUGCAGGCUUCACCUUGUAUUAGAUUUAACAAGGAAGGAAUUCUAUUAGCAAUCUCAACAAGUGACAAUAGUAUCAAAAUUUUAGCAAAUGCUGAUGGGAUUAGCUUGCUAAGGACAAUGGACAAUUGGCCUUUUGAUGCUUCUAGAAUCACUCCUAGCCCUCUUAUGAAGGUAAGAUUUUUCAAGAGCACACUGACUUCAUAGAGAUGAGCUCACUAAAUGUCUUCAAUUUUGUAUUGCAACCAACAAUUGCGAUAUUUAGUUCUGGUAAUGCUACUAUUGGGGCAAACCAGGUAAUAGAGGGGUUCCAGUGGCAGAAUUAAAAUGUUUGAUCCCAUUUCUUGAUGUGCAUUUGGAAGAGAAGUCUAGAAAGAUAUUUUAAAAAAAAAAAUUGGUAGGAUUAUCUAAAGUUUUGUGUAGAAAAAUUAUUAAAAAUUAUCUCUACAGCAUGGCAGAGAUACUUGCCUUAAAAAUAUCUCUGACUCAAGCAAAGAUUUUUGCAUGUCUUAGUUGUUGAUGCAAGCCUAUAAAAAAGGCUUAGGGUCGUCCAAAAGCAAAUACAUUUGGGUCUCUAUUUUUUUAUUCUAAAAAUAGAUUUGAAAUAAAAUUGGUUUGCUAAUAUAAUUUUAUUUUUUAUUUCCCAAAAAAAAAAAUUUAGUUCAUAAAUAGACUUAGAAUAUAAAUAAUAAAUAUUUUUUUUUACAUUUCUAGAAUAAAAACAAAAAUAAAAACGUUUCUCUUUACUUGCCCGCGUCAUAUGCAACCAUCAUGUGCUAACCACCUGCCUCCCCGUCACUCUCCACCAAUUGAUAGUCGACACUUAGAAAUUAUUUUUGCUUCGUUUCUCUUUCAUGGAUUAAAAAUAGAAAAAUUUAUUUGUGACUAGAAUUUAGUUACAGAAACAAAAUAGUUGUCGUUCGUGCCAUAAUACACCAACUAAAAUAAACCUCCCUGCCUUCGUUUGUACUAUGCGUUGGAUAAUAAAAGCCUUUAUAUAUAUAUAUCAUUGUGCUCCCUUGCUGCCACUUUCAGAAAUCCUUGUCCUAUUAUAUUACAUCAGCAGCAACUGUGACUUGCGGAGCAUUUUUUUCCUCACAUCCAUCCAGUCAUAUUUUAACACAUCUCUGUGGAUUUUGAAUUAAAAAUAAAAUUCCUUUGAUGAUCCACCGGCUAUGGACCUCGGACUAGCCGGCUGCCACCCUUGAACACCACCGCUCUGGAGGCCGAGCUCCAAAUCUAGCCGAGUCGUGGCCUCGGCGCUGCACCAGAUCUAGUCCACCUUCACUUGCUUCAAGCUCGUCCAUGGCCGCCUCCGAAUCCAGUCGAGCUCGACUCUACGCUAGAUAUCGUCUGCCUUAAAAACGGUUCGAGCUCGGCGGCUCCUCCAUGACCGCCGAGAAGCCGCCGAGAUUUCGGUCACAACGUCGAGCUUGGCAGCCAUAGAAGGCCAUCGCCUCCAGAUGUAGAGGCUCAAUGGCAAUGGAGGCCGAGCGUCCAGAUCUGGCCGUGGCGAAGGUCGUGACAUCACCUCGAGCUGCAGCAAUGACCGCCGUUAGAGGUCGCCUUAAGAGACGGCGUUAAAAGUUGCAGACGGCCAUGGACAGAGCGCGUAACAAGAAAGGAGACAAAAAAAAAAAUAGAAAAUAUAAGAAGCAAAGAAUGGUGGGGAACAAUAAGAAAAAGAAACUUCUUUUCCAACUUUUCAACAGCAUCACGGGAUGAGCCACGCCGACGACCAUGGACGGCCAGAUCUCGAGAGCCAACAGUGUCGCCGGCCAUGGCGGAGCAAGGUUCGUGUGUGAUGCCGACGGCCAUGGACGGCCAAAUUUGGAGAGCCAGCGGCCUCACUCGUCUAGGUGACGCCCAUGGCCAUGGUCGGCCAGAUCUGAAGAGCCAGCAGCGUCACCGACGCAUCAUCGGCCAUGCCAGCUCGUCCGAGGUCAAGUGGCUGGCUUUGGACGAACGAGGAAGAUGAGGCUAGAGGAAACAGUUCCACCGCACAAAGAAACUCCACAUCAAUAUUUUUUAAUUUAAUUCAAGACAUGUAAAUUUUUAAGUAGAUAUCAAGGAAAAAAUCUCGCCACAUCAGCAGUUAACACGGCGCUUUGAAACUACCAAAUAUUGUCUCCUUUGCUCCUCGCACAUCUGCACGCACUGGCAUAUAAACUAGAAAACCAUCAGGCGGAAAUGGUAGGUAUGGGAAGUGGUAUCAUCACUGCAUUAGGUAGUUAAAUGUUUUUAACGAGCUUUAUUCGUUGCUUAUUUUAUUACUUAAAUGAUGCAAUAAUUGCAUUUGUGUGUGCAUGUUUAUUGGGCGUCUUUCAAUGACAUCCUCUCUUUUGAGCUCUACAGGACAGUGAGAGCAUGGCCGAUGUGAAGCCUGGAAUUGCUGAUAACUCAGGAGACAAAUUAAGAAAUUGGAAACCGACAGAAAUCAAUGAACCAUCACAAUGCCGGUCCAUAAGGCUGCCUGAUAACUCUACGGCUAUGAGGGUAAAUGAUUGCCAGAUUAGGACGUUCUUAUGCAGCAUUUUUAUUUCCACAUUAAUCUGUCAUGUUUCUACUCGAUAAGCACAAAUUUGAAUAGGGGUCACAUUUAAUGCACCUGCUUUAUUAGUUUUAUUCACAUGUAGUCCAAUGAUUUAUCUCUUAAACGUUGGCACUCAAGGACUUUUGACAUAUCUUCAUUUGGCAUUUUAUAGUUGACUGAUUGUUUCAACUAUACAAACAGGAAAGGAUAAGAUCAACAAUAAUAAAUCUGUGAUUAUGGUGUGGCAAUUAUGCUUGAGGCUGUGGAGGUCAUGAAUUUUAUGAUAAUGCUGAAUAGCAAGACGGAUGAUUCUUGAUUUAGAAUGUAAUGGUAUAUUUGCAUAACGAGACUUUUUUAGCCUUUGCUUGGUAUAUGGAUUGUUCUGUGGACUCUCAUGCAGUUACAUGUGGUAAAAGACACAGAUUCUUCACGGGAUAAAUUUGGCUUUAUACAUGGCAAGCAAAGUAAAUCAUCUUGCACCACUUUGAUGCUUGUGGGGGAUGCUAAGCUUUUGAAAGCUAUUUUGAACUUGUCAGUUCCCAGAAACUUUGAGUGGAAAUUUACCUGCUGAAUCUAAAUAUACAAAACACUAGAGGCAAAAGAAUAGAUAGACAGCUAGACGGUUUAAGUCAAGGUUCUAUUUUUCUUUUGGUAACUGUUUGAACUGGGUUUAGAUCUCAUGUGUAUCAUAUGCUCUAUUCAUACGUAAGCAUACAGUGCGUAUAUAUAAAUAUGUGCGUGCGCGCGUCCGCCUAUGCUGAUAAAUUUGCAGGCAGCGUCACCAAGUGUCUAUUUGCCUGGAUUUCUACAUCUAUCAAUUAGUGCCCAAUUCUCUGGCAUCUUUCUUCUGCAUUUUAUUUUAACUUUCGGUAUUACAUUUGAUUGUCGCCACUGAAGCUGGUAAAACGAUACAGGUCCCGAAAUUAAGCUAUACAAACUUGGGUCGUGCCAUUCUGGCAUUAUCAUCGAACGCUGUACACAAGCUCUGGAAAUGGGAAGAAAGUGAUCAAAACUUCACGGGCAGGGUAAGGAAUCUCCCCAACACCACCUCCCAAAAAAAGAGGCAAAUUCUUUUGUUGUUUAGCCUAUUGUUAACUCCAUUGAUUCUUCUUUUCGCAGGCUACAACCAGUGUAGUACCACAGUUAUGGCAACCGCUUGGUGGGAAUUUGAUGACCGAUGAUACAUGUGCAAAUCCUGAAGACGCAGUUCCGUGCUUUGCACUGUCAAAGGACGAUUGUUUUCUAAUAUCGGCAUCAGGGGGGGAGAUCUCUUUGAUCAAUAUGAUGAUUUUUCAGGUGAAUAUAUUCCCGAAGUAAUGUCUACAUCCUCUUGUCAGUUUUGUAGCACUAUCCACGAGGCACGAGAUAACGAACUACCCCUUUGUGCUGAAUAGGCGUGCACUAUUUCCUUUUCACAUUUUUAAGGGAGCUAAAAUUAAUUGGUUCCAUCACGUAUACAAACGUAUUGAGCUCUAAUUAUUAGGAGGUCCAUGAAAGCAAUUGCUCCGAUUUUCAUGGGGAUUAUCUGUUCAAAAGUACAGCAUGUCCCUUUUUACUUGCUAAGCAAGAUAGGGGCUUUUCUGUGUCUUCGAUGGAAUCUUUUUGCUCUUAUUGAUUAAAGAAAACAAGCAGUGCUUUUUUAACCCGUGCAGAGAUCUAUUGGUCCAACUUGCUCUCUCCCUUUCCUAAGAGGGGAGAUGCCACUAAGUUAAGUGCCUCUUGGCACAUGUGUCCCACUAUUAUGUAUAAAAUUGUUAAUAUUAUCCUGCCUGUUGAUACACAGAGGUUCACAAAAUUUACGCCCCCGCUACCACCAAACAGUGACAUUAUUGAAAUAGGAAUGGAGGACACCGCGAUUCAACUUUACAGUGGUCGAGUUGAUGAGGUGAGAUUUGUUUUCAUUGUCGUUGAAAGUUAACCUUGUGAUUAUUCACAACAAAGUUAUAGAUAUUGACUACUGACUAUCUCACUUUCUCAGAUCGAGAAAAAAUUAAAAGGACAUCGGAGAAUAAUUGAAGGCUUUACCUUCUCAACUUCCUUAAAUGUUCUCGUGUCUUCUAGUGCUGAUUCUCAGGUGACCACUGCCUUUUUACUUACUAAGUGAGACAAGGGCUUUUCUUUGUCUUCAAUGUAAUCUUUUUGCUCUUACUGAUUAAAUAAAACAAGGCAAGAGCUUUAAUCCAACAUUCCAGAAAUCUAAUAUGAAGUUGCUCUCUCCCUUUCUCUAGAAGGGUGAUGCCAUUGAGGCAAGUGCCUCUUGGCACAUAUGUCCCACUGUUACUUAUAAAGUUAUUGAUACUAUUCUGCCUGCCAAUAUCCAGAUGAUGAUAACAUUUUCGUCCCAUCCACCAUCCCCAACAUUUCUGGUGUUCGAUCCUCAAGAUAAUUCAACCAUUGCAAUAGGAAUGGAGGACGACUCUAUUCAAAUUUGUUGUAUUCCACUUUGCGAGGUGAGACCUAAUUAUAUUGUUGUUGAAAGUUAACCUUGUUAUUAUCCGCAAUGAAUAUAUGGAUAUUGACUGUUUCACUUUCUCAGUGGCUGGCAACUCUAAAAGGACAUCAGAAAAGAAUUACAGGCCUUGCCUUCUCUAAUGUCUUAAAUGUUCUCGUCUCUUCUGGUGCUGACUCUCAGGUACAAGACCACUGCCUCAUCUUCCUUUCCAUAUAGGCAUGCCUAUGUUUUGGGCAAAGAGAGCAAUGUAGUUUAACUUGCUCCAAAAAAAAAAAAAAAGGGUUGAUGUUCACUCUGUAUCUAUUGAUGCUUGCGCCCUCAUCAUAUGUAAGUUCAUGAAGGCAUCCUUAAAUAGGCAGAAUAAUUCCUUCCAAAAAACUUCUUUUGUGGUGACAAAUUAAUCCCAUCCCACAAGGUGGGAAAUAACAAAGCCAUGCUGUCCUGUUGUUGCGUACAACUGAUGCUCGGUGUUAUUCUGAUAUAAAACUACAACGUAAAAUUUUAUUGUUUCGUUCGUCAAUCAAUGUUGAUGUUCCUUAUGAUAAUUGUCGAUUGUCACUGCAGUUGUGUGUUUGGAACACUGGUAGAUGGACGAAGCAGACUAGUAAGUUUCUGCAGAUGCCGAAUGGGCGAGGAGCAGCGCCUCUUGCUGAUACUCGUGUUCAAUUUCAUGUGGAUCAAAUACAUCUGCUAGUUGUUCAUCAAACACAGAUCGCCACAUGUGAAGCUCCUAAACUAGAACGCCUCAAGCAGGUAUUGAAGAUUUUUUUUUUAUUGUGCAUGAUCCAAUCUCUCCUCUCAUCUUGAUUGCAUAAAAAUUAUCUAAAUAUUAGGUAGUAUGAGUUGCUUCAUGCCACAUGUACUUUUUUUGAUUCGUUGUUGAUCGCAACUAGUGGGACACUCGAGAAGCUAGUGCUCCAAUCACAGAUGCUACAUGCUACAUAUUCAUGCAAUGGCCAAUCAAUAUUUGUGAGCUUUGAAGAUGGGAGCAUCAGUGUUCUUUCUGCUUCUACACUCAGAUUGAUUUGUUGUAUUAAUCCUGCUGCUUACAUCCUUCCAAAACCUAGGUAAGUUGGUUAUUGCUGCUCACAUAACCUCAUUCCUUUAUGGAAAAUGGCAAGUCUCAUUUACGAAGUUCCAUAGUCUCGCGAAUUACUCAUUCCUCACUGAUGUAUUUGGCAGCUUGAGAGUCUACCCACUAGUCAUCACAGCACAUCCAUCGGAACCUAACCAGUUUGCGCUAGGGCUUACUGAUGGCAGCGUCUAUGUGCUUGAGCCUUUGGAAUCCGAAGGAGGGUGGGGUGGUUCUCCUCGUGUUGAAAAUGGUGUUGGCCCUAGCACGACCUCUGGCGCAACUGAUUUAGAUCAACCCCAAAGGUAGUGCAGGCCAUGUCUCUCCCUAUGAAACUUUUGAGCAUUACAAUGCUAAGCCGGCUUUCCUCUGCCAUACUUGAUUCAAGUUUUGAGGGGAUGCUGCUGAGGGUAGAUUUUACUGCCUCGGGGUACUUUCUUGCGACAUAGUUCAGUACGGUUUGUCCUAAUCGACUUCUGCUUGAGUCUUGUGGUGAUAACUUGUUUUGUUAUAUUCAUUUAGGCUGACUGGAAGUGAAAAAAGAAAAACUUGAGGUUGGAGUGUUGUUUUGAAUACAACAAAUUGGAGGUAGAGAGGAUACCUCACUUCCUACACAACUGAAAGUCUACGGACUUGAUUACAUUAGUUAGUUAACUAAUGCCUUUUCAGUAUCUAAACUUAAUUAAUUUUUAAACUAAGUGUCCAUGCAAUCUUUGACCAUUUUAUUAACCUAUGUUACUAAAUGACGUCCAUGUAUGAGUGCACAAUCAAUUAAAAAGUAAACAAUUACAAUCAAUAUGAUAGAAGUAAAUUAGAAGAAAGUAGACCCAAUGGAGUGUCAAGCAAAGAAUCACAUGGCUUUGUUAUUAAGCCUCUGGACAGCAACAUGUGCUGAAUUCAAAUUUAGUCCAAUUCAUCAGAAGAGUGCUAAACCUAAAUUAAAUUAAAGUUACUUAUCAAAAACCCCCCUAAACUAUAUGUAUACUAACUAAAGAAACUAAGCUAGAUCUAGCAUCACAAUUUAACGACCUUAUCAAGGUCUCUAUUUCUAGCUAUUUUCAAUUUUUCAUUUUUUAUGAAUAUUUUGAAAUUAAUUCUGAUCAUUUUCUGAAAAUAGGGACCCGAGCUCCGGCUAUGAGCCGCACGCUAGUCUCACGAAUCUGGGAUGAUAACUAAUAAGCACAAUUCGGGCUCUUAUGUUGAGCCCCCUCUAAUUUUAACUUUACUGAGCCCAAUUCUGAUUAUACCUAUUCUAAGCCCACUACCCAUCGUAACUACUCUAGCCCAUUUUCUCUUCCAACUUCACCUGGUCCAUUUUUAAGCCCGAUUUCUAUUAUAGAUAGAUGAAACCCUAAGCCCACUCUAAACCCAUCUCAUUAUUAUAUUUAAAUCAAUUUUGCUCUUUUCUUACAUCUUUUCGUCAUUAUUAUUAUUUUCUUCUUCCUUCUUCCAGGCCUUCGUCCUCUUGAACAAGUCAAGAAUCUAAUAAGCCAAUUUCUCACGGAUGAACUCCAUAGAGACUUCACAAAAACAUAUGUAAAAUUAUGAUAUGAAAACACAAGAAAAAUUUAUGUUCUGAUUUGGUAUUGAUAACAAUGAAUUUUAAUAGGAAUUAAAUCCGAAUGUUAAUGGACUGACUUGUAGCAAGUAAUGUAUGCUAAAAUUUCUUCAGAUUGAACUAGAUCAGGAAUUAUUUCACCGACGUACCUUAAAAACAUUUCAUUAGACAGUCUAUGUGCACCAAAAGGAUUGAUCCCGUUUGGUUCGGCUUUUGGGGGAAUGUCCUUGGGGAAAUACAAAUGUCUUUAGUCUAAAGGGGUUUGGCGAAAUGCAAAUACUAUUUUGGCAUUUAGAUAAGCCUUUUUUUUUCAUGAGGCAGAAUGCAUCUACUUCUAUUACAAGUGGGACAGGUGGGAUUUCACCCAUUGCAACUUAAGGUAAGUGAAGAAAAGGUUUCCUGUGGAAAACCUUUAGGCCUCCAACACCUAUUUUUACUUUAGUGACAAUAUUGAAUUGGAGAAGGGAAAAUCAGAUGAUACGUCCAUGUAUCUCUUCCCGUAAGAGCUUAUAUAAACUAAACAUAUUCAAGAUUAAUAAAAAAAUGACGCAACCUACAAGCAAUAAGACGCCUAAAAAUCCUUAGGCUCCGGAUAAGUAAAUUUUUGUCAUGAGCGUAACAGCUAUCAUCCAGUAACUGUUCUCUUACCAGAAGCCACAUGGUAUUACUGUUGUAGUUAUGUUCAUCCACAUGCUAUGAUAAACCUCGCUGGUGAAAGAGGACGAUCCAUUUCAAAUAAGAAAGAAAUAUAACCAUCUUCUUAUGCUACAUAAUCGUCAAUGUAACCAGAGCUACUGGCCUACAUACCCGCUAAAUCCCAUAUUGAAACUUAACCAAGAUUAAACCAUCCGACGAGAAAACAUUACAGCGAAAGCGACCUCAGAAUCCAUGUUGCGCCUCGACCUAAUAACAUGCUACGAUCUCUCACCAAAUUAGAACAUGCCACUCUAGCCAUAAGAUAUUCAAUUACUCACACAAAUUUCCACAGAAAUUGCAACAUUAAUUGAGAAAAUCUGACCUGGAUAGAAGCGAGCGCGAGCACGACAGGAAAGCUUGAGGGCAGCGAGCAUAAAGGAGUGAAGGAGUGUUGCGAGGAAGAGAACUCAAACCCCUGCCAACCAUGAGGGAACGUUGCUUCAAGCACGAAAGGGGAAGUCGUCAAGGUACGAGAAAGGCGAGUGAACGUGAGGGUCGGACACAAAACAAUCGUGAGGUAGAGAGAGGCGUGAGAGCGUAAGAAGAGUAAUGCCCGCGGCCCUCGCGAGUAAUCUCGUGCGGAAUCUUCAACGGCGACUGCAAAAUUGGACGAAUGAGCAAUGGAAUUGAAGUUUCCAAGCUUACCCAAUUGCCCUGCUACGAGCGCGACGCGAGCGUGAGAGCAGAACGGCGAGAGGCGAUCUUCGAGGUUGGGAUGGCUGAUCUCGGAUGGACACCGGAGAGCAGCUCGCAUAGGAGACGGUGAGGGACGACGGAGAGAGGCGCGAGAGUGUAGAGGAGGCGUAAGGCUAUAGAAAGCGUGAGGCUACAGUAAGGAAAACGAGGCUUAGGUUUUUCUAUUUAGAAAAGGGUAAAAACGGAUUUUGGUUAAUAAAUGUGGACAAAAUGAGCAACUAACAUAUUUUCAUUAAACAAAGGAAGUUGCAUUCCGAAAAUGCUACUUUUUAAAUGCACCUCUACCCCUCCAUUCCCCCAAAGGCCUUUGAAGCCCUUUGGAGAUGCAAUUGCAUCUUCCCAAAGUUCUCAAAAAAUUGAACCAAACAUCACCUGCAUUUAUCCAAACCCCUUCAGAGCCCCAAAGCCCAUUCCAAAUGCUGAACCAAACGGGGCCUGAAUCUGGUCAUAAAUCGAAGUUUUGUUUUCGUCUAAAAUUAGUGUCAGAACCAUGAAGCCAUUACAAAUCAUCAAAUUACAGCCUAGAUCAUCAGUGAUUUUCACAUUAGUAAGCCGAACGUGGUCCAGUCAUGCAUCUUUCCAAAAUAGGGCAAGAAAGAGGGGAAUGAAAUUAUCUUCUCAAGGAGUUCUCGGUUGAGAACUAAGGGCUAAUGAACAAACUAAGGGCUAGAAAUGGUUUAGUUUCUGGGCAUUUAUGCGUCCGAGUAAUGCAAGUUGGACUUAAUAGAUGUGGAUGGGCCAUGGGCUUGGCUUGGACGAAUUGGAUCGAGCCCAUCGCAUUGAAUGGACAUCCUUUAAAAUUAGUUGAUGAAUUGAAGUCUCUUCAGUUAUUAUUUUUCGCAAUCUUCAUUUUGGUUUUAUUUAUUCAUAUCUUUGACAUAAACCGCCUAAAUUGCCGAUUUUCCUUAAAUUGUUGACUAAAAAUCAAAUAUCCACAGCAGGUCCAAGACCUCCAAAUUGACUGAACCAGUUUCUUGAAAGUUGUUGUAAUCUUGAAGGUGCUACAAUUGAGAAAUGUUCGACAAACCCCUCACAGAAGCCACAAUGCCCAUUUUUCAUAGUCCAAGUAACUCCUAACAUUAAUUAUUGAUACUCUUUUCAAAAUAAUUCAUAUAUUUUUAGACAGUCAUAAUAUGAACGAUUUUUUUUAGCAUUUUCUAUAAGAGUCGAAUUGUUAAUUCGAAACUUUCACGCAAAGAAUUAUAUGGUAAAGUACUUAUUAGAGUUAUAAUAAGUCAGAAUAUAACAAAAUGUCAAUCGAAGUGCUUAAUCAUGAAAGAGAAGAAGCGAUACCAAUAUCAAAAACCAAAGAGCUGUUGGCAGAAUCAAAAUUUCCUUCUCUCCUGUUAGUGUAUAUUUAGUUCCGAAAAGAAUAAAUAUAAAUGUAUGUUUAUUUUGUCACAUAGUAAGUAUUACUUUCAAGAGUGCUUUGAUUUGAUAGGUGGAACCAUAACAACUAAACUGGGUAAGGUCUUUCUUUAAUUUUCGUCGUACCUGACAUUGAGAAAUGCUGUGGACAGUAGCUCUCCAUCCUUACGAUGAAUGUCAAUACAACGAAAAUAAUUAACCACUUUUAAGCCAUUCUCAAUUACUUGCAAGCAUCUGCACACAAAGUGAAACCUGCUUAUUUCCGUCUUCGACUGGGCUUCUUACUCUUUCUAGCUGGGGUCGACUGCUCCUAAGGCACUGGUAAUAGGGUUCCUCCUGUAACGCCAUCUUUAUCAUUCAUCUUGUCAAAAGUUUUCUGGGCGCCAAUAUACACCUUAAGGUCUCUGAUCUGUGAAGGAUGACGAGGGACAUGCCACUGUCAACGCACACUAUGCACGCACGCGCAGAGUUUUCACAAUAUUAUAUACAAAUUAUUACAGUUUUAAGGCUAAAAGAAAAUAACUGUUCUUCUAAGUCAAGUAUUUGUUCAUCCUUCAACUUCAGUGACAGAGUUUUCCUGCAGAUGCACAGAAGCGCAUGUGUCCUCCAUUCAUGUCAAAUUAAUAGGGAAGACUAAAUUCCUGACAGCUUUAAUUGACUGGAAUCAUAUACUGAAAAAGUGUCGGUACAAUUGACAAUAAUACUUAUUGAGGAAACUAGCCCACGUAACUUCAAUGAAGAUGGACAAGACGAGUAUACUUCAAAACGCUGCAUGAAUUUCUCUAUAAAGAAAAUGUUGUAGGCAUAUUAAGGUACUUAAAAGGCAUCUACACCUAUAUUGCUUGACAUGUGAAGCUCAUAUAAGCUUUAAGUCUACCCAGUGUAUCUUCUUUUCCUUUUAUUUUCUAUUUUGUGAAAGUUGGAAAUGUCAACAUAACGCAGUAUGAACAACCAAUCGAAUUUCAAUUGGAAUUAGUAGAAUUUCAAUAUUGAACCGUAUCAAUUAAAAUUUGAAUCCUGAACCAUCACAUCCUGAACCAUCACAAAAUAAUGUUCAAAUAUCUCCAGUGUGUAAAAAAGUACUUUGAAAUUGGACCACCACCACGAAGAUUUUAACAUUGAUUUCUGUCGAUAAAGUUCAACCUCUAAAGCAGUAGCACUAUUUCUUCAGAGGAAAACAAAAUUACAGAUGGAGCAUAUAUAAACAAAAGAACAAAAUUAUGGAGAGCACUGACACGUGGAACUUUCUCAAUACGUGCUGCGUUCUCUCCUUUCUCCUUUUCCCCUUUUUGUCUCUUUCUUUCCCUCGUUAGAGUUUGUCCCAUCUUGCCACUUUUUAAAAAGAAUUCAAUAAAUAAAUAAAAAACACCAAAAGCUUUUUCAUCUCCUUGCCACAUCCUCCAACUAAUAAUUAACUCAAACUUAAUUAUCCUUCCCAAGUAUGGUGAAAGGAAGGCAUAUUAACCGUGUGAUAAACUCUGACUCAUCAUAAAAUGACUUUCGUUCUUUUGCCAUUUGUUAUGUGUCACAAGUCACGUAUAGUUGCUAUUCACAUAUUUGAAUUAGAAACUGUAUUUCCUCUUUCUUCCUCGAACUUUAACCUUUUUUACCUCACAUCUAAAAGUCCAUGCCAUGUGAACACUUCCUCGUCAUGAUACCCUUCCCACUUUUUUCUCAUCUUCUCAAAUGUCUGUUUCCACUUCCUCUCUGACGACCAACCUCACUUACAUGAACUAUUACUACAAUGCUGCUUCAUUUUACUGAUUAGUUUUAUGAGACUAUGCAUGCUAUGGUAUUACUUGUCUAGAGAAAUCAGCAACGAAAAAUACCUCUCUUCAAUUUCCUUAACCUUUCUCCGCAUCAUAUCUUGGUUCUUGAUAAGAGUUUGAUUAAGCUGCAACCACAAGGAACGGCAUCCAUUACUGGUAUGAACGAGUGAAAACUAUUGCAUCUGAUUGUAAUAUGAAAAAUGAGGCAUGUGAAAAACAAGAACAAUCAGCCUUGGCUUCAGUCAGCCCUCCUCUCAAACUUUAAACAUCCAAAAUCACAAAAGGUAAAACAGAGAAGAUUAAAGCCUUACCUCUGCCAUGGCCUUCUUUUCGUCACCAAGUUUCCCCAACUUACUAUGGAUCUCUUCAAUCUUUGCAGUCACACCUUUCUUGAUUGCUUCUAGUUUGGAAUUUUCUUUUCUACUUUUGGCUUCUAACAUGAGAGACUCAUAAUGCUAACAGAGAAAAACAAAAGAACUAAUAGGGGAUGAUAUGUUCAAGGACUUAAAAUGUAUUCUUUAAAGUCAGUCUAAGGAUGAUGGCAGUCUAUGUAACAAAAAUGACAAACAUGGGUUAGAAACGGAACACUAUCACCAACAGCAGCAUGGGCAGUUUAUAUAUAAUCUACUGGCUUUUGUACUUCUACUUCUGAUACAACAGGUUUUCAAUUCAGAUACUGUUCCUUCUAGGACUAUCCAUAAAAAAAAAGCCAAUAAUAAAAGAGUCCUGGCACCUUAGGGAAACGCAAUUCAUUUUCUACCACAGAUAUAUUAGUAAGAAAACAAAAAAGAAAAGAAGAAUACCAGAAGUUUUGCAAUUCUCUCAAGCUGAUGCAAGGCCACUAGUUCUUUUAUACUUCCUAUAUAAGCUCAUUAGACAAAUGCAGUAUGCAAAUCGACAGGUAUAAAAUGUUGUACACUAUAUAAAAGCAAAUGAAGCUGAGAUCAUACAACACGAGUGUAAUUACUUUCCUUCUCUUCACAACAAUUCUGACAAUCCCAUUGAUUUCCAAGAGUAAAAUGAGUUCACUUAAGGAAAAAAAAAAAAGAGAAAGAAAAAAGAAAAUUGAGAAACAUUUUUUGAUCUGAAAUAACUAAACUAAUGUUCUAUUAUGGUUUUCUCCUAAAAUAUGUGUACUUAAAAACCAUUACCUAAAGCAAAAGCACAAUCAACGCAAGCUUUCACAAGUAAUGCUUAUAACCAUGGCUGAUCAGUCAGUAUAAUAAAAUGCGAAAGACUAAACAUGGAGAAUUGAAAUGGUCUUGGUAUACGCAUGCUUACUUUUCUUUGCACUUCCAGCUGAUUUGAAGCUAGAUGAAUAUAGUCAGCGUGAAUCUACAAAAAAGUAAAGCUACAGUGUCAGAGAAAAUGAAGAAAGUCUGACAAUUAUAAUGGAGGUAAUAUCCACUUUGCAGGCCCAAUAAUGAACUUGUGACAUUUGGCCAACAAAAUGAACAUGUGAAGUACAAAAACGGAAACCGAAUCUUUCAUUGUCAGUUGUCAGCACCUAAAACAGUAAAAGCAUCAUGCACCUCUAAACUUCAAACAUUCCACUUAACUGAGUCCAAGCUCCAAAUCUUUGCAGGGAAAGGAGAACCAGAAAACAAAAAUAUUCAAAGCAUAAAAAUAAGGACACAUGAACCUACUUCUUCGAUUUUGCUGCUGAAGAGCGCCCCACUAAUUUCAGAAUCCUCGCUGCAACCGCAGCUACCACAAUCUCCUUCAAGUGAUUCACAGUAUGAAUUCAUCUCCAAAAGCUUGCCAUCAGUUUUUGAUUUAUUAAGCCGGUGAACAUAAGUGUCCCCAACAUAAUCCCAAAUUUGCUGUGUUCUUAAAUCCAGAGAAUAGCAAUGUUGUGUAUCUUUCCAAUGGCUGAUGGCAUGCUUAUCUCUGUAUCUACAAAGCCAGAAAAGAAAAGCUAUAAUGAAGACAGCCUAUCCAAUCACUAAAACUAUAGAGUGAGCGAAGAUUCCAGCAUAUCAUGACUGAAUCUAUCACUUUCCACAUCCAACAAAACCACAUAUCAGACAAACCCAAAGAUUUUCCAUUGUUCCACAAAUAAAGCACCAUGGCACCUCAUCUUGCUGUUGGCAUAGACGGCAAACCUGAUAAAGAACAGAAACAGAAUCUUCUUCACAAUCUGUUAACAGACGGGCAUCCCUGAUGAUGUUGCAAAAUGAAACUACAUUUCCGAUCAAGGUAGUUUCUUGCAACCAAAUCAAGAUAUGUGCCGUAANNNNNNNNNNNNNNNNNNNNNNNNNNNNNNNNNNNNNNNNNNNNNNNNNNNNNNNNNNNNNNNNNNNNNNNNNNNNNNNNNNNNNNNNNNNNNNNNNNNNUCUUAGCUUCAGGACAGGAAUGUUUUGAGGUCAAAGAUCAGAAUUUUGAUGUCAGUAUGAUCACCCUGUACUUGUGAACAUACGCAUAACUUAUCGUGCAUGCUUGGCCACUGCUAUUACUUCUGUCACUCUUUGACUCAUGAGAAAUUUGAGAUAAGAGUGACAGGACCAUCGGAUUAAACACACGUGAUGAGACAUUGCAAAAAUUCUUGCGUCAGAACAUGAUAAUCAACAAAAAGUAACUCCAAGAAGCCAUACCAUUGACCUAUUCCAAAUCUCCAAAUAAAUGUCAUGAUAAUUUAAAAGAAAUCCUGAACUUAGUAAGCACAAUAGAGUAAAGGAAAAUUCUACUUUUCAUUCAUAUACUUUCACGCUUUUCUAAUCAUGUCUAUACUUUUAAUUUGCCUAAUUUAGUCCAUCUACUUUAACAAACUUUCCAAUCAAGUCUUUUGGACACUAAAAUAUGACCAAAUUCAACUGAAGUGGCUGUUCGAUGAUGACGAUAAAAUAUGCAGAUGCCCACAUGGACACGUCUGGAAAAAUUUAGCCAAUGUAGAUAACCUCGAAGUGCAACAUGGAUAAAAUAAUGGACAUCCGAGUCACACAACAGAGACAUCUGACGGUCACACCGGCUGAAUUUGGCCUGAUUUGGUGUCAGAGACAUUUGAUUAGAAAAUCUGUAAAAGUAGAAGGACUUUAUUUAACAAAUUAAAAGUACAAGGGACUUGAUUAGAAAAUAUGUGAAAGUUCAGGAUUAAAACAAUACUGCCACAAUUGCUAUAGCUAAUAUUAAUUAUCAAAAAGCAACAACUAAUCCACAGUCAGCAGAUCAACAGAAAGAUAGUGGCAGUAGCUGCGAAAUUACAUUAUAAAUUCAUCUAAUCUGUAGCAGCAGAAGAAUGUCUAACCUGACAAGACAAGUAAGUCCAUUUUGUACCACAUGAGCAAUGAAAGGAAUGGUCACACUGCAUACUCAAAAUUCCGCUGGUAUCUGGGUCCAAUCUCUCUGACAUCAAAAGAAAAAAAGUUGCAAUUGUAAACAGCUUUCUAUAAACUCAUCUCACCGCAAGGGAAAUAUAAUCAGCAAGGGAGUACAGGCAUGGCCUACCAAGACAAACUGGNNNNNNNNNNNNNNNNNNNNNNNNNNNNNNNNNNNNNNNNNNNNNNNNNNNNNNNNNNNNNNNNNNNNNNNNNNNNNNNNNNNNNNNNNNNNNNNNNNNNNNNNNNNNNNNNNNNNNNNNNNNNNNNNAAGACUGUGUGAUCUCACAGCAAACAACAGGUGCAAAAAUUGCAAAUACCUCAGCAGGCGAGAAAUUCUUGCCAUUGAAGGUGCAUUAGAAACCAUCGGCAGCCUUUUGAUCGAUAAGCUCAAUCAGCACGCUGUACCUAUCUUCCAUCCCAUCAUUCCUACAUCAAACCCACAAUUCGCAACACAAUGAUCACUAAAACUACUAAAAAGCAUUUACAAAAGAAACCAGACCGGAAAACCCAGUUCCACCGUCGGAAUGCUUCCAAAAAAUUGAACUUUCAUCAUCGGACACCCCCUAAGGCAUGAUCACGAGCAAAUUUUCAGUAAUCGAGUCCAUCUCUUAGAUUUUCGUCAGCGAAUUCUAAUUCUUCGAAUUCUCCCUUUCGCUUACCCAAUUCAUCUCACCAACUGAAAAAACAGGUCCGAAGUCCCGAAGAAGAGGAGGAGAGAAAACAGAAACGAUCGAAGCCUUACCUGAUGAACCGGAGCUCGGAGACGUCGUCGAUCCGGGGGCCGCAGAACCGGAUGAAGUCGUCGGGGGAAAAGUAAUUGGGGACGGCGACGACGAAGAGGGUGGUGGAGCGGGCACCGGGGCUCGAGAGGGGCGCGUGCGACAGCGUCCGGAACAGGUGGACCAUGCCCCUCCGCUCGGCGAACCUAGCGAUCUCCGGCGGCGGCGGCGAGGAGGAGGAGAAGCCGCCGUAGUCGGUGGCGAGGGGGUGGUCGGUGUCCACCGAGUGGACCCGGAGGAAGAACAUCUUUUACCCUUCGGACUGAGUUGAAUCGCCCGAGUUGGAGAAGAUUGCUGGAUUGCGGAGCAGAGAGAAGAAACUCGCGGGAACUAAGAGGAGGAUUGGGCACGCCUUCUUCCUGGAAUUAUAACGGUUGCUACUUUCCACCCAAAAAAAAAAACUAAUUGGUGCAAAAUGAAUAAUUUAUUGUCUAAUACGACUAACUUAAUUUCAAUAAUUAUUUAGGAGAGAUUUAAAAAGAAUUGGGUAUUCCUUGUUGAGUUGAGAUUUACACAAUAGACAUUUUUUAUUCAUUUCGGGUGUUCGAAAUAAUUAAAAAAAUUAAAUUUGAAAUUGAUCAAAUUACUUUUUGAUUGAACAAAUUCAGAAUUAUGUGAAUUAUGGUAAGAAGUAUGUUAUGUGAUUGCUUAUGAACGAAAUAAUUUUGUAAUCAUCUCAUUCUCAUUUAUUAUCAAAAUGAUGAUGCAUCCGAAUUAAAAUUGGUAAUAAAUUCUACCGACAUUGGAAAAGCAAAGAAAUGAUAAAGGCCUAAACUGAACUAGUCGUGGAUUCUAUUUCUUUUGCUUCGUCUGACAAACAAAACAUGACGACAAAGGCUAGAAUACUCCUAGAUAUACUAAAACUGAAAUGCAAGGGCAGUCAAGUGUCUAUUUGGCAUAAAAAUUGCUAUCACAGGUGAUUAUUAUGCGGGCCUAGUUUGGACCAACAUCAAGACUAAAUUGUUGCUCAAGCUCGUUCAUAAAAUGAAUCAUAUAUAGAAAUGUUGGGGCACGGCUCAGGCGAAGGUCGGGCAAGCUAGGAUUUUUUAACGUAAGGAUAUUUUCUAGUCUCAGGGUCAUGUCUCUGAUUGUGAUGUUGCAGAGGGUAGAUUUUAUAGUCUCGGGGUCUUCCUCCUGACAUAGUUUGGCACAAUUUUUUCUUUAAGUGGUACAGUUAGCAUCCUUAUCAACUUGUAGAUCUUACAACCUCAGGGCCUUCUUCUAGACAUAGUUUGGCACCAUCUAUUUUAAGUGGUACAAUUAGCAUCCUAAUGGACUCAUGCUCAAGUCUAGCGGUGAUAAUUUGUUUUAUUAUAUUUAUUUAGGCUGACUGAAAGUGAAAAAGAAGAACAUGAGAUUAGGGUGAUGCGUGGAAAGCGUUGUCUAUGCGAGUUGGAGACAGGUUUAUCUGAUUUUAGUUAGCAAGCUAAAGGAUCAUAGGAACAGGGUUUAGUUUUCGCAGGUGGCUUCUUUUCUUGUUCCUUCUGCGUCAUGCUGAAAGUACUUUUCUUAUGUUUUUUUAUUUAUUCUUUUUAAUUUGCUGAAGUAGCAUUUGUUAGCACUUAGCAGGUUCUAUUUUCUUGUUCUUUUGCCACAAAAAAAAAUAAUAUGAAUUAAUUAAAAAAUCAUCUUCUUCUUGUGUUCCUAUUAUGAACGCGAUUUGAGCGCAACAACACUCAGACCUUGGAUGAAAGUCAAUACUUCGCCAUGGUCUACCUCGACAUUUUGCUUAUUGGACUGCAUUCUUUGGGAAUCAAGUUCCAUCUUUUUUAGGAUGAUAGUCUUUAACUGCAGUCGGUAAACACUAUAUUGUCGGGGACACAAGUCGGUUAUUUCUCCAGUUUUUACAGUUGACAGAGUUGAUUUUUUCAUUUGCAAAUGGACACAGAGCAGGUAGGAGCAUGACACCGAGCCUCUUUUGAUCUCAUCUAUAUUCCUAUCACCCUUCCCUUACUACGCUAUCAGCCACCAAAGAGUACUUUCUCUCAGCACAUGAGCCUAAUGGUAGGUGAUGGGAAAGUAGCCGAGAAUUGAAAAAAAGUAUUUACUUUCUCAUACGUGAAUUGUAUGAUUACAGCCCUAUNNNNNNNNNNNNNNNNNNNNNNNNNNNNNNNNNNNNNNNNNNNNNNNNNNNNNNNNNNNNNNNNNNNNNNNNNNNNNNNNNNNNNNNNNNNNNNNNNNNNNNNNNNNNNNNNNNNNNNNNNNNNNNNNNNNNNNNNNNNNNNNNNNNNNNNNNNNNNNNNNNNNNNNNNNNNNNNNNNNNNNNNNNNNNNNNNNNNNNNNNNNNNNNNNNNNNNNNNNNNNNNNNNNNNNNNNNNNNNNNNNNNNNNNNNNNNNNNNNNNNNNNNNNNNNNNNNNNNNNNNNNNNNNNNNNNNNNNNNNNNNNNNNNNNNNNNNNNNNNNNNNNNNNNNNNNNNNNNNNNNNNNNNNNNNNNNNNNNNNNNNNNNNNNNNNNNNNNNNNNNNNNNNNNNNNNNNNNNNNNNNNNNNNNNNNNNNNNNNNNNNNNNNNNNNNNNNNNNNNNNNNNNNNNNNNNNNNNNNNNNNNNNNNNNNNNNNNNNNNNNNNNNNNNNNNNNNNNNNNNNNNNNNNNNNNNNNNNNNNNNNNNNNNNNNNNNNNNNNNNNNNNNNNNNNNNNNNNNNNNNNNNNNNNNNNNNNNNNNNNNNNNNNNNNNNNNNNNNNNNNNNNNNNNNNNNNNNNNNNNNNNNNNNNNNNNNNNNNNNNNNNNNNNNNNNNNNNNNNNNNNNNNNNNNNNNNNNNNNNNNNNNNNNNNNNNNNNNNNNNNNNNNNNNNNNNNNNNNNNNNNNNNNNNNNNNNNNNNNNNNNNNNNNNNNNNNNNNNNNNNNNNNNNNNNNNNNNNNNNNNNNNNNNNNNNNNNNNNNNNNNNNNNNNNNNNNNNNNNNNNNNNNNNNNNNNNNNNNNNNNNNNNNNNNNNNNNNNNNNNNNNNNNNNNNNNNNNNNNNNNNNNNNNNNNNNNNNNNNNNNNNNNNNNNNNNNNNNNNNNNNNNNNNNNNNNNNNNNNNNNNNNNNNNNNNNNNNNNNNNNNNNNNNNNNNNNNNNNNNNNNNNNNNNNNNNNNNNNNNNNNNNNNNNNNNNNNNNNNNNNNNNNNNNNNNNNNNNNNNNNNNNNNNNNNNNNNNNNNNNNNNNNNNNNNNNNNNNNNNNNNNNNNNNNNNNNNNNNNNNNNNNNNNNNNNNNNNNNNNNNNNNNNNNNNNNNNNNNNNNNNNNNNNNNNNNNNNNNNNNNNNNNNNNNNNNNNNNNNNNNNNNNNNNNNNNNNNNNNNNNNNNNNNNNNNNNNNNNNNNNNNNNNNNNNNNNNNNNNNNNNNNNNNNNNNNNNNNNNNNNNNNNNNNNNNNNNNNNNNNNNNNNNNNNNNNNNNNNNNNNNNNNNNNNNNNNNNNNNNNNNNNNNNNNNNNNNNNNNNNNNNNNNNNNNNNNNNNNNNNNNNNNNNNNNNNNNNNNNNNNNNNNNNNNNNNNNNNNNNNNNNNNNNNNNNNNNNNNNNNNNNNNNNNNNNNNNNNNNNNNNNNNNNNNNNNNNNNNNNNNNNNNNNNNNNNNNNNNNNNNNNNNNNNNNNNNNNNNNNNNNNNNNNNNNNNNNNNNNNNNNNNNNNNNNNNNNNNNNNNNNNNNNNNNNNNNNNNNNNNNNNNNNNNNNNNNNNNNNNNNNNNNNNNNNNNNNNNNNNNNNNNNNNNNNNNNNNNNNNNNNNNNUCUCUAGAUUUCGUCAGCGAAUUCUAAUUCUUCGAAUUCUCCCUUUCGCUUACCCAAUUCAUCUCACCAACUGAAAAAACAGGUCCGAAGUCCCGAAGAAGAGGAGGAGAGAAAACAGAAACGAUCGAAGCCUUACCUGAUGAACCGGAGCUCGGAGACGUCGUCGAUCCGGGGGCCGCAGAACCGGAUGAAGUCGUCGGGGGAAAAGUAAUUGGGGACGGCGACGACGAAGAGGGUGGUGGAGCGGGCACCGGGGCUCGAGAGGGGCGCGUGCGACAGCGUCCGGAACAGGUGGACCAUGCCCCUCCGCUCGGCGAACCUAGCGAUCUCCGGCGGCGGCGGCGAGGAGGAGGAGAAGCCGCCGUAGUCGGUGGCGAGGGGGUGGUCGGUGUCCACCGAGUGGACCCGGAGGAAGAACAUCUUUUACCCUUCGGACUGAGUUGAAUCGCCCGAGUUGGAGAAGAUUGCUGGAUUGCGGAGCAGAGAGAAGAAACUCGCGGGAACUAAGAGGAGGAUUGGGCACGCCUUCUUCCUGGAAUUAUAACGGUUGCUACUUUCCACCCAAAAAAAAAAACUAAUUGGUGCAAAAUGAAUAAUUUAUUGUCUAAUACGACUAACUUAAUUUCAAUAAUUAUUUAGGAGAGAUUUAAAAAGAAUUGGGUAUUCCUUGUUGAGUUGAGAUUUACACAAUAGACAUUUUUUAUUCAUUUCGGGUGUUCGAAAUAAUUAAAAAAAUUAAAUUUGAAAUUGAUCAAAUUACUUUUUGAUUGAACAAAUUCAGAAUUAUGUGAAUUAUGGUAAGAAGUAUGUUAUGUGAUUGCUUAUGAACGAAAUAAUUUUGUAAUCAUCUCAUUCUCAUUUAUUAUCAAAAUGAUGAUGCAUCCGAAUUAAAAUUGGUAAUAAAUUCUACCGACAUUGGAAAAGCAAAGAAAUGAUAAAGGCCUAAACUGAACUAGUCGUGGAUUCUAUUUCUUUUGCUUCGUCUGACAAACAAAACAUGACGACAAAGGCUAGAAUACUCCUAGAUAUACUAAAACUGAAAUGCAAGGGCAGUCAAGUGUCUAUUUGGCAUAAAAAUUGCUAUCACAGGUGAUUAUUAUGCGGGCCUAGUUUGGACCAACAUCAAGACUAAAUUGUUGCUCAAGCUCGUUCAUAAAAUGAAUCAUAUAUAGAAAUGUUGGGGCACGGCUCAGGCGAAGGUCGGGCAAGCUAGGAUUUUUUAACGUAAGGAUAUUUUCUAGUCUCAGGGUCAUGUCUCUGAUUGUGAUGUUGCAGAGGGUAGAUUUUAUAGUCUCGGGGUCUUCCUCCUGACAUAGUUUGGCACAAUUUUUUCUUUAAGUGGUACAGUUAGCAUCCUUAUCAACUUGUAGAUCUUACAACCUCAGGGCCUUCUUCUAGACAUAGUUUGGCACCAUCUAUUUUAAGUGGUACAAUUAGCAUCCUAAUGGACUCAUGCUCAAGUCUAGCGGUGAUAAUUUGUUUUAUUAUAUUUAUUUAGGCUGACUGAAAGUGAAAAAGAAGAACAUGAGAUUAGGGUGAUGCGUGGAAAGCGUUGUCUAUGCGAGUUGGAGACAGGUUUAUCUGAUUUUAGUUAGCAAGCUAAAGGAUCAUAGGAACAGGGUUUAGUUUUCGCAGGUGGCUUCUUUUCUUGUUCCUUCUGCGUCAUGCUGAAAGUACUUUUCUUAUGUUUUUUUAUUUAUUCUUUUUAAUUUGCUGAAGUAGCAUUUGUUAGCACUUAGCAGGUUCUAUUUUCUUGUUCUUUUGCCACAAAAAAAAAUAAUAUGAAUUAAUUAAAAAAUCAUCUUCUUCUUGUGUUCCUAUUAUGAACGCGAUUUGAGCGCAACAACACUCAGACCUUGGAUGAAAGUCAAUACUUCGCCAUGGUCUACCUCGACAUUUUGCUUAUUGGACUGCAUUCUUUGGGAAUCAAGUUCCAUCUUUUUUAGGAUGAUAGUCUUUAACUGCAGUCGGUAAACACUAUAUUGUCGGGGACACAAGUCGGUUAUUUCUCCAGUUUUUACAGUUGACAGAGUUGAUUUUUUCAUUUGCAAAUGGACACAGAGCAGGUAGGAGCAUGACACCGAGCCUCUUUUGAUCUCAUCUAUAUUCCUAUCACCCUUCCCUUACUACGCUAUCAGCCACCAAAGAGUACUUUCUCUCAGCACAUGAGCCUAAUGGUAGGUGAUGGGAAAGUAGCCGAGAAUUGAAAAAAAGUAUUUACUUUCUCAUACGUGAAUUGUAUGAUUACAGCCCUAUUUGUAAUGUGUAAGCCCUAUCUAAUCAAAGAAAGAAAUAUACAAAAGGAAGGGAAAUAUCUUUUUUCCAAAAUAUACAAUAUUCUAAUCUCCUCUAAAUGAACCAAUUAGCAUCAAUUAAAAUCAAUUACAGCAACGGUAUCUUCAACACUCCCCCUCAAGCCGGUGGUCUAUACACAUCAAAGACACCAAGCUUGCUCAAUAGAUACGUAUGUUGCCUUUGACACGGGGGCUUAGUAAAAAUAUCUGCAGGCUGUUCUGUUGUUCUUAUCCCUCUUGUCUUGAUUACUCCAGUUUGAAUUUUGUCUCUAAUGAAGUGACAAUCAACCUCUAUAUGUUUCGUUCUUUCAUGAAAAACUGGAUUUACUGCAAGUUUGAGCGCAGCAUCAUUGUCACAAAAUAGGACAGUUGGCUCUUUCACCCAUACACCAAGAUCUUAGAGCAAGCCUCUUAUCCAGACUAUCUCACAGCUAGUUUUCGCCAUUGCCCGGUAUUCAGUUUCAGCGGAUGAUAACGAUACAGUUGAUUGUUUCUUUGUUUUCCAUGAGAGCAAUGAAUCUCCCAAUUUUAUGCAAAACCCUGUAACUGAUUUUCUACUCAUAGGGCAAGUAGCAUAGUCUGUGUCACAGAAGGCUGUCAUUUCCAUGUUGUUGUUUCGAGACAAUAGUAUUCCUAAACCUGGACAUCCUUUCAAAUACUUCACGACCUUCAGUGCAGCAUUCAUGUGAGAUUGUUUUGGAUCAUGCAUAAACUGACUGAGAAUUUGUACUGCAUAACAUAUGUCCGGUCUAGUCAUUGUGAGAUAGAUAAGCUUCCCGACAAGCCUCUGAUAGAUGGAAGGAUCUUUGAGCAAAAGAUCCUCAUUUAGGGGUGAUAGUCCCUUAUCAUACUCAGCCGUUGUUAAUUUGAUAUUUUGUUCAACUGGAAUUACAGCUGGCUUGGAUCCUGAUAAUCCUGCUUCUGAGAUGAUUUCCAGAACAAACUUGCGUUGAUUGAGGCAAAUUCCCUUAUAUGAUCGCGCAAUCUCUAUUCCAAGAAAAUAUUUGGGAGGUCCCAAAUCCUUAAUAUGGAAUGUGGAGUGUAGGUACCCUUUAAAUUUCUCAAUGGCAGAUUCAUCAUUCCUCAUAAUAAGUAUGUCAUCAACAUAUAUAAGCAAAUAAAUUGAUGAUGUACCUUGACUCCACGUGAAUAAGGCAUAGUCACGCUUGGAUUGUUGGAAUUUUGCAGUUAUAAGUGCAGAGGUGAACUUGGCAUACCACUGGCAAGAAGCCUGCUUGAGUCCAUAUAGGGAUUUACGUAAACAACAUACUCGAUUCUCCCCCUGUUUGCGUAAACCCGGUGGAAGAUCCAUGUAAAUUUCUUCUUCUAGAUCUCCAUGGAGGAAAGCAUUAUGAACAUCCAUUUGAUGAAGAGGCCAAUCACGAAGAGCAGCAAUGGAGAGAAAGGAACGAACGGUGACUUCUUUUGCCACGGGAGAAAAAGUUUCCGUAUAAUCAAAACCUUCUCGUUGUGUAAAACCCUUGGCUACUAAUCUGGCUUUAUAACGUUCAAUUGAACCAUCUGCCUUGUACUUGAUCUUGUAUACCCAUUUACACCCGAUAGAUUUUCGAUGAGGGGGUAUAGGAACAAUAUCCCAAGUGUUGUUCUCCACCAGAGCUCGUAACUCAUCCUUCAUCGCUCGUUGCCAAUGAGGAUCUUUGAUAGCCUCGUCAUAUGAAGACGGUUCCCGUCCCUCAGAAAUUUUACUUAUGCAACACCUAUGUUCGGGUGAAAGGCGAGCGAAGCUAACAUAAGAAGAGACAGGAUAAUGCGUACCAGAUUUUGCCAAGGUGGGACAAAUGUAGUCUGUUGUCCACGUGGGCAGUCGUGUUGUCCGGCUUGAUCGUCGAGGAUGAUCCGUUUCACUUCCAAUAGCCGCAGGAGGGAUAUUAACUAAAUCAUUCGAUGAGAUGGUGUGACCCUUUGGUAUCGCUUCUUGUGACUCCCUAGAGGCUGCAUUAUUUGAGCAAGACUGAGGAUCACAUUCAGCUGCAUGAUGCGUUAUAGGUGAUGUGAUAUUAGGAAUCAUGACGGGCUGUGGAGACAAGAGAUCUUCUUCACUCAAGAAUUUAUGAGGAUUUGUAGCCGGAUCUAAAUUUUGAUGUAAAGAUAAAUCUUCUUGGAAAGGAAAGAUGUCCUCAUGAAAAAUAACGUCUCUGCUAACAAGAAAGUCUCCAGUGGAUGGAUUAUAAAUCAAGUAUCCUUUUUGAUGAGCAGGAUAUCCCAUAAAUACACCUUUAACUGCACGAGGACCCAAUUUGUCCCGAGUGCCUACAGUUGAGACAUAGCACAAGCAUCCAAAAACACGAAGAUGGUGGAUGUUUGGUUGUUUCCCGAAGAGUAACUCAAAUGGAGUCUUGCCAUUCAGAAUCUGAGACGGCAUUCGGUUGAUCAAAUAGGUUGCUGUGACCACACAAUCUCCCCAAAACAUCUCCGGAAUUGAGGCUUGAUACUUAAGGGCACGAGCAACUUCUAAAAGAUGUCGAUGUUUCCAUUCAACGACCCCGUUUUGUUGAGGUGUAUAAGUACACGAACUUUCAUGAAUGAUGCCAUUAGAAAUAAAUAGAGAAGAACACUCAUGAUUAAAAAAUUCACGAGCAUUAUCAAUACGAAUCCGUUGCACAGAUUUGUGAAAUUGAUUUUUAACUAAUGUAAGGAAGUUCCUAACAUGGGAAAGAACUUGUGCCUUAGAUUGCAUCAAAAAAAUCCAUGUAGCCCUUGUAUUGUCAUCCACAAUGGUAAGGAAGAAACGUGACCCAUCCCGAUUUGGUGUAUGAUACGGACCCCAAACAUCCAUGUGUAGAAGAGAAAAAGCUGUAUGAGCACGUGAGGUACUUUGUGAAAAAGGCAAUCGAGAUUGUUUAGCUACUGAACAGAUAGGACACUUUGGAUGAGGAAAAGAGGCACUAUGGCCUAAACGCUGAUGAGACAAAAUAUUAUUAUUAACUUUGGCAUUACACAAAAUGCUCUCAUUUAAGGGUAGAGAUGAAAUAUCAAGAUUUUUGGGAAGUGCGGCCCAAAAAUAGAGUCCCUCUUGAAUUUUACCCAAUCCCAUCAGUUUCCCAGUCGAAAUGGCCUGGAAAAAACAAAUGUCAGAAUCAAAAGUGACUCGACAAGAAUUGUCUUCACAAAUUUUUGAGACGGAAAUGAGAUUAAAUUGGAACUCCGGAAUAAACAAGACAUUUUUCAAUGUGAUGAAUGGGUUGAGUUGAAUGUUUCCUGUUUUAGUAACGGAGGUAUCAUUCCCAUUUGGGAGACGUACUGAGGUGAACGGGGUCGAUGUACGAACAUUAGUAAGGAAAUGCUCAUCACAGACAAUGUGGUCACUAGCACCUGAAUCAAUAAUCCAUGCUUCAGUUGAAAUGGAGCUUAGGCAAUGAGAAAUACCUGUAUAACUUGCUGGUUUGUCCUGCAUUCUCAAUUGGCUUAGAGCUCUCAUGAUUUGUUGGAACUGAUCGUUAUUGACAGGUUGAUGAACUUUGGCAUGUGCCGCAAUUGAGACAUCUUUUUCCUUUUUAUCUGUUGGCCUCCCAUGCAAUUUCCAACAAUUUUCUAGCGUAUGAUAGGGUCGCUUGCAAUAAUCACAGAAUUUGGCUUUUCCUUUAUUGGAAUUUUGGCCACGUGAUUUAUUUGAGGCCACAACAGAAUUUUGGCCGUUGGAUCCCCGAGUAGCCGCGGCAUGAUGUCCACCGUCCGAUAUGGACGUGGAAAAAAUCAAUCCGGAGCCAUCUGAUCGCGCGAACGAAUCGGAGCCGUUAGAUCCCAUGAUUAAAUCACGUCCGUUCGUUGGGAAAUAAGUUUGUGUGAGCCCUGAGCCAUCCGAUUGCCCAAACACAUCUGAGCCGUUCACUCCAGAGGAUAAAAAAGAUUUGUCUUCUUCAUCCAGAAUCCCUAGCGCUGCGACUGACGUUAUGUGUCCACCAUGGCUGCCAUGGCCGGACCUUGCAGCGGCCAACCGCUGCUCUGGCGUCGCUUUGGCAGCAAGGAUAACUCGGUCUCCUACCUUGGCCGCUGCUCUGGCGUCGCUUUGGCAGCAAGGAUAACUCGGUCUCCUACCUUCAGGUACUCCGAGGAGGCCAGGCGUUGCGAUUCUUCCUGGACCGCGAGCUGGUAGAUCCGGCCGAGUGAGGGUACAGGCUCCAUGGCGAGGAUCUGGCUGCGAAACGGUAAGUAACUCUCAUUUAAAAUAAGUAAGAACCGUGUCACCUUCUCUCGCUCUCUUAUCGCACGAUAUUGUGCUAGGGUUGCGUCGGGUCCCUCCAACUUUUCUUCAGCCAUUUCCAACUCGUUCCAUAGUGCGGACAAUUUGUUGAAUACGCUAGAAAUAGAGAGAUUCCCCUGUUUGAGUUCUGAUAGAGCCUGAGUUAAGCUGAAAAUUUUUGCGCGAUCGAGUUUUCCAUACAUUUCCCGUAUGUUUUCCCAAAUUGCUUUCGCGUCUUCGGUCGGAGGGAGUCCCGCGGCGAACUCCGGGGUGAGACAGUUACCGAUCCAGGUCCUAACGAGCUGAUUGCAUUUCCUCCAAUGGCGUGCAAGUCGCUCGUCAACCGGAACUGGAACGGUGCCGUCAAUGAACCCCUCUGUCUUUUGUGAUAAGGGCCCGUCGGAACUCUCGCGACCAAAGGGAAUAAUUUUCCGGCCCGGAGAGCUUCUGUGUGAUAAGGCGGAGCUCGGGGCCAUCGGUAGCGGACGUGUACAGGGGGUCUCCCGGCUCGGGUCGACCGCCAAUGGCACCUACGAAUGGAGAAAAACCAGGUCCAUAAGUCGGGUAAGGGUUCACCCCAAAACCCGAUGGACCCGAACCACUUUGGUUCAGAAAAGUCCAACCUGUUGCAGAUCCUGGGUAGGACUUGUUAUUGGGUAGUGUACCUCCUCCUGACCCGUCGGUUCCACCGUGGGUUCUCUCGGCAGAGCCAAUUACAUUCUGAGCCAGAUUCGUUUGACUCGUCUGACCCGGAAUAGGUGGUUGAACUUGGAUCGGAACCCAUUGAACGUAAGGUCCCGUAAAAAUUUGCCCUGAAUUAGGCUGAACAUGGCUCUGUUGCUCUUCAUCAAGUGUCGUCUGGUUCAGGUCUUGCGUCUGAUCCUCAAUAUCUUGUCCUGAGGGUGAAUGAUUCAGCUCUUGUUCGUCGGAAGAAGUUUCUGGAUUAUGGGGUACUCCAGAUUUUGAGGCUUGGUUUUUUGGCAUAUUGUUUCCUUUUGCUGAUCUAGCCAAAACACUUUCUCAGGUUUGGUGUGGACUGGAGAAGAAAUCAGGACCUUGAUGAGGACAGAGAUGAAGAAAAAAAAUGGGCGGAAGCUAAAAGAGUAGCUCUGAUACCAUGUCAGAAUGGUAGGUGAUGGGAAAGUAGCCGAGAAUUGAAAAAAAGUAUUUACUUUCUCAUACGUGAAUUGUAUGAUUACAGCCCUAUUUGUAAUGUGUAAGCCCUAUCUAAUCAAAGAAAGAAAUAUACAAAAGGAAGGGAAAUAUCUUUUUUCCAAAAUAUACAAUAUUCUAAUCUCCUCUAAAUGAACCAAUUAGCAUCAAUUAAAAUCAAUUACAGCAACGGUAUCUUCAACACCUAUAUUGUCAUCGCAGAGCGCUUGCACUUCAAACAAAUGCAGAAGUAGGAUGUGGAAUCUAAGAGUGUCUGAUUUGAUUCGUAUACAGUGGGUUCAACCCUCGGCAAGUUUGGAUGUUGCAUCUUAAAAGGCACAUUCUUCUAAACGGCUGAAUUUGCAGAAUCAAUAGCAAAGUGAACCUAGUGGGCACGUUUUCUCCGGACAUUUCCACAAAAUUUGGAAUUAGUUCCCCUUACAAAUAGGAACGAUACUAGGCUUUCCCCCUUAUGAGAAGAUGUUCUUGACCUGGGAGUUUAGAAGGGAGUAAGAGCCACUUAAAAGCUGUUGUAGUUUUGGAGAUGGUAUCAAACGAUCUCUCAAAAAAGUACUCUCGGUACGCCAAACAUUAAUUAUCUUGACGUUUUACAAAAUCGUUCAUAUAUUUUUAGAUAGUCAUUGAAUAAAGGGAAAAUUCCAAAAAGAGAUCCAAAGUGUUAUAUUUUUCUCAAAUAAGGAUUCGAAGUGGAUUUUGUUUUAAAUAAAAAUCUGAAGUGACUUUAGUUGUUUCAAAUAAGAGCUUGAAGUGGCUUUGGUUAUUUCAAAUAAAGACCCAAUCUCGACAAUCGCCGGCCGGCUAAAUCUUCUGACCGGUCAAGAGUAUUUUCGUCAUUUGGCAUUUCCCCCCUUUUUUCUUCCUUUUUUUCUUAUCUUUUUUUUUUCCUUCUAAUUCCUUUUCUUUCUCUUUGCUGGUGGCCAGCUAGCCACCGGCAAUGCCCAUAGAGGGUUGGGUGAGGGCCACCCACACCUGCCACAAGCAAGGGACGGCCUCACUUAGGCGUGGUGACCUUCACCCAGGGGCCAUCCACGAGAUCAGUCCUCGCUAGCCCUGGUGAGGGUGGCCUUGCUCGCAACCAGCAAGGGCUGGGUGACCUUGCCGGCCGUGAGCAAGACCUAGGUGAGGCUGACCCUCGCCAGAUCUAGCGAGGGUUGGGCGACCUCACUGGCCCCUGAUAAGGGUUUGCAAGGCCACCCUCACCAAAUUUGGCUAGGGUCGGCCUCGCCUAGGCCUCGCUCGGGGCUGACCGGUCCUUACCAACGGCCGGUGAGGUCAUCCAACCCUCAUCGGCCGCAGGCAAGGGGUCGGUCUCGCCUAGGGCUGGUGCGGGCCGACCUCACGGAUGGGCCCUAGGUGAGGGUUGCCUCGCCCAGGCGAGGCCAUCCCUCGCAUGUGGCCUACGUGGGUGGCCCUCGCUGGCAAGCGUGACCCUCGCCCAGCCCUCUGUGGGCAUUGCCAUCGGCGAAAAGGAAGAAGAAGGACCAGAAAAAAUAAAAAAAGGAAAGAAAAAAAGGUAGAAAAAAGGGGGAAAAUGACAAAUGACAAAAAUACCAUUGACUGUCGGAAAGUUAGAUCCUUAUUUGUAACGAAUAUAACCACUUCGGGCUCUUAUUUGAAACAAAUAUAACUACUUUAGGUCCUCAUUUGAAAUAACAUAUAUUUUAGGUCCUUAUUUGAGAAAAUAAUUACACUUCAGUUCCUUAUUUGAAACAAGGUUCACUUCAGGUCCUUAUUUGAGAAAAUGAGAGCACUUCGGGUCUCUUUUUGAAAAAUUUCCUUUAAUAAAUAAGUUAUAUAGCAAUUUCUACGAAAGCAACUUUGUUAAUUCAAACCCUCCAAGAAAAGAACAAUAAAAGGAGAUUGACAAUGCCAUUGGGAGGCAACUUGGCAAAGCGAGCACUUUUGUGAGGUAUAAUAAGUCAGAGUUUAACAUUAUAUGGAUCAGUCUUUAAUCACGAAUAAAGAAAUGGCAAUACCACAAUCACAAAACUGAGGGCAGUUGGUAUAAUCGAAAUUCCAUUUAAAACUGCUGUUGGCAUAUAAACUUGUUAUUUUGUUUCCAAGAAAAAAAUUAUAAAUAUAUUACCAUAGUAGAACAACAUAUAGAAGAAUUGAAGUUGAGAGCUAGACUUUUUAAAUUUUGGGGAAAAAAAGUUUCUACAAUAAGUUUUUAGGUACUGCUUUCAAGAAUGCUUUAGUUUGAUUGGCGGAACUGUAACAACUAAACUGAGAAUGGUCUUUCUUUAAUUUUCAGCGUCUGGCCGAGUAUAUGCAUUUACAAUGUCAAUAAGUGCCGGACACCGAAACUCAAUUGAAGAGGAGGACUGGGGAAAGUCAGGGAGUUGCACCAUCCACAACCCCUCCAAGUAUAGAGGUUAUGUAGAACGCUGGGCAGUGAAAUACCACCCUCGGGCCCCCCUUGCGUCCGCAGAUGCUGCUAACAAUACUUUUCCUUCCUACUUACGACGAAUGUCAAUAAAAUGAAAAAACAAUUAACUACAUUCAUGCCAUUCUUGUUUACUUAUCAAGCAUAUGCACACUAAGUGACACCUGCUUAUUUCCGUCUUCGGCUGGGCUCCGUGCUCUUUCUGGUUGGAAAUGAUUACUCCAAACGCACGGGUAAUAGGGUCCUCCUUGGACGCCAUCUUUAUCAGUCAUCUUACCGAAUGUUUUCUGGUAUCCAAUAAACACCUUAAAUUCUUUGAUCCGUUAAAGAUGACAAGGAACAUAUUGCUGUCAACACACGUUACAUACACAUACACGCGGUUGGCAAUAUUAUGAAAACCAUAUGAACUGAAGGAAUAAAAUUUUGAGGUUCAGAAAAUGUACCCGUUUAUCCACAUUUAGUAUUUUUUCAUUCUUCGACUUUAGUGACAAAAUUAUCCUGCACAUGUGAAGAAACCGUAUGUGUGCUUCAUUCAUGUCAAAUCAGAUGGGAGGACUAAGUUCUCCAGACAGCUUUAAAUUGACUAAACUCGUCUAGAAGUUGCGUCAAGUACAAUCCAUAACUAUGCUUAUCUAGGAAGAUUAGCCCACAUGACUCGAAUGAAGAUGAACAAGAUGAGUAUACUUUAAAAUGCUGCAUAAUUAUUCUCUACGUUGUAUGCAUAUUAAGGAACUCAAAAGGCAUCUAAACCCACAUCGCUUAAUCUGUGAAGCUCGAAUAAGGGUUAUGUCGACCAAGAGCAUAUUAUUUUCCUUUUAUUUUCUAUGUUCUCGAAGUUGGAAAUUUCAACACUACGCAUCAUGAACAACCAAUGAACUGUUAUUGGAAUUAGUAAAUUUUUAAUGUUGCAAUUAAAUUUUAGUCCCAUACCAUCACAGAAUUAUUUGCAAAUUUUUCUAGUGUGCAAAAUUGUACUUUGAACUCAAACAAUGACCGUGGAGUUUUGAACAUUAACUUUCUACCGAUAAAGUUAAACCUCUAAGGCAAUAGCACUAAAACAUCAAAAGGGAAACAAAAUCACAGAUGAAACAUACAUUAACAAAGGAACCAAAUAAGAGAGAGGUCGUCCCGUCUCGCCACUUCUUUGAAACUUCUUCAAAAAAAAUUCCCAAUAACUACCUACUUCAUCUUCUUGCCACGUCCUCUAACCAAUAUUAACUCAAACGUGGUCAUUUCCCUCCAAAGUAUGGUGAAAAGCAGGCAUAUUAUCUAUUCGAUAAAUUCUCACACGACAUAAAAUGACUUUUCCUUGUGCCUUUAAUGAUGUGUCAUAAGUCAUUUAUAAUCACAACUCAGAUAUUUGCAUUGGGUGUUGUAGUUUCUCUAUCCUCUUCCAACUACUUUCACCCUUUUUACCUCAAUUUGUGACACCAUCUAAAGGUUCAAACUAUGUGAACUCUUCCUCUUCACAUUACCAUCCUCACUUUUUUCUCAUCUUCUCAAUGUUAUUCCGACCUUUCCCUCUCAUGACUGACCGACUUAACUAAUGGAUAUGACCGGCAUUGACUGCGACAUUAGUCAGCAUGAUAGACUCAGGCGGCCAACCGUACUCAAAUCUCUCUUCAACUGAAAUUCACAUGCCACAUGGCACGCUUCCAUUAGUUAAAAUCCUCGCUGUCUACAAUAGAACAUAUGACACCCAAUGGUCUAAUUAAUUUUCGUGAUAACUGUGUGGGAGCACAAAACUCUAGUUUAAAAAAAAAAAAAACAAAACAAAACAAAACAAAGCUAUUCUACCACAGCCCAAUCAUUACAUGUUCCGACUCCUUCGCUGGUCGCGCCGCCGACCAUCAAUCUCAGGAGGAUCACGUUUGUUCAUUUCAUCGAGAGCACCAUUCCAGAACCCAAAAAAAAAAAAAAAAAUCGAGCAAGGAAAAUUCAUCUCAAAAAAGCGAUUCCGUUCGAUUCAGUUGGCGGUUUCAAGCGUCCUGAAUCGAUCACAGUGGCCGUCGCCGGCAUCAACAGCCUCUUCAAUGCCGCGACUCGUCUCCUUUGUUCCCCUCUGUUCCGCGGCCGAGAGCCUCGAAAUGUUCCAGUUCGCUCGGAGCUUCUCCACCUGUUCAGGUUCCCAUCAUCGACACGUUCUAGAGCUUCUUUCAGUGAUUCGUGCGGCCAAUGGUGGCCUCAAUCCGCUUCGUUAACCAGGUAGCUUCUCCUGCUCUUUUCUCACAAGUAAGAGGCCGAGAGUCUGAUUCUCUUAUUAUGAUGAAAUUUAUCAUUGUUGAAUUUUUUUUUUCUUUUGACUUGGAACAUCAUGUACUGAUUUAGGUUGAGUCUAGUUACAAAUUUGGGUUUGAAAUGGCUUUGAUCUGUUCCACAACCGAUUGGCCAUAAUUUGUUCGAUGAAAUGUGUCUGAGAUCUUGGUGUGAAUUGAUUCCAGUAAUCGUCCGAUCUGAAAGCACAUUAGUGAUGUUCACUUGAUAUUGUUUGAUUUUGCAAUCUUUAGGCAUGAUUACGAGUAUAUGCCAUGGUUGCCAAGAAUGAAACUGACUCUCCGUUUGUUUUCUCAGUGGUUCCUGUGAUCUUUUGGUGAUUGGUGGUGGUCGGUGAGACGAGAAGGCUUGGAGUCGCUGGCACACGCAAUUUUUUUGGUGAUGAUCAUAGUACGCCCUGUUGAACAGAAUUGAGACGAUGUCGCUGAGCAUGAAUCGCAAUCACGCCAAUUCAGAUCACUAACUUUGGCCAACACAUGUUUCGGUCACUAACUGGAGCAAAGUUAUGGCUGAUUGCUAGCCGUAUCCUUGCUGUUGAGUCGCCCCACAAUGUCCUCAACUGCUGAGCUUUGCUUCUGUCCAUGCCUUGCAGUCCAUCGUUGCCAUUGUAAUUGCUGUGGUAAACCUACCUUGCCAUACUGCCAUACGUUACCGAUAUGGAUUGAUGUACCAAUAGAGCUAUAUCCACUGCGUUUUGUUAAAAAUCGGAUCACCUCAUACCGGCGGCUUGUUUCUGGUCCAACUGAUUUUUAGAGUUGACUGUAUGUUCAGAUUUCCUUCACUCCUUUGUUUUUUAUGUUCAGAAUUUUGCGCAUCUUCUUAAACCGAAUCAUGGGAAAGCUAAGCUGUUCGAAGUCCAGUCGUCAUGGGGUCAAUACUUGUGUCGUCUACUUCCUGCUUUAUUCUCUGUGCAUGACAUAUUCUACUUCACACGUGCUGUCGAGGGAAAUCAUGGUCGACAAUCAAUAUGAAGUGAGCAAGUUAUAUUUACUCUCUGUCAUUAGUUGAUAAGCUUUGGGGUAUGAUGAAACCAGUCAAUAGCUUGCUCAGAAUAAGUAAAUGAGGAUUUACUUCUUUCUUGGAAGUGUCAAUGUCAUCGCUUUGUCUCUGAUCGUGGAAAGAGUUUAUGGUUCGUUUUGAACUUGCAUAAAAAUCGUUGGAAUGCUCAUGAAGCAGCGAGUACCCAAAAUUUACAAGUUAUAUGAAUUGGUGUGUCCUGUUGUUGCAUAUGCUGUAGUUUAGCAGUUAUUGUUCAUCUAUGUUUGCUGAACCAUUUGAUUUGUCACUUUCAAUCGACGAGAUUUUGAUAAAGACACAUGACAAUCGUGAGCGAUGUAUUGAAACUGGCACUUUGGUGAUGACAGUGCUCCUUCGUGUCACAGUAUGUACUUGUUUUAGGAAAAAUCAUUUAUGAUGUUGGAGAAGUGAAUAUGUGUUGUAGGUGCCUUGGAUUCGGACAAACCCCUCGUUAUCCUAGACCCACUCAUUGAAGAAACGGAGAGGUAUAAACGUAAUUACUUUCCUUCUCUUGGCAAAAAUUCUGCCAUUCCCAUAGAAGUUCCAAGAGUACGAUGAGGUCGCCUAAAAAUUAGAAAACAGAAAAUGGAGAAACAUUUUGAAUCAGUAGUAACUAAACUAAAUGUUCUAUUGUGGUUUUCUCCUAAAAUAUGUGGUGCUUAGAACCAUUGAAUACCUAAAGCAAAACACAUGUGAGAGAGAGCUUUCGAGAGUAACGCUUAUAACCGUGGCUGAUCUGUCGAAUAGUACAAUGUACAAGACUUUAUGUUAAGCAGGGAGAAUUGAGAUAGGUAUCCGCGUGCUUUAUUUUUUUGCGCUUCCAGCUGAGUUGAAGCUAGAUGUGUAUAGUCGGCGUGCAUCUAUGAAAAAGUAUAUCUACAGUGUCAGAGUAAACGAGGUAAGUCUGAUUACUAUAAUGGAGGUAAUAUACAUUUUGCAGGCCCAAUAAUGGACAUGUGACAUUGGGCCAGCAAAAUGAACAUAUGAAGCACAAAACCAGAAACAAAAUCUUUCAUUGUCACCUGUCAGCACCGGUAAAAGCAUCACGCACCUGCAAACUUCAAACAUCUCACUUGACUGAGUCCAAACUCCAAAUCUUUGCAUGGAAAGUAGAAUUGGAUAACAAAAAUGUUCACGGCAUAGAUAUAAGAGGGCGCAUGAAGCUAUUGCUUCAAUUUUGUUGCUGAAGAGCGCCCCACUAUUUUCGGAAUCCUCACUGCAACUGCAACUACCACUAUUUCCUUGAAGUGAUUCACAGUAUGAAUUCAUCUCCCAAAGUUUUCCGUCAACUUUUGAUUCAUUAAGUCGAUGAAUGUAAGUGUCCCCAACGUAGUCCCAAAUUUGCUGCGUUCUUAAAUCUAGAGAAUAGCAAUAUUGUGUAUUUUUCCAACGGCUGAUCGCGUGCUUAUCUUUGCAUCUACAAAUCCAAAAAGGACAAGCUGUAACAAGACAGCCUACCAAAACACUAAAAUAUAGAUCGAAGAUCAUCAUACACCUUCCACAUCUUCCAAAACCACAUAUCAGACAAACCCAAAGAUAGAGCAAAUUGAGAUAGAGCAGAACGAAAGUAUUCUUCAGAGUCAGGUCACAGAUGGGCAUCCCUGAUGAUGUUGCAAUAUGGAGCCACAUAUGCGAUAAUGUUUAAUUCUUGCAAUCUGAUCAAGUAUGUGCCAUACUUAAAAUCUUUAGCAAUGUAAUUGAACCUUGCAAUAAAAUCAAAGGAAGACCCUUGGCACAUCACCAGCAUUGGAGAAUAUCAUAUUGACUUAUUUUAAACAUAAAGAUUGACGAAUCAAGGAAAGGUUAGUAAGCAUAUGUCCAUUGAUGGAUAUCCUAUGUGACACUUUUUUCAUCUUUUGAUAUAUACUCAAGUUCAAAGUUACUUCUUUGCUACAAAUUUACAUGGAUGGAGCAUUAUCACAAUCAGUGGAAUAUAGCUUGAAAUGUGAAAAAUGACCAAGCACCAUCUUAUCUUACAGCCAGAAGUUUGAGAUCAAAGAUCAGCACUUUGACAUCAUUAUGAUCACCCGUGUCAAUAAUGAGUACUUAAGUUCAAUGCAUAAACUCAAUAAUUUAUGGUUGGCCAGUGCUAUUGCGAUCGCCCUUGGACUCAUAAUAAAUUAGACACAACGGUGAUAGGACUAUUAGAUCAAAUAACCAUAAUGAGACACUGCAAAUAUUCUCGUAUCAGGGUAUAAGAAACAUAAAAAAAAUAAGUCCAAGAAGCCACACUAUGGACCUAUUCCAAAUCAUCAGAAAAUGUCAUAAUCAAUUAAAGUGUUGAUAAAACCUCCAUAUAUAUUUUAAAAUUAACAAAACUCUCCAUGUUUGUAUUGAUCUUGGUAAUCACAAAAAAGGCAUUUGUGUUUUAGGUACUAUCUAUGUCAAAAGGAUUCUUCUUGUCCAAAAAGAAUAUUAGACAAACAAUGGAGAGUUGUGGACCUGAGCAGGUCCUUAAAAGGCUCAAGGAGAAAAUAUGUGAGAUAACCGCCCUGGGGUGGGAGUCCCUUCGCUGUCCUCCAUAUUCCCUCUCUGUCGGGAAGACAAAAAUAAAUAGAGAAUUUGGGGGCCUCUCAAUGGGGAAGGUAGACUUCACGUCAAAGCUUGCUCUGGCUACCGCCGAAUAGGGUGGUAUAGUAGCCACCCGCGUGUGGGGUGAGAGAGGGUGGGUGAAAUGCCCACUGCUGUGUCAGCAUGCCUUACGGCACGGUUCCCAACCAUUGGCUAACAUAGUACCCCUGGUAUAUGUGUGAUAUCAACAAGGCAACAGGCUAGAUAUCAGUAGAGUCCCACAAAAGCUAAGUAUAAGCAUGAAAUUGAUUUACAAGAUUAUUUUUUGAGACGUUUUAUAUUCCAUUUCGUUUUAACAGCUUGUGAUUAGGUAUGAAUUGCCUCUUAAGGGAAUAUUGAUUGUCUAUCUCAGAGAUUGUCUUAGCAAAAGACUCAAUCUUGUAAGAUAUUUUGAUUGAUUGGCAAUCAUCUUCAAAGGCAAGUUUCUUUCCAUAGUAGAAGCGUUCUAUUUUUUAGAACCAAGGUUUAAUUGUAUAGGCGACCAAAUGAAAAAGUCCCAUUUCAUAUUCUUCCCUAAAAUAUAUUUUGUUUUAUCUUUCAUAAUAUAAUUGUCAUUACUAUAUGCAUCUUCUUGUUUAUUUCUCAUAACGAAACGCAUAACCAAUACACUAUCGUCCUCAUGAACUACAUUGUCUACCACAUUAACAUGUCUUAUCUUAUUUUAUUUUAUUUUGUAAAUUGAGGUAUUGCAUUAAACAUCUUAACAAAUUUUAUUCUAUUUAGGAAACAAAAAGUAACCAUUUGGUUAAGAUAAUAAUGACAGCGACCUAUAACGAGUAUUGCUCAUUGAUUUUCUUUUCUAUUUUUUGUUAUUGAUUAAAUAUGCAAGUCUAGUCAAGUGUGCUGGAUCUCGACUUUCAAUAAAGGUGUGUUGGAUCUCGACUUUCAAUAAUGGUGUGCUAGAUCUCGACUUUCAAUAAAAGCUUCAUGUGCACUUGCUCAAAGAUUCAGAUUUAUGGAUUUUAUUGAUCACAUGUUGUUGGACGGUGUCAAUUACAAAGUUUGGAUUAUUUAAGGUUUGUGCCGAGAUGAUGUGGCAUUAACAUAUAUUCCCAAAUAUGAACCCAAGAUGCCAAAAACUCAGGAAGGUUCAGGAGUUUGUGAAAAGGAAAAAGUAGGUUGACCAAAAUUAUCUCGUUUAGGUCAUGAGAUGGAUUUAACGUAAUGUAUAACUCAAUUAGUUGUUGAUUGUGUAAACAAGAUCGUCAUAAUCAUCCAAUUUGCCCAAACAAGGAAAAACAAAUGUUCUCAUAUUUACCAUCAAUCGAUUUUUAAUUAUCUCGAUAAUCUAAUAUCCAUAUAGUAGAAUCUUCAGAAUUGUUACUAUAUUAAAUGUGCUAAUAUGCUUGUAACUCCAUUCAAACUAGGAUAUGGAGCCUAACCCAAUUCCCAUCUUUAGUAAAAUAUUCACGUCUAAUUUUCAAAGGCCAUUAAACGGUAGAAAAGAAGUGGCUCUGCGUAGAGGGAUUGUAUUCUGGUUUUCUAAUAAAUUAGGUAUCUUCUUCAAAUUAUAUGCCAAUGAGUAUAUCAUUAUCAUUAAAUGCUGUCGUAAUCUACUUUAUUUAUUUAUUCACUAAAAUUAGUUGGUGUAGAUUACGCACCUUCCGCAUAAUGCUACGGAAAUAAUAAUCCAAGGAGAGACGUUUUUGUGAUUGACUCGUGUAUAAUUUGCACCGGAAUCAUGGGAGUAUUGAAAUGCUGGUUAGUUUUCUUUCCUAUUUCUCUUAUUAACAGAACAGCAAAGUCAAGUCAACAAGCACGAGCUUAGGAUUCUUCCACGCACCUCCUGCAAACUGCUGUGGAAAUUACGCGUGCAUUUGAUUGACCUAUGGAAAUUGGUUUCGGUGAGAAUUGAUGGUUGUUCUUCAUUUCUAUUUCUUUAUUACUAGAAAAAGCAAGUCAAGUCAAAAAGCGUAGGAUGGUCCCCACGCCUGCUGCAAAAAGUAGUGGAAAUUACGCGGGCAAUAGUCGCCCUCCGGUUGUCUUUUCUAUUUCUCUUAUUGAUACAAAAGGCAAGGCAAGUCAAAUCAAGGUCUUGCUCGCUUCGCUUUGGAUAAAUAAAAUGUUUAGAAAUAAAAUAUCAUUAACAUUGGGAAUAUUUUUAAUUAAUUAAAUAUUUUAAUUAAUAUAAAUAAUCAUUUAAAAAUAUUUUUUAAAUAAUAUAAUGAAAUUAUUUUUUAUUAACUAAUUAUUUCAAAUGAUACAAGUAAACUUAAGAUUUAUUGUUUUAAGAGUUCACUUGUAUUUCUCUAAAAAAUUAAUCAAUAAAAAGAUUUUCAUUAUCAAUGAUAAUUUAUAUUUAUAUAUUUUCAUGAAUAAUUCAUUUAUUAAUUUUAGUAAGUAAUAUAAAGGAUUUUAAAAGAAUAUUUUUUGAAUUAUUUUUAUUUUAUGGAACAAAUGCACGCUAAAAGCUCCAAACAAAUGUUAAACUGAUGUGAUGAAGUAUUAACGUGCCCUAUCAAGGGCCCCAAACGUUAAAUCCUCGAAGUUGCCAUACCGCUUGUACCUAUCAAAGAAACUCAAAAAAAUCUACCCACACUGAUAUGAACAAGACAAACUGGUGGACUAGAGAGAGCCGUGUAAGAUGAACCAAAGAUAAGGAUGGAAUCUUGAACACCCAAUGAAACGAGAGAUAUAUAUAUCACAAGAUAAGGCUCAAAAUUCAUUUAUAAUAUGUUUUGUGGUGUGUUUAGGCUAUAGACCGGUCAUGUCUUUCAUUCUCAUUGGAUGCGCAGGAAUCCAAUAUCCUAAUAUAUAAUAUAGGUGCGUUUGAAAGGUUGUGGUCUCCAAAUAUGCAAACAUUUUUUUUUUCUAAUAAGGUGCUAAUUUGUCUUUACCUUAGUGUGAGUGGAAAUCCAUCACUAACCUCACCAGUAUUUUCCAUGAUCUAAUUUCAAAUAGUAGAAGAUUAAUGGGCAAGUUGAGCCUAGAAAUCCUUGCCCAAGAUCGAUUAUGAUUAAAGAAAAGGAAAAUAUUACCAACCCCGGAUCUAUAUGGAGAGAAUUUAUUAUACAAUUAAAAUAUUUGCACUCACAUUAAGGAUCCAAUUGCACUAUCACUUGAAUUAUUUUCCUAAAAUUAACUAUUUAUCAUUUAAAAUAAUUAAUUAAUAAAAAUAUUUUAAUUAUCAAUGAUAAUCUAUAUUUAUAUAUUUUGUAUUUUUUUUUCAAAGCGAGCAAGACUUUGACUUGACUUGUCGUGCCUUUUCUAUGAAUAAGAGAAAUAGAAAAGAAAACCAAAGGGCGAUCCGUAAUUUCCACUGCAUUUUGCAGAAGGUACUGGGGACCAUCCUCUGCUUCUGGACUUGACGUACUUUUUCUACUAAUAAAGGAAAUAGAAAUGAAAACGAACGAGCAAUUCUCCACCAUCUAAUUUCCACAAGGCAAUCAAAUGCACGCGUAAUUUUCACAGCAGUUUGCAGAAGGUGCGUGGAACCAUCCUGGGCUGGUGCUUCUUGACUUGACUCUGCAUUUUUCUGUUAAUAAGAAAGAUAGAAAAGAAAACUAACUAGCAUAGCAAUGCUCCCGUGCUCUCGGCAGUAAUCAAUAAAAAAAAAAAAUCACUUGUCGGAUUAUUAUUUCCAUGGUAUUAUGCAGUAGGUGCGUACUCUCUGCCAAUUAAUUUUAAUAAAUAAAUAAAAAGAGAUAGAUUUCGAUAGCAUUUAAUGAUGAUGAUAGGGUGCACUGAAAAGAAAAAUUAGAAUUUUUUUUCCUUUUUUCUUUUGUCAAUCUUUCUUUUAUCUAAAUAAAUACUAACUCAUUCAUAUAUAUUUUCAGAUGAUGAGGAAACCCUUCCGAUUUCCAUUAUUCAUAGGAAGUUUCGUUCAUUUCCUCUAGAUAUUUUGCCUCCCAAGCAAGUAAAAAUCCAAGAGCUCACAUUUCCAUCAAUUUUUGCCACACUUCUCGAUCCUCAAAAGAGUUUGAACCAAUGUUUAUCAUUUGCCUAGAUAACUUCUUGAUCCUCAAAAGAGUCUGGACCAAUAUUUAUCAUUUGUCUAGAUAACUUAUAUAACUAACAAACUUUUCUCCUCCUAGAUAUCUAGGAUUUCUAACUUUUUUUCUUUUCAUCGGGGAGGGAUUCACCCAUCGGCCACGCCCACCAAUUAUUAGAAGCAUCGUUAGGAAAAAAAAUAAAUGCACCCUACUAUGCGACAAAGUUACAUUCCAUAUUCUUCCUUAAAAUAUAUUUUGUUUUAUCUUUCACAAUAUAAUUAUUAUUAUUAUUAAUCCAUCGUUUGUUUUUUUUUCAUAACUAAACACAUAACCGGUACGAUGUCGUCCUCAUAAACUACAAUGUCCAUCAUAUCAUAAUGUCUUGUUAUGUUUUUCUGUUUUUUUAUUUUUGUUUGUAAAUUGAGGUAGUGUAUUAAACUUCAUUUAGUUAUGGUGAUAUAUUUUAAUAGUGUGAUUGGUCAAGGUCGUGAUAUCAUUGUAUAGUUAGUUCGUACUAUUCAAAUGCUAAUGAUAGAGACCUGUAACGAGCAGUGCUCGUUAAUUUUCUUUUAUAUAUUUUGUUAUUGAUGAAAAAUGCAAGUCCAAUCAAGUGAGCUGGAUCUCAAAUUUCCAUCCAAGCAUCACUUGCACUUGCUCGAAGCUUCAAGUCUAUGGAUUUCAUUGUUUGCAUGUUGUUGUAGGAUGUCAAUCGCAAAGUUUGGAUUAAUUAAGGUUUUUAAAGAGAUGGUUCGGCAUUAACGUGUAUUCCCAAAUAUGAACCCAAGAUUCCACGAACUUGGGUGGGGCCAACUACAAUGUCUUGUGAGUUUGUGAAAAGGAAAAAGAACAUUUGAUAAAAAUCAUCUUGUUUACGUCAUGAAAUGGAUUUAACAUAAUGUAGUAAAUCAAUUAGUUAUUAAUCGUGCUAACAAGAUCAUCAUAAUUGUCCAACUUGCCCACGCAAGGACAAACAAAUUUUCCCGUAUUUACUAUCACUUCAUUUUUAAUUGUCUCGAUAAUCAAAUAUCCAUAAAUUGUAGAUUCUUCACAAUUGUUACUAGAUUAAAUGUGCUAACAUGCUUGUAGCUCCAUCUGAACUCGAACAUAGAGUUUCACUGUGACAUCCAGAUUUUCGGGUUUUAAUUCGACUGGAUAAAUAGAGCCAUUUUCGUUCAGUUGAAGCCAGGGAUUGUGAAGUUGGAAUGCAAGUGGGUUAUAUUGGUAAGGAAAAAUACCAAUUGGAAUGAUGAGGUGUUGCAUAAAUUAAUGGGGGUCAAUUUGAUUUAAUUCAAGAGGAAUUAAGGCCCAGUUGGAAAGAAAACCUAGCAAAUUCGUAUGCCACACAUACCCCACAUUUUGGCCUAUCUAAAGGCUUCUAGAAGGGGUAGAAUUGACAAGAAAUUGUGAGUGGAAGGGUGACAUCACAUGAUGUCAUGGUGGGCCAAGUGUGUGAUGACCUAAGAGAGAGAGUGUGUGAGAGGAAGAGGGGAAAUUGAAAUUUUCUUCCUCCCCUCUCUCCUCCGUCGACGGAUCCAUCCCUAUCUUCUUCUUCCUUUUCUCCAAACCUCCAUGGGAGCGGAAGACCAGAGAAGCAGAAGCAGCUGCCGUCGUCGCCCACCGAAGCCGGAGCCGCCGCCGCUGCUCCGCGGUUGGCCGCACCUCACCGCACGCCCUCUCUUCCGCCUCUCUCUCCCUCCUCUUACUGGUGCGAACCAGAGGACAGCAGAAAGUAAAGCAGCGUCCAGCGUCGCCGGAAGGAACCGCGACCAGCUGCCUGGACGCCGCCGCACCGGAGCUGCCGCACCGCCGCCCGCGCGACGCCGCGCGCUCCGCCGCCUCACGAUCGCACCUGCCGUCCUCGCUGUGCGACCCAACCCCUGUUCCGCCUCUGUUCAGCUUCGUUUUGGCCAUCUACGGUCCACGGUUCGGCCACCUCCGGCCACCGUGCGCCGCCACUUCGACCCGUCGGAGUCCCCUCGCCCUCCACCGGCCUUGGCUAGCUCGAAUCAGCCCCGGAUCCGCCCCUUCCAGCAGCGAUCAGAGAAGUCAGAAAAUGGGUUUCCAGCACUGUUCAAGGUCGUUUUGGGUCGUUUCCCGGCCCCGAACUCGAGGCCCGCUUUGGGAACAAUCGUUCCUCGCGUCGCCGCCGUCGGAUUGAUCCGAUUUGCGCGCGAUUUGGUGAGUAAUCUCACUAAUCCUGGAUUAGUUGGCUAAUUAUGCUUUAGGUUGGUUUAGUUUUAAUUAAUUAUGUUUAGGUUGUUAGAUUAGAAGUAAUUAGCAAUUAUUAGUCAAUUGUGAUGCGAUUUAGAUAAAUUGAUUGUGCAAUUAACAAGUAGACGUGGUCUACUAUUUAUUGGGAGUGUCUCGGGAAUUUUCGAACCCCUAAUUGAGCUUCAAUUUGAUGAUUCGGGCCUAAGUGGGAUUUUUGGCAUUUAAAUAUUAAUUUUCGGAAUUAAAUUAAAUAAUUAUUUAUUUUUCGAAAAUUCAAGGGAGAUGGUCUGGAACCGGAAUAUUAUGCUGAUGAUUGUGGCGAAGUCCGUUUAUUUGAUCGGACUUUAUUUUUUUAAGCUAAAUUGAAUUUUUAAGAUUAAUCAAUUUUCGAAAUUAAUUAAAUAAUUAUUUAAUUCCUGAAAAUUCAACUGGGAUGGCCCGUGACCGGAAAAUUAUGCUGAUGACCGUGGUGAAGUCUGUUUACUUAAUUGGACCUUAUUUUGAGCUAAACAGAAUUUUUAAUAUUAAAUAAUUAAUUUUCGAAAUUAAUUAAUUAAUUAAUUAUUUUUCGGAAAUUAGGUUUGAGAUGGCCGAUGACCGGAAUUUCAUGCUGAUUGUCAUGGUGUGGUUCGUUUAUUUAUUUGAGGCUUAAUUUGUGAGAAAUUGAUUUAUUAGUGAUUUUAGGAUUUAUUCCUAAAUUGCACAAUUUUUGGUUAUUACUUGAAGAAUAACCGGGCAUCGGUUGAUAAUGCCAAUAUAUUGAAAAAGUUGCCGAGUGGGGCCGUGAUACCACUACAUAUAGCAUUGCCGAGUGGGGCCGUGAUGCCACUACAUGCCGAGUGGGGCCGUGAUGCCACUACAUAUAGCAUUGCCGAGUGGGGCCGUGAUGCCACUACAUAUAGCAUUGCCGAGUGGGGCCGUGAUGCCACUACAUAUAGCAUUGCCGAGUGGGGCCGUGAUGCCACUACAUAUGAUAUUGCCGAGUGGGGCCGUGAUGCCACUAAAUCUAAGAAAGUUGCUUGGUGGGGCCAUGAUUACCACCUAUAAUUAAGUUGUGUCCUAAGGACCGUGAUUCAUAAUUGGGAUUUGAAUUGGAAUAGUUGAAAUGACCGGAAGUGGUCUUGUUGAUAUGUAAUCGACUAGGUCGAUUGAUCAUUGCUUGAUCUGAUGUUGUGAAUGGGCAGAUUGAUUGGAAAUGACCAUGAGAUGGUAUGAUUGACUUGUAAUCGACUAGGUCGAUUGAUCGAUUAUUCGAUCUGAGUGUGACUUGAUGUGAUUCAUUGCCUUGGUUGGAUGUUGUGAAUUGAAUGAUUGAAUGGAGAUGAUCAUGAAUGGUCUUCCUGGCAUAUAAUCGACUAGGUCGAUUUGAUCGAUGCUUCGAUAAGUGAUCUGAUUGCUUGGGUGCCUAUUAUGAAUUGUACUAACUCGCAGGUGGGAUAUGAGGCCAAGGUACGUCUUCUGCCCUAUGCGUGUAUAGGCAGCCUAUAGUAUAAUAGUUUACUAAUUGGGCUUAGUGGGGUAGAACUCGCUGAGACGUAGUCUCAUCCCAGUUUGGGGAAAAACAUUUCAGGACCCCGUUGAGGAGCUGAGGAGGAAUCUGAGAAGGAGAACUCGGAAAUGAAACCUGAGUAGAAGAAUUUUUGAAAGAAGAAGAUAAUCUCGAGAGGGGCCUUGAGUACGGCCCGGAUGGCUGAGAGUUUAUCUUAUUUUGAGAUUUCCUUUUUGAUGUGAAUAGUUAUGAAGUUCUCUAGUUGAUGUCAUGUACAAAAGUUUGGUUAUAAAUUUCAAUAUGAAAAAUAUGGCCCUGCUUUUCUAUCCCAUCGUUUUAUUGUCUGGGGAUUUUAAUUGCUUCCGCAUGUGCUUAUAAAUUAAAAGGGUCGGCGAUACAUUGUCCUGGGAUAUCGCAUUAUAAAAUCAACAUGAGAAGAGAAGGAUGUGUGCGUGCCUGAGGAUCGGGGCGUGACAUUCACCCAAUUCUUCUCUUCGGUAAAAUUUCCACAUCUAAUACAAUCGGCAUUAAACAGUAGGAACGAAGUAGUUCUAUGCACAAAUUUGAUGGUCAUAUUACGAUUUUAUGAUAAAAUAGGUAUCUUCUUCAAAACUAUAUGCCAAUAUGCAUACCAUCAUCAUUAAACGCUACAACAAUCUACUUUUUUUUCUUUAUUAAAAUUAGUUGGCGGAGAAUACGCACCUUCCACGUGAUCCCGUGGAAAUAAUGAUGCAAUGAGUGAUGUCUUUGUGAUUGACUCAUGUAUAGGGGCAUUGGCGGCAUCGGAGCAUUCCUAUGCUGGUUAGUUUUCUUUUCUAUUUCUCUUAUUAGUUGGAAAAAAAAAAAAAAGCAAAGCAAAGUGAAGAAGCACGGUAUUGCAUGGUUCCACGCACCUUCUGCAUAACUGCUGUGGAAAUCACGCGUGCAUCGAUUGCCUUGUGGAAAUUAGAUGGUGGAGAAUAAUUGUUUGUUUACAUUUCUAUUUCCUUUAUUAGCAGAAAAAGCAAGUCAAGUCAAGAAGUAAGUAGAGGAUGGUUCCCGACGCCAUCUACAAAACGUAGUGGAAAUUACGCAGGCAAUGAUUUCCCUUUGGUUUUUUUUCCCGUUUAUCUUAUUGAUAGCAAAGGCAAGGAAGGUCAAGUAAAAUGUUGACAAAUAGCGGAGAUCACAGCGGUGGGCCAGCAUUCAUGAGCGUAUGGAGGGAAUUAUCCAUCGACCACGUCCGCUAAUUACCAAAGGCACCGUCAGAAAAAAAGAUAUACACUUUACGAUGUGAAAAAGGAAUUGCAUUUCAUUUUCUUUCCCAAAACUUUAAUUUAUUUUAUCAUUACUAUUUAACCUUUAUUUCGUGCAUAUACUUAUUUAUUUGUUACAUAAGGAUACAUGUGAUCGGCAAACUAUCUUCCCCGGGAACUACAAUGUCCACUAUAUUACCAUGUCUCAUUUUUCUUUUUCCAUUUGUACUUUGAGGUGGUACAUUAAAAAUGUUAACAAAAAAAAAAAUUCUACUCAGGAGUCAAAUCAAGUGUGAUGAAUUUUAAAUUUUGAUCAAAGCUUAACACACUUGGUAGAAGUUUCAAAGUCUAUGGAUUUUAUUGUUCUCAUGUUAUGGCAGAAUGCCGACCAAAAGGUUUAGAUUAUUUAAGAUUUGCAUAGAGAUUGAUCUAACAUAAGGCAACAACUCAAUUAGUUAUUUAUUAUGCAAUCCUUGUAAUUAUCUAACUUGCCCAAGCAACAACAAACAAAGCUGCCCAUAUAUACUAUCAAAUUGUUUUUUAAUUUUCUCGAUAAUCUAAUAUCCAUUGGGAUAUAGGGUCUCACCCGAUUCCAAUAUUUGAUAUAAUAUCUACAGUGAAUCUUCAAUUGAUCUUAAACAAUAAUGAAGUGACUCUACACACAUGAAUUUGAUAAUCGUCUUCUGAUUUUAUGAUAAAAUGGGUCUCCUCUUCAUAGCUCCACAUCAAGAUGCAUGUCAUAAUCGUCGGGCACUAACAUGCGCAAGCAAGGGAUCUUUGUGAUUUUAAGUCGGAUCGGACAGUGAUCCUACGCAUCCAUCCUACAUAGAGAAAGAGAGAGAGAGAGAGAGAGAGAGCAUUUCCGCAAUCUACACAAUCGGAAUUGAUUGUUGCUUUUCGGUGCUAUUUCUUUAUUCAUAAAAAAAAAAAGCUAGUCAAGUCAAAAAGCACACGUACCUUCGCAUGACGCCGGUGUGCAAUAAUUAUCAUGUCGCGACUGGGAUGGUUGGAUGGCAACUCAGCAUUAUAUGCUUUUUUGGACGAAUCUCCUUUGAAAAAAAAAAAAGAAGAGUAGAUUUUGGAUUAAAAAUAAUAAAUUGUCCUUAUUCGAAUAUCUAAACAAAGUGUCCUACUGACAUAUAUGUUAUUAUAUGUUUUUGUGUUUUUUUUUUGUCAAGUAUAUGUUUUUGUGAUUGACUCAUGUCUAUUAGUACUGGCAGCAUGGGAGUCUUGCUGGUUAUUUUUAUUUAUUUUUAUUUUAUUUUAUUAAUAGUUAAAAAAGUAAGUCAAGUCAAAAAGCACUCGCAUAGAAUGGCCCAUGCACCUCAAAGUUCCAGUACCUACCGCGUAAUGACGCAGGUACCAUCAAACAACAUUUUCUUUCAUUUUAAGUACUUAAAAUGGUCCGAAAAACAGGCAUGUGCUCACGGCUUAAUUUUCACAAAUAAAUUAAGUUCAGCAUUGGCCAAAAAAAAAAAAGAAAGCAAGUUGAGUGAAGGUUGAAAAUCGAGUUAUAACACAUAAGGUUUGACUUGAAAUUACCAAUGCAAUCAUUGCCAUUAGAGUACAAUGCUACGUAUAUUUUAGAUCUUAACAACUUAUUUGGUUUGAUUUCUAGCUUUUUCUUAACAACGAAGCAUAGAUCAAGUAUGUUAAUCCUCAUAUCAACAAAUUCUCCAUUUAUGCAAAAUAUUGAGCAAGAUAUAAUCUCCAAAUACAAAAGAAUUUAUGCUUACAAAUAUGAGGAACCAACACAUAUCGCGUGGUUAGUCUUCGUAUACUAAUUUUUACUUUAUAUUCCCUCACACCUCUCAUAGUUGAACUUUUGCUUAACAAAAAUUACUUAAAAGAUUCAAAAUAUUCAUAUAUCGUCACAUAGAUAAUUAUACAUUCAUGUUUGUAAUUUAACUUAAAGAAUGUACAUAUUUAAAAUAUUUUAAAUGUAAAAAUCAAAUAUAUUUUUAAGUGCAACCUAAAUUUUUAUCAAAGGGCCGCAUACCAAAAAUUUUCUUCUAUUUUGAAAGAGGUAAUGCGCCUCAUUAAUCAUUAGACAAAAAGGCCAAAACAUGGAGCCGCGUCCACCUCAGCCAGCGCUGUCGAGGCGUGUAGCAUAUUCCCAUCUCAUUUUUCAAAAGCCAAACGAAAUUGCUCCGAAAGUCCAACCCCUAAGUCGCGUCGGUCGGGGAGAAGGCGGGAACUUGCUCAGACCGCGCGCCACGGGAGCUCGAGGGGGCAAUUCGGUACAUUCGGAGUGGCCGAAGAUAUCCUCGAGGUGCGAGGUGGGGACCACGCGUGGGCUUCGGUUUCUGCGCAGCUGGACCGUCGUAGCGGCCAAGCAAAGUGGAGAGGAGGAGCGACGUGGGUCCGCUUUAAGAGACAACUUGGGCAGAAUCCACGAAGCAAAUGUCUACUCUGUUUUCGUGGAUAAAAGGUUCUGGGACAGUCGGACGGCAAUAACUCAGCAUCGUUUAAGCAAGCAGGGGAGAGUGUUGAGUGUAGUUAAUCCGAGGUCGAAGGGUGAGAACCGGCAGAGAUCACAGCAGUGGGUGGAGUGUGUUGUUUGAGCACUCCUAGGUAAUCGAUUCCUCCAUUUUCUUUUGAUGAGUUUCGAUUUGAGUUCUUGGAGACAUUUCUGCAUUCCGAGAUCUGGACUGUGAAAUCUAGCCCUUUUUUUAAAGGCUUUGCUCGAUAAAUCUCCUAUUUGGUCAAAUCACAAUUUAUUUUUGUUUGAAUGCAGCUACGAAUUGAGCUCUGACAAACAUUUCAGCAAUUCUCAUACGUGGGUUUCCAUAUUUCUCUUCACUAUUUCCUGGUUUCCUUUGAGGCUCUGCUCUAUCAAUCUCUUUCACCGUCUUUGUAGGUGAUGACGGCAGCGAAGCCUAAAAGAUUCGAUAUGUGGGGCGCCUUCCUUUCUGUUUGAAUUUAGCUACAAAAUGAACUCUGACAGACAUUUCAGCAAUUCCCGAAUCUGGGAUUCCGUAUUUCUCUUUGUUUGCUGCUUUUCUUCGAGGCUCUGCUCCAUCGAUCUCUCCAUUUCCUUUAUAGGUGAUUACAAAGGCGGAGCCUAAAAGAUUCGAUAUGUGGGGACAUUCAGAAGAUCCGAAUUGCGGGGCUUCCUCCUCAUCGACUUCUACACCUGUAGGUGAUUAUGAAGGCAGAACCAAAAAGAUGAAAAGAAAUGACUACGAAGUGUUCUUGAGCUUUAGAGGGAAGGAUACUCGCAACGGUUUCACCGAUUAUCUCUAUAAUAGUCUUGUCGAUGCAGGAAUUCAUGUGUUCAGAGACGACAAUGAGCUUUGCGUUGGUGAGGAGAUCGGACCAGAACUUCUCCGCAGUAUUACACAAUCUAAGAUCUCCAUCCCGAUUAUCUCAGAGAACUACGCUUCCAGCAAAUGGUGCCUUCGCGAGUUGGCUCUUAUGUUGAAUUGCAAGAGAAACAAAGGGCAAAUGGUGUUGCCCAUAUUUUACAAAGUGGAACCUUGGCAAGUGAAGCAUCUCACAGGGAGAUUUGGAGAUGCUAUCAAUACACAUAAAAAGAAUUUGGAAGAAAAGAUUGUGAAGGAAUGGGAAGAAGCACUCAAAGAAGUCACUUCCUUGAAAGGAUUGGAAUCGGAGAAAAUUGAUAAUGGGUAUAUUAUUCUCUACCACAACAUUGUUUACUUUCUCAGAACUAGAUUUUACUUGAAAAAUAAUACGAAUAUUUCCAUCAUAUAUUGAAAUUUUUAUUGUUGUUCGACAGGCGUGAAGGAACAUUGGUUAAAGUAGUUGUCAGAAAAGUUAUGAGUAAGUUAAAGGAAUUGUUUUUGCUAAAUGUUCCUAAACAGUUGGUGGGAAUUGAUGAUCAUGUGGAGGAUAUUAUGCACUUCAUAGAUGCUAAAUUUAACGAUACAAGUAUUAUCGGAAUCUAUGGAAUGGGCGGCAUCGGUAAGACAACUCUUGCGAAGGUAUUGUACAACAAGCUUUUGAGUCAUUAUGAGUCUCAUAGCUUUGUGGCAGAUAUCCGAGAAAAAAUUAAGCUAAAGGGUCUUGAAUGCAUGCAAAAGCAGCUCAUUUCUGAUAUAAGUGGAGGCUUAUGUGAAGUGUCUAGUGUCGAUCACGGAAUCAGUAUCCUUAAAUCUCGAUGUAGAAGUAAGAAAGUACUCAUUCUUCUUGAUGACGUGGAUGAUAAUACUCACCUGAAUGCUUUGGUCGAAGACGGUAGUUGGUUUAAAGCUGGAAGUAUGAUCAUCAUCACUACUAGAGACGAGAGUAUUCUUGACAAGGCUGGGGUAAGACCACAAGUAUCAACUCAAUGGGUUGCUUUCAGAGCAAUCAUGUUUAUUUAGCAGACAUGCAUUUCGAACGGAUUNNNNNNNNNNNNNNNNNNNNNNNNNNNNNNNNNNNNNNNNNNNNNNNNNNNNNNNNNNNNNNNNNNNNNNNNNNNNNNNNNNNNNNNNNNNNNNNNNNNNUUACAGGGUUAUCUCUCGUGAUAUCGUAUCUACUACUGGGGGGCUUCCUUUAGCUCUUGAAGUUAUUGGUUCAUUCUUAUGUGGAAAGAAAAAAGAAGCAUGGAAAGCUACAUCAAAAAAAUUAGAGAAAGUGCCUCAUAAGAAAGUGCAAGAGAAGUUGAUAAUAAGUUAUGACGCAUUAGAUUUUGAGGACCAGCAGAUUUUUUUGGAUAUUGCAUGUUUUUUUGUUGGAUCAUCUAAACAAAAUCCAACUUACAUGUGGGAUGCCUGUGGUUUUUUCCCGGGAAAGGGGAUUGAAGUAUUGAAUCUUAUGUCCCUAAUUAAAAUUACUGAUGAUGGCGAGCUAAUGAUGCAUGAUCAGCUGAGAGAUCUUGGAAGGGAAAUUGUUCGUCAAGAAAAUCUAAAGAAGCCUCAAAAGCGUAGCAGAUUGUGGGAAUAUGAGGAUGGCGUGGACGUGCUUCUCAGUAACAAGGUAAGAGUUUUUCUCUGCUUGUCUUAAUCAACGAAUGUGAGCCCAUCUUCUCUUUCUUGUUUAAAAUAAUAAUUAUAGUCAAUCAUGAGUCCCCAAAACUGGCUGCGUCUACUGGCAAGAGGGCUCUUUUAAUUAAUUGCUCUUCUUGUCAGACUUUAGGACAAAAUUGAAGAGCAAUUUCUUGGUUAUUAGUAACUAAUAUUUUUAACUAGUAAGAUUGUGAUGAGGAUACUCUCCUUUUGCUAGCUUCAAGAAAAAACAAAGCUACAAAUUAAUGUUCGAUAGAGCACUUUUAAAGAAAAUCGAAUAUCUAUAAAUUGUUGGGGCCAUGCUUUCCCACAUUUUUGUUUGGUGCACAGGUUGAUGUUUGGAUUCUUAUAUUGAUUUCUUUUAAGGUAUUUUCUUUCUUUUUUCUUUUAACAAGUACCGACUUCUUAAGAGUUUGCUACGAUGAAUGAGACCAUUCAUUAAUGAUGAUUAGCUACCCGAUUCUUGAAUUUUUCAAGUUGGGUAAAGUAUAGAUUUAGUCCCUCAAGUAAUACUAUUUGUAAGAUUUAAUCCCCUUUCUAUUUUUUUGCUCAAUAUCAUUCUCCAUCUUUCAUAGUUUGUGCGAUCAAGUCCUUUGUAGUCAACCGUUAAUGAACAUGGUCAAUUUGUUGAUGUGACUUUCAUAAACUAUAAAUAAGUAUGGUUAUAAUUAAUAUAAAUCCUAGUUAUAAUUAGAAAUCUAACAUUGAUAGAGUGACUUGGAAAAAAAGACAUGAAUUUUGGGAAUAACUAUUACUGCGAGUAAAUAUUGUAAUAGACUAUAAUAGCCAUUACGGUAAUGAAACGUGCUCUAGUAAUCUAAAUGCAUGUAAUAAUACAUUGCUACAUAAUGUCUAUGUAACUAAGGGUUAGUAUAUGUGUACAACUAAACGGUAUAUAUUAUGCAGUAAGAUCUUUAGUUCAAAGUAAGACGUUAGGAAAAAAAAGUAGAAAUUUUCCAAUAAACAGGAUUAAUAAGCAAUAAAUACUUUACUUAGAUUUUUAACACUCAAAAUACUUCAAGCUUUUGCUUCGUACUCUAAUCUUAAUAUCUCGAUCUUCUCUAUUAGUCUCAAACUUGACCAAUUUGCAAUAAUUAGAGGUGGUCAAGGACUUACACUGAUGAUCUAAAUUGCAAUACUAAAGACAUCUAGAAUCGACUUAUAGCAAACUCCAUCAAAUACAAAUAGAAUGCUCUAUCACUUUGAUCCAUAUCUCUCUAGCUCUUCCCAUUUAAUGUCUUCCGGUUGGUUUGAGGAAUGAACUGGACACAUGUCAAAUGGUUGGUGAAAUAAUUGGUGACUAAGCAAAAAUUCCCAUAACAAACUCAUGCAACUCACCAUCUCACAUUCUUCUUCUGAUUUGUGCAUUUUUUUUUUCUUUUUUCUCUCUUUUUAAAGCUCCUUCACAAAAGUUAGUCUAACCAUAUUGAGUUUAUCACAAUAUUCACAUUCUACUUAAUCCUUGAAAAUACGAGUUAUUACCUUACAGUAGACUUCUGCUACUAUUACAAUCUACAACACUUGAAAAAUAGAGAAUCUAAAUAUUCUUUUCUUGCAUUAUAAAGGAGAUAUUAUAUAAAGAAGUUAUCGCCAAAAAAAAGAGAGUAAAAGAGGUUGCAUAAAGAAGUAUGUGUUAUUAAGAAAUAAAAAUAAAGAAGUGGAAAGACAAAGGGAAGUAACUAAGGAAUACUAAUAGAUAGUAAAAUAAUGUAUCAAAGAGGACGCACUAUAGAUGUUCAUUCAAUUAGUAUAUUAUAAAUAAUUAGUAUAUUGUGCUAAUUAGUAUAUUAUAAAUAAUUUUCAACAUAAUAAGUGAUAAUGAGUUAUCAAGAUAACAUAAUCACUAUUUCAUCAAUUAUUUACCUUUUUUUUUUUUCAUAUUUUCUAUGUCAAUGAUAUAAUAAGUGAUCAAGAUAACAAAUAUUCAUGAUCUUGACAAUUUCAUGGAAGAAUAGUUAUUACGAUAUCUCUGUAUACAUAUACAUAUCUGAAAAUUAAUUCCCAAGUCACAAUUUCUAUGAAAAGUGUUUAAAAGAAUUUUGAGAGGUGAAAUUGUGGAUUUGUUUACAACAUUAUAAUAUAUAUUGGCAAUGAUAUAUUUUAACAAUACUUUUAUAAUUUUAUUUGAGAGCUAUGUAUUCUCAACAAAAUAUAUAUUAAUAAAGAUAUGUUCUCAAUACCAUAAUUAUAAAAUUUUUAAUGUUGAAGUAUUAUCUAAACUAAAAUUUUUAACAUGAUACUUGUUAAACUUGAAAGUUAAAUAUUUCAACCAUACAUACAUGACCUUUUUCUUUAUAUAGAGGAUGAGUGAUGAAGUGACUUUUCAGUUACAACAUUUUUAAAUAUUUAUAGAAGAAUGAUAAUUAGCAAUAUAACUAAACAAUUUCACAAAUGUAUGCUGGCAUAGAAGUGAUAUUAACAUAAUAUAAUUAUUCUUCAUGUCCAAUCUAUCUCUUAGCAAGAUCUCAUUAAUUUAUGGGCAAAAUUGAUCAUAAAAUCAGAUGAAUGUUAUUUCUUUGUAACAAAAUCAACAUGAAAUGAAAAGUUAGCAUCAAACAUAUAUAGUAAUAAAAAGAGAAGUGAAAAUCAUGCAUAUAACUUGUUGAAGAAACACAUAAUAAGAAAGGAAUGUAAAACAUGUGCGUACUUCUUGGGAUGGAAUUCUCAUUUUAAUUUUGCUAUCGAGAAUUGUAAACAAGGUACGAAAGAAAAAGAGGGGAAUUCUACAAUUGGGAUUCUUUAGUAUUGAUACAUGCUUUGACGGUAAAUUUGAUAUAUGCAUUUGAAGUUUUGAAUUGUAAGAGACAUGUUGUUUCACAUAUAAAGGAUAUGAGUUAGUUUGUUAUUUCCCAUAUAAAGGGCACGGAAUUUUGAAGUGAUGUUUGCAUGAAAAGAGGCUUUCUAUAUUAAUUUUGAAAGGAUGGGACUUUGGGGAAUUUAAAAGCGCUACAAAUUGUGAAGGGCAUAAUUGGAAGAGGAAAAGUUUGGGAAGACCCUCUAGAGGUUCACAUUUUUACACUGAUUACCACAACCUGUCAUGUCAUUAAGUCGAAAAAGAGAAGCUUGAAUCAUGAUAGUAUGACAACAAAUUUGAAAUCAAUACAUUUUUUCUCAUAUAUAGUUGCUUUCAACCCAUUAUUCAAAACAAUGAUUUACAAUUUUGCCUAAUUGCAGGGCACUAGUAAAAUUGAGGCCCUUCGUCUUGACGUAGAUAAUGGGAGAGAAAGUUACACGGCUGAAACAUUUAAAGAAUUGACCAAAUUGAGGAUACUUCAACUGGAAGGUGUGAAUCUCACUGGACAUUUUCAAUACUUGUUUCCUCAACUAAGAUUGCUUGAGUGGAUGGAUCAUCAACCGGAUUUUGAAUUGACCAACUUUCACCUGAAGAAAUUAGUCGUGCUCGAUUUGUCGUGGAGCAACAUUUCGGAGAACUGGGGAGGAUGGAGUCAACUAAAGGUAAAAUGUAGAGAAGGCAUAUCUCUUAUAAAUAAUCACGUGUUGUCAAUGGGCCCAAUUGCACCAAGUUAUCCUUUAUUUCUUCUAAAAAUAUAUAUUAUGGAUUUUCUUCUAAGCAUAAGAGGAAUUUAUAGGCACCUAAAUAUGUCAAAAGCUUCUACCCCUUAAUAUUUUAGCAAACUAGUCAUGCUUAACAUCAGACCUACUAAUAAAAAAAAUUUUAAUCGUAUUAAUUAACAUCUAUCAAAAAUAUAAUUACAAUAAUGUUCCCAUGUCAAUUUUAAUCUAAAUGGUUUAUGGCUUCUAGUUAAUUUCUCCCCAUGCAAAAGUAUGUCUUUUUAGCAAUUCUUGCUAUAUGUAUGUAUGUAUCUUCUUUCAUGGUGAUGCAAAGACCCUCACAGUGACUUGUGUUUUAUAUACAUACUAAAAUUCUAAAUCCAUUGUUACUUUUAAAGUAAUGGAAGUAAUUUGUGAACUACUUUGACUUGUUGCGCACAAUAAUUAUUCUUUAGUAUUGUUGAUUGUUGAAGUCACUGUACAACACAUUUAUAAAGUAGUAAUGUCAUAUGAGUAAUACAACACUUUUUUAUGUCUUGUACAUAUAGCAUUUAAAAAUUGUUUUUCAUAAUUAAAGUAGCCAUUUCUCUUUAAUUUCAUAUUAAUUGAAGGAAAACAUGGCACCAAAUGAAUGCAUCUCAUUUCUUCCACUUGACUUUGUCAUAUAUAAUUUGAUAAUAAAAUUUGUGUAUCUCUAUUCAAUAAAUAACAACAUAGUCAUAACUUUGAAAAGCUAAACAUGACAUUUUCUAAGAAAUUUUAUUUGCGAAAAAUUGUAGAUAGCACUCAUACAUCCCUAACAUUCUCUUCGCAAUGAUAUGCUUAAAAACAUUUAUAUGCUAGCUUCGUGAAUACACUAUUGAAAAGAAACAUUUAAAAUUAAAUAAAAUAGCUGUGUAAGAGUAGGGAGAAUGGGAUUUUUUUUUUGUCCAAUCUCAAAGUGGUAACCUCUUUCUUUCAGAUAGCAACCGAGCUCAAGGUUCUCAACCUUACGCGUUGUGCUUUGGGAACAACUCCCGACUUGUCCGCUUUCAAGAGUUUGGAGAUUUUGAUACUUAAAGCUUGUGGGAAUCUACAAGAGAUUCAUCCUUCUAUUGAGGACAUCGAGACCCUUGUCUCCUUGAAUGUCAGUGAAUGUUGGCAGCUGAAGGAGCUACCACUAGGAGUAGGUAGAAUGGAAAAUUUGAGCAAGCUUCUCAUAAAUAACACUAAUAUACGAGAGAUUCCUAUUUCAAGAGGUUGUUUGACAAAGUUGGAGACUCUACAUGCCUCAGCUUGUAGACGGCUUGCUCAACUUCCAGAAUCCUGGGGCUCCCUUAUGUCGUUAACUCAACUAGACCUAAAAAGAACAGAAAUUGAAAAAUUACCCGAAUCCAUUGGAUCAUUAAAGAAGCUCAAGACUUUAAAUAUCUCUAAUUGUGCAUCGUUAACCUGCUUACCCAACUCAAUAGGUGAUUUAGCAUCUCUAUGUUGCCUUGACCUAAGAGAUUGCCAAAAGCUUGCUCAACUUCCAGACUCCAUAGGCUCUCUCGUGUCUCUAUCGCAAUUGUUGUUGUCAAAAUGCCACUCGUUGAGACAAAUCUUAGGUUCGAUUGAAAAGUUGACAUCAUUGACUGAGCUGCAUUUGCAAUCUACGGCCAUUGAAAAAUUACCUGAAUCCAUUGGUUUUUGCAAGGAGCUCAAGACUCUAGAUGCCUCUUGUUGCAAAUCGUUAGCCUGCAUACCCAACUCAAUAGGCAAUUCAACAUUUCUAUCUUGCCUUGACCUAACAGGAUGUCAUAAACUUGCUCAACUUCCAGACUCUAUAGGCUCCCUCGUGUCUCUACAGCGGUUGUUAUUGUCGGGAUGCUACUCGUUGAGACAAAUCCCAGACUCGAUUGGAAAGUUGACAUCAUUGACAGAGGUGCAUUUGAAAUCUACGGCCAUUGAAGAAUUACCUGAAUUAAUUGGUUCUUUGAAGGAGCUCAAGACUCUAGAUGCCUCUCAUUGCAAAUCGUUAGCCUGCAUACCCAAUUCAAUAGGCAAUUCAACAUCUCUGUCUUGUCUUGACCUAACAGAAUGCCAUAAACUUGCUCAACUUCCAGACACUAUAGGCUCCCUCGUGUCUCUACAGCGGUUGUUAUUGUCGGGAUGCCACUCGUUGAGACAAAUCCCAGACUCGAUUGGAAAGUUGACAUCAUUGACAGAGGUGCAUUUGAAAUCUACGGCCAUUGAAGAAUUACCUGAAUUAAUUGGUUCUUUGAAGGAGCUCAAGACUCUAGAUGCCUCUCAUUGCAAAUCGUUAGCCUGCAUACCCAAUUCAAUAGGCAAUUCAACAUCUUUGUCUCGUCUUGACCUAACAGAAUGCCAUAAAUUUGCUCAACUUCCAGACACUAUAGGCUCCCUUGUGUCUCUACAGCGGUUGUUAUUGUCGAGAUGCCACUCGUUGAGACAAAUCCCAGACUCGAUUGGAAAGUUGACAUCAUUGACAAAGGUGCAUUUGAAAUCUACGGCCAUUGAAGAAUUACCUGAAUCCAUUGGUUUUUUGAAUGAGCUCAAGACUCUAGAUGCCUCUCAUUGCAAAUCGUUAGCCCGCAUACCCAAUUCAAUAGGCAAUUCAACAUCUCUGUCUCGCCUUGACCUAACAGGAUGCCAUAAACUUGCUCAACUUCCGGACUCUAUUGGCUCUCUCGUGUCUCUACAGCAGUUGUUAUUGUCAGGAUGCCACUCGUUAAGACAAAUCCUAGACUCAAUUGGAAGGUUGACAUCAUUGACUGAGCUGCAUUUGAAAUCUACAGCCAUUGAAGAAUUACCUGAAUCCAUUGGUUCUUUGAAGAAGCUCAAGACUCUAGAUGCCUCUGAUUGCAAAUCGUUAGCCUGCAUACCCAAUUCAGUAGGCAAUUCAACAUCUCUGUCUCGCCUUGACCUAACAGGAUGCCAUAAACUUGCUCAACUUCCAGACUCUAUUGGCUCCCUCGUGUCUCUACAAUAUUUGUCAUUGUCAGGAUGCCACUCAUUGAGACAAAUCCCAGAAUCGAUCAUAAAGUUGAUAUCAUUGACUGAGCUGCAUUUGAAAUCUACGGCCAUUGAAGAAUUAUCUGAAAGCGUUGGGAAUAUGCAAAACUUAAGGAUAUUGGACAUUAGUGGAACUCCCAUGAUAGAAUUGCUUGAUGACCCAGGAAUAUUGGCAGAACUCCAAGAGUUCAGAGCUUCGAGAUGGAAAAAUCCGGAAGGGGCACUUAGUAAUAACGGUCAAUUGGUUUCACCAAACAAUCUUGGUUUAGACAAGCUUCAAAAACUAUCAAAAUUGCGCUCUCGCGUACUAGCGCUCGGUAUCACCUACCAAAUCUCGCAAUCACUAAAUCUAUCCCAGCUAAACUUUCUUAAGAAACUCACUAUUUCUAAUUGGAUUGAAUGUCUCCCAAACCUUUCUAUAAAACGUUGUAGAAAAGCUAUGAAUCUUGAUUUUGUAUUUUCAAAAGUUCAACCUAUUAGUUGGGCAUUCUAUUUACUUUUUGUCUUGUGAUACAGUUCUCUUAAAGCGUCCCAAGACUCCAGCAGCCAACAACUCAGCCAUGGAUUAUCAAACAGCAGAUUCUAAACACGUUUUGAAGAGAUCAAGACCUUUUGGAAUCUUGGAUGAAGUACUUAUUUCAUCUUGCUUUUUCUUUAUCGUUCUUUAUUAAUUAUAGGAUGGUUUUAUCUAUAAAGAUAAGUAUCUUAUUGGGGGAUCGAUUAUCUGUUAUGUAUGGAACGCUUUUCUCAACAUUCAUAACUAAAUCUGUCAGGCUUGUUACAUUUACUUCUCGCUAUUUUAAGUCUUUUGUUCAUGGAAGUAGGAAUUUUCUUCUCCUUUUUGGACACAUCUACACAAACUAGCAGCAAUGGUAGGGAUGGCAAGUGGUAUCAUUAUUGCAUUAGGUCGUUAAAUUUUUUUAAGGAGCUUUAUUUGUUCCUUAUUUUAUUACUUAAAUGAUGCGAUAAUUGCAUUUGUAUGUGCAUGUUUAUUGGACGUCUUUCAAUGACAUCCUCUCUUUUGAGCUCUACAGGAUAGCGAGAGCAUGGCAGAUGAGAAUCCCAGAAUUGCCGAUGACUUGGCAGACAAAUCACGAAAUUGGAAACUGACAGAAAUCAACGAACCAUCGCAAUGCCGGUCCAUAAGGCUGCCUGAUAACUCUACGGCUACGAGGGUACAAAUGACUGCCAAAAUAGGAUCUUCUUAUGUAGCAUUUCUUUUCCGCAUCUCAUGUUUCUACUAGAUAAGCACAAAUUUCAAUAGGGGUUGCAUUUAAUGCACUUGCUUUAUUAGUUAUAUUCACAUGUGGUCCAAUUAAUCAUCUCUUAAACCUCAGCACUUGGAGGACUUUGUCAUCUCUUCAUUUGGCCUUUUAUUGUUAAUUGAUUGUUUCAACUACACAAAUGGGAAAGGAUCAGAUCAACAUUAAUAAAUCUGUGAUUAUGGUGUGGCAAUUGUGCUUAAGUCAAGAUUUUACUUUUGUUUUGGUAACUGCUUCAACUAAGUUUUGAUGUCGUGUGUAUCAUAUGCUCUGUCCAUAUAUACAUACAUAUAUGAGUUAAAGGUCAUUGAGUGUCUCUUUACAUGAAUUUCUGCAUAUAUCAUUUAGUGUCCAGUUAUUUGGCCUCUUUUUUUUUUUUUGGCAUUUUCUUUUAACUUUGGGUAUGACAUUAUACUGUCACCACUGAAACUGAUAAAACGAAGCAGGUCUCGAGAUUAAUCUAUACAAAAUCAGGUCGUGCUAUUCUGGCAUUAUCAUCUAAUGCUGUACACAAGCUCUGGAAAUGGGAAAUAAGUGGUUGGAACCCAACAGCCACGGUAAGGAGUCUUUUUUUUUUCCCUUUGAAAUUGGCAGGUUGUUUUUAUUGUUUAGCGCAUUAUUGACUACAUUGAUUCUUCUUUUCGCAGGCCACAUCUAGGGUAGUACCACAGUUAUGGCAACCUCCUAGUGGGAAUUUGAUGACCAAUGACACGAUUGGUAUAAAUCCUGAAGAUACAGUUUCGUGCUUUGCACUGUCAAAGAACGAUAGUUAUCUAUUUUCAGCAUCAGGGGGGGACAUCUCUUUGUUCUAUCUGAUGACUUUUAAGGUGAAUAUUUGGAGCACUAUCCACAAGGCACGAGAUGAUGAACUACUCCUUUGUGCUGGAUAUGCAUUCGCAAUUUCCUUUUCACAUUUUUAUGGGUCCUAAAAGUAACUGAUUCUAUUAUGUACAAAAGUACUGAUCUCUAUAGUUAGGAGGUCCAUGAAAGCAACUGCUCCGAUUUUCAUGUGGAUUAUUGGGUCAGAAGUGCAGCAUAUGUCUUUUUUUACUUGCCGAGUGAGACAAGGGCUUUACUCUAUCUUCAAUGGAAUCUUUUUGCUCUCACUAAUUAAAGAAAAAAAGACGAGCUUUUUUCACCCAUCCAAAGAUCUAAUGAUCGAACUUGCUAUCUCCCUUUCUUGGGAAGGGGAGAUGCCAUUGAGACAAGUGCCUCUUGGCACAUAUGUCCCACUGUUACUUAUAAAAUUGCUCAAUACUCUACCUGCUGGUAUCUAGGUGAUGAGAACGAUUAUGCCCCCACCACCAGACGGUGACAUUAUUGCAAUAGGAAUGGACGACUCCUCUAUUCAAAUUUACAGUGGUCAAGAGGAUGAGGUGAGACCUGAUUUCAUCGUCAUUGAAAGUUAACCUUAUUAUUAUUUGCAACAGAGUUAUGGAUAUUGACUGUUUCACUUUCUCAGGUGAAGACAAAACUAAAAGGACAUCGAAGAAUAAUCAAAGGCUUUUCCUUCCCAACUUCCUUAACUGUUCUCGUGUCUUCUAGCGCCGACUCUCAGGUAUCGGACUACUACUUUUUUACUUGUUAAGUGAGAAAAGGGCUUUUCUCUAUCUCCAAUGGAAUCAUUUUGCUUGUGGUGAUAAAAUAAAAGAAAGCACGAGCUUCUCUCAUCCAUCCAGAGAUCUAAUGGUCGAACUUGCUCUCUCUCCCCCUUUCCGAAGAAGGGAGAUGCCAUUGAGGCAAGUGCCUCUUGGCACAUAGGUCCCAUUUUCACUUAUAAAGUUGUUAAUACAAUGCUGCCUGCCGAUAUCCAGACAAUCACAACACUUGGGCCUCCACCAGCAGCAACAUUUCUGGCGUUCCAUCCUCAAGAUAAUAACAUCAUUGCAAUAGGAAUGGAGGACUCCUCUAUUCAAAUCUACAAUGCGCGAGUUGAUGAGGUGAGACCUGUUUUCAUUGUUGUUGAAAGUUACCUUGUUAUCUGCAAGAAAGUUAUGGAUAUUAACUGUUUCUCUUUCUCAGUUCAUGGCAACACUAAGAGGGCAUCAGAAAAGAAUUACGAGCCUUGCCUUCUCUCAUGUCUUGAAUGUUCUCGCGUCUUCUGGCGCUGACUCUCUGGUACCACACUACUGCUGCANNNNNNNNNNNNNNNNNNNNNNNNNNNNNNNNNNNNNNNNNNNNNNNNNNNNNNNNNNNNNNNNNNNNNNNNNNNNNNNNNNNNNNNNNNNNNNNNNNNNCAAUGUAGUUUAUAGUGCCCCCGGAAAAGGGUAGAUGUUCACUCUCUGGAUUUAUUGAUGCUUAUGUCCUCAGCAUAGGUGAUGAAAUGAAGGCAUCCUUUACUGGCAGAAUAAAUCCUUCCAAAAAACUUCAUCUUUUGUGUUGACAAAUUAUUCCCUCCCAUUAAGUACGAAAAAAGAAGUUAUGAUGAUGUCCUGUUGUUGCUUACAACCGACCAUCGAUGUGAUUCUGAUAUGAAAACACAAUGGACAAUUUUAUUCAUUCAUUUCUGCAUCAAUGCCAAUAUCCCUUUUGAUGAUUGACUACUAUCACUGCAGUUGUGUGUUUGGAGCACUGAUGGAUGGGAGAAGCAGGCUAGUAAGUUUCUGCAGAUGCCGAAUGGACGAGGAGUGGCUCCUUUUGCUGAUACUCGUGUUCAAUUUCACCUGGAUCAAGUACAUUUGCUGGUGGUUCAUCAAACACAGAUCGCCACAUGUGAAGUUCCUAAACUAGAACUCCUCAAGCAGGUAUUGAAGAUUUUUUUUUUUGUUGUGCACGAACCAAUCUGUCAUCUCAUCAUGAUUGCAUAAAAAUUAGAGAAUCGUUAGGUAGUAUGAGUUGCUUUGUGCCAAAUGUACUUUUUUUAUUUGUUGCUCAUCUCAACUAGUGGGAUACUCGAGAAGCUAGCGCUCCAAUUACAGAUGCUACAUAUUCAUGCAAUGGUGAAUCAAUAUACGUGAGCUUUGAAGAUGGAAGCAUCGGUGUUUUUACUGCUUCUACACUCAGAUUGAGAUGUCGUAUAAAUCCUGCCACUUAUAUCCCUCCAAACCCCAGGUAAGUUGGUUAUUUACAACUCAGUUAACCUCAUUCCUUUAAGAAAAUGGCAAGUCUCAUUCGCAAAGUUUCAAUAGUCUCGCAAGUAAUUCAUUCCUCAUAAUGCAUUUGGCAGCUUUAGAGUCUACCCACUAGUCAUUGCAGCACAUCCAUCCGAACCUAACCAGUUUGCACUAGGGCUUACUGACGGUAGCGUCUAUGUACUUGAGCCAUUGGAAUAUGAAGGAGAGUGGGGUACUUUUGGGCCUAGCACGACCUUUGGUGCAACCGGUUCAGAUCAACACCAAAGGUAAUACAGGCCAUGUCUCUCCCUGUGAAACUUUUGAGCAUUAAAAUGCUGAGCCGGCUUUCCUCCACCGCACUUGAUUCAAGUUUUGAGGGAGAUGCUGCAGAGGGUAGAUUAUACAGCCUCAGGGUACUUCUACGGGACAUGGUUCAAUACAAUGUCCUAAUGGACUUCUGCUCAAGUCUCGUGGUGAUAAUUUGUUUUGUUGUAUUCAUAUAGGCUGAAUGAAAGUGGAAAAAGAAAAACAUAAGAUUAGAGUGUUGCUUUGAAGGUGUUGUAUAUUCAAAGCAGAGGUAGAGAGCAUACCUCAUUUUCUACGCAAUCAGUAAGGAUUUGAUUAUACUAGUUAACCAAUUAAUACCAUUUCGAUAUCUAAACUUAAUUAAUUUAUUAACUAAGUGUCCACAUAGUUUUUGACUAUUUAAUUAACUUGUGCCAUUAAAUAAUGUCCAUGCAUGAGUACACGAUCAAUGAAAAGUAAACAAUCACAAUCACUAGAUAGAAGUAAAGUAUAAGAAAGUAGAUCCAUUGGAGUGUCAACCGUAGAAUACACAUGGCUUUGUAUUAAGCCUCGGGCAACAACCCACGCUAAAUUCAAAUUGUGUCCGAUUCAUUUUCUCAUAAACUACUCUACCUAAAUCUAAACUAAAUUAAAGUUCUUAUUAAAAUCCCCUUCAACCUAUAUGUAUACUAACUAAAAGAAACUAAGCUAUAUGUAGCAUUAAAACUUUGCGACCUAAUCAAGGUCUCUAUUUCUAACCAUUUUCCAAUUUUUCAUUUUUUCGAUUUUUUUAAAACUUAAUUCUUAUCAUUUUCUGAAAAUAGGGACUCGAGCCGGGUCCGGAUUUGAGCUGCACGCUGGUCUCACGAAUUUGGGGUAAUAAGCACAAUUCGGGCUUUUCUAUUCGGUCCCCUCCAAUUCUAACUCUACUGAGCCCAACCUAUUGCCAUGAUAACUGCUCCAGCUCAUCUUCUCUUCCAACUUCAGCAAGUGCAUCUUUAAGCCCGAUUUCUAUUAUAGAUAGAUUAAAGCCCACUCUAACCCAUCUUAUUAUUAUUUUGGAAAAAGACCACCAAAAAUCCCAAAUUUUAUCUAAAGUGAUAAAUUUACCUUAAACUUUUUUUUGAGACAUGAAAAACCCCUAAUUUUGCAACCUGUGACACAUUUACCCAUCAAUGACAUUUUCGUCUUAUUUUUUCUGUUUUUCUAUUUUUCUUUUUUUUCUCUCUUCUGGGCAAGCCGGCGAGGGCAGCCCUCGCCGAACGCCGGCAGAGGGAAGAAAGAAGAAGAAGAAAAAAAGAAAAAAACUUUAAAAAGUAAAAAGACCAAAAUGUCCAUGAUUUUGUGUUACGAACGCCGGCGUUCAGCCCUCGCCGAACGCCGUUCAGGGUAAAUGUGUCAUACGGAUAGAAGUUCAUGAUUUUUUGUGUUACGAAAAAAAGCUUGGGGUAAAUGUGUCACGGUUGGCAAACUUCGAAGUUUUUCAUGUCACCAAAAAAAGUUUGGAUAAAUUUAUCACUUUGAGUAAAGUUUGGGGUUUUUUGUGGUUUUUUCUCUAUUAUUUUUAAAUCAACUUUCCUCUUUUCUUACAUCUUUUUGUCAUUUAUUAUUAUUAUUAUUAGUUUCUUCUUCCUUCUUCCAACCCUUCGUCCUCUUCAAAGCAAAUCGAGAAUCUAACCAGCCAUUUCCUCACCGAUGAAGACCAUAAAGACGUCACAAAAACGUAUGUGAAAUUAUAUAACAAAAUAUACAAGAAAAAUUUAUGUUAUAACAACGAAAUUUAAUAAGAAUUGAAUCUGAAUGUUAAUGGACUUACUUGUAACAAGUAAUGUAUGCUAAAAAAUCUUCAAAUUGACUUAGAUCAGGAAUUAUUUCACUAAUGUAUUUUAGAGACAUUUCAUCAAACAAUCUAUGUGCACCAAAGGGAUUGAAUCUGGUCAUAAAUCGAAGUUUUGUUUUCGUCUUAAAUCAAUGCCAGAACCACAAAGCCAUAACAAAUCAUCAAAUUAUAGCCUAGAUCAUCGGUGAUUUUCACAUGAGUAACCUGAACGUGGUCUAGUCAUGCAUCUUUCCAAAACAGGGCAGGAAAGAGGGGAAUGAAAUCCAGGAGUUAUCGGUUGAGAACUAAGGGCUAAUGAACAAACUACGGGCUAGACAUGGUCUGGCUUCUGGGUAUUUAUGCGUCCGACUAAUGCAAGUUGGGCUUAAUAGAGGUGGAUGGGCCAUGGCCCAUGGGCUUGGCUUAGACGAAUUGGAUCGAGCCCAUCGCAUUGAAUGGAUAUCCUUUCCAAUUAGUUGAUGAAUUGAAUAAGUCCCUUCAGUCAUUAUUUUUUGCAUUCUUCAUUUUGGUUUUAUUUAUUCAUAUCUUAACCGCCUAGAUUGCCGAUUUUCCUUAAAUUGUUGAUUAAAAAUCAAGUAUCCACAGCAGGUCCAAGACCUUAAAAUUGGCUGAAGCAAUUUCCUAAAAGUUGUAAUCUUGAAGGUGCUACUAUUGAGAAAUGUUCGACAAGCCCUCUAGAAAACCUGCAAUGCCCAUUCUUCUUAGUCCAAGUAACUCCUAACAUUAAUUAUUUAUAGUCUUUUCAAAAUAAUUCAUAUAUUUUUAGAUAGUCUUAAUAUGAAUGAGUUAUUUAGCAAUUUCUAUAAGAGUAGAAUUGUUAAUUCAAAACAUUCAAGCAAAGAAUUAUAAAAGGAGAUUGCCAAUAGCAUUGGGAGGCAAUUUGGUAAAAGAAGUAUUUAUAAGAGUUAUAACAAGUCGGAAUUCAACAAAAUGUCAAUCUAAGUGCUUAAUCAUGAAAAAGAAGAAGCAAUACCAAUAUCAAAAACCAAAGAGCUGUUAGCAGAAUCAAAAUUUCCUUUUCAUCUCCUGUUGGUGUAUAAACUUGUUAUUUAGUUCCGAAAAGAAUAAAUAUAAAUGCAUGUAUAUUUUGUCACAUAGUUUAAGUAUUACUUUCAAGAAUGCUUUGAUUUGAUAGGUGGAACCAUAACAACUAAACUGGGAAAGGUCUUUCUCUUAUUUUCAUCGUUUGGCCGUGUGUAUAUUUACAAUGUUAAUAAGUACCUGAUAUUGAGAAGUGCUAUCGACAGUAGUUUUCCCUCAUCCUUACAAUGAAUGUCGAUACAGUGAAAAUUAUUAACCACAUUCAAGCCAUUCUCGUCUACUUGUCAAGCAUCUGCACACAAAGUGAAACCUGCUUAUUUCCGUCUUCGACUGGGCUUCUUACUCUUUCUGGCUGAGGUUGACUGCUCCAAAGGCACUGGUAAUAGGGUUCCUCCCUUGACGCCAUCUUCAUCAUUCAUCUUAUCGAGAGUUUUCUGGGCUCCAAUAUACACCUUAAGGUCUCUGAUCUGUGAAGGAUGACAAGGGACAUACUACUGUCAACCCACUAUGCGUGUGCAGAGUUUUCACUCUUAUCAUAUCAAAAUCCUACAAAUUAUUACAGUUUUAAGGCUAAAAGAAUAUACCUGUUCUUCUAAGUCAAGUAUUUGUUCAUCCUUCGACUUCAGUGACAGAGUUUUCCUGUAGAUGCACAGAAGCUUAUGUGUCCUUCAUUCAUGUCAAAUUAGAAGGGAAGAAUAAAUUCCUGACAGCUUUAACUGACUGGACUCAUCUACUGAAAAAGUUUCCAUACAAUCGAUAAUAAUGCUUAUUGAGGAAACUAGCCCACAUAACUUCAAUGAGGAUGGACAAGACCAGUAUACUUCAUAAGGCUGUAUGAAUCUCUUUACAAAGAAAAUGUCGUGGGCAUAUUACGGCACUUAAAAAGCAUCUACACCUACAUUGCUUGACAUGCGAAGCUCAAAUAAGCUUUAAGCCUGCCCAGUGUAUCUUCUUUUCCUUUUAUUUUCUAUUUUGUGGAAGUUGGAAAUGUCAACAUAACGCAGUAUAAACAACCAUUUGAAUUUCAAUUGGAAUUAGUAAAAUUUCAAUGUUGAACUGUAUCAAUUAAAAUUUGAGUCCCGAACCAUCACAGAAUAAUGUUCAAAUUUCUUUAGUGUGUAAAAAUGUACUUUGAAAUUGAACCACCACCAUGAAGAUUUCAACAUUGAUUUCUGUCGAUAAAGUUCAACCUCUAAAGCAGUAGCACUAGAACUUCAGAGGAAAACAAAAUUAGAGAUGGAGCAUAUAUAAACAAAGGAACAAAAUUAUGGAGAGCACUGACUAAUGGAACUUUCUCCAUACGUGGUGCAUACUCUCCUUUCCCCUUUUCCCCUUUUUUGUCUCUUUCUCUUAUUAUAGUUUGUUCGAUCUCGCCACUUUUUAAGAAGAACUUCAAUAAAAAAUACCAAAAGCUACUUCAUCUUCUAGCCACAUCCUCCAAUUAAUGAUUAACUUAAACUUAAUUAUCCUUCCCAAGUAUGGUGAAAGGAAAAUAUAUUGACUAUUUGAUAAAUUCUUACUUGGCAUAAAAUGACUUUUGUUCUUUUGCCAUUGAUUAUGUGUUACAAGUCACUUAUAGUCACUAUUCACAUAGUUGAAUUAGAACCUGUAUUUCCUCUUCCUUCUUCCAACUUUCACCUUUCUUACCUCACAUCUAAAAGUCCAUGCAAUGCGAACACUUCCUCUUAAUGAUACCAUUCUCACUUUUUUCUCAUCUUGUUGAAUGUCCAUUUCCACUUUCUCUCUCAUGACCAACCUCCCUUACAUGAACUAUGACUACAAUGCUGCUUCAUUUUACUAAUUAGGUUUUAUGAGACUAUGGAUGCUAUGGGAUUAUUAUCUAGAGAAAUCAGCAAGGAAAAAUAACUCUCUUCAAUUUCCUUAACCUUUCUCCGCAUCAUAUCUUGGUUCUUGAUGAGAGUUUGAUUAAGCUGCAACCACAAGAAGCGACAUCUGUUACUGUUAUGUCGAAGAUUGUAAUAUUUAAAAUGAGGCAUGUGAAAAAUGAGCAAAACAACAAUCAGCCAUGGCUUCAGGUAGCCCUCCUCUCAAGCUUUAAACAUCCAAAAUCGCACAAGGCAAAACAGAGAAGACUAAACCCUUACCUCUGCCACGGCCUUCUUUUCAUCACCAAGUUUCCCCAGCUUACUAUGGAUGUCUUCAAUCUUUGAAGUCACAGCUUUCUCAAUUGCUUCUAGUUUGAAAUUUUCUUUUCUACUUUUGGCUUCUAACAUGAGAGACUCAUAAUGCCAACAGAGAAAGACAAAAGAAUUAAUAGGGGAUGACACGUUCAAGGACUUAAAUUAUAUUCUUUAAAGUCAGUCUUAAGGAUGAUGGCAGUCUAUGUAACAAAAAAUGACAAACAUGGGUUAGAAAUGAAACACUAUCACCAACUGUAGCAUGGGCAGUUGAUAUAAAAACUAAUGGCUUUUGUAAUUCUACUUCCGAUACAGUAACAAGUUUUCAAUUCUGAUACUGUUCCUUCUAAGGCUCUCCAUCACAAGUCAAUAAAAAAAGAGUCCUGGCACCUUAGGGAAACUCGAUUCAUUUUCUCCCAGAGACAUAUUAAUGAGAAAAAAGAAAAGAAAAGAAGAAUAGUAGAAGUUUUGCAAUUCUCUGAAGCUGAUGCAAGCCCACUAAUUCUUUUAUACUUCCUAUAUAAGCUCAUCAGACACAUGCAGUAUGCAAAUUGACAGGUAUAAAAUGUUGUAUACCAUAUAAAAGCAAAUGAAGCUGAGAUUAUACAACAUCAGCGUAAUUACUUUCCUUCCCUUCACAACAAUUCUGACAAUCCCAUAAAGUUCCAAGAGUUAAAUAAAUUCACUUAAAAAACAAAACAAAAUGGAGAAACAUUUUUUAAUCUGAAAUAACUAAACAAAUGUUCUAUUAUGGUUUUCUCCUAAAAUAUGUGUACUUAAAAACCAUUACCUAAGAUCUCGUAGUUCCUACGGGGUGGAGACGAUGGGGAAAAACAUAAUUGAGGGAAGCCUUCACAAGUAAUGCUUAUAACCAUGGCCGAUCAGUCAAAAAAAUAAAAUGUAAAAGACUAUGUUAAGCAGGGAGAAUUGAAAUGGUCUCCGUAUAUGCAUGCUUACUUUUCUUUGCGCUUCCUGCUGAGUUGAAGCUAGAUGAAUAUAGUCAGCAUGAAUCUACAAAAAAGUAAAGCUACAGUGUCAGAGUAAACGAAGAAAAUCUGAUAGUUACAAUGGAGGUAAUAUACAUUUUGCAGGCCCAAUAAUGAACAUGUGACAUUUGGCCAACAAAAUGAACAUGUGAAACACAAAACCAGCAACAGGAUCUUUCAUUAUCAUCUGUCAGCACCUAAAACAGUAAAAGCAUCAUGCACUCAAAACUUCAAACAUCUCACUUAACUGAGUCCAAACUCCGAAUCUCUGCAGGGAAAAGAGAACCAGAAAACAAAAAUAUUCACAGCACACAAAUAAGAGGACACAUGAACUUACUGCUUCAAUUUUGCUGCUGAAGAGCGCCCCACUAAUUUCAGAAUCCUCACUACAGCCACAGCUACCACAAUCUCCUUCAAGUGAUUCACAGUAUGAAUUCAUCUCCAAAAGCUUGCCAUCAGCUUUUGAUUGAUUAAGCCGGUGAAUGUAAGUGUCCCCAACAUAAUCCCAAAUUUGCUGUGUUCUUAAAUCUAGAGAAUAGCAAUGUUGCGUAUUUUUCCAAUGGCUGAUUGCAUGCUUAUCUUUGUAUCUACAAAGCCAGAAAAGAAAAGCUAUAAUGAAGACAGCCUAUCCAAUCGCUAAAAAUAUAGAGUGAGCGAAAAUUCCAGCACAUCAUGACUGGAUCUAUCACCUUCCACAUCCAACAAAACCACAUAUCAGACAAACCCAAAGCUUUUCCAUUGUUCCACAAAUAAAGCAGGAUGGCACCUCAUCUCGCUGUUGGCAUAGUCGGCAAACCUGAUAAAGGACAGAAACAGAUCUUCUUCACAAUCAGUUAACAGAGGGGCAUUCCCGAUGAUGUUGCAAAAUGAAACUACAUUUCCGAUAAAGGAAAUUUCUUGCAAUCAAAACAAGAUAUAUGCCCUAAUUGACAUCUUUAGCAAUGUAAUUGGACCUUGCAAUAAAAUCAAAGUAAGAUCCUUGGGACAUCACCAGCAUGGGGGAACAUCAUGUUGACUUAUUUUAACCAUAAAGAUUGACGAAUCAAGCAAAAGUCAGUAUGCACAUGUCCAUUGAUAUAUCUCCUACAUGGCACUUUUUCACCUUUUGAUAUUACAUGAGUUCAAAGGUACUUUUUUGCUACAAAUUCACAUGGACAGAGCAUACUAGAACAUCACUUGAAAUGUAAAAUAUGACCAUGUAACAUCUUAGUUUCAAGACAGGAUAUGAUUGAGGUCAAAGAUCAGAACUUUGACAUCAGUAUGAUCACCCUGUACUUGUGAGCACACACAUAACUAAUGUUCAUUCAUAUACUUUUCACGCUAUUUCUAAUGAUGUCUCUAUACUUUUAAUUUGCCUAAUCAAGUCCUUCUACUUUAACAAACUUUCCAAUCAAGUCUUUCCGACACUAAAUACGACCAAAUUCAACUGAAGUGGCUGUUCGACGAUGACGACGUAUGAUGCCGAUAAAAUAUGCGGAUGCCCACAUGGACAUGCCUGGAAAAAUUUAGCCAAUGUAGACGACCUCGAAGUGCAACAUGGAUAAUAUAAUGGACAUCCACGUCACAAACAGAGACAUCUGACGGUCACACCAGCUGAAUUUGGCCUGAUUUGGUGUCAGAGACAUUUGAUUAGAAAAUCUGUAAAAGUAGGACUUUAUUUAACAAAUUAAAAGUACAAGGGACUUGAUUAGAAAAAAAGGUGAAAGUUCAGGAUAAAAACAAUACUGCCACAAUUGCUAUAGCUAAUAUUAAUUAUCAAAAAGCAACGACUAAUCCACAGUCAGCAGAUUAACAGAGAGAUAGUGGCAAUAGCUGAUAAAUUACAUUAUAAAUUCAUCUAAUCUGUAUCAGCAGAAGAAUGCCUAACCUGACAAGACAAGUAAGUCCAUUUUGUACCACACGAGCAAUGAAAGGAAUGGUCACAAUGUGUACUCAAAAUUCCGCUGGUAUCUGGGUCCAAUCUCUCUGACAUUAAAAAUAAAAGAAUUAGCAACUGUGAACAACUUUCUAUAAACUCAUCUCACUGCAAGGGAAAUAUAAUCAGCAAGGGGGCACUAGCAUGACUUACCGAGACAAACUGGACAAGAUGGUAGCUCCGUAAAGCCCGAUGGGGGCGUGCUAGCUACAUCAGCUGAUUCCAUAUAGUCCACUUCGUGCAGAAAUAGAAUAUGGCAUACCUCAGCCUGAAUGUCCAGAAGACGAGUAUUAAAAGUGAAACAGAAAUUUACUAUGUGAUCUCACGGCAAGCAACAGGUGCAAAAAUUGCAAAUACCUCAGCAGGGGAGAAAUUCUUGCCAUUGAAGGUGCAAUAGAAACCAUCAGCGGCCUUUUGAUCGGUAAGCUCGAUCAGCACGCUGUACCUAUCUUCCAUCCCACCAUUCCUACAUCAAACGCACAAUUCGCAACACAACGAUCACUAAAACUAUUAAAAAGCAUUUAAAAAAGAACCCAGAUCGGAAAACCCAGUUCCACCGUCGGAAUGCUUCCAAAAAAUUGAACUUUCAUCAUAGGAUACCCCCUAAGGCAUGAUCAUGAGCAAAUUUUCAGUAAUGAAGUCCAUCUCUUAGAUUUUCAUCAGCGAAUUCUAAUUCCUCGAAUUCUCUCUUUCGCUUACCCAAUUCAUCUCACCAACUGAAAAAACCGGUCCGAAGUCCCGAAGAAGAGGAGGGCAGAAAACAGAAACGAUGGAAGCCUUACCUGAUGAACCGGAGCUCGGAGACGUCGUCGAUCCGGGGGCCGCAGAACCGGAUGAAGUCGUCGGGAGAGAAGUAAUUAGGGACGGCGACGACGAAGAGGGUGGUGGAGCGGGCGCCGGGGCUCGAGAGGGGCGCGUGCUAGAGCGUCCGGAACAGGUGGACCAUGCGCCUCCGCUCGGUGAACCUAGGGCGGCGGCGGCGGCUAGGAGGAGGAGAAGCCGCCGUAGUCGGUGGCGAGGGGGUGGUCGGUGUCCACCGAGUGGACCCGGAGGAACAACAUCUUUUCCCCUUCGGGCUUGCUGCGAUCGCCGGGCUGAGUCGAAUCGCCCGAGUUGUAGAAGACUGCAGUUACUGCGGAGCAGAGAGAAGAAACUCGCGGGAACUGAGGAGGAUUCGGCGCGCCUUCUUCCUGGAAUUAUAAUGGUUGCUACUUUCCACCCAAAAAAAAAAACACUAAUUGGUGCGAUAUGAAUAAUAUAUUGUCUAAUACAACUAACUUAAUUUCAAUAAUUAUUUAAGAGAAAUUUAAAAAGAAUUGGGUAUUGCUUGUUGAGUUGAGAUUUACACAAUAGACAUUUUUUUUAUUCAUUUGGGUGUUCGAAAUAAUUGAAAAAAUUAAAUUUAAAAUUGAUAAUACAUAGAUUGUCAUUUGUCUUUAUUGUUAUGAAAUUACUUUUUGAUUGAGUAGAUCCAGAAUUAUGUGAAUUAUGGUGGGAAGCAUGUUAUGUGAUUGCUUAUGAACGAAAUAAUUUUGUGAUCAACUCAUUCUCGUUUAUUACUAAAUGAUGAUGCAUCCAAAUUAAAAUUGAUAAUGAAUUCUACUAACAUUGAAAAAACAAAGAAAUGAUAAAGGCCUUGACUGACCUAGUCAUGGAUUCUAUUUCUUUUGCUUCAUCUAACAAACAAAACAUGACGAAAAAAAGGUAGAAUACUCCUAGAUAUUCUAAAACUGAAAUGCAAGGGCAAUUGAGUGUCUAUUCGGCAUAAAAUUUGCUAUUACAGGUGAUUAUUACGCGGGCCUAGUUUGGGCCAACAUAAGGACUAAUGUGUUGCUCAAGCUCGCUCAUAAAAUGAAUCAUAUAUAAAAAUGUUGGGGCACGGCUCAAGUGAAGGUCGGGCAAGCUAGGAUUUUUUAACAUAAGGAUAUUUUAUAGUCUCGGGGUCAUGUCUCUUAUUGUGAUGUUGCAUAGGGUAGAUUUUAUAGUCUCGGGGUCUUCCUCCUGACAUACUUUGGCACAAUCUGUCUUAAAGUAGUACAAUUAGCAUUCUCAUUGACUUGUAGAUUUUACACCCUUGGGGUCUUCCUCUGGACAUAGUUUGGCACAGUAUGUUUUAAGUGGUACAAUUAGCAUCCUAAUUGACUUCUGCUCAAGUCUAGCCGCGAUAAUUUGUUUUAUUAUAUUCAUUUAGGCUGACUGAAAGUGAAAAAGAAGAACAUGAGAUUGCGUAGAAAGCUUUGCAUAUUCGAGUUGGAGACAAGUUUAUCUUAUUUUAGUUAGCAAGCUAAAGGAUCAUAGAACAAGGUUUAGUUUUCGCAGGUGGCUUCUUUUCUUGUUCCUUCUGCGUCAUGCUGAAAGUACUUUUCUUAUGUAUUUUAUUUAUUCUUUUUAAUUUGCUGAAGUAGCAUUUGUUAGCACUUAGCAGGUUCUCUUUUCUUGUUCUUUCGCCACCCAAAAAAAAAAAAAAAAAUUCAUCUUCUUCCUGUGUUCCUAUUACGAACGCCAUUUGAGUGCAACAGCACUCAGACCUUGGAUGAAUGUAAAUACUUCGCCAUGGUCUAUCUCGACAUUUUGCUUAUUGGACUGCAAUCUUUGGGAAUCAAGUUCCAUCUUUUUGAGGAUGAUAGUCUUUAACUGCAGUCGUUAAACUUUGCAUCGUCGGGGACACAAGUCGGUUGUUUCUCCAGCUUUUACAGUUAACAGAGUUGAUUUUUUCAUUUGCAAAUGGACACAGAGCAGGUAGAAGCAUGACAACGAGCCUCUUUUGAUCUCAUCUAUAUUCCUAUCACCCUUCCCUUACUACGCUAACACCCACCAAAGACUACUUUCUCUCAGCACAUGAGCCUCUAUUGUCAUCGCAAAGUGCUUGAACUUCAAACAAAUGCAGAAGUAAGAUGUGCAAUCUAAGAGUGUCUGAUUUGAUUCGUAUACAGCAGGUUCAACCCUCGGCAAGUUUGGAGGUUGCAUCUUAAAAGGCACAUUCUUCUAAACGGUUGAAUUUGCAGAAUCAAUAGCAAAGUGAACCUAGUGGGCACGUUUUCUCCAGACAUUUCCACAAAAUUUGGAAUUUGUUCCCCUCACAAAUAGGAACGAUACUGGGUUUUCCUCUUUACCAAAAAAAAAAAAAAACGAUACUGGGUUUUCCCCCUUAUGAGAAGAUGUUCUUGACCUGGGAGUUUGGAAGGGAGUAAGUGCCACUUAAAAGCUGUUGUAGUUUUGGAGAUGGUAUCAAACGACCUCUCAAAAAAGUAAUCUCUGUACGCCAGACAUUAAUUAUUUUGACCUUUUACAAAAUCGUUCAUAUAUUUUUAGACAGUCGUUGAAUAAGUUGGGAGGCAAGUUGGCAGAGCGAGCUUUUUUGUGAGGUGUAAUAAGUCAGAGUUUAACAUUAUAUGGAUCAAAGUCUUUAAUCACGAAUAAAGAAAUGGCAAUACCACAAUCACAAAACUGAGGGCAGUUGGUAUAAUCGAAAUUUCAUUUAAAACUACUGUUGGUAUAUAAACUUUUUUUUUUGUUCCAAAGACAAAAAUUAUAAAUAUAUUACCAUAGUAGAACAACAUAUAGAAGAACUGAAGUUGAGAGCUAGACUUUUUAAAUUUUGGGGAAAAAAGUUUCUACAAUAAGUUUUUAGGUACUGCUUUCAAGAAUGCUUUGGUUUGAUUGGCGGAACUGUAACAACUAAAAUGAGAAUGAUCUUUCUUUAAUUUUCAGCGUCCGGCCGAGUAUAUGCAUUUACAAUGUCAAUAAGUGCCUGACACCGAGACUCAAUUGAAGAGGAGGCUUGGGGAAAGUCAGGGAAUUGCACCAUCCACAACCCCUCUAAGUAGAGAGGUUCUGCAGAACGCUGGGCAGUGAAAUACCACCCCCGGGCCCCCAUUGCAUCCGCAAAUGCUGCUAACAGUAGUUUUCCUUCCUACUUACGACGAAUGUCAAUAAAAUGAAAAAACAAUUAACUACAUUCAUGCCAUUCUUGUUUACUUAUCAAGCAUAUGCACACGAAGUGACACCUGCUUAUUUCCGUCUUCGGCUGGGCUUCGUGCUCUUUCCUGUUGGAAAUGAUUACUCCAAACGCACGGGUAAUAGGGUCCUCCUUUGACGCCAUCUUUAUCAGUCAUCUUACCGAAUGUUUUCUGGUAUCCAUUAAACACCUUAAAUUCUUUGAUCCGUUAAAGAUGACAAGGAACAUAUUGCUGUCAACACACGUUACAUACACAUACACGCGGUUGGCAAUAUUAUGAAAACCAUAUGAAGGAAUAAAGUUUUGAGGUUCAGAAAAUGUACCCCUUUAUCCACAUUUAGUAUAUUUUCAUUCUUCGACUUUAGCGACAAAAUUAUCCUGCACAUGUGAAGUAACCGUAUGUGUGCUUCAUUCAUGUCAAAUCAGAUGGGAGGACUAAGUUCUCCAGACAGCUUUAAAUUGACUAAACUCGUCUAGAAGUUGCAUCAAAUACAAUCCAUAACUAUGCUUAUCUAGGAAGAUUAGCCCACAUGACUCGAAUGAAGAUGAACAAGAUGAGUAUACUUUAAAAUGCUGCAUAAUUAUUCUCUACGUUGUAUGCAUAUUAAGGAACUCAAAAGGAAUCUAAACCCACGUCGCAUAAUCUGUGAAGCUCGAAUAAGGGUUAUGUCGACCAAGAGCAUAUUCUUUUCCUUUUAUUUUCUAUGUUCUCGAAGUUGGAAAUUUCAACACUACGCAUCAUGAACAACCAAUGAACUGUUAUUGGAAGGGAAAAAGUCACGAAAAACCCUGAACUUUACCCAAAGUGACACAUUUACCCCAAAUUUUUUUUUUUGUGACGUGAAAAACCCUAAACUUUUCAAACCGUAACACAUUUACCCUAUCAAGAGUAUUUUUGUCUUUUUAUUCUAUUUUUUCCUUUUUUUUUUCUUUUUUUCUUCUUCUUCCCUCCACCGGCCAUGGUGGAGGGAAGCCAGCGUCGAGCGAGAGUCGCCCUCGCCGGCGUCAGGCGAGGGCCUCCCUCGCCCGAUUUGGCUUGUCGGCCCUCGCCGGCAUCUGGUGAGGAUGACCCUCGCCGCCCGAUGCCGGCAAGGGUAGGGACACCCUCGCCCGACCUCGCCGGCGUCGAGACCCCUCGCUAGACGCAAGCGAGGGCCGCUCGACGCUGGCAAGGGCAGGGACACCCUCGCUCGACCUCGCCAGCGUCGGGCGAGGGCGGCCCUCGCCAGACACAGGUGAGGGCACCCCUCGCUAGGCGCAGGGAGGGGCCGCCCUAGCCCGACGCCGGCGAGGGCCGCCCUCGCCGGACGCCGGAGGGAAGAGAGAAGAAAAAAGAAGAAAAAAAAAUUUAAAAAAAUUGAAAAGACUAAAAUGCCCUAUACUUUUGGGGUAAAUGUGUCACAUAACAAAAGUUUAGGGUUUUUGGUGUUACCAAAAAAAAAAUUAGGGUAAAUGUGUCACGGUUGGUAAAGUUCAUGAUUUUUUACGUCACAAAAAAAGUUUUGGGAAAAUGUGUCACUUUGAGCAAAGUUCAGGAUUUUUCGUGGCUUUUUCCCUUAUUGGAAUUAGUAAAUUUUUAAUGUUGCAAUUAAAUUUUAGUCCCAAACCAUCACAGAAUUAUUUGCAAAUUUUUCUAGUGUGCAAAAUUGUACUUUGAACUCGAACAAUGACCGUGGAGUUUUGAACAUUAACUUUCUGCCGAUAAAGUUAAACCUCUAAGGCAAUAGCACUAAAACAUCAAAAGGGAAACAAAAUCACAGAUGAAACAUACAUUAACAAAGGAACCAAAUAAGAGAGAGGUCGUCCCGUCUCGCCACUUCUUUGAAACUUCUUCAAAAAAAAUUCCCAAUAACUACCUACUUCAUCUUCUUGCCACGUACUCUAACCAAUAUUAACUCAAACUUGGUCAUUUCCCUCCAAAGUAUGGUGAAAAGCAGGCAUAUUAUCUAUUCGAUAAAUUCUCACACGACAUAAAAUGACUUUUCCUUGUGCCUUUAAUGAUGUGUCAUAAGUCAUUUAUAAUCACAAUUAAGAUAUUUGCAUUGGGGUGUUGUAGUUUCUCUAUCCUCUUCCAACUACUUUCACCCUUUUUACCUCAAUUUGUGACACCAUCUAAAAGUUCAAACUAUGUGAACUCUUCCUCUUCACAUUACCAUCCUCACUUUUUCCUCAUCUUCUCAAAUGUUAUUCCGACCUUCCCUAGUCACUGACCUCACUUAAAUGAAUUAUGACCAGCAUUGACUUGGGGGCCAUUAGGUCCAGCAUGAUAGAACUCAGGCCGACCCUAACCCGAAUCUCUCUUCAACUGAAAUUCACAUGCCACAUGGCACGCAUCCAUUAGUUAAAAUCCUCGCUGUCUACAAUAGAACAUAUGACGCCCAAUGGUCUAAUUAAUUUUCGUGAUGACUGUUUGGGAGCACAAAACUCUAGUUUAAAAAAAGAAAAAAACAAACAAACAAACAAACAAAGCUAUUCUACCACCGCCCAAUCAUUACAUGUUCCGACUCCUUCGCUGGUCGCGCCGUCGACCAUCAAUCUCAGGAGGAGCGCGUUUGUUCAUUUCAUCGAGAGCACCAUUAAAAAAAAAAAAAAAGAUGGAGCAAGGAAAAUUCAUCUCAAAAAAGCGAUUCCGUUCGAUUCAGUUGGCGAUUUCAAGCGUUCUGAAUUGAUCCCAGUGGCGGUCGCCCGCGUCAACAGCCUCUUCAAUGCCGCGACUCAUCUCCUUCGUUUCCCUUCCGCGGCCGAGAGCUUCGAAAUGUUAUCGUUCCGCUCGAAGCUUCUCCACCUGUUCAGGUUUCGAUCAUCGACACGUUCUAUAGCUUCUUUCAGUGAUUCGUGCGCCAAACCGCGGCCUCAGUCCACUUGAUUAACCGGGUAGCAUCUCCUGUUCUGUCGUCACAAGUAAGAGGCCGAGAGUCCGAUUCUCUUAUUAUGAUGAAAUUGAUCAUAGCUGACUUUUUUUUCUUUGACUUCGAACAUCAUGUACUGAUUUAGGUUGAGUCCAGUUACAAAUUUGGGUUCGAAAUGGCUUUGAUCUGUUCCACAACCGAUUCACCACAAUCUGUUCGAUGAAAUGUGUCGGAGACCUUGGUGUGAAUUGAUUCCAGUAAUCGUCCGAUUUGAAAGCACAUUAGUGAUGUUCCCUUGAUAUUGUUUGAUUUUUUAAUCUUUAGACAUGGUUACGAGUAUACACCAAUAGUUGCCAAGGAUGAAACUGACUCUCCGUUUGUUUCCUCGGUGGUUCCUGUGAUCUUUUGGUGAUUGGUGGUGGUUGGCGAGACGAGAAGGCUUGGAGUCACUGGCACACGCGUGAUCUUUGGUGAUGAUCAUAGUACACCCUGUUGAACAGAAUUCAGAUGACUUCACUGAGCAUGAAUCGCGAUCACGCCAAUUCAGAUCACUAACUUUGGCCGACACAUGUUUCGGUCACUAACUGGAGCAAUGUUAUGGCUACUUGCUAGCCUUAUCGUUGCUGCUGAGUUGCCUCACAAUUUCCUCAACCGCCGAGCUUUGCUUCUGUCCAUGCCUUGCAGUCGAUCGUUGCCAUUGUAAUUGCUGUGGUAAACCUACCUUGCCAUACCGCCAUGCGUUACCGAUAUGGAUUGACGUACCGAUAGAGCUAUAUCCACUGCGUUUUGUUAAAAAUCGGAUCGCCUCAUACCGCCGGCUUGUUUCUGGUCCAACUGAUUUUUAGAGUUGACUGUAUAUUCAGAUUUCCUUCACUCCUUUGUUUUUUAUGUUCAGGAUUUUGCGCAUCUUCUUAAACCGAAUCAUGGGAAAGCUAAGCGGUUCGAAGUCCAGUCGUCAUGGGGUCAAUACUUUGUCACAAAAUCAUCGCAGAUUACCUGCUUUGCCAUUCCUGUCUUGUCCUUUGGUUAUUGAUUACUCCACCUUCGUCAAUUUCAUUGACCAGAAGCAGGUGCUAAAUCUGAGAACACCCACUAAAAUGAUAUUUUAUGUCUGUCGUCUACUUCCUGCUUUAUUCUCUGUGGAUGACAUAUUCUACUUCACACGUGCUGUCGAGGGAGAUCAUGGUCAACAAUCAAUAUGAAGUGAGCAAGUUGUAUUUACUCUCUGUCAUUAGUUGAUAAGCUUUUGGGUAUGACAAUCAAGGAAUGAAACCAGUUAGUAGCUUGCUCAGAAUUAGUAAAUGAGGAUUUAUUUCUUUCUUGGAAGUGUCAAUGCCAUCGCUUUGUCUCUGAUCAUGGAAAGAGUUUAUUGUUCUUUUUGAACUUGCAUAAAAAUUGACGGAAUGCUUAUGAAGCAGUGAGAUACUCGAAAUUUACAAGUUAUAUGAAUUGGUGUGUCCUGUUGUUGCAUAUGCUGUAGUUUAGCGGUUAUUGUUCAUCUAUGUUUGCUGAACCGUUUGAUUUAUCACUUUCAAUUAACAAGAUUUUGAUAAAGACACGUGAUAAUUGUGAGAGAUGCAUUGAAACUGGCACUUUGGUGAUGACAGUGCUCCUUCGUGUCACACUAUGUACUUGUUUUUAGGAAAAAUCAUUUAUGAUGUUGGAGAAGUGAAUAUGUGUUGAAGGUGCCAACCCCUUGUGAUCUUGGACCCACUCGUUGAAGAAAUGGAGAGGUAUAAAUGUAAUUACCUUCCUUCUCUUUGCAACAAUUCUGCCAUUCCCAUAGAAGUUCCAAGAGUACAAUGAGGUCACUUAAAAAUAAGAAAACAGAAAAUGGAGGAACAUUUUGAAUCAGAAGUAACUAAACUAGUGUUCUAUUAUGGUUUUCUCCUAAAAUAUGUGGUGCUUAGAACCAUUGAAUACCUAAAGCAAAACACAAGUGAGAGCUCUCCGGAGUAAUGCUUACAACCGCGGCUGAUCAGUCAAAUAGCACAUUGGACAAUGUACAAGACUAUGUAAAGCAGGGAGAAUUAAGAUAGGUAUCCGCGUGCUUUAUUUUCUUUGCGCUUCCAGCUGAGUUGAAGCUAGAUGUAUAUAGGCGGCAUGCAUCUAUGAAAAAGUAUAUCUACAGUGUCAGAGUAAACGAGGUAAGUCUGAUAAUUAUAAUGGAGGUAAUAUAUUGCAGGCCCAGUAAUGGACAUGUGACGUUUGGCCAACAAAAUGAACAUAUGAAGCACAAAACCAGAAACAAAAUCUUUCAUUGUCACCUGUCAGCACCGGUAAAAGCAUCACGCACCUGCAAACUUCAAACAUCUCACUUAACUGAGUCCAAACUCCAAAUCUUUGCAUUGAAAAAAGAAUUGGAUAACAAAUAUGUCCACAGCAUACAAAUAAGAGGGCGCAUGAAGCUAUUGCUUCAAUUUUGCUGCUGAAGAGCACCCCACUAAUUUCGAAAUCCUCGCUACAACCGCAACUGCCACAAUUUCCUUCAAGUGAUUCACAGUAUGAAUUCAUCUCCCCAAGCUUUCCGUCAACUUUUGAUUCAUUAAGUCGACGAAUGUAAGUGUCCCCAAGGUAGUCCCAAAUUUGCUGCGUUCGUAAAUCUAGAGAAUAUUAUUAUUGUAUAUUUUUCCAAUGGCUGAUUGCGUGCUUAUCUUUGCAUCUACAAAUCCAAAAAGGAAAAGCUGUAACAAGACAGCCUACCAAAACACUAAAAUAUAGACCGAAGAUCAUCAUACACCUUCCACAUCUUCCAAAACCACAUAUCAGACAAACCCAAAGAUAGAGCAAAUUGAGAUAGAGCAGAACGAAAAUAUUCUUCAGAGUCAGUUCACAGAUGAGCAUCCCUGAUGAUGUUGCAAUAUGAAGCCACAUGCGAUAAUGUUUAAUUCUUGCAAUCUGAUCAGGUAUGUGCCAUACAUAAAUCUUUAGCAAUGUAAUUGAACCUUGCAAUAAAAUCAAAGGAAGACCCAUGGCACAUCACCAGCAUUGGAGAAUAUCAUAUUGACUUAUUGUAAACAUAAAGAUUGCCGAAUCAAGGAAAGGUUAGUAAGCAUAUGCCCAUUGAUGGAUGUCCCAUGUGACACUUUUUCAUCUUUUGAUAUAUACUCGAGUUCAAAGUUACUUCUUUGCUACAAAUUUACAUGGAUUGAGCAUUAUCACAAUUAGUGGAAUAUAGCUUGAAAUGUUAAAAAUGACCAAGCGCAAUCUUAUCUAACAGCUAGAAGUUUGAGAUCAAAGAUCAGCGCUUUGACAUCAUUAUGAUCACCUGUGUCAACAGUGAGUAUUUAAGUUCAACACAUAAACUCGAUAAUUUAUGAUUGGCCACUGCUAUUGUGAUCACCCUUGGACUCACACUAAAUUGGACACAACAGUGACAGGACCAUUAGAUCAAAUAACCGUAAUGAGACACUGCAAAUAUUCUCGUGUCAGAGUAUAAGAAACAUCAAAAAAUAAGUCCAAGAAGCCACACAAUGGACCUAUUCCAAAUCAUCAGAAAAUGUCAGAAUCAUUUAAAGUGUUAAUAAAACCUCCAUAUAUCUUUUAAAAUUAACAAAACUAUCCAUGUUUGUAUUGAUCUUGGUAAUUGCAAAAAAGGCAUUUGUGUUUUAGGUACUAUCCAUGUUGAAAGGAUUCUUCUUGUCAGAUAAUUCUUAUUAAACAAAGAAUGGAGAGUUUAUAUAUGUGUGAUAUUAGCAAGUGACCUGCAUUGAUGUCAGCAAGUCAAAGGCUGGAUAUCAACAAGGCAACAGGCCGGAUAUCAGCAGAGUCCCACAAAAGCUAAGUAUAAGCCAGAAAUUGAUUUACAAGAUUAUUCUUUGAGACAUUUUAUCUCAUUUUUAACAACUUGUGAUUUGGUAUGGAUUGCCUCUUAAGGAAAUAUUGAUUGUCUAUCUCAAAGAUUGUCUUAGCAAAAGACUCAAUCUUGUAAGAUAUUUUGAUUGAUUGGCAAUCAUCUUCAAAGGCAAGUUUCUUUCCAUAGCAGAAGCGUUUUAUUUUUUAGAACCAAGGUUUAAUUGUAUGGGCGACCAAAUGAAAAAGUCACAUUUCAUAUUCUUCCCUAAAAUAUUUUUGUUUUAUCUUUCAUAAUAUAAUCAUCAUUACCGUAUGCAUCUUCUUGUUUAUUUCUCAUAACGAAAUGCAUAACAGAUACACUAUCGUCCUUAUGAACUACAUUGUCCACCACAUUAACAUGUCUUAUCUUAUUUUAUUUUUAUUUUAUUUUUUUGUAAAUUGAGGUAUUGCUUAAACAUCUUAACAAAUUUUAUUCUAUUUAGGAAACAAAAAGUAACCAUUUGGUUAAGAUAAUAUAUUUAUGCCAGUGUAAUUGGUUAAGGUGGUGACAUUUUUGUAUAGUCGGUUCAUACUAUCUUAUCACUAAUGACAGCAACCUAUAACUGAGUAUUGCUCAUUAAUUUUCUUUUCUAUAUUUUGUUAUUAAUUAAAUAUGCAAGUCCAGUCAAGUGUGCUGGAUCUCCACUUUCAAUAAAAGCUUCAUGUGCACUUGAAGAUUCAGAUUUAUGGAUUUUAUUAAUCACAUGUUGUUGGACGACGUCAAUUACAAAGUUUGGAUUAUUUAAGGUUUGUGCCGAGAUGAUGUGACAUUAACAUAUAUACCCAAAUAUGAACCCAAGAUUCCAACAACUAGGGAAGGGCCAAGAGUUUGUAAAAAGGAAAAAAAAGGUUGACCAAAAUUAUCUCGUUUAGGUUGUGAGAUGGAUUUAACGUAAUGUAUAACUCAAUUAGUUGUUGAUUGUGUAAACAAGAUCAUCAUAAUCAUCCAAUUUGCCCAAAUAAGGACAAACAAAUCUUCUCAUAUUUACCAUCAAUCGAUUUUUAAUUAUCUUGAUAAUCUAAUAUACAUAUAGUAGAUUCUUCAAAAUUGUUACUAUAUUCAAACUGGGAUAUGGAGUCUAAUCCGAGUCCCAUCUUUAGUAAAAUUUUCACGUCUAAUUUUCAAAGGCCAUUAAACAGCAGAAAAGAAGUGCAGAAAAGAAGUGGCUCUGCCUAGAGGGUUUGUUUGUAUUCUGGUUUUCUAAUAAUUUAAGGAUCUUCUUCAAAAUUAUAUGCCAAUAAGUAUAUUAUUAUCAUUAAACGCUGUUGUAAUCUAAUUUAUUUAUUUAUUUACUAAAAUUAGUUGGUGGAGAAUACGCACCUUCCGCAUAAUGCUGUGGAAAUAAUAAUCCAAGGAGUGACAUUUUUGUGAUUGACUCGUGUAUAUUUUGCACCGGAAUCAUGGGAGUAUUGCUAUGCUGGUUAGUUUUCUUUUCUAUUUCUCUUAUUAACAGAGCAGCAAAGUCAAGUCAACAAGCACGAGCAUAGGAUUCUUCCACGCACCUCCUGCAAACUGCUGUGGAAAUUACGCGUGCAUUCGAUUGACCUGUGGAAAUUGGUUUUGGUGAGAAUCGAUGGUUGGUCUUCAUUUCUAUUUCUUUAUUUAUUAGUAGAUAAAGCAAGUCAAGUCAAAAGCAUAGGAUGGUCCCCACGCCUUUUGCAAAAUGUAGUGGAAAUUACGCAGGCAAUAAUUGCCCUACAAUUUUCUUUUCUAUUUCUAUUAUUGAUACAAAAGGCAAGGCAAGUCAAGUCAAGGUCUUCCUCGCUUUGGAUAAAUAAAAUGUUUAGAAAUAAAAUAUCAUUAACAUUAGAAAUAUUUGUUAUUAAUUAUUUUAAUUAAUAUAAAUAAUCAUUUUAAAAAUAUAUAUUUUAAAGGAUAUAAUGAAAUUAUUUUUUAUUAACUGAUUAUUUCAAAUGAUACAAGUAAACAUAAGAUUUAUCGUUUCAAGAAUUCACUCGUAUUUCUCUAAAAAAUUAAUCACUAAAAAAUAUUUUCAUUAUCAGUGAUAAUUUAUAUUUAAAUAUUUUCAUGAACAAUUCAUUUAUUAAUUUUAGUAAGUAAUAUAAAUGAUUAUUUUUUAAAAAAAUAUUUUUUGAAUUAUUUUUAUUUUAUGGAACAAACGCAGCUAAAAGCUCCAAACAAAUGUUAAACUGAUGUGAUGAAGUAUUAAGGUGCCCUAUCAAGGGCCCCAAAGGUUAAAUCCUCGAAGUUGCCAUACCGCUUGUAUCUAUCAAAGAAACUCAAAAAAAUCUACCCACGCUGAUAUGAACAAGACAAACUGGUGGCCUAGAGAGAGCCUUGUAAGAUGAACCAAAGAUAAGGAUGGAAUCUUGAACACCCAAUGAAACGAGAGAUACAAAUAUCACAAGAUAAGGCUCAAAAUUCAUUUAUAAUAUGUUUUGUGGUGUGUUUAGGGCAUAGACCGGUCAUAUUUUUCAUUCUCAUUGGAUGCGCAGGAAUCCAAUAUCCUAAUAUAUAAUAUAGGUGCGUUUCAAAGGUUAUGGUCUCCGAAUAUGCAAACACUUUUUUUUUCUAAUAAGGUGCUAAUUUGUCUUUACCUUAGUGUGAGUGGAAAUCCAUCACUGACCUCACCAAUAUUUUCCAUGAUCUAAUUUUAGAUACUAGAAGAUUAAUGGGCAAGUUGAGCCUAGAAAUCCUUGCCCAAGAUCGAUCAUGAUUAAAGAAUAGGAAAAUACUACCAACCCCGGGUCUAUAUGAAGAGAAUUUAUCUUUUGUUUUUUCAUUCAUCUUAAUGUGAGUGGAAAUCCAUCACUGACCUCACCAGUAUUUUCCAUGAUCUAAUUUCAAAUAGUAGAAGAUUAAUGGGCAAGUUGAGCCUAGAAAUCAUUGCCCAAGAUCGAUUAUGAUUAAAGAAUAGGAAAAUACUACCAACCCCGGGUCUAUAUGGAGAGAAUUUAUCUUUUGUUUUUUCAUUCAUCUUUUUUAGUUUUUGCCGCACUCUGAGUAUAAUAUUCCUUAAUCUUAUGCAAUUAAAAUAUUUGCACUCACAUUAAGGACCCAAUUGCACUAUCACUUGAAUUAUUUUCCUAAAAUUAACUAUUUAUAUCAUUUAAAAUAAAUAAUUAAUUAAAAUAUUUUAAUUAUCAAUGAUAAUAUAUUUAUAUAUUUUGUAUUUUUUUUCAAAGCGAGCAAGACUUUGACUUGACUUGUCGUGCCUUUUCUAUGAAUAAGAGAAAUAGAAAAGAAAACCAAAGGGCGAUCAUUGCCCAUGUAAUUUCCACUGCAUUUUGCAGAAGGUACCGGGGACCAUCCUCUGCUUCUGGACUUGACGUACGUUUCUACUAAUAAAGGAAAUAGAAAUGAUAACGAACGAGCAAUUCUCCACCAUCUAAUUUCCACAAGGCAAUCAAAUGCACGCGUAAUUUUCACAGCAGUUUGCAGAAGGUGCGUGGAACCAUCCUGUGCUGGUGCUUCUUGACUUGACACUGCAUUUUUCUGUUAAUAAGAAAGAGAGAAAAGAAAACUAACUAGCAUAGCAAUGUUCCCGUGCUCCCGGCGUUAAUUUAAACGAGCUAAUGAAAAAAAAAAUCACUUGUCGGAUUAUUAUUUCCGUGGUAUUAUGUGGAAGGUGCGUACUCUCUGCCAACUAAUUUUAAUAAAUCAAUAAAAAGAAAAUAGAUUGCGAUAGCAUUUGAUGAUGAUGAUAGGAUGCAUUGGAAAGGAAAAUUAGAAAUUUUUUCCUUUUUUCUUUCAUCAAUCUUUCUUUUAUCUAAAUAAAUUACUAACUCAUUCAUAUAUAUUUUCAGAUGAUGAGAAAACUCUUCCGAUUUCCAUUAUUCAUUCAAAUAAUGGAAGUUUCGUUCAUUUCCUCUAGAUAUUUUGCCUCCCAAGCAAGUAAAAAUCCAGGAGCUCACUAAUUCCAUCCAUUCUCGCUACACUUCUUGGUCCUCAAAAGAGUGAACCAAUAUUUAUCAUUUGUCUAGAUAACUUCUUGAUCCUCAAAAGAGUCUGGACCAAUAUUUUAUCAUUUGUCUAGACAACUUACAUAACUGACAAACUUUUCUCCUCCUAGAUAUCUAGGAUUUCAAUUUUUCUUUUCUUUUCCUCGGGGAGGGAUUCACCCAUCGGCCACGCCCACCAAUUAUUAGAAGCAUCGUUAGGAAAAAAAUAAAUGCACCCUACUAUGCGACAAAGUUACAUUCCAUAUUCUUCCUUAAAAUAUAUUUUGUUUUAUCUUUCACAAUAUAAUUAUUAUUAAUCCACCAUUUUUUUUUCAUAACUAAACACAUAACCCGUACGAUGUCGUCCUCAUAAACUACAAUGUCCAUCAUAUCAUAAUGUCUUGUUAUGUUUUUCUGUUUUUUUUUUUUUUUUUUCGUUUGUGAAUUAAGGUAGUGUAUUAAACAUCAUUUAGUUAUGGUGAUAUAUUUUAAUAGUGUGAUUGGUCAAGGUCGUGAUAUCAUUGUAUAGUUAGUUCGUAAUAUUCAAAUGCUAAUGAUAGAGACCUGUAUCGAGUAGUGCUCGUUAAUUUUCUUUUAUAUAUUUUGUUAUUGAUGGAAAAUGAAAAUCCAAUCAAGUGAGCUAGAUCUCAAAUUUCCAUAGAAGCAUCACUUGCACUUAGGGGUGAGCAGCGGUUUAGGGUCGACCCUGGACCGACCCUGGACCGGCCCAACCCUGCUGGUCCUGGUCCGGUUCCCAAGGGAAUUGGGUCGGUCCUUGGUCCUGAAAUUCCAGGACCAACACUGUGCGGGUUGGUCCUCGGUCCUGAGAGUUUUGGGUCGGUCCAACCCUGUAUAUUAUUAUAUUAUAUUAUUUAUAAUUCUUUUAUAUAUUCAAACCUAAGUAAAAUUUAUGUUAUAUUAUAUUAUAUUAUUUAGAAUUCUUUUACAUAUUCAAAUCUAAGUAAAAUGUCUGUUCAAAAGAAAAAAAAACCUAAGUAAAAUGAUGUUAAAGCUGUUGACUCCUCAAGCUCACAGUCACGAACAGACGGCAUCCAAUUCCAAAAGGCAUGAAGUUUACGCCGUAAAGGUCUUCACGGCCUCCUCCUCCACAGUCCAGAGUACAUUCCUCACCGUGAGGACCAAGGACUCCUCGCAGUCACGGACUCGCGACAUCCAAAAUGGCGCGAAGUUUACGCCGUAAAUCUCUUCACGGUUUCCUUCCCCAAAGUACGUUCUCUUCCAUUCUGUCUUCUUUGUUCUUCAAUUUGCCAAAAUCAAAAGUAGCAACAUACCGCUCACCGCAUUGUGGACCCUAUCUUGUCCCAUAUCUCGAUGAGCGUUAGCAGGUACGAAAUUUCUAUUAUUGUGUCAUCUUAAAUUUGCUGAAUAUGUAUUGGUAGUUAUAGUUUAGUUGCACAAUGCCACAUUGUGGAUGGAUGUGUAAUUUGAAUUUGUAGGUUUGCUUUUUUAGGGAGUAUAAAAAACAAGACGAAAAAAAUUAUCGAUCGGUCCCGGGUUGACCCUGGAACCGGACCGAACCCAUUGGGUCGGUCCGGUCCUUGGUCCUAGGCUCAAUAGGGUCGGUUCUCGGUCCUAAAAAUUGAGGACCGACACUGUACGGGUUGGUCUUAGGGUUAGGAGGUGGCCUGGACCAACCCGGACCAUGCUCACCCCUUGCACUUGCUUGAAGCUUCAAGUCUAUGGAUUUCAUUGUUUGCAAUUUUUUGUAGGAUGUCAAUCACAAAGUUUGGAUUAAUUAAGGUUUUUAAAAAGAUGGUUCGGCAUUAACAUGUAUUCCCAAAUAUGAACCCAAGAUUCCAUGAACUUGGGUGGGGCCAACUACAAUGUCUUGCGAGUUUGUGAAAAGGAAAAAUAACAUUUGAUCAAAAUCAUCUUAUUUACGUCAUGAAAUGGAUUUAACAUAAUGUAGUAAAUCAAUUAGUUAUUAAUCAUGCUAACAAGAUCGUCAUAAUUGUCCAACUUGCCCAAGCAAGGACUAACAAAUUUUCUCAUAUUUACUAUCACUUUAUUUUGAAUUGUCUCAAUAAUCAAAUAUCCAUAAAUUGUAGAUUCUUCACAAUUGUUACUAGAUUGAAUGUGCUAACAUGCUUGUAGCUCCAUCCGAACUCGAACAUAGAGUUUCACCCGAUUCCUCUCUUCGGUAAAAUUUCCACAUCUAAUGCAAUCGGCAUUAAACAGUAGGAAUGAAGUAGUUCUAUGCACAAAUUUGGUCGUCGUAUUACAAUUUUAUGAUAAAAUAGGUAUCUUCUUCAAAACUAUAUGCCAAUAUGCAUACCAUCAUCAUUAAACGCUACAACAAUCUACUUUUUUUUUCUUUAUUAAAAUUAGUUGGCAGAGAAUACGCACCUUCCACGUGAUGCCGUGGAAAUAAUGAUGCAAUGAGUGAUGUUUUUGUGAUUGACUCAUGUAUAGUGGCACCGGCGGCAUGGGAGCAUUCCUAUGCUAGUUAGUUUUCUUUUCUAUUUCUCUUAUUAGUUGGAAAAAAAGCAAAGCCAAGUGAAGAAGCACCAGUAUUGCAUGGUUCCACGCACCUUCUGCAUAACUGCUGUGGAAAUCACGCGUGCAUCGAUUGCCUUGUGGAAAUUAGAUGGUGGAGAAUAAUUGUUUGUUUACAUUUCUAUUUCCUUUAUUAGCAGAAAAAGCAAGUCAAGUCAAGGAGUAGAGGAUGGUUCCCGACGCCAUCUACAAAACGUAGUGGAAAUUACGCAGGCAAUGAUUUCCCUUUGGUUUUUUUUUUCCCGUUUAUCUUAUUGAUAGCAAAGGCAAGGAAGGUCAAGUAAAAUGCUGACAAAUAGCGGAGAUCACAGCUGUGGGCCAGCAUUCAUAAGCGUAUGGAGGGAAUUAUCCAUCGACCACGUCCGCUAAUUACCGAAGGCACCGUCAGAAAAAAAGAUAUACACUUUACGAUGUGAAAAAGGAAUUGCAUUUCAUUUUCUUUCCCAAAACUUUAAUUUAUUUUAUCAUUACUAUUUAACCUUUAUUUCGUGCAUAUACUUAUUUAUUUGUUACAUAAGGAUACAUGUGAUCGGCAAACUAUCUUCCUCAGGAACUACAAUGUCCACUAUAUUACCAUGUCUCAUUUUUCUUUUUCCAUUUGUACUUUGAGGUAGUACAUUAAAAAUGUUAACAAAAAAAAAUUCUACUCAGGAGUCAAAUCAAGUGUGAUAAAUUUUAAAUUUUGAUCAAAGCUUCACACACUUGGUAGAAGUUUCAAAGUCUAUGGAUUUUAUUGUUCUCAUGUUAUGGCAAAAUGCCGACUAGAAGGUUUAGAUUAUUUAAGAUUUGCAUAGAGAUUGAUCUAACAUAAGGUGACAACUCAAUUAGUUAUUUAUUAUGCAAUCCUUGUAAUUGUCUAACUUGCCCAAGCAACAACAAACAAACCUGCCCAUAUAUACUAUUAAAUUGUUUUUUAAUUUUCUCGAUAACCUAAUAUCCAUUGGGAUAUAGGGUCUCAUCUGAUUUCAAUAUUUGAUAUAAUAUCUACAUCGAAUCUUUAAUUGACCUUAAACAAUAAUGAAGUGACUCUACACACAUAAAUUUGAUAAUCGUCUUUUGAUUUUAUGAUAAAAUGGGUCUCCUCUUCAUAGCUACACAUCAAGAUGCAUGUCAUAAUCGUCAGGCACUAACAUGCGCAAGCAAGGGAUCUUUGUGAUUUUAAGUCCGAUCGGACAGACGCAUCCAUCCUACAUAGAGAAAGAGAGCGAGAGAGAGAGCAUUUCCGCAAUCUACGCAAUCGAAUUGAUUGUUGCUUUUCGGUGCUAUUUCUUUAUUCAUAAAAAAGAAAAAAAAAAGUCAAGUCAAAAAGCACACAUACCUUCGCAUGACGUCGGUGUGCAAUAAUUAUCAUGUCUGCAACACGCGACUUGGAUGGUUGGAUGGCAACUCAGCAUUUUUGGACGAAUCUCCUUUGGAGAAAAAAAAAGAAGAGUAGAUUUUGGAUUAAAAAUAAUAAAUUAUCCUUAUUCGAAUAUCUAAACAAAGUGUCCUGCUGACAUUUAUCUUAUUAUAUGUUUUUGUGAUUGACUCAUGUCUAUUAGUACUAGUACUGACAGUAUAGGAGUCUUGCUGGUUAGUUUAUUUAUUUAUUUAUUAAUAGUUAAAAAAGUAAGUCAAGUCAAAAAGCACUCGCAUAGAUGGCCCACGCACCUCAAAGUUCCAGUACCUACCGCGUAAUGACGCAGGUACCAUCAAACAACAUUUUCUUUAAUUUUAAGUACUUAAAAUGGUCCGAAAAACGGGCAUGUGCUCGCGGCUUAAUUUUCACAAAUAAAUUAAGUUCAGCAUUGGCCAAAAAUAAAAUAAAAAUAAAAGCAAGUUGAGUGAAGUUGAAAAUCGAGUUAUAACACAUAGGUUCGACUUGAAAUUACCAAUGCAAUCAUUUAUUUUAAGCCAUUAGAGUACAAUGCUAAAUAUAUUUUAAAUCUUAACAACUUAUUUGGUUUGAUUUCUAGCUUUUUCUUAACAACGAAGCAUAGAUCAAGUACGUUAAUCCCUAUAUCAACAAAUUCUCCAUUAAUGCAAAAUAUUGGGCAAGACAUAAGUCUCCAAAUACAAAAGAGUUUAUGCUUACAAAUAUGAUAAACCAACACAUAUCGCGUGGUUAGUCUUCGUAUACUAAUUUUUACUUUAUAUUCCCUCACACCUCUCAUAGUUGAACUUUUGCUUGACAAAAAUUACUUAGAAGAUUCAAAAUAUUCAUAUAUCGUCACAUAGAUAAUUAUACAUUUAUGUUUGUAAUUUAACUUAAAGAAUGUACAUAUUUAAAAUAUUUUAAAUGUAAAACAUCAAAUAUAUUUUUAAGUGCAACCUAAAUUUUUAUCAAAGGGCCGCAUACCAAAAAUUUUCUUCUAUUUUGAAAGAGGUAAUGCGCCUCAUUAGUCAUUAGAGAAAAAGGCCAAAACCUAGGUAGCACGGACACGUUGUCCGUGCUUCCGUGUCGUGUCCGACACGUGUUGGAGCGUGUCGGACACGUCGACACGCUCGGACACGGUCGGACACGCGGUCAACGCGUGUCGAAAAUCCGACACGCGGUCAACGCGUGCCCGACACGUUUCGACACGCGUGUCCGGAAGAUGACGGAGGGUGGAAGCGACGGCGAGGGAGUAGAGAGGAGGCCGCCACGGCGAUGCUGCGACGGAUCCGACGAGGUUGCAGCUGCGAGGGAGAAAGGGCCAAAGGCGAGAGGAAGAGGAGAGGAAGGCGGUCGUGCGGCGAGCGGUGAGAGGCGACGAGCGGCGAGCGGCGAGUGCGAGCGGCGAGGAAAGGGGUUUGUGUGGCGUGCGGCGAGCGGCGAGGAAUGAGAAGAGGUGCAAAGCUAGGGUUUUGAUGGGCCAUCGCGUAUUGGGGAAGGGAAGAGACGGACGGGUUUUUGAUGGCCACUGCGUAUUGGGGGAGGGGAAGAGACAGGGACAGCCUGUCUGUCCUGUCUGUCAGUGAAGGGGAGGGAAAGAAAAAUAUAUUUGGGGGUGGGGGGAANNNNNNNNNNNNNNNNNNNNNNNNNNNNNNNNNNNNNNNNNNNNNNNNNNNNNNNNNNNNNNNNNNNNNNNNNNNNNNNNNNNNNNNNNNNNNNNNNNNNAAAGAACUAGAAGAGGGUGGAGUGGACUUUAGUGAAAAUCUUUUUUAAUGGAAAAAUAAAUAAAUGGGAUUAAAAUAUAAUUUUGAAAAAUAAAAAUACUGAAUUUAAAUUAAAUUAAUUAAAAAUAAAAAUAUUCAUUUAAUAUAUAACGUGUCGGAACGUGUCGGAAUUCUCUACUUUUUGAAAAAUAACGUGUCGUGUGUCGUGUCGUGUCGUGUCGCAGUGUCCGUGCUACCUAGGCCAAAACAUGGAGCCGCGGCCACCUCAGCCAGCGUUGUCGAGGAGUGUAGCAUAUUCCCGUCUCCUUUUUCAAAAGCCAAAAGAAAUUGCUCCGAAAGUCCAACCCCUAAGUCGCGUCGGUCGGGGAGAAGGCGGGAACUCGCUCGGACCGCGCGCCACGGGAGCUCGAGGGGGCAAUUCGGUACAUUCGGAGGGGCCGAAGAUAUCCUCGAGGUGCGAGGUGGGGACCACGCGUGGGCUUCGGUUUCUGAGCAGCUGACCGUCGUAGCGGCCAAGCAAAGUGGAGAGGAGGAGCGACGCGGGUCCGCUUUAAGAGACAACUUAAGCAGAAUUCACGAGGCAAAUUUCUACUCUGUUUUCGAGGAUUAAAGGUUCUGGGACAGUUGGACGGCAAUUACUCAGCAUCGUUUAAGCAAGCGCGGGAGAGAGAGUGCUGAGAGUAGUUAAUCCGAGGUCGAAGGGUGAGAACGGGCAGAGAUCACAGCAUUGAGUGGAUUGUGUUGUUUGAGCACUUCUCAGGUAAUCGAUCGCUUCAUUUUCUUUUGAUGAGUUUCGAUUUGACUUCUUAGAGACAUUUCUGCAUUUCUGCAUUCCGAGACCUGGACCGUGAAAUCUAGCCCUUUUUUCAAGGCUUUGCUCGAUCGAUCUCCCAUUUGGUCAAUCAGACUUCGUUUUUAUUUGAAUGUAGCUACGAAAUGACCUCUGACAGACAUUUAUGCAAUUCCCGAAUCUGGGAUUCCAUAUUUCUCUUCUCUAUUUCUUGCCUUUCUUUGAGGCUCUGUUCCAUCAAUCUCUUUUACUGCCUUUGUAGGUGAUUACAAAGGCGGAGCCUAAAAGAUCCGACAUUUGGGGUGUCUUCCUCAACCUCUUUUAUUGCCUUUGUAGGCUGUGCUCUUCCACUUCUCUCGAGAUGGAAAGAAAUGAAUCCACUCAUUCAGAAGGUCCGAAUUCUAAGGCUUCUUCAUCAUCGACCUCUCCACCUGUAGGUGAUUUUGAAGGCGGAACAAAAAAGACGGAAGGAAAUGAUUAUGAAGUUUUCUUGAGCUUUAGAGGGAAAGACACUCGCAAAGGUUUUACUGAUUAUCUCUAUACUAGUCUUGUUGGUGCAAGAAUUCACGUGUUCAAAGACGAUGAGGACCUUCGUGUCGGUGAGGAGAUAGGUCCGGAGCUUUUCCGCAGUAUCAUGCAGUCUAAAAUCUCCAUCCCGAUUAUCUCAGAGGACUACGCUUCUAGCAAAUGGUGCCUUCGUGAGCUGGCUCAUAUAUUGAAUUGCAAAAGAAACAGGGGUCAAAUAGUGUUGCCCAUAUUUUACAAAGUGGAACCCUCACAGUUACGAAAUCCUGCGGGGAGAUUCAGAGCUGCUAUCAAUACACAUAAAAAGAAUUUGGACAGAAUAGUUACGCAGGAAUGGGAAGAAGCGCUUGAAGAAGUCAGUUUCCUGAAAGGAUGGGAAUCAGAGAAAGUUGAAAACGGGUACAUUAUUCUCCAACCAAAAAAAAAAAAAAAUCUUUUAGAUCUUUCUUGAAAAAUCAUAUAAUCGUUGCCAUCCUAUAUUAAAAUUCAUUGUCAUUUGACAGGCAUGAAGGGGCAUUGGUUAAUAUUGUUGUCAGAGAAGUUAUGAGAAAGUUAAAAAGACUUUUUCUGCUAAAUGUUCCCGAACAGUUAGUGGGAAUUGAUGAUCGAGUGGAGCAGAUUAUGAGCCAAAUCGAUGGUAAGUUCAUUUGUACAUGGAUUAUUGGAAUUUAUGGAAUGGGCGGCAUCGGCAAGACAACUAUUGCAAAGGUAUUAUACAACAAACUCUCUAGUCAUUUUGAGGAUCGUAGCUUUGUGGCAAAUAUUCGACAGACAUCUGAACGCAAGGGCAUUGAAUGUCUCCAAAAGCAGCUCAUUGAUGACAUAAUAAGAAAUCCGUUUGAUGUGUCUAAUGUCGACGAGGGAGUCAGUGUCAUAAAAUCUCGAUUUCCAAGUAAGAAAAUUCUCGUUCUUCUUGAUGACAUGGACGAUAUUGCUCACUUGAAUGCUUUGGCUGGAGACCAUAAUUGGUUUAAAGCAGGAAGUAUAGUCAUCAUGACAACUAGAAACAAGAGUAUUCUUGACAAGGCUAGGGCAGACUGCAUGUACUUACUCAACGAGUUGCCUUUGGAUAAAUCAUUGAUUUUAUUUAGUAAACAUGCAUUUCAAAAGGAUUCUCCUAAGAGUGAUUAUGAGGUUAUCUCUGGUGAUGUUGUAUCUACUACUGGAGGGCUACCCUUAGCUCUUGAAAUUAUAGGUUCAUUUUUAUGUGGAAAGACAAAAAAGGUAUGGGGAGAUACAUUAAAGAAAUUAAAGCAAGUGCCUAAUAAGAUGGUGCAAGAGACGUUGAGGAUAAGUUAUGAUGCAUUAGAGUAUGAGGAGCAACAGAUUUUUUUGGAUAUAGCAUGUAUUUUUAUUGGAGAACAUAUAGAAGCUCCGACUUAUGUGUGGGAUGCGUGUGAUUUUUUUCCGGAGACGGGGAUUGAAGUAUUGAGUCGUAUGUCCCUAAUUAAAAUUGAAGAAGAUGGCGGUCUAAUGAUGCAUGAUCAGCUGAGAGAUUUUGGAAGGGAAAUUGUUCGCCAAGAGAAUCAAAGGGAACCUCAAAACCGUAGCAGAUUAUGGAUUACUAAGGAAGCCGCAGAUGUGAUUUACAAUAACAAGGUAAGAUUUUAUCUACAUCUCUCAAUUAGUGAAUGUGAGCCCAUCUUCUCUUUUAUGUUUUGAGAUAAAAAAUUAUUGUCAAUCCGGAGCCUCUAAAACUUCUUCUACUAGCAAAAGAGCUCUUCCGGUUAAUUGCUUAUGUUGUUUUUGCCUGACUCUUUUGAACAUAAUUGAGGACCAAUUUCUUGGUUGUUGAUGAAUUAUAUAUACCUCUAUCUCGUAGUAUUGUGAUGAGGACCCUCUCCUUUGUAACUUCAAUGCAACUAAAAAAUUACAAAAGCAUAAUAUUUGACAGAGCAUUUUCAAAGAAAAGCUGAUUUUCUAUAAAUUGUUGGCGGCCAUGCUUUUCCCUCGUACAUGUUUAAUGCACAUCCAUGAUGUUUGGAUUUUUCUUUUUUUGAUUUCUUGUGAGGUCUUUGCAUCCUUUUUAUCUUUUACUGAGUAUUGAGUUUCUUAUGGGUUGUUUGCUAUGAUAAAUGAGACUUCCAUUCAUUUAUGGUGACUAGCUAUCUUGGUCCCGUAUUUUUUAGAAUUGGGUUAAGUAUAGUUUUCGUCUCCUAAGUAUUACUAUUUAUGUGAUUUAGUCCCCUAUCAAUUUUUUUUAUUAUAAAUAUUAUAGUCUUUUCUCUUUCACAAUUUAUGUAAUCAUGUUCUUUGUCUUCAACCAUUAGUCACCACCAUGAUAUGACUUUCAUAUUUAUUUAAGAUAUAUGCGCAACCUUGCAAUGUAACCCUCUAAACAAAUAUUAUUUUCGUUCCAUAGACUUUCUAUAACAGUGCAUAUAUUUUUUCUAUGAAUUUGCUACUAUUAUAUUUUAAUUUUCUGACAAUGUAUAAUAUUUCUAUUAAUCCCCUAAUAACAUUUAUUUGUCAAAUAUUCACUAUCAUCCCAUAAUAAUCACUUCUUCAUAGCUCAACUCUUGGUGAGCAUCUUAUUUAACAAAAAGAUUUACUUAAUUUUAUAUCAUCAUUUGUUAAAUAUGGGCUAGCAUGUGACUUAAUUCUUGUAUCGAUUUUUUAUUUACCAAAUAUUGACUGCCACAGUAUAAUAAAUAUUUCUACAUCGUUCAACUCUUAGCAAGCAGUUUAUUUAGCACAUAUUUAAUACAUUUCUAUCAUUUAAUUGUUAAAUGUGAGCUUUCAUGUUAUAAUUUUUUUUUGGACGUUAUUAUAAUUUACUUAUAAAAUAUGACAAAAUAUUUUCUUCUUUUUUGGUAAGGAUAUGACAAAAUAUUUUCUCAUAAUGAGUAUUGCUAAAACUUUUAAUCAUAACAGCCAUCACUUAUUAUACGUCUUGUUAUACUUAUUAUUGAAGUUUAUGUUGUCAUGUAAUAAAGUCCUCUAAAUAUUAUUUUUUCUUCUAUGAUGGACAAUUUUAUUAAUUCAUCUACCUGUAAAGCAUGUUUAUUUUUUUAUUUUUUUUGGUGAUGGUGGUUACUUUUAGUCAUAAUGGGACACCUUUGCAAUCACAAUAGUUGUCACUAGUAACAUUUGAAAAUAGUUUUAGAUGGAAGUAAUAGAGCCGUAAGUUUCUGCUGCGCACUCUAGUCUCAGUAUCUCGAUUUUCUCUAUUAGUCUUAAACUUGACCAAUCUGCAAAAAUUGAAGGUGGUCAGCGACUUACACUCAUCCAUCAUAUACGAAUGAAAUGCUAUAUCGCUCUGAUCCAUUUCUCUCCAGCUCUUCCCAUUUCAUGUGUCUUGAUUGGUUUAAGGAAUGAGUUGGAUACAUGUCAAAUGAUUGAUGAAAUAAUUGGUAACUAAGCAAAAGUACCCUGCGAGCAUACUCAUGCAACUCACCAUCUCACAUUCUUCUUUUGAUCAAUGCAUAUUUUUUCUUUUUUCUCUUUUUUAAAAGCUCAUCCACAAAGGUAGUCUAUUCAUAUUGAGUUAAUUACGUAUGCACAUUCUACUUAAUCCUCCAAAAUACGAGAAAUUACAUUACAGUAGACUUCUACUGCUAUUAUGAUCUUCGACACUUGAUAAAUAGAGAAUCUAAAUAAUAUUUUCUUGCAUUUAUAAAGAGGACACUAUACAAAGAAGUUAUCACCAAAAAAAAAAAAAAAAAACAGAAGAAGAAGAAGAAGCAAGAGAUGUUGCAUAAAGAAGUAUGUGUUAUUAAGAAAUAAAAAUAAGGAAGUGGAAAGACAAAUGGAAGUAACGAAGGAAUGUUAAUAAAUAGUUAAAUUAUUUGUCGAAAUGGAAAACAUUCUAUAUUUUACCAAUAAAGAUUACACAUGAGUCGCAUGUGAAUAGAGGCAUUUCUCCUUUGUUUUAGGUUGCUAGAGGAUUGUUGAGUUAUGACUAAUGACAUAGCUCCAAGGAUUUUUUAUAUGAAUUUCAUCUUUAGCAAAAAAAGGAAAUUGUGUAGCAGAAUUUUAGUGUACGCGUGAAGUUGAGUUUCAAUAUGGUUGGAGAUACUUGUUCAAAAAAUUCUAAACCUAAUAUAACGACUAAUUCAUUUUCAAACUUUUAAAUACGAUUAAGGCCACUAUUUUUUUCCUCAAUGCAAUCCUUUAUCUUUCACAAUUUGGGCAAUCGAGCCCUUUGUUGUCAAGUGUUAGUUAACACCGUCAAUUUGCCAUGUGGCUUUUAAAAUUAUUUAUGAUGUGUAAAUAUUAUUUUCGUCCUAUAGACUUUUCGUGGUGGUAGUUUGUCACAUUAUUUUCGUCCAGUAGACUUUUCGUGGUAGUAAUUCGCUUGUGACAAUGGAUAAUUUUUCUAUUAAUCCCAUUUCUUUGGCAAAUAUAUGCUGGCACGAUUUAGUUGAUGAUUAUAUCAUUAUUUGUUAAAUAUGUACUAUCAUGGUGAAUAAGUUUUUUAUCCAUUUUUGAGAAAAUUAUCUAGAGAGUCUUAAACUUAUUGCAUUUUUACCAAUUCAGUUAUAAACCUUUCAAUUUUGUCAAUUCAGUUUUAAACCUUUUCACUUCUUGCUAAUUAAGUCUGUCUAGUUAAUUUUGGCUGAAAAUUGCUAACGUGGCCGGUUGGUGCUAAUACUUUUUUUUUUUGUUACUUUUUUUUCUUGGUUUGUAGUUAGGGCCGAUAAGGGUUACUGGCCAACCCUUGCCGGCUUGAUUGAUCCUUGCUGGCCUGGGGAAGGGCUGUGAUGCCCUCACCGACAAAAGCGAGGGCUCAAGCCCUCACUGGAUUUGGCCAAGCAACGGUGGUGACCUUGCUCGGGUGCUCGGGGCCCUCGCCUGGCCAAAUCUAGCAAGGGCAUCGCGGCCCUCGCCCACGGCUGACGAGGGUCAGCCGGUAACCGUCACCGGCCCUAACACCAAACCCAAAAUUAAAGAAGAGAAAAGUUAAAAAAAUUCAAAAUUCAAAAUUAAAAAAAAAUGCCACAUCAGCAAUUUUCAGCCAAAAUUGGUCAGAUGGACUCAAUUGGGAAGAAAUUAAAAUAUUUAGGAUCAAAUUAAUAAAAUUAAAAGGUUUAUGAAAAAAUAUAAUAGAUUUAAGACUUUUUGAACAAUUUUCCCUCCAUUUUUUAUUUGUCAUAAAUUGAUACCACGUUACAAUGCAUAUUUCAACAUCCUUCAACUCUUAGUAAGCUUUUUAUUUAGCACAUAUUUCGUACAUUUAUAAUAUUAACUUAUUUAAUAUGAGCUAUCAUGUUAUAUUUUUUUUUUUAUUGAUUUGUUAAUAUGAUUCACUUAUGAAAUAAACGGAAUGUUUCUCAUGUUAAGUAUCUAUAUAACUUUUUAAUCUUGAUAACCAUCACUUGUAUGUAUGUAGUCAUAUAACAGAACACUCUAACAAUAUAUUCUUUUUCCUUCUUUCAUGGACAAUUUUAUUAUAUUCACCUAUUGUAAAGCAUGUUAACUUUAUGUUAUGAUAGAUAUUUCUAGUCACAAUGGCUAUCACACACCCUUUCAAUCAUAAUAGUUGUAAUUUAUUAUACAUUUCGCUAUACUUGUUAUAGAAUUAUAGUCAGUCAUAUAAUAGAUGCAUGUUUAUGUUUAUGUUUAUGUUUAUGUUCUGAUAGAUAUUUCUAGUCACAAUGGCUAUCCACACACCCUUUCAAUUAUAAUAGUUGUAAUUUAUUAUACAUUUCGCUAUACUUGUUAUAGAAUUAUAGUCAAUCAUAUAAUAGAUGCCUCUAGACAUAUACUUGUUUUCUUCUUUGAUGUUUUAUUUUAUUUAUACUAUUUAUAAAGCAUGACAUAUAUAAAUUGUGAUUACGGAUAAUUACAAUUUAAUAUAUGAAUUUUAAACAUUUAAUAAUUAAUUUGUGGUCGAGAUUUAAGCUUAAUCAUAUGGUAUGUGAUCAUAUGAACAUAACUAUUUUUUAUUAAAUAAUUAAUAGUACGAUUGACAUAAUACUUAUAGCACAAUUAAGCAUUAACUAAUAUAAUUAGUAAUUAAGAUGAUCAUUUUAUUAUGAACAUAUAAUAUUAACUUAUGAAAAAGUUAGAUAACCAUAUCUAAUAAGGAGCCCACUAACAUUGUGCUAAUUAGUAUAUUAUAAAUAAUUUUUAACCUAAUAACUGAUAAUGAAUAAUCAAGAUAACAUUAUCACUAUUUCAUCAAUUAUUUGCCUAUUAAUUAACAUUCUAUUUAUUAAUGAUAUGAUAUGUGAUUAAAGUCAAGAUAAGUAUAAUUGAUGUUAUCAUUACAUAAUUACCACAAAUGAUUUUAGUUAUAAUUAAUAUGUACGUAGAUUAUAGUCAAUAAUAUAAUAUUGAUAGGGUUAGAGAAAAAAAAAAAGACGUGUAUUUUGGAAAUAGCUACUGUGGCCCGGUAGUAAUAGCUAUUACACAACGGGGUGAUAGUUAUUACAAUCUGGCAACGAUAACUUUCAUUGCGAGUAGAUAUUGUAUACUAUAACAGUCAUUACUGCAACCAUACGUGUUUUAAUAAUCUAAACGUACUCUGAUAAUCCAUUGCUAUAAAAUAUAUAUGUAAAUAAAGCGUAUAAAUGUGUAAAACUAAAAGGCACUGGUUAUUUGGUAAUCACAUACUUACAUUCUAAUUAAUCCUAAAAAAUUACGUGACACUAGAUUACUGUAGAAAAUGCAAAGUCUUAAAUCUUGUGCAUAGCACAAGAAUUCUACUACUAUUAGGAUUUGCAACACUAGAAAAAUAGGGAAUCUAAGCAUUCUUUCCAUGCAAUAUGAGAAGAAGACGUAAUAUAAAGAAGUUGUCACCCAGAAAAAGAAAAGAAAAGCAAAAGAAGCUGCAUAAAGAAGUAUGUGUUAUUAAUAAUAAUAAAAAAGAAGUGGAAAUGCAAAUGUAAUUAACUAAAGAAUAUUAGCAUAUAGUUGCAUAAUGUGUCGACGGGGACACGAUGUGGAAGGUCAUUCAAUUUUAAGUAAAUGGGCGUUGCAUGUGAGAAGAGGCAUUUCUCCAUUUUUCUAGUUAGCCAGAAAAUUUUUGAGUUAUGAGUAAUGGCAUAGCUCCAAGGACAUAUCUAUUGUGUAUAUAUAUAUAUAUAUAUAUAUAUAUAUAUAUUUUGGCACCCCAGGGAAUUUUCGUGUGCCGCUUCGCGGCGAAGUAAACCCUGAAGGAACAGUAGAGUCACCACUACCCUAGGUUCCUUUCUCGCAAGGCAAACAAUGCAGCGAAUUGAACUCAUUAUCUCUUUCGAAAGGAACCUGCGCUCAACCACUAUGCCGUCAUCAUGGGUGGUCAUAUCUAUUGUAUUUUGAUCUUUAAAAAAGAAAGAAUUUCUGUGCAAGACAAUUUAUUGUAUAAGUGAAGUUGAGUCUGUUUAAAAUUUCAUGUGGUCAUGCAAUGUAUUUAAAUGCAGAAAGAAGAUGAAUAGCAAAUCACAUAACAUACUAUUUCAAAACAAAUACCUUCUAAAUUACUAUUAAAAAUACAAAGAAACUGGUCUAUUCAAACUUACCCUAAAAAAAAUGGUGUCUGUUAAUGUAAACAUAAAAGAAGUAAAUAAUAUUUACUGAUACCACUAAGUGCAAAGAAAGAAAAGAACUAAAUAUAAUGCAUGAACGCUAGAUAAAGUCAUAUACAAAAUAUGCCAUUGAAAAUGCGAAGAGUAUUUGGUCUAAGUAUGUAACUUCCAAGGAAAGCAUCUAUUCAUCAAAAUAUGAAUAUUGUACUAUUUGUUAAAUGUCAUUUUUAGAAGAGAAAUGUCUUUUCAUGCAAUAAUGAAGUCAACGACAUUAAUUGAUGGGUACUUCUAUUUUAUAUUCGAGAAAUUAGAGAAACGCUAGUAGAAUAACAAACGAACCAUAUAAAUAAUCACUGGAGCCUAACUAAUCAUUAAAAAAUUCGAAAAGUGAUGCAUCUUUAAAUGUAAUACUUUGAAUGGGCAUGUUCGUUAAUGAGAGUAUGGAUGGGAGCUCUACUUAUGUAUGUUAUUUAAAAUAAACAUACUAUUUUCAUGAAGUAAAUAAUAUUAGCAAUAUAUUAUUUGGAGAUCCUAUUUUUAUCAUUCAACAAAUUGUGUAUGGUCAAUCAUAAAGACCAUACAAUAUUAAACUUGGAAGUUAGGUAUUUUAACGAUACAUACAUGACCUUAUUUUUAUAUAGAGAAUUGUCAAAUAUUACAUUUGUAUGAUAACAUAGCUUUACACUUAAUGAUAAUUAGUAAUAAAACUAAGCAACUUCAAAACCAUAUGCUUGCACAUAAGUAAUAUUAACAUAAUAUGAUUAAUCUUCAUGUCCAAUAUGUCUGUUAGCAAGGUCUUGUUAAUCUAUGGGCAAAUUGGUAAAAAAUUAGAUGAUUGCUAUUGCUUUGUAACAAAAUCAACACGAAAUGAAUAGAUAGCAUUAAACAUCUAAAGUAAUAAAAAGAGGAGUAAAAAUCAUUUAGAUAACAUUUGAUAUAUGUUUUCUUCCACACGUAAUGAAAAACACUCGUUGAAAAAACAAAUGAUAAGAAAGGAAUGUAAAAUACGUGUACUUCUUGGGAUGGAAUUCUUAUUUUCAUUUUGCUAUUGAGAAUUGCAAACAAGAUACAUAAGAAAAAGAGGGGGAUUCUACAAUUGGAUUCUUGAGUAUUGAUACAUGUUUUGAUGGCAAGUUUGNNNNNNNNNNNNNNNNNNNNNNNNNNNNNNNNNNNNNNNNNNNNNNNNNNNNNNNNNNNNNNNNNNNNNNNNNNNNNNNNNNNNNNNNNNNNNNNNNNNNNNNNNNNNNNNNNNNNNNNNNNNNNNNNNNNNNNNNNNNNNNNNNNNNNNNNNNNNNNNNNNNNNNNNNNNNNNNNNNNNNNNNNNNNNNNNNNNNNNNNNNNNNNNNNNNNNNNNNNGGGGACCCCCUCUUGAGCUUCACAUUUUUAUAUAGAUUAGAUAAGGAAUAUGUAACACAAUCUAUCAUGUCAUGAAGUCAAAGGUGAGAACCCCACAUCAUUAUAGUAUGACAACAUAGUUGAAAUAAUACAUAUUUUCUUGUAUAUAGUUAGUCUCAUCCCAUCAUCCAAUACUAUGAUCCACAAUGUUUUUCAAUUCUAGGGCACAGGUAAAAUUGAGGCCCUUUGUCUCGACAAAGAUGAUGGGAGAGAAAGCUACACGGUUGAGAACUUUAAACAAUUGACCAACUUGAGGUUCCUUCUAUUGAGGGGAGUGAACAUCACCGGAGAUUUUCACAACUUUCUUCCUCAAUUAAGAUGGCUUGAAUGGGAGAAUUGUUGCUUGGAUUUUGAAGAGGCUAACUUUCACCCGAAGAAAUUAAUCUUGCUUUACUUGCGAGAUAGUCAGAUUUCAGAGGACUGGGGAGGAUGGGGCCCAGUAAAGGUAAGUGUAGAGAAGGCAUAUCUUUUAAAAAUAACCACGUGUUAUCAACGGCCCCAAUUGUACCAAGUUCUCCUUUAUUUCUUCUGAAAAUCCUUUCUCAUAUAAUGGAUUUUCCUCUAAGCAUAAGAGGAAUUUAUAGGCACUUAAAUAUGUUAGAAGCUUUUGCCUCUUAAUAUUUCAACAACUAGUCACGCUUAACAUUAGACUUACUAAUAAAAACUCUUUUAAUUGUAUUAAUUAACAUCUAUCAAAAAUAUAAUUAUAAUAUUGUGCCAAUCUUAACUUUACUUUAAAUUGUGUAUGGUUUCUAGUUAAUUUCUCCCCAUGCAAAAGUAUGUCUUUUUAGCAAUUCUUGUUAUAUGUAUAUAUGGCUCUUCUUUCAUGGAGAGACAAAAACCCUCACAAUGACUUGUGUUUAACAUACAAACUAAAAUUCUAAAUUCAUAGUUACUUUUAGAGUAAUUGAAAUAAUUUGUGAACUGCUUUGACUUGUUGCACACAAUAUUUAUUCAUUAUUAUUGUUGAUUGUUGAAGUCAUUGUACAACACAUUUAUAAAGUAGUAAUGUUAUAUGAGUAAUAAAAUUAUCCUUGAAAUGGCAUUUAAAUAAUUUUAAUGCAACACCUUUUUUUAUAUCUUAUACAUAUAGCAUUCAAAAAUUGCUUUUUAUAAUUAAAGUAGCCAUUUCUCUUUGACUUAAUAAUAUUGAAGGAAAACAUAGCACCGAGUGAAUGCAUCUCUUUUCUUCCAUUUGACUUUGUCAUUUGUAAUUUGAUAAUAAAAUUUGCAUAUGUCUAAUUAAUAAAUAACAUCAUUGUCAUAACUUUGAAAAAAUAAAUAUGAUAGUUUCUAUGAAAUUUUAUUUGCAAAUAAUUGUAGUUAGUACUUUCACAUCCCUAAUGUUCUCUUUGCAAUGAUAUACUUAAAAACAUUUAUAUACUAGCUUAGUGAAUACACUACUAAAAAGAAACAUUUAAAAUUAAAUAAGAUAGCUGUGAAGGAGUAGGGAGCAUAGGUGUUUUUUUUUUUUUUUUUGGGUCCAAUCUCAAAAUGGUGACUUCUCUUUCUUUCAGAUGGCAAUGGAGCUCAAAAUUCUUUCACUUUUGAAUUGUGCUUUGAGAACAACUCCCGACUUUUCUGCUUUCAAUAGCUUGGAGACUUUGGAACUUUAUAAUUGUCAGGAUCUAGAGGAGAUUCAUCCUUCUAUCGAGGACAUUAAGACCCUCGUCACCUUGAUUAUUGGAAAGUGUCAUAAAUUGAAGGAGCUAACGCUAGGAGUAGGUAGAAUGAAAGAAUUGAAGAAUCUAACCAUUUUUGACACUCAUAUACGAGAAAUUCCUAUUUCAAGAGGUUGUUUGAUAAAGCUGAAGACUUUAGAUGCCUUAUUUUGUAGACAACUUGCUCGACUUCCAGAAUCCUUGGGCUCUCUUAUAUCGUUAACUCUGCUAAACCUGUCAAACACAGGAAUUGAAGAAUUACCCGAAUCCAUUGGAUCUUUGAAGAAGCUCGAGACUCUAAAUGCCUCUUAUUGCAAAUCGUUAGCCCGCAUACCCAACUCAAUAGGCAAUUCAACAUUUCUGUCUUGCCUUGACCUAACGGAAUGCCAUAAACUUGCUCAACUUCCAGACUCUAUAGGCUUCCUCGUGUAUCUACCGCGGUUGUUAUUGUCGGGAUGCCACUCGUUGAGACAAAUCCCAGACUCGAUCGGAAAUUUGACAUCAUUGAUAGAGCUGCAUUUGAAAUCUACGGCCAUUGAAGAAUUACCUGAAUCCAUUGGUUCUUUGAAGGAGCUCAAGAUUCUAGAUGCCUCUUAUUGCAAAUCGUUAGCCCACAUACCCAACUCAAUAGGCAAUUUAACAUCUCUGUCUCAUCUUGACCUGAAUGAAUGUCAAAAACUUGCUCAACUUCCAGAAUCCAUAGACUCUCUUGUGUAUCUACAAUGGUUGUCAUUAUCCAAAUGCCACUCAUUGAGACAAAUCCCGGAUUCGAUCGGAAAGUUGACAUCAUUGACAGAGCUGCAUUUGAAAUUUAUGGCCAUUAAAGAAUUACCUGAAUCUAUUGGUUCUUUGAACAAGCUCAAGACUUUAGAUGCCUCUUAUUGCAAAUCGUUAGCCCGCAUACCCAACUCAAUAGGCAAUUUAACAUCUCUGUCUCGCCUUGACCUAACGGAAUGCCAUGAACUUGCUCAACUUCCAGACUCUAUAGGCUUCCUUGUGUAUCUACCGCGGUUGUUAUUGUCGGGAUGCCACUCGUUGAGACAAAUCCCAGACUCGAUCGGAAAUUUGACAUUAUUGAUAGAGCUGCAUUUGAAAUCUACGGCUAUUGAAGAAUUACCUGAAUCCAUUGGUUCUUUGAAUGAGCUCAAGAUUCUAGAUGCCUCUUAUUGCAAAUCGUUAGCCCACAUACCCAACUCAAUAGGCAAUUUAACAUCUCUGUCUCACCUUGACUUGAAUGAAUGCCAAAAACUUGCUCAACUUCCAGAAUCCAUAGGCUCCCUUGUGUAUCUACAGUGGUUGUCAUUAUCCAAAUGCCACUCAUUGAGACAAAUCCCAGACUCGAUCGGAAAGUUGACAUCAUUGACAGAGCUGCAUUUUAAAUCUACGGCCAUUGAAGAAUUACCUGAAUCCAUUGGUUCUUUGAAGGAGCUCAAGACUCUAGAUGCCUCUUAUUGCAAAUCGUUAGCCCACAUACCCAACUCAAUAGGCAAUUUAACAUCUCUGUCUCACCUUGACCUGAAUGAAUGCCAAAAACUUGCUCAACUUCCAGAAUCCAUAGGCUCCCUCGUGUCCUUGCUGUGGUUGUUAUUAUCGGGAUGCCAUUCGUUGAAACAAAUUCCAGACUCGAUCGGAAAGUUGACAUCAUUGACGGAGCUGAAUUUGAAAUCUACGGCCAUUGAAGAAUUACCUGAAUCCCAUUGGUUCUUUGAAGGAGCUCAAGACUCUAGAUGCCUCUAUUGCAAAUCGUUAGCCCACAUACCCAACUCAAUAGGCAAUUUAACAUCUCUGUCUCACCUUGACCUGAAUGAAUGCCAAAAACUUGCUCAACUUCCAGAAUCCAUAGGCUCCCUUGUGUAUCUACAGUGGUUGUCAUUAUCCAAAUGCCACUCAUUGAGACAAAUCCCAGACUCGAUCGGAAAGUUGACAUCAUUGACAGAGGUGCAUUUUAAAUCUACGGCCAUUGAAGAAUUACCUGAAUCCAUUGGUUUUUUGAAGGAGCUUAAGACUCUAGAUGCCUCUUAUUGCAAAUCGUUAGCCCACAUACCCAACUCAAUAGGCAAUUUAACAUCUCUGUCUCACCUUGACCUGAAUGAAUGCCAAAAACUUGCUCAACUUCCAGAAUCCAUAGGCUCCCUUGUGUAUCUACAAUGGUUGUCAUUAUCCAAAUGCCACUCAUUGAGACAAAUUCCGAAUUUGAUUGGAAAGUUGAUAUCAUUGACAGAGCUACAUUUGAAAUUUAUGGCCAUUGAAGAAUUACCUGAAUCCAUUGGUUCUUUGAAUGAGCUCAAGACUUUAGAUGCCUCUUAUUGCAAAUCGUUAGCCCGCAUACCUAACUCAAUAGGCAAUUCAACAUCUCUGUCUUGCCUUGACCUAACGGAAUGCCAUAAACUUGCUCAACUUCCAGACUCUAUAGGCUUCCUCGUGUAUCUACCACGGUUGUUAUUGUCGGGAUGCCACUCAUUGAGACAAAUCCCAGACUUGAUCGGAAAGUUGACAUCAUUGACUGAGCUACAUUUGAAAUGUACGGCCAUUGAAGAAUUACCUGAAUCUAUUGGUUCUUUGAAGGAGCUCAAGACUCUAGAUGCCUCUUAUUGCAAAUCGUUAGCCCAUAUACCCAACUCAAUAGGCAAUUUAACAUCUUUGUCUUCCCUUGACCUGAAUGAAUGCCAAAAACUUGCUCAACUUCCAGACUCCAUAGGCUCCCUCGUGUCCUUGUUGCGGUUGUUAUUAUCGGGAUGCCAUUCGUUGAAACAAAUUCCAGACUCGAUCGGAAAGUUGACAUUAUUGAUUGAGUUACAUUUGAAAUCUACGGCCAUUGAAGAAUUACCUAAAAGCAUUAAGAAUAUGCAAAACUUGAGGAUGCUGGAUAUUGAUGGAACUCCCAUGAUAGAACUGCUUGAUGACCCGGGAAUAUUGGCAAAACUCAAAGGGUUGAGAGCUUCAACAUGGAAAAAUAUGGAAGGGUCACCUAGUAAUAAUGGCCAAUUGGUUUCGCCAAACGAUCUUGGUUUAGAUGAGCUUCAAAAACUAUCAAAAUUGCACUCUCGCGUACUAUCUCUAGGUAUCACUUGCCAAUCCUGCAUUCACUGAAUUUUUCUCAACUAAACUUUCUCAAGAAACGCACUCUUUCUAACUGGCUUAAAUGUCUCUCAAACCUUUUUAUAACAUGUUAUAGAAAAGCUAUGAAACUUGAUUUUGUAUCUUACAAAAGUUCAAGCUGUUAGUUGGGCAUUUUAUUUACCUUUUAUCUUGUGAUACAGAUCUCUUAAAGCGUUUCAAGACUCCUCCUGCCAACAACUUAGCCAUGGACUACCAAACAACAGAUGAACGUCCUUUGAAGAGAUCAAAACCUUUUGGAAUCUCAAAUGAAGUACUUAUUUCAUUUUGCUUUUUCUUUGCCGUUCUUCAGUUAUUAAAGGAUGGUUCCAUCUACAAAGAGAAGUAUUUUACUGAAUGAUCAAUUAUUUGUUAUGUGUGGAAUGCUUUGAUCAACAUUCGUAACUAGAUCCAUCAAACUUGUUACAUUCUCGCUAUUUUAAGUCUUCUGUUCCUGGAAGUAGGGAUUUUUAGUUUUCUUGAAUUAUGAAGUUAAGGUGGAAUAUAUUGUCCGUUCUUUUGUGUUUCUCUUUCUUAAUUAUCUUUAUUUGCACGCCAUUGAACGAAAACUUUCUGAAAGCGCACUCAUUUUGGUGCUAUUGCGGCAUAUGAUCAUGCAUUGAGAAUCUUCACGAGUGUAGGGGUUAUCUCACAUUAGUUGUGGAAGGAAAAAGUAGUUAGUUUAUAAUUGUGAGGGAAAGUCUCAUCCUUUAAGUUAGCUUUUAGGAUGAGAUAAGCCCAAGACCACCCAACAAAAAGAAACUUUUAGUUUUGAGGUUUCUAGAUACCCUUAAUUUUCAUGAUGUUAACCUAAUGAAAUUAUUGAAGAUUGGAAGGAUAACAAGAAAGUUUGAUGGAGAGAGAAAGGAGCAAAAGGGCUAGGAUUGUCAAUUUGUGUCCUCUUGUCAUAAUUGUGUUUGUACCUGUGUCAAUUCAUCAUGACUUCUAUUAGACAUGUCAACCCAUUGAAUUAGAUGAAAACAUGUAAAUAUCUCAUCAAGUUAAAUGUAUCGUGAUGUGUCUUAUUGGGUUGUGUUUGUGUUUUUCGUGUUUGGUAUUGUUAUGUAAACAGUAUGUGUCACUAUUGGCAGCAUUAAUGAGAAGCGUGGACUGGAUAGGUGUUGAUUACGUCUCCUCCCAUCAUGCAUGCAUUGUGCUCACGUAUGCUAGUACAAGAGGGGCUCUCAUAUGAGUCUUUUGCAUCUUUUGAGUGCCAUGGUUUUGAUCAAUUUUCUAAAGGACUCAUUAGUUUUGUAAUCUUCAUGACUUUCUAAUAGGUGAAUAAUUUGCCGGGAAAGAUUUUUCCCAUUACAUACAACUACCAGAGCUUUGGUCAGAGUUCUUAUUCUUCAGAUGACUUGCCUAGAAAUGUAGUCGUUACCCUAAGUCAUGAUUCACUUGUUAAAAGUAUGGAUUUCCAUCCAGUGCAACAAAUUCUACUACUCGGUUAGCACUUCUUUCUUACUCUAUAAAGAACUUGUUUCUUGAUCUUCUUUAGUUGGAUGUACUUGUUGGCCAUAAGUUUGUGUUUUGGUGCUUGGAAGAUUCCUGUUUGUUGUUUUUGAUGCUAGCUUCAGCUAUUUGAAACCAAGGGAUAUGAUUCUUCAAAUUUUCUGCAUCAAUAAUUUUUAGUGGGAACAAAUACGGGUGAUGUCAUGGUAUGGGAAGUAAGCAACUGUGCAAGGAUUGCUUUGAGAAAAUUCAAGGUUUGGAAUUUGGGAACACGUUCAAUGGCGUUGCAGGUAUAUAAGUUCCACUCUAAAUAAAGUCAUGUAUCUUGUUUUUGGACAUGUAAUUGUGGGUUUUGAUUCUUUGUAGGCUUCUCUAGCCAAUGACUAUACAGCAUCCAUUAAUCGUGUAACGUGGAGUCCUAAUGGACUUUAUUUUGGUAUGUACAGAUGUCACUUCUACUUGUCUUAUUGCAAAUUGAUGAAACAACUAACGCGCUGAGAAUGAGACUUCACUGCAAUAUUUUCAGGAAAAAUGUUCAUAUGCUGCUAUUACUAAUGAUUUGUGGUGUUCACUUUAGGUGUUGCUUAUUCCAAACACAUGGUGCACAUAUACUCGUAUUACGGUGGUGAUGACAUGAGGAACCACCUUGAGGUUUGUUGCUAAACAAGGAGUGAAAAAAUUCGGCUUCUUUGUUUUGUAGACAAUUGCCACAUAAAAGUGAGUAAAACUUGAUUUUGACUCUAAACUAAUGUUUGAUACAGCUCGAGCCUCAUUUUGGAAGUGUUAAUGAUCUUGCCUUUUCAUAUCCAAACGAACGGUUAUGCAUUGUGACCUGUGGAGAGGACAGGUCGAUCAAGGUAUAUCUUGAUUAUUUUCCUCAGUGUUGCAGUGUUCCACUGUUUGAUCCCUUUUAACUAAGCUAGUAGUUUUGUAGGUAUGGGAUGCAAUGACUGGGACUAAGCAAUACUGUUUCGAGGGUCAUGAAGCACCUGUAUAUUCUAUUUGUCCACACCAUAAAGAAGAUAUUCAGGUACUUGAUUAUUUCGCAUACUAACGGAGACACACUGCGAGCAUGGCCAAUCAGUUGUACCCUUGACUAUACACUAGACAUUUUUUUUUUGUAAAGCUUAGUUAGGUAAAAAAAAUUGGUUCAACUUGUAUGAGAAGUAUGAAUUUUGUUUUAAAGGACCUUGUUCAUUUCAGGGGCUUUGCAAGUCUUCCGACUUUUAACCUGUCUUGAUUAGAAUGUGCUUGUUAAACACGGUGACAUGGUCCAAAGAUCAACAUGCCAAUUUGAUUCUUUUAGGCGAUGCUACUAAGCAUCACUAGCUAGGUACAGGUCUUUGCAAUAAUGACUUCCUACUUAAUUAUACAUUCAGAAAGAAAAUUCGUCUGCUUCCCUUAUUUGUUUUCCCUCAGUUUCCUCCUUCGGUUAUGAUUGGUUAAAUUUAUAAUAGAAGGUUGUUUAUUAUGUCUGAGUGGAGCAGCAAUUGACAAUGUUAUUUUCUUCUUAUUUUUUAAACAUUUAUGGUUGUGCAUAGUGGACACUUUAUUACAAAGAUAUCUUAUGAAAUCUAAUUAUUCUAGGAUGCUAUGUUUUAAUAAUUCGAAUUUAAGUGGAUGUGCUCUAUUUGGGCAUGUUACUGAAAUUGGUUAAACAAUUGUUUUGUUGUGUAGUACAUCUUCUCAACAGCAACAAAUGGGGAAAUUAAGGCUUGGCUUUAUGACAACGAAGGGUCAAGAGUUGACCAUGAUGCACCGGGUCACUCUUCUACCGUGAUGGCAUACAAUGCUGAUGGAAAAAGGUUCAGACCAUCAGCAUCGCAUUUCAAGCUCGAUUUCAUCCCGAGUCUUUCUUUUUCACUGAAAUAACCUAUUUUAGCGAUUUGAAUUUGCUAUAGGUUGUUCUCGUGUGGGACCAAUAAAGAAGGAGAGUCAUACUUGGUUGAAUGGAAUGAAAGUGAGGACUAUCAAGCAUACUUAUCAUGGACUUGGAAAGAGUUCUAGUGGGUUGUGCAGUUUNNNNNNNNNNNNNNNNNNNNNNNNNNNNNNNNNNNNNNNNNNNNNNNNNNNNNNNNNNNNNNNNNNNNNNNNNNNNNNNNNNNNNNNNNNNNNNNNNNNNNNNNNNNNNNNNNNNNNNNNNNNNNNNNNNNNNNNNNNNNNNNNNNNNNNNNNNNNNNNNNNNNNNNNNNNNNNNNNNNNNNNNNNNNNNNNNNNNNNNNNNNNNNNNNNNNNNNNNNNNNNNNNNNNNNNNNNNNNNNNNNNNNNNNNNNNNNNNNNNNNNNNNNNNNNNNNNNNNNNNNNNNNNNNNNNNNNNNNNNNNNNNNNNNNNNNNNNNNNNNNNNNNNNNNNNNNNNNNNNNNNNNNNNNNNNNNNNNNNNNNNNNNNNNNNNNNNNNNNNNNNNNNNNNNNNNNNNNNNNNNNNNNNNNNNNNNNNNNNNNNNNNNNNNNNNNNNNNNNNNNNNNNNNNNNNNNNNNNNNNNNNNNNNNNNNNNNNNNNNNNNNNNNNNNNNNNNNNNNNNNNNNNNNNNNNNNNNNNNNNNNNNNNNNNNNNNNNNNNNNNNNNNNNNNNNNNNNNNNNNNNNNNNNNNNNNNNNNNNNNNNNNNNNNNNNNNNNNNNNNNNNNNNNNNNNNNNNNNNNNNNNNNNNNNNNNNNNNNNNNNNNNNNNNNNNNNNNNNNNNNNNNNNNNNNNNNNNNNNNNNNNNNNNNNNNNNNNNNNNNNNNNNNNNNNNNNNNNNNNNNNNNNNNNNNNNNNNNNNNNNNNNNNNNNNNNNNNNNNNNNNNNNNNNNNNNNNNNNNNNNNNNNNNNNNNNNNNNNNNNNNNNNNNNNNNNNNNNNNNNNNNNNNNNNNNNNNNNNNNNNNNNNNNNNNNNNNNNNNNNNNNNNNNNNNNNNNNNNNNNNNNNNNNNNNNNNNNNNNNNNNNNNNNNNNNNNNNNNNNNNNNNNNNNNNNNNNNNNNNNNNNNNNNNNNNNNNNNNNNNNNNNNNNNNNNNNNNNNNNNNNNNNNNNNNNNNNNNNNNNNNNNNNNNNNNNNNNNNNNNNNNNNNNNNNNNNNNNNNNNNNNNNNNNNNNNNNNNNNNNNNNNNNNNNNNNNNNNNNNNNNNNNNNNNNNNNNNNNNNNNNNNNNNNNNNNNNNNNNNNNNNNNNNNNNNNNNNNNNNNNNNNNNNNNNNNNNNNNNNNNNNNNNNNNNNNNNNNNNNNNNNNNNNNNNNNNNNNNNNNNNNNNNNNNNNNNNNNNNNNNNNNNNNNNNNNNNNNNNNNNNNNNNNNNNNNNNNNNNNNNNNNNNNNNNNNNNNNNNNNNNNNNNNNNNNNNNNNNNNNNNNNNNNNNNNNNNNNNNNNNNNNNNNNNNNNNNNNNNNNNNNNNNNNNNNNNNNNNNNNNNNNNNNNNNNNNNNNNNNNNNNNNNNNNNNNNNNNNNNNNNNNNNNNNNNNNNNNNNNNNNNNNNNNNNNNNNNNNNNNNNNNNNNNNNNNNNNNNNNNNNNNNNNNNNNNNNNNNNNNNNNNNNNNNNNNNNNNNNNNNNNNNNNNNNNNNNNNNNNNNNNNNNNNNNNNNNNNNNNNNNNNNNNNNNNNNNNNNNNNNNNNNNNNNNNNNNNNNNNNNNNNNNNNNNNNNNNNNNNNNNNNNNNNNNNNNNNNNNNNNNNNNNNNNNNNNNNNNNNNNNNNNNNNNNNNNNNNNNNNNNNNNNNNNNNNNNNNNNNNNNNNNNNNNNNNNNNNNNNNNNNNNNNNNNNNNNNNNNNNNNNNNNNNNNNNNNNNNNNNNNNNNNNNNNNNNNNNNNNNNNNNNNNNNNNNNNNNNNNNNNNNNNNNNNNNNNNNNNNNNNNNNNNNNNNNNNNNNNNNNNNNNNNNNNNNNNNNNNNNNNNNNNNNNNNUCCUGUUAGCCGUCUCAACAAGUGAUAAUAGCAUCAAAAUUCUAGCAAAUUCAUUUGGGAUUGAGCUGCUAAGGACUGCAGAAAAACAUAUGCUUCUAGAGUCACUGCUAGGAGUCUUUUGAAGGUAAGCUUUUUUAACAAUACACUAACUUUAUGUAAAGAAGUCACUACUAGUCCAUUGUGGUCGGCUAAAACCCAAGGACUUGAUUACACUAGUUAUUUAAUUAAUGCUCUUUCAGUACCUAGACUUGAUUUAACUAAGUGUCCAUGCAGUCUUGGACCCUUUUAUUGACCUAUGCCACUUAAUUGGUGUCCAUGCAUGAGUGCACAAUAAAGGAAAAGUAAACAAUCAUUAUUAAUUCAACAAAAGUAAAGUAUAAGAAAAUACACCUAAUGAAGUGCCAAGCGAAGAAUACACAUGGCUUUGUUUUUAAGCCUCAAGACAACAACCUUGUAAGCUAAAUUCAAAUUAAGUCCAAUUCCUUUUCUCAAACACUAUUCUAUGUAACCUCACCUAAAUCAAAGGCACUCAUUAAAAUCUCUAAACCAUAUGUAGAGUAACUAAAACUAGAAGAAACUAAGCUACAUCUAGCACUAAAACUUAACGACCUAAUCAAGGUCUUUGUUAUUAACCAUUUUCCAAUUUUUCAUAUUUUCGAUUUUUUUUGAAAAUUUAAUUUUAAUUAUUUUCUGAAAAUAGGAAAUCGGGCCGGGCCCUUGGGCCUGGUCCGGAUAUGAGCCUCAUACUGGUCUCACGAAUCUGGGCUAAUGGACAAAAUUCGGGCUAUUAUAUCCAGAUCCAUCCAAUUCUAACUCUACUGAGCCCAAUUCAGAUUAUACCUAUUUUAAGCCCAUUUACCCAUGGAAGCUACUCUAGCUCACUUUCUCAUCUAACUGCACCAAGUCCAUCUUUAAGCCCAAUUUCUAUUACAAAUAGAUUAAACCCUAAGCCCACGCCAACCCUAUCUUACUAUUAUUAUUUUUAAUCCAUUUUUUCCUCUUUUCUUACAUCUUUCGUCAUUUUUUAUUAUUAUAAAAGUAAUCAAUGUUAGGUGUGCGAAGAGCCCCCCCUUUUUUUUAAGAGACUACCUGGUAAACUUUCCUGCAGUAACUUAAGCUAUAAAGGAUGGGUGAUGUAGCUUUUGUAAGUCUUUGACAAAUAUUUCACANNNNNNNNNNNNNNNNNNNNNNNNNNNNNNNNNNNNNNNNNNNNNNNNNNNNNNNNNNNNNNNNNNNNNNNNNNNNNNNNNNNNNNNNNNNNNNNNNNNNNNNNNNNNNNNNNNNNNNNNNNNNNNNNNNNNNNNNNNNNNNNNNNNNNNNNNNNNNNNNNNNNNNNNNNNNNNNNNNNNNNNNNNNNNNNNNNNNNNNNNNNNNNNNNNNNNNNNNNNNNNNNNNNNNNNNNNNNNNNNNNNNNNNNNNNNNNNNNNNNNNNNNNNNNNNNNNNNNNNNNNNNNNNNNNNNNNNNNNNNNNNNNNNNNNNNNNNNNNNNNNNNNNNNNNNNNNNNNNNNNNNNNNNNNNNNNNNNNNNNNNNNNNNNNNNNNNNNNNNNNNNNNNNNNNNNNNNNNNNNNNNNNNNNNNNNNNNNNNNNNNNNNNNNNNNNNNNNNNNNNNNNNNNNNNNNNNNNNNNNNNNNNNNGUUUCGAUCAUCGAUCGUGCUAGAGCUUCUUUCAGUGAUUCGUGCGCCCAACCGCCGCCUCAGUCCACUUGAUUGACCAGGUAGCAUCUCCUGUUCUGUUGUCACGAGUAAGAGGCCGAGAGUCCGAUUCUCUUAUUAUGAUGAAAUUGAUCAUAGUUGAAUUUUUUUCUUUGACUUCGAACAUCAUGUACUGAUUUUGUUUGAGUCUAGUUGUAAAUUCGAGUUCGAAAUGGCUUUGAUCUGUUCCACAACCGAUUGACCAUAAUCUGUUCGAUGAAAUGUGUCUGAGACCCUGUUGUGAAUUGAUUCCAGUAAUCGUCCGAUUUGAAAGCACAUUAGUGAUGUUCACUUGAUAUUGUUUGCUUUUUCAAUCUUUAGACAUGAUUACGAGUAUAUGCCGUAGUUGCCAAGAAUGAAACUGACUCUCCGCUUGUUUUCUCAGUGCUUCUUGUGAUCCUUUGGUGAUAGGUGGUGGUCUGGCAAGAGGAGAUGGCUUGGAGUCGCUGGCACAUGCAUUAGUCUUUGGUGAUGAUCGUAGCAUGCCCUGUUGAACAGAAUCGAGACGAUGUUGCUGAGCGUUAAUCGCCAAUUCAGAUAAUGAACUGCGGCCGACACAUGUUGCGGUCACUAACGGGAGCAAUGUUAUGCCUAGUCACUAUCCGCGUCCUUGCCACUGAGUCGCCAUGCAAUCUCCUCGACUGCCAAGCUUUGCUUCAGUCCAUGCCUUGCAGACCAUCCUUGCCAUUGCAAUUGCUGUGCCACACCUUACCAUAAUGGCUAUUCAAGUGAACUCCGCAUGCGAUAGCACUGCCAUCAGAAUAAACCGCCAUACAUUACCAUUAUGGAUUGAUGUGGCAAUAGAGCUAUAUCCAUCACGUGUCUUUACAAUCGGUUGUUUCCGUUCCAACUGAGUUUUAGAGUCCAUUGUAUGUUCAGAUUUCCUUCGCUGCUUUGUUUUAAUGUUCAGGAUUUUGCGAGUCUUCUUAAACCGAAUCAUGGGAAAACUAAAUGGUUCGAAGUCCAGUCGUCAUGGGGUCGAUACUUUGUUGUAAAAUCAUUGUGCAUUACCUGCUUCCUGAUUCUUGUCUUGUCCUUUGGUUAUUGGUUACUUCACCUUCGUUGAUUUCAUUGUCCGGAAGUAGGUAAUCAAUCCAAGAGCACCUGCUAAAAUUGCAUUUUAGUUGUGUCAUCUGCUUCCUGCCUCAUUCUCUGUGAAUGACAUUCUACUUCUUGCGUGCUGUUGAGGGAAAUCAAUGGUUGACAAUCGAUAUGAAGUGAGCAAGUUAUACUUGUUUCCUGUCUUUAGUUGAUAACUUUUUGCGUAUGACAAUCGAUUAAUUAAACCAGUCCAUAGCUUGCACGAAAAUAGUAAAUGAGGAUUUACUUCUUUCUUGGAAUUAUCAAUGUCAUCGCUUUGUCUCUGGUAGUGGAGGUGUUUAUCGUUCUUUUUGAACUUUUUGAACUUGUAUAAGAAUCAAUGGAAUGCUCAUGGAGCAUUGAGUACCCAAAAUUUACAAGUUAUAUGAAGUGGUGGUGUCCUUUUGUUGCAUAUGCUGGAGUUUAGCGGUUAGUGUUCAUCUAUGUUCGCUGAACCGUUUGAUUUAUCACUUCAAUCGACAAAAAUCUGAUAAACAGACAUGACAAUUGCGAGAGACGUCUUUGAACUGGCACUUUGGUGAUGAUGGUGCUCCUUCGUGUCGACUGUAUUUACUUGUUUGAGGAAGAAUCAUUUAUGAUAUUUUAUGAUAUUGGAGAAGUGAAUAUGUAUGGAAGGUUCCUUGGAUUCGCAAGAAUAAAACCCCUCGUGAUCCUGGAUCCACUCAUUGAAGAAAUGGAGAGAUAGAAUUUCUACAUGGACGAUGUGAAUGGGUCAUUGCUAAGCUUCUCGCCUGUUUGUUGAAUUUGAUUUGCAUAAUGGGUUGAAGCUAGCAUUUGGGUAGUGCUGGAAUUCCAAAACUGAGAGGAACUGAAGAAUUUGACGUUAAGAGUAUCUAAGCAAUGCCCACAAUUAGUAAAAUGUUCUGAGCUAAUCAAGGUUUGUCAUCUGAGUAUAUUAUACUUGUCGCCAAGUAGUGCAUCACUUAGUCCUUUUUAGAGUAAAUGCAUCAUUUAGUUAGAAAUUCGAGCAUGUUUAGAUUAGUACUUAGCUCAUGUGGGUUACUGUCUCGGGAUUGCUGUCCCGGGCUUAGCUCGAGAAUUCCAGCACAUUAUGACUGCAUGUAUAACCUUCCACAUCAUACAAAACCACAUAUCAGACGAACCCAGAGAUUUUCCGUUGUUCCACAAAUUAAGCAGGCUGGCACCUCAUCUUGCUGCUGGCAUAGUCGGCAAACCUGAUAAAGAACCAAAAUCUUAUUCACAAUCAGUUCAAAGAUGGGCACCCCUGAUGAUUGCAGUACGUAACCACAUUUUGGAUAAAGUUAAUUCUUGCAAUCAAUCAAGUAUGUGCCAUACUUGAAAUCCUUAGCGAUGUAAUUGAACCUUCCAAGAAAAUCAAAGGAAGACCCUUGGCACGGCACUAGCCUGGGCCCUGGGGUAGUGUCAUAUUGACUUAUUUUAAACAUAAAGAUUGACGAAUCAAGCAAAUAUGCACAUGUCCAUCAAUGUAUGUCUUACAGGGCAUUCUUUUUCAUCUUCACAUAUAUACUCGAGUUCAAAGGUACAUUUUUGCUACAAAUUCACAUGGAUAGAGCGGAUAGAGUGGAAUCACAAUAAGUAGAAUAUCACUUGAAAUGUAAAAUAUAACCAUGCACCAUCUUAAUUAGGAGCCAAGAGAAGUUUAAGGUGAGUAUAUAAGUUUAACACAAACUUGAUAUUUUACGCUUGGACAGUGCUAUUACUUUCGUCACUAUUUGACUUACAAGAAAUAUGACCCAUAAGUGACAGGAUGAUCAGAUCUAAUAACCAUGAUGAGACACUGCAAAUAUUCUCGUAUGAGAGUAUGAGAGACAACAAAAAAACAAGUCCAAGAAGCCACACCAUUGAGCUAUUCCAAAUCACCAAAGAAAUCUUAUAAUCAUUUAAAAGAAAUCUAAAAUUUUGUAAGCACGAUAGCAUAAAGAUCUAGCAUAAGCCUGAAUGAGAAAAAAGAACUUUUUUAUACUUUUCAUCCCUGUACUAUCACCUUUUUAUUAAUUAUGUCCAUAUACCUUAAACUUGUCUAAUCAAGUCUUUCUACUUUUACGAAUUUACUAAUCAAGAUCCAACCAAAUUUAAUUGAUGUAACCCUUGAACGACGCCCAAUAUGAUGCAGAUGCUCACGUAGACAUAUGUGGAAAAAUUUAGCCAAUGCAGACAAUGUUAAAAUGUGACUGAUAAAAUUUAGCUAAGGCGUUUGUCAAAGUAGGCGUCCAUAUUGGAUCUUUUUAUCUAUGUUACACAAUGACAUCAUCUGACGAUUACACCGGAUUUUGUGUUAGAGAGAUUUGAUUAGGAAAUUUUGUUAAAUUAGAAGAACUUGAUUCGACAAAAUAAAAGUACGAUGGAGAAAACAUUAAAGUAGAGGAUAUUUCCAAAAACCAACAGCAAAUCCAGUCAGCAAAUAUCAGCAAAAGAUAGCAGCAGCAGCUGAGCAAUUAUGGUCUAAAUUAUCUAACCUGCAUCAGCAAAAGAAUGCCUCACCUGACAAGAAGACUAAGUCUAUUUUGUACCACAUGAGCAAUGAAUGGAAUGGUCACCCUGUUACCCUGAGUACUCAAAAUUCCGCUGGUAUCUGGGUCCGAUCUCAACGACAUCAAAAGCCAAGUUAAAGGUCGCGACUGUGAACAUCUGUCUAUAAACUUGUCUCAUUUUAUCAUAUGCUUCAACAGGGAACAAAAUUUCUAAGCCAAACUAGCAGCUGUAAGGGAAAUAUAUUCAGCAAGGAUGCUGACACCUAAAUUUUGAUGAUCUAGUUAAUUAUUUAGUGCAAAAUAAAAAUAAAAAUUGAGGAUCAAUCCCGGUCCCUAAAAAGAUAUUAGCUAAAUUGAAUAUACAUAUUAGAAGCAUUUUUCAUUCAUUAAAUAGUAAGUCCACAUAUGAUUACAUUUUGAUUGGACUGGUGUAAGGAGAUUAUGAGCUUAAUUGAAUUUAUUAGACUAAGCCCAUGAGAAUGAGAAAUUCGGCCUAACCCGUCUAUUUCCUUUGCUCGACCAGACAUCAAAUAUGCAGUAUAAGGAAUUUAGCACGACUGAAGGAGCAAAUAUUCGUUAUUAAGGAAUAUAUUCUGAAUAAUUUUUUGGAGAAUUAACUGGCCAAUCCUUUCCAUUAUUAAAGAUGCGCAUCAUGCUUAAAGUGGGUAAGUUCAUUUUUCUUAGUCAAAACUGGAAGUAAUUGAACACUAUUUGGAAGGAAAGAAACAAAAAUAGAAAAAGAAAAAGGAAGAAAACGGUGAAGAAAGAAAGAAAUUCACGGCCCGAGCAUGAUAGACCAGAGAAUAAUAUACGCACUCACAAGAGGAAAGUGGAAUUCGGUCAGCCCAAAAGGAGUUCUCGCCAAGUAUAAAGAGAUGACACUGCAACACAUAAAAGAGGAGGCAAAGGAGGGAGACAAAAUGUUAGAUAAAUUCACGUUCGCAAUUAACGAGAAGUGUGAGCAGUACAUAAAAGAGAACUCAAAGUUUUUUCUUUGCCUCGAAAAGCUAGCCCCUACGCAGUAAGUGUGUAUGUUUUGACGUUAGGAUUGGGGUGGGUUCAAUGACAUUGGAGAUUGAUUUAUAUGUCUCAAAGUCAUUAGUUGGAGUUGAAAGUGGACUGUAAAAUGCAUGUGAAGAUAUUCGAAAAGUACACUUGUCAUAGGUGGAGACGAUAUCUGGGGCACUCAUGAAAAAAAAAUGGAUUGAACGGACCAAAAUAUUUUAGAUGUUUAUAGCAUAAGUUUCAUCAUAUUGAUGCAUUUCGUUAAUCAAUUUUUUCGAUCUCGAGGAGGAGCUUCAAUUGCAUUCACUUAUAGUUUAAGAACUGUAGAUGGAUGUAAAUGAUCACUGGCACAUUUUCUAGGGUUGCAUCUUCCACAUAUUUUCAAAUUUUCACACCUUUAAAAAUAUUAUGGAAAAUGAAUGAAAAAUAGGAGGGAAGUUAGGAAUUCAACAUGAAGCGUUAAAAACUAUUAACUUAAGGAGAGAGAUAAAAGUGACUUAAGCGGAGGGUAAAGACUGGAUAAAACAUGAUAUAGCAUAGAGAAAUCUGGUUUGAGAAAAUUAUGUCGGAAGAGAUUAAUUUUCAGAGUUACUUUCCCAGACGAAUCUCUUUUGAUAAAAGUAUUGCGUCCUGCAGGCAUUUGAAUAACGAAAUCCUAGACAAUACCACGCUUGAUAUGAUUUUGUCAUUGACUCAUGUACAUUGGCAGCGGGAGCAUGUGACUGUCGGUCGUUAGUUUUCUUUUUCUAUUCUGUUUACUAAUAGAAAAGGCAAGCCAAAUCAAGACAAUGCUGGAGGAUCUCAAAUCUGAAUGAACGCACCUGCAUGCACCUUCCUCGAUUAUAUCCUGGAUUCCAACUAUAUAUAUAUAUAUAUAUAUAUAUAUUUUAAUGAGGGAAUUAUCCAUGGAGGACGCACACUAAUUUGUAGAGGCACCAUUGGGAGAAAAGAAUAAACUUUAUGAUGUGAAAAAAUUGCAUUUCAUAUUCUUACCUAAAUUUUAAUUUGUUUUCUCUUUGCUAUUUAAUCUUUAUUAUAUGUAUAUACUUGUUUAUUUCUUCCAUAACGAAACACAUAGCUGCUAAUCUAUCAACCCUGUGAGACACAAUGCCCACUAUUUUAUCACUUCUCAUUUUUUUUUUCAUCUGUAAUUUGAGGUAGUACAUUUUUAAGAGACGAAGGAAAAUGAAAGGCCCAUGUGUAAUCCACUAUCGGCAAAAUAUAGUUUCCACGCCCCGAUUUUACAAUCAAGACAUGCUGCACCCCAAUUUUCAAUCAAAGCACGGGGCAUAAGUAGGAUCCACACACCUUCCGCAUAAUGCUGCAGAAAUUAAUUAUUAUCAAACAACAUUUUCUUUCAUUUUAAGUCCUUAAAAUGGUCCAUAUUUGAAAUACAGUACUCGAAAUUUCAGUAAUUAUUUUUUAAUUUUAUCUAAUCGGGCUCAUACUCACAGCUUAUUUCUCACAAAUAAAUUUAAGUUCAGCAUUGGCAAAAAGAUAAGUUGAGUCAAGUUGAAAGUCGAGUUGUAGCACCUAAGGUUUGACUUGAAAUUACCUAUAUAAUCAUUUACUUUAAGCCAUUAGAGUAUAGUAAUUUACAUCUUAGCAAUUUAUUUGGUUUGACUUCUAGCUUUUUCUUAACGACGAAGCACAAAUUAGAUACGUAAUCCACAGAUCAACAAAUUCUCCACUAAUGCAAAGUAUCAAGCGAGAAGUCACCAUAUACGAAACAGUUUAUACUUGCAAAUAUGACAGACCAAACACACAUCGUGUACCUAGUCUCCAUCUACUAAUUUUUACUUUCUAUUCCCUUGUGACUCUCACAGUUGAACUUUUUUUUUUAUAAAAAGAAUCACUUAAAAGAUUCAAAAUAUGCAAAUACUAUCAUGUAGACAAUUAUAUAAUUAUAUUUGUAAUUUAACUUAAAGAAUAUACAUAUUUUAAAUUUUUUAAAUGUAAAAAAAUCAAUUAUAUUUUUAAGUGCAGCCUAAAUUUUUAUCAAAGGGUUGCAUACCAAAAUUCUCUUUUAUUUUGAAAGAGGUAAAGCACCUCAUUAGUCAUUAGAGAAAAAGGCCAAAGCAAGGAGCCACCUUAGUUAGCGCUGUCGGGAAGCGUUGCAUAUUCGCCGUCUCCUUUUUCAAAAGCCAAAAGAAAUCGCCCCGAAUGUCCAAAGCAUGAAGCCACCUCAGUUAGCGCUGUCGGGAAGCGUUGUAUAUUCGCCGUCCCCUUUUCAAAAGCCAAAAGAAAUCGCCCGGAAUGUCCAAAGCAUGAAGCCACCUCAGUUAGCGCUGUCGGGAAGCAUUGCAUAUUCCCGUCUCCUUCUUCAAAAGCCAAAAGAAAUCGCCCCGAACAUCAAACCCACCCACUCGCCUCGGUCAGGGAGAGCACGGGAACUCGCUCGGGCCGCGCGCCACGUGAGCUCGAGGGGGCCAUUCGGUACAUUCUAAGUGGCCGAAGAUAUCCUCGAGACGCGAGGUGGGGACCACGCGUUGGCUUCGGUUUCUAAGCAGCUGACCGUCGUAGCGGUCGAGCAACGCGGAGAGGAGGAGCAGGGUGGGUCCGCGUGAAGAGACAACCUAAGCGGAAUCCACGAGGCAAAUUUCUACUCGGUUUUCGUGGAUAAAAGUCUUCGUUUAGUUACUUUAGGUUUCCACCAUUGCUUAGGGCCUCAGCUUGCACAGCAGAGUUUACUCUUACCGAUCUAGCAAAUUCAUCCAUCAAAUCUCCACAAUUGUUUCCGCAAACACAGCUUAUUGCUCCGAUCGUCGUUCUGGACAAGAGAGUUAUCGCUUGGGCCAAACUAGAUUUGAGAUGAGGCUUCCUUUACACAUUUCCCCUUCUUCUUCGCCUUUUCCCAACUGUUGAAGCACUGAUUUUCUGUCAUGACUGAGCUUAUAAGGUGCUUCGGAUUCAGUUUUAGUUUGCGGAAAACAAAGCUGUGUCUUUCUUUCCAAAUAUGCUAGAGGAUAGAUGCAAGGAGGUCGAAACUUGCAGAGGUAUGAUUGAAUUUAACUGGCCAUUCAUCUAUUCGACCAAGUCCAUAAGGCGAGAUGAAUUUGUAGUGCAGGAUCCAUCCAAAUUUGAUGCGUCCAAGGGCAAAGUAAGAAGAGAUGCUCUACCAUUUAUGGUUUCUGUUUAUAGAAAUCGCAAGUAUUUCCUUCCACUAUACCUCUCUUUUGUAGAUUUUCUUUUGUUUGCAAUGCGUUUUGACAUAACCCCCAUAAGAAAAUUUUGAUUUUCAGGCUUGUCUUAGCCUUCCAAAUCUUUAUCCAAAGAGAUCUAGGGAUUUGGUGAGAGGUAGAGGCUGUGGUGUUGUUAUUAUGGUCUUCCUUCUCUUUGAUUCUAUUAUACCCACUUUUAACAGUAUAGUCUCCUGUGUUUGUGUUUGUCCAGCAUAAUUGAUCCUCCUUUGCCUGGGAAACCAAUGGGAUUGUUCGAAUUUCAUUAACUGUGUGUUCAUCAAACAGAGUCCCAAUAAGUUGUUCAUUCAUAGCUGGGAUAUCUCUGUGAAUAAGCUCAAAGACCUUUUUUUGGUUCAUUUCUAUUUGCGAGUCCUCCUAUAACUCCUCUAGGAAGCCAUUUUGUCUCUGUGAUAUUAAUCUUUUCGCCGUUCCCUACUAUCCAUCAUACUAAAGGAAGAAUCUCGUCUCUGCCCAUUAGAAGACUUUGCCAGCCCCAUGAAGGUCAAUACCCCUUUCCAGCUGACCAAAAUUCAGAAUGAGGAAAAUAUAGAUCUUUUAGUAAUUGGCUCCACAGUGAUGAAGGAUUUUGCAUCAUAUGCCAUGCUUGUUUACUGAGCAUGUCUUUGUUGAAGGCGAAUAAAUGUUGAAAUCCCAAACCUCCAUAGUCUUUCCUAUUCUUAAGAAUGUGCCACUUCUUCUAGUGUAUUCUAGAUUUUGUUUCAUUAGUAUUCCACCAGAGUCUUGCAACUUUCUUUACAAUACUUUGACAAAUAGAAACUGGAACAUUAAAAAUUGACAUUGCAUAUUCUAGGAGAGCCUGCACUACUGUUUUGAUGAGAACUUUUUUUCCAACCUUGGACAUAAGUUUUUCCUUCCACUCUUCUAGUUUCAUGUUUACUCUAGCCAAUAUCCAAGUGACCAUUUGCUUUUUUGUUUCACCACAAUCUAAAGGAAUUCCUAAUUACUUCCCCGUUUUAGCAAUUUUUGGGACUCGCAAUUCAGUUAGCAUAUUUUGGCGGAGUGUAAAAAGACAAUUUUUGCUGAAGAAUAACCCUGAUUUGUUUAAGUUUAUAGCCUGGCCUAAAGUGAAACAGUAGCUAUUCAAAAUCUUAGCCAUGUUUUGAUAUUCUUUUAUAGUCCCAUCCAAGAAGAAAGAUUGAAUCAUUUGCAAAGAGAAGGUGGGUUAGUGUAGGACAAUUCUUGUUCAGCUGAAUGCCUUUAAUAGUGCCUUGCUCUAAAGUUUGUUUCAAUAAUUCUGAGAACAUAUUUGUCACUAUAUUAAAAAGAUGUGGCGAAAGUGGAUCACCUUGUUGUAGACCUCUUGAAGCUUGAAAGUAAGGAAGUGGUUCUCUAUUGAAAUUUAUACUGAAAGAAACAAUGGUAACACAUUGCAUUGCCUAGGUCACCUAUUUAGCAUGAAAAACCAUUUUAACAUACAAAUUUCCAAGAAGUCCCAUUCAAUUUUGUUGUAUGCCUUUUGCAUGUCUAGUUUUAGUACAACUUGAAACUUCCCCUUUCCAUUUCUAAUUUUGAGCUGGUGUAGUACCUCUUGGACUAUUAAAAUAUUUUCCUAUAUAAGUCGGCCUCUGAUAAAGGCACUUUGUUCCGGUAAGAAAAGAACUCCCAGCCACUUCUUCAGUAUAUUUGCUAGGAUUUUUUAGAUGAUCUUGUAUGAGAAGUUGCAUAAACUAAUAGAGCGAUAUUGUACCAAGCUCUCAAGAUGAUCUUGUAUGUUCUUGUAAUUGACUCGUGUAUAUUUGCACUGGGAGCAUGGGAGCAUUGCUACACUGGUUAGUUUUCUUUUCUAUUUAUUGACAAGAAAAAAGAAGAAGCAAAGUUGAGUCAAGAAGCGCCCAGUAUAGGGUGGUUCCAUGCACUUUCUGUGAACUGCUUUGGAAAUUACACGUGCAUUGAUUGCCCUUGGAAAUUAAGUGAUGGAGAGUAUAGUUAGGGUAUUCUGUUCUAAAAAUAAUUUAUGUUCAUAAAUAAUUUUUUUAUUCUUUUUCUUUGACGAGUUUCUAAGCAUUCGAAAGCAUAUGGUAAUUGUAUAUAAUUUAUAUUCCUGAAAUAGAGAAAGAACAAAAAUGCGUUUGAUAUAACCCUAAUUUUUUUUUAGUGCCAUAGAAUUUCCUUUAAUUUUUUAAUAACUUUAUGAGAUUUUUCUUUUCUUUCUUUUCUUCUUCUUCCUUCUCUAGUUGGUCACUGCUUUGAGGGAGCCUUGUCAGCCCCUGAUGAGGUUUGAGUCUCGCCUAGUGACGACGAGCCUGAGCUCACCUCGACGAGACUGACCUCAUCUUUGGUCGGUCGCUGGGUUGGAGGAGGAAGAAGAAUAAAAGAAAAGAGGAAAAAAGAAAAUUAUUUGAUUCUAAAACUAUUCCUAAAAAUAAUAAAGUAAUUUUUUAUCUACUUCUCGAUUUUAUUCAAAAUUGAUUUCUAAAAAUAAAUUUAUUUUUAGGAAUGUAAAAAUUAAUUAACGUUAUCAAAUGGAUCAUUUAUUUUUAUUUUUUUUGAAAAAUCAAAGGACAAAAUUCACUAAGAAUUUACUGAUUAUCAAUCAAUCCUAACUGACUUGAAGCAUGAGAAUUGAUUGUUGAUUGCCGUUUCUGUUUCUUCAUUCAUAGAAAAGGCACGUCAAGUCAAAAAGCACACGCACCUUCCCUAUGAUGCCGUGGGAUUUAUGUGUCCAAUAAUUAUCCUUACGUGCAGCAUAUGUCUUGGACGGUUGGAUAGCGACUCAUUAUGUACUUGUUUGGAGGAUACUCUUUUGAGAGAGAGAGAGAGAGAGAGAGAGAGAGAGAGAGAGUAGAUUUUGAUAGAAAUAAGAAACUUUCCCUAUCCUAAUGUCUUAACAAAGUGUCCUACUAACAUUUAUUUCAUAAUAUGUUUUUGUGCUUGACUCAUGUCCAUUUGCACCGGGAGAUUGGGAGUAUUGCUAGUUAGUUUUCUCUUCUAUUUCUUCUAGUAGUAGAAAAAGGCAAAGUCAAGUCAAGAAACACCAACAUAGGAUAGUUCCACGCACCUUCUGCAAAUUGAUGCGGAAAUUACCCGUGCAAUGAUUGCCCUUUGGUUUUCUUCUCUAUAUCUUUAUUAAUAAAAAAAGGCCAUUCAAGGUCGUUCUCGCUUUGAAUCAAAACAUUUUCCGCAUAGUUUUGAGUUGCUCAGCAUUGUUCGAGCAAGCUCCAUAAAAAGUGUUACGUAUGCAAUGUCGAACGCUAAGCACUGGUGGAGAUCACAGCUGCGAGCGAACAUAUAUAUCUCCUCUAGACAACAUAAAUGACUAAUAAUUUUUUUUCCAAUCCUGAUUACAUUGGUAUAGUUACAAUUGAAGAGUAACCUUAUUGUGUUGUAAAGUGCUGUGAUAUUUGUGUGUGAUACAUAUUUUAUAGUCGUAACACCUGAAAUUGUUGUAAAUUUAUAAUUGCUGCAGCUAACUUCAUAAUUGAUGCAGCUGUGAAGUAUUUGCCACGUUAUACAAGUUGCAAUUUGCUAUAGGGAAGUGAUACCAAACAAUCUCUUGAAUUGGGGACUUAAAUUAUUGUUCCUAAAAACUAGCAUCAUGGCUCCCUUGAAAACUUAUCUACAAUGCCACAAUGCCACAAUGCCACAGGGAGGAGGGAAGGUAUACUUGCCUAGAUCUGUUUCUAAUGGACUGCAUUCCUUAUAACAGUUAAUUAUGUGAAUCUCAUGUGGGCACUAUAUAUGAGACUAAUAUGAUUGAAUUCAUUUCUUUUAAACUUUAACCCUUCACAACAAUGUUAGGUUUGCAUGCAUCGUCAGGUUAGAUCGAAUAUAAAUGAUUAUUCUACAUUAUUAGUGAAAUUGAAAGAGAUUUUCUUUUCUUGUGAUGAUGACGGUUUGUGUUUUGCUCGAUGAGUAAUUGAGUACUUGAAUUUUUCUUCUUUGAUCAAGCAUUUCAAUUUCUUAAUUUUGGUUCAACGUAGUGUCUUCAUUAUCAUUGCUCUAUUUCUCUCCAAUUUUUAUCUUUUCCGGCAAGUCCGUGUCACGUUCUCAUCCCAACUCUCUCUCUCUCUCUCUCUCUCUCUCCACUUUUCAUCUCCCCAAAAAAUCCACCAUUUUUAAUAUAUUGAAAUUUUUUCGACCAAAAAAAGGUGCAUUGAAAUUUUAACAUCACUUGUCUAUUUAUCUUUGGUUUUGUUUCUUUUCAUUUCUUCUGCAUUGAAAUUUCCUCGCAUAUUUUCUUCUUCUUGGACAGGUAUCGCGUUGGAUUUUCUUGGGCGUUGAGAUUUCCGCCAUGUGAAGACAACGACUCUAAGCACGUGGUUACUGUUCCCGGUGCUUUACUUACUAAUUUACAUAUACCUCAACCAUUUUGACGCAUUGGCGCGAUUCUGAUUGCCAACUGGUUCGAUUAUAUAACUCAAACCAAUAAAGAGUAGUGGGCAACAAGGCAUUUCGUGUUUCCUGAGAAGCAUUCUGGUUUUUCCUCCGUCAGAGUUGAAAGCAAACGGUAAGGGCAGAGUCAGAGCAAAGACAAAAUGCAUCGUCCCAUUUUUGGGCGUUCUUUCGCCGUGCUCGUGGCACCCAUCCUUCUCUCCGUCCUUGCGUUUAAUUUUUCUAAACAAGAAGAAAACCAGCGUGCGUAAAAAUGUUAAAGAUGCUGAUGCUGCCACAUCUGGUUCAUUAACCAUGUCGACUGGAAACUACUAUGAGGUGUUCUUGAACUUUAGAGGCCAAGAUACUCGGAAAGGCUUCACUGAUCACCUCUACAAUGGGCUUGUUGAUGCUGGAAUUUCUGUUUUCAAAGAUGAUAACGAGCUCCGCCAAGGCGAGAAGAUCAGACCAGACCUUUUGACAGCCAUUAGGAACAGUAAGAUCCUAAUCCCCAUUAUAUCCGUUAAUUAUGGGCAGAGCAGGUGGUGCUUGGAUGAACUAGUUCAAAUAAUGGAGUGCAAGAAGAGUAACAUGGGUUACACCGUGUUGCCCAUAUUCUACAAAGUGGAACCAUCUCAUGUGCGAUUUCAAUGUGGGAGUUUUGGAGAUGCAUUUCGUACACGUAGUAAGCAUUUCGACUCAAUGACUUUGGAGAAAUGGAAGCAAGCACUCAACGAAGUCAGUUCCUUGAAAGGAUUUGAGGGUAAAAAUUUUUCACCAAAACAUUUUCUACUUUCUUGUAGUCUGCGUGGAUGUUUACUAGUUGUUCUAAUUCCUACUUGCUUCAUUUCUUUCUUUUAGGUUUUUUACAAAAAAGAAGAAGAAGAAGAAAAAGCAGUAAGAUCUUGCGAUGCAUGAGUUCCAUAAGUCAUUCUGUUUCAAGAAUUACUUUAAUGGUAUCAACAAAUCUUGUCGUAGAAUUUAUUGUUAUCAUCCCACUAGCUUGAAUAAUAUAGAAUUUUUAAUUGACUUAUUACUAUUAUGUCCAACGAUUUUUUAGGAUCGUGCCUUUUUUUCAUGUUUACAGCGUAAGCUUCAUUACUCUUCAUCACAAACUUUCCUAAUUACAUAUUUAUAUUAAGAUUAAGCUCAUUAAAUCAUAUACCACGCAUGUUGAAUUAAAUCAUUAAUGUCGUUAAUUUGUUGCUACUAAAAUUGUUUUUACAAAAGAAAUAUUUCAUUGGUUAUGUAGUAUGACGGUAAAUAUAAAAAGGAAAAAAGUUAUCUUUAUUAUAUGUUUUUUUAGAUAAUUUUCAAUGAAUUUUCCUAUCUUCGACACAUAAUUUCUAUGUCAUACGCCUGCAUAAAUUGAUUAAUUAAAAUCAUAUAAAAUAGACACUCAAGAGAAAUAUAAAGUACAAUAUGUUAUCAUCCCAUGAUGCAAAGAAAAUUGAUAAGAACACGAACCUAAAAUGUUAUUAAAUUCAGAAUAAGAGUAGAAACUUAUGAGUGUGUAGUUGAAUAGAUAAGAGAAACACCCUCAAAUUCAGGCAGUCAUAAUAUAGCACUCUUAACGACUUUCAUGACGUGAAUUUCUCUUGCAUCAAAAGUUAUGACUUAAUUAUAGAUUGAUGGUUGAACUCUCAUAUUGGGUUGAUUUAUUGGAUUUUUGCCUAUUCAACCACUCUAGAAAGUUUUCAAUGUCAUGUAAACAUCAUCCCAUUAUCUUUAACAGACAACAGGUUUAAAAUUUAAUUCAAAUCUAUAAUUCAUGUAAUAUUCACGAUUCAUCAGCGAUACCCUUAAGUUUCUUCUGGUUCAAUAAAUUAUGUCAAAGUAAUAAAUGAAUGGGGCACGCCAUGCGAAGCAACCACCACCAUUCCCUACCUUUAUCUUAGCGUAUAAGAUAAUAUAUGGAGGUGUGGCAAAAACAAAUCUUUUAACUUUUCCGAUUUAUCUUCCAGUUUGUUUAUUAUGUGUUAUCAUUAGUUAAGCAAUAUAAAAUCGCUAUUGCCAUGCAAUUGAACUCCUGUCACAUUUGACAGGUACGAAGGAAAAUUGGUAAAAUUGGUUGUCCAACAAGUGUUAUUUGAGCUGAAGAAAAAGUUUGAGUUGGUUAUUCCAGAGAAUUUGGUCGGAAUUGAUAGUCACGUAAAAAAGGUUAUGGAAUUUGUAGAUAAUAUUUCUCGUGCCUCCCUAUUUAUUGGCAUCCACGGAAUGGGAGGCAUUGGUAAGACUACUCUUGCUAAGAUCAUCUACAACAAGCUCUCCAAUCAAUUUGAGCAUCGUAGCUUCAUUGCUGAUGUAAGGGAAACAUGUGAUGAUAGGAGACUAGUGUACUUGCAAAAUCAGUUAAUCAAGGAUAUAUUGAAGCAAGAAAAUCAAGUUUCUAAUAAGGAUGAAGGGAUUCGGCUCAUUUCAUCCAAGUUUAAUGGUAAGAAAGUCCUUAUUCUUCUCGAUGAUGUGAGCAAUGAUGAUCAAUUGAAGGCUUUGGCCAGAAAUCAUAAUUGGUUUUCUUCGGGAAGUGUGAUCAUCAUUACCACCCGAAACAAAAGUAUUCUUGACAAUGCUGGGGUGGACAACCAGUAUGAACUUGAGGAAUUGGAUAAGGAUAACUCUUUGAUUUUGUUUAGUAGACAUGCUUUUCGAAGGGACUCUCCUCCAAGUGAAUUUAAGGACCUCACUCAUGUUAUUGUUUUUACCACUGGAGGGCUUCCCUUAUCUCUCGAGGUCUUAGGGUCAUUUUUGUGUGGAAAAAAGGAAAAAGUAUGGGGAGACACAAUAAAGAAGUUAAGAAAAUUUCCUCAUGAGGAAGUGCAAAAGAAGUUAAGGAUAAGUUAUGAAGAAUUAACAAAUGAACAAAAACAAAUUUUUUUGGAUAUCGCUUGUUUUUUCAUUGGCGUUGACCAAAGAAUCGCAUCCUACAUGUGGGAUGCAUGUGAGUUUUUCCCGGAGGAGGGAAUUGAAGUAUUGAGAUUUCUGUCUCUAAUAAAAGUUGGAGAUGAUCAUGAGCUCAUAAUGCAUGACCAAUUGAGAGAUCUUGGUAGGGAAAUCGUCCGCAAAGAAAACAAUUCGGAGCCUUGGAACCGUAGUAGGUUAUGGGACUCUGAGGCAGUGUUGGAAGUGCUAGAAGGAAAUAAGGUAAUCGUUUCUUCUUUUUUUUUGCUCCCUUAGUCCAUGUUCUACUGUCAACUUGUCGUUGGUCCUCCACUUGGUGCUUGCUCUAGUGAGUAGAAAACCUUCUAAUAUUAUCGUCCUCGUGGAGUUUCGUUGACAUGUUUAGAAAGCACAAAAUUGCUCUCUCUUAAUAAGUGUAGCAGUUUAUCAAAGAUUUUUCUUACAAAAGUGUACAUUAUGAAGUUUUCUCCAAGAAUGAGGUACUUUCAAAUUUAUUAGAUACUUGAUAGGGUAUUCUACAUUGAAAAAAAUCUGAAUUUAUUAAAUUGUUUGGGUUACGUCCAAGAAAGUGCAACAAAUAACUUGACUAUGCUAUUGUGAACAAUAACUACUUAGGAUAUAUAAAACAUAAAAUUCUAAUCUCCAGGUGCUAGAAUUAAUAUAAUUGGAGUAAAUGUGCCAGCAUUUUUCAUGAAAUUUCAAUCAUUAUACCUUAAUCGAGAAUGUAAAGUUUUUUUUUUCUUUUAAUGUUAUGUUAGGUUAGGAAUCACUAAUUUACCAAAAUUCACAUGAUAGAACAGAAACAUAUGUAGACAUACAUAACGUCGAGCGUACUUCAUGCAAUGACCAUUAAAAAGAGAGAGAUCUCUUUUUUUCCGCAUAAAAAGUCCAAGAGAUAAAUACCCUAUUCUAUUUUGUAUAUAAUUAAGUAUGUGAUUGUAUUGCAUUUGUGAAAUUAAUCAUAGUUUUCACUUUAUUACUUUGAAUUCAUCAUCCAGUUUGAUUCAAAAUUGUUGCUCAAAAGACCAGCACUUAUUUGCGUUUUUCAACGCGCAACCUACUUAUAAUCGCAAAGAGCCAAUUGAUAGUCUUAGCAACGUAAAGGCUAAUUUUUAUUUAUUACGUCUUUUAUAUUACAUUAUAAAAUAAGCUAAACCAACCAAAAGAAAAUUGUAUAUGUUAUAUCUAAACAAAUUGUAUAACUUCCACAACUAAAAAGGUACAUUAUUUCAUUCAAUCAUUUCAGUAUUUUUGUUGAGUCCAUUAAGUCGAAAUUAAAGUGGUUUUGAUAAAACUGAUCCAAGACCUUCUUUUAAGUAUAAUCCUACAUUUAAUCAGAAUAUACAAAGUAAUUUCAAAGCUAAUGUCUAUCUAUAAAGCAUAAUUGAAACACAUUAAUUAUUCACUCAUUUGAUAUUAGUGAGUAUACAGCCAAAAAAAAAAAAAAGACACUAUCUUUUAAACCAGAAACAAAAACAACUGUUCAAGCUUAUAAAAAAAGGCGCAGCCUUAUGAAAUCCUAAAAAGAAGCGCAAUCUUUUACAUGUAGGACAAAAAUAACACAACCGUUCAAGCUUCCUAGAGAAAAUCUAAACUUUUUAUUAGAAGAAUUACAAAAAAAAAAAAUCAUAAACUUAUUAUAAUUAUGUCAAUUCAGUUUCAAACCUUUUGUCAUUACGUCAAUUCAGUCAAUCCAACCAAAUUUGGCCAACCGUUCGGUGAACGCUAAUGUGGACAAAUUUUAAUAAAAUUUUAAUAUUUUUUAAUUAAUGUUUUUUCUUUUUUUUCUCUUUAAUUUUUUUUUUCCUUUUCUUUCUUCCUCUAGCCAGUGAGCCCCUACCAAAUUUGACAAGGACGAGGUUGACCCAGCCUAGUGAUGGCAAGGCAAGCCUUCCUAUUGGCCGGUGAGGCUUGCCCUCCCUCACUAGGGGGGUGAGGUUGACCCUACCUAACCAUUGGCGAGAGUCGACCUUGCCAACCCUCACCUCUGGCUAGUCGCCUUAGUUUGGUAGCUAGCUAGAGGAAGAACAAAAAGGGAAAAAAAAUAAAGAGAAAGAAAAGAAAUAAGUGAAAAAUGCUAAAAAUUUUAAAAAAUGUUAAAAUAUUAUUAAAAUUUGUUCCACAUUAGUGUUCCCUAGACGGCUAGCGCCAAUCAACAUCCACUUUCGUGCCAACUAGCCAAAUAUGAUCGGAUGGACUGAAUUGACACAAUCGUAAAAGGUUUAGGAUUGAAUUGGUUAAAAAAAGUUUAUGAUUGAAUCGACACAAUUACAAUAGGUUUAUGAUUUUUUUUGUAAUUAUCUCACUUUUCACUUAUAGGACAAAAAAGACGCAAGUUACAAAUUGUCUGCUCUCACUUUAAGUCUCCAAGUGUCAUCCUACAUGGCUCAUGGUUCUGUACAUUUCAUUAUACUUGUUAUCUAAAUAUAUGUAGUCAAGUAAUAGAACCCUCUAGACAUAUAUUCUUUUUCCUUCUAUAAUGGACUAUCUUGUUAUAUUUAUCUAUUUAUAAUGCAUGUUAAAUAAUUUUUGGUGAUGAUAGAUAAUUUUUAAUACAGCCGGUAUCCAUACACCUUUUCACUCAUAAUAGUCGACAUUUAUUAUACACUUCAUUAUACUUAUUGUUGAAAUAUACCGUAGUCAGAUAAUNNNNNNNNNNNNNNNNNNNNNNNNNNNNNNNNNNNNNNNNNNNNNNNNNNNNNNNNNNNNNNNNNNNNNNNNNNNNNNNNNNNNNNNNNNNNNNNNNNNNAAUAUAUGUUCGUUUUUUCCUUCUGUGAUGGGUAAUAUUAUUAUAUUAAUUUAUUUCUAAAGCAUCUUCUAUAUAUAUUUUUUGUGAUUUUGGAUAUCUUUUUUUUUUUACUGAUCCUUUAAUAUUAUUUAUUUGUCAAAUAUGAGUCCAAUAUGAUAUUGAUCUUUUGCUAUCAUUAUCUAGACAUAUAUGACUUUAAUAUUAUUUAUUUAUCAAAUAUGGGCUCAUUGAACAGUAUAAAUGAUAAAUUUAAAAGUUGUUUACAUAGCUCCAAAAUGUUUAUGGUCUAAAUAAGAUAAUUAUUGCUCUACUAGUCCCAUUAAUUGUAAAAAUUCAAACUUUUUUCCUUCUAACGUUGUAUUCUAAUCCACAGAUCUUACCACAUAACAUAUGCCAUUUUAGUUGCAUACCUAUAUUAAGUACCACUCGUAAGUAAUAAAUGCUCGAUUCGAUUUUAUGCAUUUAAUAUGUUAUAGACACCACUUUUCAUUUUUUAAAAAAAUAUCAAAAAUUGCAAUGUCUCUUUAAUUCAUAAUAUAUCUUUCUAUUAUUAUCAAGACAUGAUAUUUACAAAAUCAAAAAAGAGAUAAAUACCACUAAUAUAGGAAAGCUGAAAAUCAACCAAUGAAGGUUACUCAAACCAACAUACUUGUAUUCCUGAUUGGUUUUGAGAAAUGUACUGGACACAUAUAAAAUGGUUGAUGAAAUAAUGGGUGACCAAGCGAAAAUGCCCUCCAACGUGCUCAUGCAACUCACCAUCUCACAUUCUCCUUCCAAUCCAUGCGUAUUUUUUCUUUUUUCUCGUUUUUUUAAAGCUCCUCCACAAAAGGUAGUCUAAUCAUAUUGAGUUAAUCACAAUAUUUACAUUCUACUUAAUCCUCGAAAAUACGAGUUUUUACCUUACAGUGGACUUUUGCUACUAUUACAAUCUAUGACACUAGAAAAAUAGAGAAUCUAAACAUUCUUUUCUUGCAUUAUUAAGAAGAUAUUAUAUAAAGACGUUAUCGCCAAACAAAAAAGCAAAACAUGUCGCAUAAAGAAGAAUGUCCUAUUAAGAAAUAAAAAUAAAGAAAUGGAAAGGCAAAUGGAAGUAACCAAGGAAUAUUAACAGAUAAUUAAAUAAUGCAUCGACAGGGACACACCGUAGAAGUUCAUUCAAUUAGUCUAUAAUAAAUAAUUAGUAUAUUAUGUAGUAAUUUUCAACAUAAUAAGUGAUAAUGAGUUAUCAAGAUAGCACAAUCACUAUUUCAUUGACUAUUUACCUAUUAUUUCAUAUUUUAUAUAUCAAUGUUAUAAUAAAUGAUCAAGAUAACAAAAAUUCAUGAUCCCCGCAAUUUCAUGGAAGAAUAGUUAUUAUGACAUCUCCGUAUACAUAAACGUAUUUGAAAAUUAAUUCCCAAGUCAAAAUUUCCAUGAAAAGUAUAUACAAGAAUUUUUAGAGGUGAAAUUGUAGAAUUGUUUAGAACAACAUGUGAUACUUCUAUAAGAAUACAUUUUUGCAACAAUAUAUUUUUAACAAUACUUUUGUAAUUUUAUUUGAGAGCUAUGUAUUUUCAACAAAUCAUAUAUAUACAAACAUAUAUCCUCAAUACCAUAAUUAUAAAAUUUUUAUUGUAGAAGUAUUAUCAAAACUAAAAUUUUUAACGUGAUACGUAUUAAACUUGGAAGUAAAAUAUUUCGAUGAUACAUACGUAACCUUGUUUUUUUUUUUUUUUUAUAUAGAGAAUCAUUGAAGUUUACAUUUGAGUCAUAAAAUAAAUUUACAGUUACAACAUUUUAGAAAUUUAUAAAAUAAUAAUAAUUAUUAAUGUAACUAAACAUUUUCACAACCAUACGCUUGCACAGAAGUAAUAUUAGCAUAAUGUAAUUAUUCUUCAUGUCCAAUCUAUUGAUUAGCAAGAUCUUAUUAAUCUAUGGGAAAAUUGAUCAUAAAAUUAGCUAACUGUUAUUUCUUUGUAACAAAAUCAACACGAAAUGAAAAGUUAGCAUCAUACAAAUGAAGUAAUAAAAAGAGAAGUGAAAAUCAUUUAUAUAACAUUUGAUAUGUUUUCUUCCACAUAUAAUGAAAAACAUUCAUUGAAAAAACACGUUGUGACAAAGGAAUGUAAAACACGUGUGUGUACUUCUUGGGAUAGAAUUCUCAUUUUCAUUUUGCUAUUGAGAAUUUUUUUUUUUUUUGGUGAAAUGCUAUUGAGAAUUGUAAACAAGGUACAAAAGAAAAAGAGGGGGGGGGGGGGGUUCUACAAUUGGGAUUCUUUAGAAUUGAUACAUGUUUUGAUGGUAAAUUUGCCCGAUGCAUUUGAAGUUUUGAACUGUCAGAGACACGUUGUUUCACAUAUUAAGGAUUUGAGUUAAAGGUUUUGUUAUUUACCAUAUAAAGGGCAAGGGAUUUGAUAGAUACAUUUGAAGUAGUGUGUGCAUGAAGAGAGGCCUUCUAUAUUAAUUUUGAAAGGAUGCAACUUUUGGAAAUUUAAAUAGUGCAAAUUGUGAAGGGCAUAAUUGGAAGAGGAAAAGUACGGAAAGAUCCUCUAGAGCUUCACAUUUUUACAUAGAUUAUCACAACCUGUCAUGUCAUGAAGUCAAAAGUGAGAAGCCUAAAUCAUAGUAGUAUGACAACGGAUUUGAAAUCGAUGGCAUUUCUCAUAUACAGUUGGUCUCAACCCGUUAUUCAAAACUAUGAUUUACAAUGUUGCUAAUUGCAGGGCACUAGUAAGAUUGAGGCCAUUCGUCUUGGCUUAUAUGAUGGGAGUGGAAGUUGCAAUGAUGGGAGUGGAAGUUGCACGACUGAGACAUUUAAAGAAUUAACCAACUUGAGGUUUCUUCAAUUGGAUUAUGUGAAUCUCAUCGGAGAUUUUCAAAACUUGCUUCCUCAAUUAAGAUGGCUUGCGUGGGAUGGUUAUCACUUGCAUUUUGAAUUGACCAACUUUCACAUGAAGAAAUUAGUCGUGCUCAAUUUGUCGCAGAGUAAGAUUUCGAAUGAUUGGGCAGGAUUUGGUCCUCUAAAGGUAAGAUGUAAAGUAUGCAUAAUCAUGUGUUAGCAGGCUCAAUUACACCAAGUUCUUCUUUAUUUCUUUUGAAAAUCCUUUCUCAUAUCAUGGAUUUUCCUCGAGUAAAGAACACAAGUACCGCAACUUGGCAUAGGGAAACACAUAAGUACCAAAAUUUCCAAAAGAUACAUUUAAGUGUCACAUUUUUUGAAAAUUGGACACUUGAGUGCUAAUUUCGGCGAGCUUGUUGGAAAUUCGAUAUAGCGUUACUUUAUUAAUAAAACUAGUCUACAUGGCUCGCCGAAAUGUCCACUCAAUAAUUAUCAUCUAAAACGAUGUUGUCCUCUAUGCUCACUUAAGUGCUAGUCGUGGUUAAAAAAGAAUUACUUAAGUAUCAAAUUAUGGUGCUAGUGAUUACUUAAGUGCCACUCGUGGUUAAAAGUGAAUAUUUAAAUGCUAAGUUGUAAAAGUGAUAACUUAAGUGCCAAAAAAAUGUCAUUUAGCAUCAUCUCGCAUAAUCUACAAGGACGGUGCGAUGUCGUUCAACCAGUCUACAUGGAUAAUUCAUUUAAAAUAAAUGCCACAUAAUUUAAAAUUCUCGUCAGAAUAAGCCACGUCAACUGUUUGGUUGGAAAUUAUUGCUGUUAACACUUAAAUGUUUUAUUCUUCUAUGAUUUUGGUAUUUAAGUAUACAUUUAAGAAGUUUUGACACUUACGUUUCCCCACGUGUCAAGUUGUGACACUUGGGGUGUUCUUCAACUAAUUUCCUCUAAGCAUAAGAGGAAUUUAUUGGCACUUAAAUAUGUCAUAAGCUUUUUCCCCUUAAUAUUUUAACAACCAAUCAUGCUUAACAUUAGACCUACUAAUAAAAAAUAUUUUACCGUAUUAAUUAACAUCUACCACAAAUAUAAUUACAAUACUACACUCAUCUUAUUUUUAAUCUAAAUGGUAUAUGGUUUCUAGUUAAUUUCUCCCCAUGCAUGUCUUUUUAGCAAUUCUUGUUAUAUGUAUAUAUCAAUCUUCUUCCAUGGACAAACAAAAACUUCCUCACAGUGACUUGUGCUCUACAUACAUACUAAAAUUCUAAAUUCAUUGUUAUUUUUAGAGUAAUGUAAAUAAUAUGUGAACUGCUCUGACUUACUGCACACAAUAUUUAUUCAUUAUAAUUGUUGAGUGGUGGCACACAAUAUUUAUUCAUUAUAAUUGUUGAUUGUUGAAGUCACCGUACAACACAUUUAUAAAGUAGUAAUGUUAUAUGAGUAAUAAAUUUAUCUUGAAAUGGCAUUUAAAUAUUUUUAAUAUGACACUUUUUUACAUCUUGAACAUAUAGCAUUUAAAAAUAGUUUUUCAUAAUUAAAGUAGCCAUUUCUCUUUGAUUUCAUACUAUUGAAGGAAAACAUAGCACCAAAUGAAUGCAUCUCUUUUCUUCCAUUUAUCUUUGUUAUCUAUAAUUUGAUAAUUAAAUUUGUCUCUCUAAUCAAUAAUUUACAGCAUAGUCAUAACUUUGAAAAAUUAAAUAUGAUAUUUUCUACGAAAUUUUAUUUGCAAAUAAUUGUAGCUAGCACUUAUACAUCCCUGAUGUUCUCUUUUCAAUGAUAUGCUUAAAAACAUUUAUAUGUUGGCUUAGCCAACACUAAUGGAAAAAAAAUUAAAUUAAAUAAGACAGUUGUGAAGGAGUAGGGAGCAUGAGUAUUUUUAUUGCCCAAUCUCAUAGUGAUAACCUCUCUUUCUUUCAGAUGGCAACGGAGCUCAAAGUUCUCAACCUUUCGGGUUGUGCUUUGAGAACAACUCCUGACUUGUCGGCUUUCAAGGGCUUAGAGAUUUUGAUGCUUGAAGAUUGUUAUGAUCUAGAAGAGAUUCAUCCCAGUAUUAAGGAUGUUAAGACCCUUGUCUCCUUGAAUGUCAAUUAUUGUCUAAAUUUGAAGGAGCUACCGCAAGAAGUAGGUAGAAUGGAAGAAUUGAGGGAGCUUCUCAUACAAAACACUGGUAUACGAGAGAUUCCUAUGCCUCAUAUUGUAGACUACUUACUCGACUUCCAACAUCCUUGGCUCCCUUAUGUCAUUAACUUAGCUAAACCUAUCAAACGCAGGAAUUGAAGAAUUACCGAAAUCCAGUGGUUCUUUGAAGAAGCUCGAGACUCUAGAUGCAUCUUGUUGUGCAUUGUUAGCUCGCAUACCCAACUCAAUAGGCAAUUUAAUAUCUCUAUCUUGCCUUGACCUAAGAAAAUGCCAUAAACUUGCUCAACUUCCAGACUCUAUAGGUUGCCUUGUGUCUCUACAGCAGUUAUUAUUGUCAGGAUGCGACUCGUUGAGACAAAUCCCAGACUCGAUCGGAAAGUUGACAUCAUUGACUGAGCUGCAUUUGAAUGAUACGGCCAUUGAAGAAUUACCUGAAAGCAUUGAGAAUAUGCAGAACUUAUGGGUGUUGGACAUUAGUGGAACUCCCAUAAUAGAAUUGCUUGAUGACCCGGGAAUAUUGGCAAAACUCCAAGAGUUCAGAGCUUCAGGAUGGAAAAAUCCGGAAGGGUCACCUAGUAAUAAUGGUCAAUUGGUUUCACCAAACAAUCUUGGUUUAGACAAGCUUCAAAAACUAUCAGAAUUGCGCUCUCGCAUACUACCUCUAGGUAUCACUUGCCAGAUGCCGCAAUCACUGAAUCUAUCCCAACUAAACUUUCUCAAGAAACUCACUCUUUCUGAUUGGCUUGAAUGUCUCCCAAACCUUUCUAUAAAACAUUGUAGAAAAGCUAUGAAUCUUGAUUUUGUAUUUUCAAAAGUUCAACCUGUUAGUUGGGCAUUCUAUUUACUUUUUAUCUUGCGAUACAGUUCUCUUAAAGCAUCCCAAGACUCUUGCAGCUGACAACUCAGCCAUGGACUAUCAAACAGCAGAUUUUGAACACGUUUUGGAGAGAUCAAGACCUUUUGGAAUCUCUGAUGAAGUAGUUAUUUCAUCUUGCUUUUUCUUUAUCGUUCUUUAGUCAUUAUAGGAUGGUUCCAUCUACAAAGAGAAGUAUUUUACUGGGUGAUCGAUUAGCUGUUAUGUAUGGAACGUUUUUCUCAACAUUCAUAACUAGAUUUGUCAGUCUUGUUACAUUUACUUCUCACUAUUUUAAGUCUUUUGUUCAUGGAAGUAGGGAUUUUCAAUAUCCUGAAUUAUAAAGUUAAGUUGGAAUAUAUUGCCUGUUCUUUUACGAUUCUUUUUCUUAAUUAUCUUUCUUUGCAUGCCAUUGAAUGAAAAGCUUUUGAGAGCGCUCUCACUUUGGUGCCAUUGUAGCAUAUGAUCAUGCACUGAGAAUCUUCAGGAGUGUAGGGGUUAUCUCACAUCGAUUAUGGAAGGAGAAGAUUGUUAGUUUAUAAGUCUAAAGGAAAACCUUACCCUUUAAGCUAGCUUUUGGGGUGAGAUAAGCCCAAGACCACCCAACAAUGAUAAACUUUUAGUUUUGAGGUUUCUAGAUACCCUUAACUUUCAUGAUGUUAACUUAAAGAAAUAAUUGAGGAUUGGAAGGAUUACAAGAAAGUCUGAUGAGAGAAAAAGGAGCAAAAGGGCUAAGGUUGUCAAUUUGUGUCUACUUGUCUUAGUUGUGUUUGUUACUGUGCCAAUUCAUCUUGACUUCUAUUAGACAUGUCAAACCAUUGAAUUAGACAAAAGCAUGUAAAUAUGUCUCAACCAACUAGUUAAACGUAUGGUGAUGUGUCAUAUUUGGGUUGUGUUUGUGUUUUUCAUGUUUGGUAUUGUCAUGUAAACAGUCGGUGUCAAUAUUAGCAGCAUUAAUGAGGAGUGCGGACUGGGAAGGUGUUGAUUGCAUCUUCUCCCAUCAUGCAUUGUGCUCACAUAUGCUAGUAAAAGAGGCGCUCUCAUAUGAGUUUUGCAUCUUUCGAGUGCCAUGGUUUUGAUCAAUUUUCUAAAGGACUAACUAGCUUUGUAAUCUUUAUGACCUUCUUUUAGGUGAAUAAUUUGCCCGUAAACAUUUUGCCUGUCUCAUACAACUGCCCGAGCCUCGGUCAGAGUUCUUAUUCUUCAAAUGACUUGCCCAGAAAUUUAGUCAUUACCCUAAGUCAAGGUUCACUUGUUAAGAGUAUGGAUUUCCAUCAAGUGAAACAAAUUCUGCUACUCGGUUAGCACUUCUUUCUUACUCUAUGAAUAACAUGUUUCGUGCUUUUCUUUAGUUGGGGAUAUACUUGUUCUCGUUGGAGGCCACAAGUUUGUGCUUUUGUGUUUGGAAGAUUGCUUUUUGUUGUUCUUUUGACGCUAGCUUCAGCUAUUUUAAACCAUGGGGUAUGAUUCUUCAAAUUUUCUACAUUAAUAAUUUUUAGUGGGAACAAAUACGGGCGAUGUCAUGGUAUGGGAAGUAGGCAAUGGUGCGAGGAUUGCUUUGAGAAAAUUCAAGAUUUGGGAUCUGGGAAAAUGUUCAAUGGCGCUACAGGUAUAUAAGUUCAAUUCUAAAUAAAAUCAUGACAUCUUGUUUUUGGACAUGUGAUUAUGGGUUUUGAUUCUUUGUAGGCUUCUUUGGCCAAUGACUAUACACAUUUGUUAACCGUGUGAUGUGGAGUCCUGACGGAAUCCUUUUUGGUAUAUAUAGAUGUCACUUCUACUUGUAUAUCAAUUUAAGAAAUUAGGCAAUACAUACUUGCAAAUUGAUGGAAAAACUAAAGCGCCGAGAACCGGACUUCAUUGCAAUAUUUUUAGGAAGAAGUGUCCACAUGCUGCUAUUAGUGAUGAUUUGUGGUUUUCACUUUAGGUGUUGCUUAUUCCAAACACAUGGUGCACAUAUACUCAUAUCAUGGUGGUGAUGACAUGAGGAAUCACCUUGAGGUUUGUCGUUGAACAAGGAGAAAAAAAAUUAAGCUUCUUUGUUCUGCUGAAAAUUACCACCUAAAAGUGACAACAACUUGAUUUUGACUUUAUACUAAUGUCUGAUACAGAUUGAGGCUCAUGUUGGAAGUGUUAAUGAUCUUGCCUUUUCAAAUCCAAGCAAACAAUUAUGCUUUGUUACUUGUGGAGAAGACAAGACGAUCAAGGUAUAUUCUAAUUGUUUUCCCUAGUGUGACAUUGUUUUGCUAUUUGAACCUUUUUAACCAAGCUAGUAGUUAUGCAGGUAUGGAAUGCAAUGAUAGGGGCCAAGCUACUUGCUUUCGAGGGUCAUGAAGCACCUGUAUAUUCCAUUUGUCCAAACAACAAAGAAAAUAUUCAGGUACCUGGUUAUUUUGCAUACUAACAUGGACACACUACAAGCAGGGCUAAUCGGCUGUACCCUUGACUAUAAAUUGGAAUUCUGUUUUCCAAAACUCGGUUAGGUAAAAAAAUUGUUUUAAUUUGUAUAAGAAGUGUGAAUCUGGGUUUUAAUGGACCUUGUUCAUUUUAAGGAUUUUGCAAGUCUUCUAACUUUUGACCUGUCUUUAUUAGAAUGUGCUUCUUAAACAUGGUGACAUGGUCCAAAGAUCAACUUGCAAAUUGGAUUCUUUCAGGCGAUGCUAUUAAGCAUUAACAACUGGGUAAAGGUCUUCACAAUAAUGAACUUCCUGCUUAAUUAUGUGUUCAGAAGGAAAAUUCCUCAGCUUCCAUCAUUUGUUCUUCCUUGGUUUUCCCCUUCGGUUUUAAUUAAUUGAAUUUACAAUAGGAGACUGUUUACGCGUCUGAGUGGAGCAGCAAUUGGUGAUCUUAUUUUCUUAUUUUUAAUUUUUUUAAAUAUUUAUGGUUGUGUAUGAUUUAUUACAAAGAUAUUUUAUGAAAUCUCAUCAUUCUAGGAUGCUAUGUUUAAUCAUUAAAGUAGAUGUGCUCUAUCUGGGCAUGUUAUUGAAAUUGAAUAUACAAUUGUUUUCUCGUCUAGUACGUCUGCUCAACAGCGACCGAUGGGAAAAUUAAGGGUUGGCUUUAUGACAACAUGGUGUCAAGAGUUGACUGGGAUGCACCAGGUCACUCUUCUACCGUGAUGGCAUACAACGCUGAUGGAACAAGGUUCAGACCAUAAGCAUUGCAUUUCAAGCUUGAUUUCAUCUUGUGUCUUUCUUUCUGACUGAAAUAACCUAUUUUAGCGAUUUUAUUUGGCUGUAGGUUAUUCUCGUGUGGGACCAAUAAAGAAGGAGAGUCAUACUUGGUUGAAUGGAAUGAAAGUGAAGGGGCUAUCAAGCGUACCUAUCAUGGACUUGGAAAGAGAUCUGGUGGGGUGGUGCAGUUUGAUACCACAAAAAAUAGAUUUUUGGCUGUUGGUGACGAGUUCACGGUCAAAUUUUGGGAUAUGGACAAUAAUAAUAUUUUGAUAAGUGCUGAUGCUGAUGGUGGAUUGCCGGUAAUUCAUUGUUGUUAAUUUAAUUUGAUUGAAUUAGCUGAACCUUUCCAUUAAACCCGCUCUUUAAAUUUGCAGGCUUCACCUUGUAUUAGAUUAAACAAGGAAGGAAAUCUAUUAGCCGUCUCAACAAGUGACAAUAGUAUCAAAGUUUUAGCAAAUUCUGAUGGGAUUAGGCUGCUAAGGACAAUGGACAAUCGGCCUUUUGAUGCUUCUAUAAUCACUCAUGGACCUCUUAUGAAGGUAAGCCUUUUCAAAAGUACACUGACUUCAUAGAGAUGAGCUUGCUAAAUGUCUUGAAUCUUGUAUUGCCACCAGUAAUCGCAAUAUUUGGUUCUUGUAAUGCUACUGUUGGCACAAGCCUGGGUAAUAAAGGGGUUCCAGUGACAGUAUUAAAAUGUUUGAUUCAAUUUCUAGAAUCUUCUAGAUGGGCAUUUGGUAGAGAAUUUUAGAAAAAUCCUACAAAAAAAAAAUUCCGAUGGAAAUGUCUCAAGUCCACUAAAGUUGUGUAGAAAAAUCCAUAAAAAUUAUCUCUGCAACCUAUAGAGAUAGUUGCCUUCAAAAACAUCUCUGACUUUUUUUUUUUUUGGUUGGAGAAAAAAAAAUCUCUGACUUGAGCAGAGAUUUUUGCACGUCUAAGUUGAUGAUGCAAGCCUAUAAAAGGCUUGGGGUCGUCCAAAAAAAACAUAUUUAGGACUUUGUUUUUUUUUUCUAUUUCCAAUAAUAGGUUUGAAAUAGAAAUGUAACUUUAUUUUUCUAUUUUCGGGACAAAUUUUUAAUCUAAAAGUAAGUUUUGAAUAGAUAUGAGAAAUAAAAAAUUUCUACUUUUCUGAUUCUAUUACAAAAAUAAAAAUAAAAACUUUUAUCAUUGCUGACUAGUUGCUCACCAGUCCCACCCAAAAUUUUAAGACCUAAUCGAAUGAAUUUCUAUUCUGAGAGCAAUUUUGUGUUGUUAUCAAAUGCAUAUCUUUACUUAGAAAGAAUAGAAAUAAAAAAAAAAUCUAUUUAUGAUUAGAAAUUGUUCACAUGUGCCCUUUGUACACCAGCUAAGUUAAUCAUAUCCAAUCAUGUCCUCCUUAAUUUGUAUCAUCCACUGAAUAAUAAAAGUCUUUUCCUUUCGGCCUUGUGCUCCCUUGCUGCCACUUCCGGAAAUCUUUGUCCAAUUCUUUUACAUCAGCGGCAGCUGACUUGCGGAGCAUUUUUUCCUCACAUCCAUCCAGUUAUAUUUUAACACAUCUCUGUGGAUUUUGAAUUAAAAAUAAAAUUCCUUUGAUGAUCCAUCCGUCAUGGACCUCGGACAAGCCGGCUGCCACCCCUGAACACCACCGCUCCGGAGGCCGAGCUCCAAAUCUAGCCGAGUCGUGGCCUCGGCGCCGCACCAGAUCUAGUCCACCUUCACUUGCUUCAAGCUGAUCCAUGGCCGCCUCCGAAUCUGGUCGACCUCGACUUGACGCCAGAUAUCGUCUGCCUUAAAAACGGUUCGAGCUCGGCGGCUCCUCCAUGACUGACGAGAAGCCGCCGAGAUUUUGGUCACAAUGUCGAGCUUGGCAGCCAUGGAAGGCCAUCACCUCCGGAUGUAGAGGCUCAAUGGCAAUGGAGGCCGAGCGUCCAGAUCUGGCCGUGGCGGAGGUCGUGACAUGACCUCGAGCUGCAGCGAUGACCGCCGUUAGAGGUCGCCUUAAGAGACAGCGUUAAAAGUUGCAGAGGGCCAUGGACAGAGCGUGUAACAAGAAAGGAGACAAAAAAAUAGAAAAGAGAAGAAGCAAAGAAUGGUGGGGAACAAUAAGAAAAAGAAACAUCUUUUCCAACUUUUCAACAGCAUCACCGGGAUGAGCCACGCCGACGACCAUGGACUGCCAGAUCUCGAGAGCCAACAGUGUCGACGGCCAUGGCGGAGCAAGGUUCGCGAGUGACGCCGAUGGCCAUGGACGGCCAAAAUUGGAAAGCCAGUGGCGUCACUCGUCUAGGUGACGCCCACGGCCAUGGUCGGCCAGCUCUGAAGAGCCAGCAGCGUCACCGACGCAUCAUCGGCCAUGCCAGCUCGUCCGAGGUCAAGUGGCUGGCUUUGGACGAACGAGGAAGAUGAAGCUAGAGGAAACAAUUCCACCACACAAAGAAACUCCACACCAAUAUUUUUUUAAUUUAAUUCAAGACAUGAAAUUUUUUUUAAGUGGAUAUCAAGGAAAAAAUGCUCGCCCCGUCAGCUGAUGCGGCGCUUUGAAACCACCUAAUAUCUUCCCCUUUCCGCACACAUCUACACAAACUAGCAGAUAAACUAGAAAACCAUCGGGCAGCAAUGGUAGGGAUGCCAAGUGGUAUCAUCAAUGCAUUAGGUCGUUAAAUUUUUUUAAGGAGCUUUAUUUGUUGCUUACUCUAUUAAUUGCAUUUGUGUGUGCAUGUUUAUUGGACGUCUUUCAAUGACAUCCUCUCUUUUGAGCUCUACAGGACAGUGAGAGCAUGGCCGAUGUGAAGCCCGGGAUUGCUGAUGAGUCAGGAGACAAAUCACGAAUUUGGAGACUGACAGAAAUCAAUGAACCAUUCCAAUGCCGGUCCAUUAGGCUGCCUGAUGACUCUAUGGCUACAAGGGUACAAAUAAUUGCCAGAUUAGCAUGUUCUUAUGCAGCAUUUCUUUUCCACAUUAAUCUGUUAUGUUUCUAUUAGAUAAGCACAAAUUGAUGCAGUUUGCUUUAUUAGUUUCAUUCACAUGCGGCCCAAUUUUUUAUCUCUUAAACCUCAACACUUGAAAGACUUUGUCAUCUCUUCAUUUGGCCUUUUAUUGUUACCUGAUUGUUUCAACUAUACUAAUAGAAAAGAAUAUGAUCAACAUUAAUGAAUCUAUGAUUAUGAUGUGGCAAUUGUGCUUGAGUUUUAUUGGCUGUGGAGGUCAUCAAUUUUAUGAUAACGAUGAAUAGCGAGACGGAUGAUUCCAAAUUUAGAAUGAAGUGGUAUAAUUGAAUAAAUAGACUUUUUUAGCCUUUGCUUGAAAUCCGAUGAGGCAGAUUGUUCUGCGGACUCACAUGCAGUUACAUGGAGUGAAAGGCACAGAUUCUUCACGAGAUGAAUUUGGCUUAAUAUAUGGCAGGCAAAGUAUAUCAUUGCGUACCACUUUGAUGCUUGUCGAAAUGCUAAGCUUGUGAAUUAAGCUAUUUUGGGCUUGUCAACUCCCGGAAACUGAGUGGAAAUUUACCUGCUGAAUCUAAAUUCAUGAACACGAGAGGCCAAAGGUUAGAUAUUCCCAGAAAGAGCAGCAUGGUGAAGGCACUGUAUUUUUGCACGGAGACCUUACAGAGUUCUCUUAGUUCUAUAGGGAUACAGCUAGACGAUUCAAGUCUAGGUUCUACUAUUUUUUUGGUGAUUGUCUCGACUGGGUUUUGAUGUCAUGCGUAUCGUAUGCUCUGUUCAUAUGUAAACAUACAGUUCGCCCGCGCCCCUAUGCUGAUAAAUAUGCCGGCGGCCUCUCUGAGUGUCUCUUUGCAUACGUUUCUGCAUCUACCAUUUAGUGCCCAGUUCUUUAGGCUCUUUCUUUUGCAUUUUCUUUUAACUUUGGGUCUUACAUUUACCUAUCAAUACUGAAGCUAAUAAAAUGAAGCAGGUCUCGAGAUUAAUCUAUACAAACUCAGGUCUUGCCAUUUUGGCUUUAUCAUCGAAUGGUGUACACAAGCUCUGGAAAUGGCAAAUAAGUGAUCGGAACUUAACAGGCAGGGUAAGGAAUCUUUUUUUCCUCCUUGAAAUUGCCAAGCUAUUUUAUAGUUUAGGGCAUCGAUAACUACAUUAAUUCGGCUUCCAAAAAAAAUAUUACAUUAAUUCUUCUUUCCAGGCUACAACUAGCGUUGUACCACAGUUGUGGCGACCUGCUAGUGGGAUUUUGAUGACCAAUGCCGAAAGUGAUACGAAUCCUAAAGACGUAGUUUCAUGCUUUGCACUGUCAAAGAAUGAUUAUUAUGUAAUAUCAGCGUCAGGGGGGAAGAUCUCUUUGUUCAAUAUGAUGACUUUUAAGGUGAAUAUUUUCCAAAAGGCUUGUUUACAUCCUCUUGUCUGUUUUUUGUAGCACUAUCCACAAGGCACGAGAUGAUGAAAUGCCCCUUUAUGCUGAAUAUGCAUGCACUAUUUCCUUCACAUUUUUAUGGGAGCUAAAAUUAAUUGAUUCUAUCAUGUAAAAAAACUAUUGAACUCUGUUGUUAGGAGGUCCUUGAAAGCAAUUGCUCCGAUUUUCAUGUGGAUUAUUUAGUUAGAAGUGCAGCAUAUGCCAUUUUUUACUUGCUAAGUGAGUGAAGGUCUUCAUUGUCUGUCUUCAAUGGAAUCUCUUUGCUCUUAUCGAUAAAAGAAAACAAGGCAAGAGCUUUUUUGUCCCAUUCAGAAAUGUAAUGGUCGAACUUGCUCUCUCCCUUUCCCAAGAAGGGAGAUGCCAUUGAGGCAAAUGCCUCUUGAAACGUCCCUCUGUUAAAAGUUUUUAAUAGUAUCCUGCAUACUGAUAUCCAGAUGAUGACAACAUUCCUAUCACCACCACUGCGAGACAAUGACGGUAUUGUAAUAGAAAUGGAUGACUCCACUAUUCAAAUUUACAGUGGUCAAGUUGGUGAGGUGAGACUUAUUUUCAUUGUCGUUGAUAACUAACGCUGUCAUUACCAACGACAAGUUAUAGAUAUUGACUAUUUCACUUUUUCAGAUCCAGACGAAACUAAAAAGACGUCAGAAAUAAUAAAAGGCUUUGCGUUCUCAACUUCCUUACAUGUUCUCAUGUCUUCUGGUGCUGAUUCUCAGGUAUCAGACCACCGCUUUUUUACUUUCUAAGCGAGACAAGGGCUUUUCUCUGUCUUCAAUGGAAUUUUUUUGCUCCUACUGAUUAUAUAAAACAAGGCAAAAGCUUUAUUUAACAUUCCAAAAAUAUACUAUUCAAAGUUGCUCUCUCCCUUCCCCAGUAAGGGAGAUGCCAUUGAGGCGAGUGCCUCUUGGCACACGUAUGUCCCACUGUUACUUAUAAAGUAGUUAAUACUAUCCGACCUGCUGAUAUCCAGACGAUGACAACAUUUACGCCCUCACCACCUCGAGCAACAUUUCUGGCGUUCUAUCCUCAAGAUAAUAACAUUAUUGCAAAAGGAAUGGAGGACUCCUCUAUUCAUAUUUACAAUGUUCGAGUUUAUGAGGUGAGACCUGAUUUCAUUGUCGUUGAAAGUUGACCUUGCUAUUAUCUGCAACAAAGUUACGGAUAUUGACUAUUUCACAUUCUCAGUUCAAGGCAAACCUAAAAGGACAUCAGAAAAGAAUUACAGGCCUCGCGUUCUCCAAUGUCUUAAAUGUUCUCGUGUCUUCUGGUGCUGACUCUCAGGUACAAGACCACUGCUGCAUCUUCCUUUCUAUGUAGAUAUGCCUAUGUUUUGGGCAGAGAGAGCAAUGUAGGUUAACCUGCUCACAAUAAAAAAAAGGGGGUUGAUGUUCGCUCUGGAUGUAUUGAUGCUUACAGCCUUAUCAUACGUCAGUUCAUGAAGGCAUCCUUAAAUAGGCAGAAUAAAUCCUUCCAGAAAACUUCUUCUUUAGUGGUUACAUAUUAAUCCCAUCCCAUUAAGUGGAGAGAAAGAAAAGCUAUGCUAUCCUGUUGUUGCUAACAAUUGAUGCUCGGUGUAAAUCUGAUAUAAAAACACAGUAAAAUUUUGUUGCUUAAUUUGUGAAUCAAUUUUGAUGUACCCUUUGAUAAUUGUUGAUUGUCACUGCAGCUAUGUGUUUGGAGCACUGAUGGAUGGGAGAAGCAGGCUAGUAAGUUUCUGCAGAUGCCGACUGGGCAAGGUGCAGCUCCUUUUGCUGAUACUCGUGUUCAAUUUCAUGUGGAUCAGAUACAUCUGCUGGUGGUUCAUGAAAUACAGAUCGCCACAUGUAAAGCUCCUGAACUAGAAUGCCUCAAGCAGGUAUUAUUAUUGCGUGCAAACCAAUCUCUUAUCUCAUCCUAAUUGCACAAAAAUUAGUGAAAUAUUAGGUAGUAUGAGUUGCUUCGUGCCAAAUGUACUUUUUUUUAUUUGUUGUUCAUCGCAACUAGUGGGAUACUCGAGAAGCUAGCGCUCCAAUCACAGAUGCUACAUAUUCAUGCAAUGGCCAAUCAAUAUAUGUGAGCUUUGAAGAUGGAAGCAUCAGUGUUCUUUCUGCGUCUACUCUCAAAUUGAGAUGUCGUAUAAAUCCUGCUGCUUAUAUCUGUUAAAAUAUGAUCCAUUUUGUGAAAACUCUAGAACACUCAUGCUUAAUGGAGAAGGAGCAAAAUCGGCAGCAUCAAGCUUCGAAGACUCUCAAAGGCUGAAGAAAUUUCUGGUACGUGGGCAGCAGAACACGUGGACAGCAAAUAGGCCAAAGAAAAGUCAACAAAAGUGGCUGAGAGUUGGAGAGAAUAGAAAAAUGCAGAAAAAUGGAGGAGAGACCAGAAGAAUCGGGAGAAGCCGCAUGGACGAAGAAGCAAGCUGAAAUUUUUUAUAUUUCUUGUACUCAAUGUCGGUGAAGAAGAGGCGGUGCUCACGCCUAUAAAUAGAGGUGUGGUGUCUGUUUUAGUUGGCUGAAAAAACCAAAACCACUCCUUCCUUUGUAAUACUUACUUUCAUAAUAAAAGUUCUGUUUUUUUUUAAUCCAUACACCCUUGCCUUUGUAGCCCAUAUUUCACACAUACACACUUGCACACACACACGCUUCUGCAAAAACACCAACAGUGGUAUCAGAGCCACGUCUUUGGUUGGUGUCGGGUGUUUGUCCUACCCACCCACUCCUAAAACUACUAUUUCCAAAUACCCACUAACUAAACCAUGGCCAACUCUACCUCGUCCUCAUUUCCCAUUCCCAUUUUUGAUGGGAACAACUAUGACUUUUGGAGCAUAAAAAUGACUACAUUCUUGAUGGCCCAAGACUUAUGGGACAUCGUGGAAAAAGGUCACGAGGCUCCGCCAGAAGGUGCAAGUGUUUCGAAGGAUCAACUACAAAAGGAUGCAAGGGCGCUAUAUUUUAUCCAACAAGCACUCUCGGAAACCGUAUUUCCGAGAAUAAUUGGAGCAAGGACUGCAAAAGAGGCUUGGGAUAUACUACGAGAAGAAUUUCAAGGAUCGGAAAAGGUACGCACUAUUCGUCUUCAAACACUAAGAAGAGAUUUUGAGAAUUCUAAAAUGAAAAAUUAUGAGACCGUACAAGAAUAUUGUGGAAAAUUAAAGGAACUCGUUAAUCAAAUGAGAGCCUAUGGAGAUGGGAUAACUGAUCAAAGGGUUGUUGAGAAAAUAUUGGUGUCACUUACAAAAAAAUACAACUCUAUAGUUACAACUAUAGAAGGAACUAAAGACUUGACGACCCUAUCAAUAAGUGAAUUAAUUGGCUCUCCAGAAGCAUAUGAGAAAAGACUAAUGGCACAAGAUGAAGAUUCGGUCGAAAGUGUCUUUCAGUCUAAAGUAAAUAUACGGUCUCAUCAAACUAAAAAUGAUGGAAGGAGCUCAUGGAAAAACAAAAGAGGAGGAGAAAUUAUAAAAAAAAGAAAAUUAUCCACCUUGUGGUAUUUGCAAGAAAACAAAUCAUUUGGAGAAGGAUUGUUGGUUUAAAAAUAAAAAACAAUGCCGCUUUUGUAAAAGAUAUGGCCACGUAGAAAAAGAUUGUCGCUCGAAAACAAAUAAUCGAGCAAACUAUGUAGAAAAAAAAGAAGAAGGUGAAGAGAAUACAUUCUACGCAGGCCAAGCGGCAAAUGACAAUAAAAGCGAAACAUGGUACAUCGAUAGUGGGUGUAGCAAUCACAUGACAGGGGACGAAACUAUAUUCACUCAUAUCGAUAAGUCAGUGAAAUCUCAAGUAAAAUUGGGCAAUGGUGCAUUAGUAGAUGUCAAAGGAAAAGGCACCAUCGCCGUGGAAACAAAUAAAGGCCCAAAAUAUAUACGUAAUGUGUAUCUAGUCCCUCGUCUUGCACAAAAUCUCUUAAGUGUGGGCCAAAUGAUACAAAGUGGGUAUUCUCUAUAUUUUAAUAGAGAUACCUGCAUUAUCUAUGAUAAAUAUAAAAAUAUCAUUGCCUCUGUUAAGAUGAAAAAUAACAAUUUUCCUAUUCAAUGGAAAUUGGUCAAAGAUGUAGCCAUGAAAGCUCAACUUGAUGAUUCAUGGCUAUGGCAUCGAAGAUUUGGCCACUUCAAUUUUGCUGGGCUAAAAAUUCUCCAUCAGAAAAAUAUGAUGAGAGAUUUUCCAGCCAUCACAGAAAUCUCAGAUGUUUGUGAAGGCUGUCUUCUUGGAAAACAACAGAGACAGUCCUUCCCAUCUGGAGGUGCAUGGAAAGCUAAGAAGCCAUUAGAACUUUUCCACACGGACGUGUGCGGUCCGAUGAGGACACCUACACCUAGUCAAAAUAAAUAUUUUAUCCUAUUCAUUGACGAUUACACAAGAAUGACGUGGGUAUAUUUUCUUCGAGAAAAAUCUGAGGUUUUCUCUAUCUUUAGAAAAUUCAAGAACCACGUCGAGAAUCAAAGUGGCCAAAGAAUCAAAGUCCUAAGAAGUGACAGAGGCACAUAAUACAAUUCAAAGGAGUUUAAUAAAUUUUGUGAAGAUGAAGGAGUCCAUCAUCAACUAACUGUUGGCUACGCCCCAGAACAAAAUGGAGUAGCUGAAAGAAAAAAUAGAACCGUCAUGGAGAUGGCAAGGUCUAUGCUAAAAGAGAAAGGCCUUCCCAACACUUUCUGGGCAGAAGCAGUUUAUACUGCUGUAUACCUACUAAACAGGUGUCCAACGAGAGCUGUACAAAAUAAAACUCCAGUCGAAGCAUGGAGUGGACGAAAGCCUUCAGCAAAGCAUCUUAAAGUGUUUGGAUGCAUUUGCUACGUCCACAUCCCUGCUCAAAAAAGGAGUAAACUAGAUGAAAAGACAGAAAAAGGAAUAUUCCUUGGAUAUAGUGACCAAUCAAAAGGCUAUCGAAUUUACAACCUAAGAACUAAAAAGCUAAUAAUUAGUCGAGAUGUCGAGUUCGACGAGAAUGCUGCCUGGAAUUGGGAAAGCGAGAAGAUUGAGAAGAAGUACAUAACCUUGCCAGACAUACCACCUGCUCAAGAGGAGACAAUGUCACAAGAAGAAGGAGUAGUACCGGAUUCUACCACUCACGAUAUAACUCCACCAAGCUCUCCAAGAGCAACACAAGAAGAGUCUACUCCAGAGUCUCCAGUACUAAGGGAAAAAGCCCUUAGAAGAAUUUACGACACAUGCAACUUUGCUAUUUUAGAACCUGAAAACUAUGAACAAGCAUCCAAAGAAGAAGUUUGGAUAAAAGCUAUGGAGGAAGAGAUCAAGAUGAUCGAGAAAAAUGAAACUUGGGAGCUUGUCGAUCGACCCGAAGACAAAGAGAUCAUUGGCGUCAAGUGGGUCUACAAGACGAAGCUCAAUGCGGAUGGAUCAAUCCAAAAGCAUAAAGCAAGGCUUGUGGCGAAAUGAUACUUGCAACAACUAGGUAUCGACUAUACUGAAACUUUUGCUCCCGUCGCUCGCCUUGAUACUAUUCGAGCACUUAUAGCCUUAGCGGCACAAAAAGAUUGGAAGAUUUAUCAACUAGAUGUAAAAUCAGCAUUUCUAAAUGGAUACCUUCAAGAAGAAAUAUAUGUAGCUCAACCAGAAGGCUUUAUUGUCAAAGGCAAUGAAGAAAAAGUCUUAAAGCUUAAGAAGGCCCUAUAUGGGUUAAAACAAGCACCACGUGCGUGGUAUAGUAGAAUCGAUGAAUACUUUAUCAAGCAAGGAUUCAGGAGGAGUAUGAGUGAGCCAACACUCUACAUCAAGACCCAAGGUAAGUCCGACACUCUCAUUGUCUCUCUAUAUGUAGAUGAUCUCAUAUAUACAGGAAACAAUGAGACAAUGAUCCGAGAAUUUAAAGAAGAAAUGAUGAAGACAUUUGAAAUGACGGACUUGGGCUUGAUGAACUAUUUCCUCGGUAUUGAAGUUAAUCAAGAUAAAGGAAUUUUUAUCUCACAAAAGAAAUAUGCAGAAAAGCUCCUUGAAAAAUUCAAAAUGAGUAAUUGCAAAAUAGUGGCAACACCACUUGUGAUGAAUGAGAAAUUAUUGAAAAAUGAUGGAGCUGAAAAAGCCGAUGCCUCCCUCUAUAGAAGCUUAAUUGGGAGUCUACUAUAUCUUACUGCUACACGGCCAGAUAUUAUGUAUGCGACAAGUUUACUAUCACGAUUUAUGCAGAGUUCAAGCCAAAUUCAUUUUGGAGCAGCCAAGAGAAUUCUAAGAUAUUUACGAGGAACUACAGAUUAUGGCAUUUGGUAUCGCCCAAGUGCAAAUGCUAAGCUCAUCGGCUACACUGAUAGCGAUUGGGCUGGAUCAUCUGAUGAUAGGAGGAGCACCACUGGUUAUGCAUUCACAUUAGGUUCUGGAAUAUUUUCAUGGAUAUCUAAAAAACAAGACUCAGUGGCACAGUCUACUGCAGAAGCUGAAUACAUCGCAGCUGCUACAACUACUAGUCAUGCAAUAUGGCUUCGAAGAAUUUUAGAAGACAUUGGAGAACCACAAAUGGAAUCAACGCCAAUAUUUUGUGACAACAAGUCCGCAAUAGCAAUAUCAAAAAAUCCAGUCUUUCAUGGAAGAACGAAACAUAUUGAUAUAAAAUAUCACUUCAUCCGUGAAGUGCAAAGUAAAGGAGAGAUCGAGCUAAAGUAUUGUAAGACUGAAGAUCAAAUUGCGGACAUAUUCACUAAAGCACUACCAACAGCAAAAUUUGAGACAUUGAGAAGCAUGCUUGGAGUAUCACAAAAAUGGAUCAAGGAGGAGUGUUAAAAUAUGAUCCAUUUUGUGAAAACUCUAGAACACUCAUGCUUAAUGGAGAAGGAGCAAAAUCGGCAGCAUCAAGCUUCGAAGACUCUCAAAGGCUGAAGAAAUUUCUGGUACGUGGGCAGCAGAACACGUGGACAGCAAAUAGGCCAAAGAAAAGUCAACAAAAGUGGCUGAGAGUUGGAGAGAAUAGAAAAAUGCAGAAAAAUGGAGGAGAGACCAGAAGAAUCGGGAGAAGCCGCAUGGAUGAAGAAGCAAGCUGAAAUUUUUUAUAUUUCUUGUACUCAAUGUCGGUGAAGAAGAGGCGGUGCUCACGCCUAUAAAUAGAGGUGUGGUGUCUGUUUUAGUUGGCUGAAAAAACCAAAACCACUCCUUCCUUUGUAAUACUUACUUUCAUAAUAAAAGUUCUGUUUUUUUUUAAUCCAUACACCCUUGCCUUUGUAGCCCAUAUUUCACACAUACACACUUGCACACACACACGCUUCCGCAAAAACACCAACAAUAUCCCUCCAAAUCCCAAGUAAGUUGGUUAUUACUGCUCAGUUAACCUCAUUCCUUUAUGAAAAUGGCAAAUCUCAUUCACGAAGUUCCAAUAGUCUCACAAGUUAUUCAUUCCUCACUGAUGUUUUUGGCAGCUUGAGAGUCUACCCACUAGUCAUUGCAACACAUCCGUCUCAACCUAACCAGUUUGCACUAGGGCUUACUGACGGCAGUGUCUAUGUGCUUGAGCCAUUGGACUCUGAAGGAGAGUGGGCUGGUUCCCCUUCUGUUGAAAAUGGUGCUGAGCCAAGCACGACAUCUGGCGCAACCAGUUCAGAUCAACCCCAAAGGUAGUGCAGGCCAUGUCUCUCCCUGUGAAACUUUGAGCAUUGAAUGCUGAGCUGGCUUUCCUUUGCCGCACUUGAUUCAAGUUUUGAGGGAUGCUGCAGAGGAUAGAUUUUACAGCCUCAGGGUCUUCUUCUGGACAUUGUUUGGUACAGUCUGUCUUAAGUGGUACAAUUAGCAUCCAAGUCAAUUUCUGCUCAAGUCCAGUGGCGAUAAUUUGUUUUAUUAUAUUCAUUUAGGCUGACUGAAAGUAAAAAAGAAGAACAUGGGAUUAGAGUGUUGCGAAGAAGGCAUUGUAAAGGCAAGUUUAUCUGAUUUUAGUUAGCAAGCUAAAGGAUCAUAGGAGCAGGGUUUAGUUUUCGUAUGUGGCUUCUUUUCUUGUUUCUUCUGCGUCAUGCUGAAAGGACUUCUCUUAUGUAUUUUAUUUAUUCUUUUAAUUUGCUGAAGUAGCACUUGUUAGCACUUAGCAGGUUCUCCUUUCUUGUUCUUUCGCCGCCAAAGUAAAACUUCUUCUUCUUCCUGCGUUCCUUUUAUGAAUGCAAUUUGAGUGCAACAGCACUCAGACCUUGGAUGAAAGUAAAUACUUCACUACAGUCUAUCUCGACGUUUUGCUUAUUAGACUGCAAUUUUUAGGAGUUGUUCCAUCUUUUUGAGGAUGAUAGGAAGUAGGUUAAACACUGUAUCGUUGGGGACAGAACUAUUUCCGGAGCUUCUAUAGUUUGUUUGACAACUUGAUUUUUUCACUUACAAAUGAACAGGAGCAGUUAGGAGCAUGACGAUAAGCCUCUCUUGAUCUCAUCUAUAUUCCUAUCACCCUACCCUUACUAUGCUAUCGGCCACCAAAGGGUACUUUCUCUCAGCACAUGAGGCUAUAUUGUCAUCGCAAAGCGCUUGCACUUUAAACAAAUGCAGAAGUUGGAUGUGCAAUCCAAGAAUGUCUGAUUUUAUUCGUAUACAGUGCGGUUAAAUCCUUGGCAAUUUUGGAUGUUGCACCUUUAAAGGCACAUUCUGCUAAACAACUGAAUUUGCAGAAUCAAUAGCGAAGUUAAACUAGCGGACACGUUUUCUCUGGACAUUUUCACAAAAUUCGGAAUUAGUUCCACUUACAAAUGGGAACGAUACUUGGUUUUUCCCCCUUAUGAACAGAUGUUCUUGACCUGUGAGUUCAGUGGGGAAUAAGAGCCACUUAAAAGCUGUUGUAUUUUUGGAGAUGGUAUCAAAGGACCUCUCAAAAAAGUACUCUCGGUACGCCUAACAUUAAUUAUUUUGACCUUUUACGAAAUCAUUCAUAUAUAUUUGGACAGUCAUAGAAUAAAUAGUUACAUAGCAAUUUCUACAAAAGUCAAAUUGUUAAUUCAAAUCCUUCAAGAAAAGAACAAGAAAAGGUGAUUGCCAAUGCCAUUGGGAGGCAACAUGGCAAAGCAAGUAUGUGAGGUAUAACAAGUCAGAACUUAACAAAAUAUGGAUCUAAGUGUUUAAUCACGAAUAUAGUAGUAAUACCACCAUCACAUUGAGGACAGUUGGUAUAAUCGACAUUUCAUUUAAAACUACGGUUGGUAUACAAACUUGUUAUUUUGUUCCAAAGACAAAAAAUUAUAAAUAUAUUAGCAUAAUAGAACAACAUAUAGAAGAACUGAAGCAAAGAGCUAGACCUUUUUUAAUUUUGAGGAGAAAAAAGUAGUUUCUACAAUAAGUUUUUAAAGUAUUACUUUCAAGAAUGCUUUGGUUUGAUCGGUGGAACAGUAACAACUAAACUGGUGAUGGUCUUUCUUUAAUUUUCAGCGUCUGGCCGAGUAUAUAUUUACGAUAUCAAUAAGCGCUUGACACUGAGACUCAAUUGAAGAGGAGGCUUGGGGCAAGUCGGGGAAUUGCACAAUUCACAACCCCUAGUAGAGAGGUUCUACAGAACGCUGGGGCAGUGAAAUACCACCCUCAGCCUCCCCUUGCAUUUGCAAAUGCCGCUAACAAUAGUUUUCCUUCUUAUUUACAACGAAUGUCAAUAUAAUGGAAAAAUUAACUACAUUCAUUUGCCAUUCUCAAUUUACUUACCAAGCGUAUGCACACAAGGUGACACCUGCCUAUUUCCGUCUUCGACCGGGCUUCUUGCUCUCUCUGGCUAGGGUUGACUGCUCCAAAGGUACUGGCAAUAGGGUUCCUCCUUUGAUGCCAUCUUUAUCAUUCAUCUUAUCGAGGGCUCCAAUGUAUACCUUCAUGAAGGAUGACAAAAGAUAUACUACUAUCAACACACUCUGCCCGGACACGCGCAAAGUUUUCGCAAUAUUAUAUCAAAACCCUACAAAUUAUUACAGUUUUAAGAUUAAAAAAUAUACCUUUUCUUCCAAUUUAAGUAUCUGUUCAUCCUUGGACUUCACUAACAGAGUUGUCCUGCAGAUGCACAUAACCGUAGUAUUAUUUAUUCAUGUCAAAUCAAAAGGGAAGACUUAAGUUCCAUUGACAAAUGUAAAAUUGACUGGACUCAUCUAUUGUGGAAGUGUCGGUACUGUUGGAGAAAUCUUCUUGAAGUGUUUUGAAGUUGACAAAACGUUUCUAUCAGUCUAGUCUGAAGGCUUGCAGACUCUGCUAUUUAAAGUCUGAAGACCUCCGGACAGCCAGACUCAAGACUCAAAGUCUAUCCUUAUUGACAGUCUCUAAUCCGUUGAAGAAAGGUUAUCCAGAACUGGAUGUUUCGUUAAUGAUUUAACCUUAUCAACUGGAGAAGAUCUCGUGGCUGGAGAAGACAUAACGGAGUCCUUUGAUUGAUCGAAGAUUGACUCGAUAAAUUGAAGAUCCGGUGAUUGCCUAAAUAUUAUUGGAAGGUUCUGCUUAUGGAAACCGAGAUCCUAAUUGUAUGGGCGAACAUGAUUGAUGGGCUAUCAACACGUUCCUUUAAUAGCUUGAACAAUCUUCCUAAUUGAUUCUGUCCAACGGGUAGAUUGGAGGAAUUCCUUUGGUAAGUGCCAACGGGUAUGAUGGCAUAAAGGAGUAUAUAAGGAAGACUGUCUUAGUUGUUCAAGGUGUGCGCGAUAGAAGAAUUCCAAAGUCUGAAGCUCCUAUUUGUUUAGAUAAAUCCUUUGAGCGAAUACUUGUAUACAAAAGAGAGUCUAUAUUUGUGAGAAACCUUGAGGAGGUGUGGUAGAACAUCUACACUGUGGAAUCAAGGCAAAGCUGUGCUGUAACUUCUCUUUUGAUCAUAGUGAAAUCCAGCCGGUGGGCUGUCAGUGCGGAAAAGUGGACGUAGGCUUGGAAUAAGCCGAACCACUAUAAAUCCUGUGUUCAAUUUUCUCUUCCUCACUCUCUCUACCUCGAUCGUAUUUCAUUUUGUUAAUUAAGAGAGAAUUUACUUUCUAUCAUAUGCUAAGAAUCGCUUCCGUAUUCGAUAAAUUGUUUAUGCACCUAUUCACCCCCCUCUAGGUACUCAUACUAGCAAUAUCAAUUGGUAUCAGAGCCUGUGUACUUACUUUAUUUGAAGUGUUUUACUUCGUAGUAAAAGAUCCAUGGCUAGUAUGCUAGCACCAGGGCUGAUGGAAGGGCAAAGCAAUACCAGACCACCCUACUUUGAUGGAAAGGAUUACAACAUCUGGAAGAACAAGAUGAAAGCUUUCCUACGAUCAAAGGAUCCUCUGGAAUGGGACGUUGUAGAAAAAGGAAUUACUCCUACCACUGCAUCAGUCUUUGAAAGAGGAAAAGAAACUGAUGAAACCAGCGGAAUGUCUCAGGAAGAAAUAAUCAAGAGACAAGCACUCGAUGCAAAAGCAAUUUACUCCUUAUAUUGUGCUUUAUCACCAAUUGAAUAUAAUAGAAUAUCUUCUUGUGGUACAUCAAAAGAAGUUUGGGACAGAUUGCAUAUCACUUAUGAAGGAACAGAUCGAGUGAAGGAAACAAGAAUCAACAUUCUUCUCGGUCAAUACGAAGCCUUCAGAAUGAAACCAGGAGAAUCAAUAUCUGACAUGUUUAGUCGUUUUACAGAUAUUGUGAAUGGUCUUGAAAAUCAAGGUCAACCAACUUCUGAUCCCAUGAAGGUAAACAAGCUACUGCGUGGACUCUCCAGGGAUUGGAAUCACAUAAAGACUUCGAUAAGAGAAACGCAGAGAAUUAUGCCACUAUCUGUCGACGAGCUAAUUGGAACUCUUCAGUCUUAUGAAGUGGAAAUGAUCAAUGAAGAUGAAGAUCCAAAAGGUAAGAAAUCCAUUGCGUUAAAAUCAAAUGAUGAUUCUGAUGAUACAGAUUCUGAAGAUGAUAUGGACGAUGAGGAGCUUGCUCUCAUGAUAAGAAGAUUCAGAAAACUAAAUAGAAAAGGAAGAAGGUUCAACACAAAGAAACAAAGCUUUCAAAGACAGCAGACCAAGUCUGUUGAUGAUGAGGAACCAAACAAAGACGUAGUCUGCUUUGAAUGUAAGAAAAAGGGACACAUCAGACCCAACUGUCUACUUCUGAAGAAGAAGAGAGGAAAAGCUGAAAAAUUUCGAAAAGCUCUCAAAGCCGAAACCUGGAGUGACACAGAGUGUGAAGAAAGUGAUAAUGAAUAUGCCAAUCUAUGUAUGAUGGCACAAUCAGACUCUGACUCUGAAUCAGACUCAGACAGUGAAUUUGAGGCAAGUAAUUUUAAAAUUCCUGUCAAAGUUUCUAAAUAUAUUGAUGAACUAUGCUUUAGUCUUAAGACUUCUCUCAAAAGAAUUUCCGAACUGAAAAAGGAAAACUCAGCUCUAAAACAAAAGGAAACUGUUUUAGCAGAAAGAGUUAAAAGUCUAGACUUGUCUGUUUCCAAUCUUAAAGAAAAUGAAGACAAUCUUUUAAAAGAAAAUGCUUUAUUAAAAACAGACUUAUCAAAUAUAUCAAAGAAAUUUUCAAUAGGGUCUAAAAAACUUGAGAAAAUUCUUUCAGCACAAAGACCUUACUUCAAUAAGUCCGGUCUAGGUAUGACAGAAGAAACAAUUCCCUUGAUUGAUUUUCCUAAAGUGAAAGAAAGAAUUAAGAAAAGACUCUCGAGUGAGGUUUACAAAAAUCACUUCAAGAAAGUUUUUGUAAAAUCUGUAGGUAGAAAUGCUCUAAAAUGUUCAAAAUGCAACAGUCCGGAUCACUUUGAAAAAGAGUGUCCUAUGGUUUGGAAGCCUGUUAAGAAAAUAUGGGCUAAUACUGCUUAUGUUACUAACACCAAAGGACCCAAGAAAGUUUGGGUACCAAAGAAAGCUUGAGACUCUUUUUUAAAUGCAGGUCACCGUCAAGAAAAAGGUAAAGUGGUAUCUUGACAGUGGAUGCUCAAGACACAUGACAGGAGACUCAAAAUGUUUCAUAAAGCUUGCUCAAGUAAAUGGUGGAAAAGUUUCAUUUGGAGGAAACAGCAAAGGAAGCAUUGUGGGAUUUGGAAUUGUGAAAAUUGGAAAUCUCACAAUAAGUAAUGUUUCCUUAGUGGAAGGACUCAAUUACAAUCUUCUCAGCAUUAGUCAACUGUGUGAUACUGGUUUCAAGAUCUUCUUUCAAGAAGGAAUAUUUUCUGGAAUCAGUAAAGACUCUACUCAGUCUUUCAUGGGUCGUAGACAUGGAAACAUCUAUCUUCUGGAUGUGAAACCAAAUGAAUCGCAAUGUUUUAUCUCAAUUCAAGACGAAGCAAGCUUAUGGCACAGAAAGCUUGGUCAUGUCAACAUGAAGCAAUUAGCCAAAAUCUCAUCAAAACAGCUUGUUCGAGGACUACCCAAAUUGCCUUAUCAAAAGACCGAUCCAUGCACUCCCUGUAUUCUGGGAAAACAGUUGCUGCAUAUGGAUCUCUUCGGACCAACCAGAACACAGAGUAUUGGAGGUAAGAAAUAUUGCCUAGUAAUUGUGGACGAUUACUCCCGUUUUACCUGGGUAUAUUUCCUUGCAAGUAAGUCCGAAACCUUCUCGUAUUUUGAAAAGUUUGCUAAGAAGGUUCAAAAUGAAAAAGGAUGUGUUAUCUCUAGUAUAAGAACAGAUCAUGGAGGUGAAUUUGAAAAUCAAGAUUUUACAAAAUUUUGUGAUGAAUCUGGCUUUAAUCAUCUGUUCUCUUCUCCAUAUACUCCUCAGCAAAAUGGAGUUGUGGAAAGAAAGAACAGAUCUCUUCAAGAAAUGGCUAGAACUCUUUUAAUUGAAAGCAAGAUUUCUUCACGAUUUUGGGCUGAAGCUGUUUCAACAGCUUGUUAUAUCAUCAAUAGAGUCUUUUUAAGACCUAUUCUAGAGAAAACCCUUUAUGAGUUGUUCAAAGAUAAGAAGCUUAUUGUUUCAUACUUUCAUGUAUUCGGUUGCAAAUGUUUCAUAUUGAAAAAUGCAAAAGAUCGAGUUGGUAAGUUUAGGAGAAGAUCAGAUGAAGGUAUCUUCCUUGGAUACUCUACAUCAAGCAAAGCCUUCAGAGUCUAUAACAAGAAGAGCCAAUCUGUGGAGGAGUCAAUGAAUGUCAAAUUUCAAGACUCAACGCAAGAUGAAUCAAGUCAGACUCAUCAAGAAAAGUCUGAACCUGCUCCAGACCUUCCAAAGCUUACAACUCAAGAAGCAUCUCAGACUCUGGAAAACCAGCAUCAGGAUGUUCGUGAAGAACCAAACAAAGAGAGAGAUCAUCAACCAGACAAAUCAACAAGUAACUGGAAGCAUAAGUCCAGUCAUCCCAAAGAUCUUAUAAUCGGCGAAAUUAAUGAAGGAAUUCGCACUAGAUCCAAAAGGCAAGAAGAGUCUAGUGCUGUGGCUCUUGUUUCUGAAAUUGAACCAAAAAGCAUAGAAGAAGCUUUGUCUGAUGAAAGCUGGAUUGAAGCUAUGCAAGAAGAGCUUAGACAGUUCAACAUUAAUGAUGUCUGGGAAUUGACAUCCAAACCAAAAGGUAAAACUGUUAUUGGAGCUAAAUGGGUGUUUAGAAACAAUAUGAAUGAGAAAGGAAAAGUCGUACGAAACAAAGCAAGACUCGUGGCCAAGGGAUAUACACAAGAAGAAGGAAUAGACUAUGAUGAGAGUUACGCUCCAGUAGCAAGGUUAGAAGCUAUUUGACUAUUACUUGCGUUUGCUUGUUAUAAGAAUUUCAGGUUAUUCCAAAUGGACGUCAAAAGCGCCUUCCUAAAUGGAUUUAUCCAUGAGGAAGUUUAUGUGGAACAACCACCAGGGUUUGAAGACCCAAAGAAGCCAGACUCAGUCUUCAGACUGAAAAAGGCUUUGUAUGGUUUAAAGCAAGCACCUCGAGCUUGGUAUGACAGAUUAAGUAAGUUUUUAAUACAAAAUGGUUUUGUCAAAGGUAAAGUAGAUACGACUUUAUUUAUCAAAAAGGAGAUCAAAAGUUUCUUACUUGUUCAAAUAUAUGUGGAUGACAUUAUUUUCGGAUCUUCUAAUGAAAAUUUGUGCAAGAAAUUUUCUAAGUCUAUGCAGGAUGAAUUUGAAAUGAGUAUGAUGGGAGAGUUAACAUUCUUUCUUGGUCUUCAAGUAAAACAAUUGAAGGAAGGAACUUUUAUUUAUCAAGAAAAAUAUGUUAAUGAUCUUGUCAAAAGAUUUGGACUAGAGAAGUGCAAAAAGACCGACAUACCAAUGUCAAGUUCUUUGAAGAUAGACAAAGAUGAAGAAGGGAAGAAAGUUGAUCAAAAGCUGUACAGGAGCAUCAUUGGUUCACUUCUUUAUCUUUCCGCUUCUAGACCUGACAUUUUGUUGAGUGUUUGCAUCUGUGCUAGGUUUCAAUCAGAUCCUAGAGAAUCCCAUCUCAGUGCUGCGAAACGCAUCAUUAAAUACGUGGCUUCAUCAUCAAGCAUCGGUCUUUGGUAUCCUAAGAAGGGAGACUUUAAUCUUCUGGGAUAUUCAGACGCAGAUCUGGCCGGUUGCAGAGUUGAUAGAAAAAGCACUUCGGGAACCUGCCAGUUGCUUGGAAGCAGGACAGUGUCUUGGUUUUCAAGGAAACAAAGCACUGUGUCCCUUUCAACAACAGAAGCAGAGUAUGUAGCCCUGGGAAGCUGCUGUUCGCAAAUUCUAUGGAUAAAACAACAACUAAGAGACUUUGAAAUUGAAGACUCAUGCACGGAGAUUAAUUGCGACAACACCAGCGCUAUCAACCUCACCAAAAAUCCAAUUCUCCACUCAAGAGCAAAGCAUAUAGAGAUUCGACAUCACUUUAUUAGAGACCAUGUUCAAAAUGGAGAUGUUUCAAUUCAAUUUGUUGACUCAAAGAAUCAACUGGCGGAUAUAUUCACAAAGCCUUUGGAGAAAAAUCAAUUUGAGUCUAUACGGUCCAGACUCAACAUUUUGAGGUAUGAGGAUAUCAAAGUCUAAAGACUUUCAGACUCAGACUUACAAGACUUUAUCUGAAAGACAGUCUUGGUACGUCCGUCAGACUGUAAGUCUUUCUCCCUUGAAUCUCAUCUUGAAAAGGUACAAUCAUCAGACUGUGUUUAAAUUGUUGCUAUAUUUAAUUGACGUAAAUAUUGCAUCGUUUCAUUUUCAAAAGGGAAGUUAUUUUUGAAAUAGCUAUUUUUGAAAAGGCAUAUUUUUAUGACGGUUCGUCUAUCCCUCUUUUUAACUGAUCGUGAACAAUCGAUUCCUCUUCACUUUUCUCUCAAAAACCCUAGAAAGCAUCGAUCCUCCAUUUCCGUUUGUCUUCUUCGUUCAAUCCUCAAAAAGUUGUCAUCUUUCCUGGGAAAGUCAAGCAAGGAAUCUUCCAAAAACUGAGAAAGAUGUCAUCUUCAAGAAAGUCCUCAAGAAUCGCAAGCAGGGGACCAUGGCGGAUGAGUGAGGGGCCUAUGCACUUCGAUCUUACUGAAGAUGAAGUGACUCCAGAACAGCAAGUGAGCCCACAACAUUCUCAACAGCGUCAUUCUCCUCCAUCUAGUCCUCAAGGAGUUGAUCAUCAACAACAGGAAGAAAUCAUCGAGGAUGCAGACCCUGUAAGAGUUCAAAAGACUGCUUAUAUUUACCAGUUAUAUCAUGCCCUAAAAGGAAUUCGUACUCCUUUGAAAUACAUUGAUGAUUUUCUUAAAAACAAAGGACAUGGGAACGAAUAUAUUUUUCUGAAAAAAAUGUAAAGUUUGGGAAUUGCUCGAAAAGGGGUGGCUGAGGAAACCCUUGCAAAUAUCCCAAGUGAUCCUCGUGACCGGGGGCCGAAUCCUGUAGAUGGGAAUGAUGAUGAUAAAUUAUACAGUCAAUUUCAACCGAAAAUGGGUGUUGCGGUUGAAAAUCAAGGAAAAAGGGGAGAUUUGUUCAGAUCAAAGGAGCAAAAGGAUCUGUACUCGAAAUUGCUGAAGCGUGGGGUAAUAAACCCUAGGAGUGUGGAUUUUGAUUUUCUGGAUGCAGUGAAUGUGAACUUGAGGGAAAAGUUUAGUUAUCUUCAACUUGAAAAGUUCUGCUCUGACUCUACAGAGGCAUAUGCUGAAUUAACUGCAUAUUUCUAUUCAAAUCUAAGCUUUUUGGAUGCGAAUAGAUUCUCUUUCAGCGUAAAAGACCAAGACUAUGUUGUGGAUAUGAAUAUGCUGGCAGAUGUGUUAGAAGUCGAAAGAGGAAGAUAUCAAACAAUCAAAGUUUCCAUUGCUCGGGCCACACUUGAACUAGUGAAGGACAGGAGAACAGAUGAAAAGAUCACCUACUUAAGGAUGGGUGCAUUCAACAUCUUGCUUCACAAGAUUGUGAUUAAUUGCCUCCGACCGAAAUCAACUUCCAAGACUGAUGUUUCAAGUUCAGAGGCCAAGCUGAUGUAUGCCAUUCUUUUUGGAAAAAGGUUUUCUCUCCCUCACACUGUGAUGUUUCACAUGUAUAGAGCAAUGAUGAAGGACAGAGGUCAACUCCCUUACCCAAGCCUUGUUACGAAGUUAUUCAGACAUCUGAAUAUUCAGCCUCCACAAAUAUUUUGUGUUCGACCAUGCGAUCAUAUGGUGGUAGGUCUGAAAAUGGUGACCAAAAUGCGUCUGAAGGAACUGAGCAAGGAGUUGGAGAAAUUCAAGGAGAAGACUCCUGCAAAAUCCCAUCAACUCUCUUCUGCAGCUAAAAGAAAAGGGAAGGAGCCCAUGGUUGCUCCAUCCAAAAGGAGAAGAGCUCUCCUCGUUGAGGAUGAAGAUGAUGAGGAAGACAUCACCAUCUCUGCAUUGGCUUUGAAGAAUUUAAGUCGUCCUGUUCCACAGCAAGAAUCGAAACAAAUGACAAAAGAAGCAGAGGAGAAGGAAGAAGAAGAAUUAGAAGCUGAAAAAGAAACAGAGGAGGAAAGACCAGAAGAAGAAAGAAGAGAAGAAGGAGAACAUGAGGAACACUCUUCUCCACCUGUAGGCAUGAAAACAGGGGGAGAUCAGGAGAAAGGAGUGAAGUCUUCAUGUCCUGAUGCAAGUGAAGGAGUCAGUCGCUCACCAGCAGACCUAGAGGAUGUUUAUGCAUCUCAGUUUCCAGAAGAAGGUCAUGAAGUUUCAUCGCCAAACCUGCAAGAUUAUGCUGAUCUACCAUCGUCUGCAUUUACUCCAUCAGAUCGAGCCGAAGCAAGUACUCAGACUGAUAAUGGAGUAGAUUUUCGCAGAAUCAUGGAUAUUCUCUUGGAGAUGCGAGGUCAAAUUUAUGCCUUGGGAUGCGAAGUUCAAAGCUUGAAGAAUGAAGGUCAAGCUUCUUCUUGUUCAUUGAAUGAUAAAAUGCAAGCCCUCUCUAUUCAGAAUCAGUCCAAUGCCAAAAGUGAGGAGAUUGCACAACUAAAGGAAGACUUUAAAAGGCUGGAAGGCAUCGUUCAGUCUAUGGAAGAUUUCCAGCUUGUCCGCGUUCCCAAGCAAUCUUGACUUCAUCUCGUCCUUUUUAAUGAUGACAAAAAGGGGGAGAGAUGCAAGAUUUAAUCAAAAACUUUUCAUAAACUUUUCAUUCAUUAAACUUUUUGUUUGUUGGAUUGUUUUGUGGUUUGAACCUGUUUGACUUUGUUUUGUGUCUGGAUGAGAACUGAACUAGACUUGGACUUGACUGCUUCUAUUAACCAAUACUUAUAUCUUAUGAAUGGCUUAAUCAUAUACUAGACUAACCUAUUUUCUGUGGUUGCAGAUUCUAGUGUUAUUCUGUUAGCCAUUUAUCUCUAUAAGAUAUACAUAUGUGUUUGAGGAAUGUUUUGCAGGUCAAAGAUAUCCAAAUCUGCAGGAAAGUUUUGUCACCAUAAAAAAUGGGGAGAUUGUUGGAGAAAUCUUCUUGAAGUGUUUUGAAGUUGACAAAACGUUUCUAUCAGUCUAGUCUGAAGGCUUGCAGACUCUGCUAUUUAAAGUCUGAAGACCUCCGGACAGCCAGACUCAAGACUCAAAGUCUAUCCUCAUUGACAGUCUCUAAUCCGUUGAAGAAAGGUUAUCCAGAACUGGAUGUUUCGUUAAUGAUUUGACCUUAUCAACUGGAGAAGAUCUCGUGGCUGGAGAAGACAUAACGGAGUCCUUUGAUUGAUCGAAGAUUGACUCGAUAAAUUGAAGAUCCGGUGAUUGCCUAAAUAUUAUUGGAAGGUUCUGCUUAUGGAAACUGAGAUCCUGAUUGUAUGGGCGAACAUGAUUGAUGGGCUAUCAACACGUUCCUUUAAUAGCUUGAACAAUCUUCCUAAUUGAUUCCGUCCAACGGGUAGAUUGGAGGAAUUCCUUUGGUAAGUGCCAACGGGUAUGAUGGCAUAAAGGAGUAUAUAAGGAAGACUGUCUUAGUUGUUCAAGGUGUGCGCGAUAGAAGAAUUCCAAAGUCUGAAGCUCCUAUUUGUUUAGAUAAAUCCUUUGAGCGAAUACUUGUAUACAAAAGAGAGUCUAUAUUUGUGAGCAUUAAGCCUUGGGCCAUCUUCUAUUCCUUUUAUUUUCAAUUUUGUGGAAGUUUAAAUGUCAACACAACGCAAUUUGAACAACCAAUUGAACUUCCAUUGGAAUUAAUACCAUUUCAAUGUUGAACUGUUAUCAAUUAAAAUUUGAGUCCCGAACCAUCACAGAAUAAUGUUCAGAUUUUACUAAUGUGUAAAAAAUGUACUUUGAAAUCACUACUAUGAAGAACUUUUAUUGGAAUUAUUAGAGUUUGUCUCGUCUUGCCACUUUGUUAGAAGAACUUCAAUAAAAAAAUACCAGAAGUUCAUCUUCUUGCCACAUCCUCCAACGAAUGAUUCACUUGAACUUAAUUAUCCUUCCCAAGUUUGGUGAAAGGACUAACUAUUUUAUAUAUUCUUACUCAGCAUAAAAUGGCUUUCGUCCUUUUGCCAUUAAUUAUGUGUUACAACUCACUUAUAGUCGCUAUUCACAUUUUUGAAUUAUAAGCUGUAUUUCCUCUUUCUUCUUCCAACAUCUUUUACCUCACACCUAAAAGCCCAAUGCUGCUUCAUUUUACUGAUUAGGUUGUAUGAAACUACGGAUGCUACGGGAUUCUUUAUUUAUUAACUAUUUUUUACACAUAGUUAUGCAGAAUGCCCAUGUAUGAAUCUGAGAAACUAACUCUAAUAUGUGUGCUAAUUACAAGAUAUGGUAAGAUACAUCAGCCAUGGAUUUUGUGCGCAUGUGUGGACGGAAACCUCUUUUUAGGGGGUUGUUUUGACACAAGAUGUUCGGUGUUUCAAAGUUGAUAGAUAUUGUUAUUUAGAUAUAUCUAGAGAAAUCAGAAAGGCAACAUGCCUAUCUUCAAUCUCCUUAACUUUUCUCCGCAUCAUAUCUUGGUUCUUGAUAAGAGUUUGAUUAAGCUGCAACCACAAGGAGCGACAUCUAAUAUUGUUACGUCCUAGUGAACACCAUUGCAUAUGAUUGUAAUGUUAAAAAUGAGGCAUGUGAAAAGCAAGCAAAACAACAAUCAGCCAUGGCUUCAGGCAGCCCUCCUCUCAAACUUUAAACAUCCAAAUUCACAAAAGGUAAAACAAAGAAGACUAAACCAUUACCUGUGCCACGUUCUUCUUUUUGUCACCAAGUUUCCCCAACCUACUAUGGAUAUCUUCGAUCUUUGAAGUCACAACUUUCUCGAUCGAUUCUAGUUUUGAAUUUUCCUUUCUACUUUUGGCUUCUAACAUGAGAGACUCAUAAUGCUAACAGAGAAAAACAAAAAAAUUAAUAGGGGAUGAUACGUCCAAGUACUUAAAAUGUAUCGUUUACAGUCAGUCUAAGGAUGAUGGCAGUCCAUGUAGCAAAAACGACAAACAUGGGUUAGAAACAAAACGCUAUCACCAACAGUAGCAUGGGCAGCCGAUAUAAAAUCUAAUCGCUUUUGUAAUCCUAAUCCGAUACACUAACAAGUUUUCAAUUUAGAUACACCGUUCUUUCUAAGGCUAUCCGUCACAACAAGUCAAUAAUAAAAGAGUCCUGGCACCUGAGGGAAACUCAAAUUCAUUUUCUACCAGAGACAUAUUUGUGAGAAAAAAAGAAAAGAAAAGAAGAAUAGCAGAAGUUUUGCCAUUCUCUGAAGCUGGUGCAAGCCCACUAAUUCUUUUAUACUUCCUAUAUAAGCUCAUACAGUAUGCAAAUUGACAGAUAUAACAUGUUGUAUACUAUAUAAAAGAAAACGAAGCUGAGAUUAUAAAACACCAGUGUAAUUACUUUACUUCUCUUCACAACAAUUCUAACAAUCCCAUAGAGUUCCAAGAGUAAAAUGAGUUCACUUAAAAAAAAUAAAGAAAGAAAACAAAAUAGACAAAAAAAUUUUAACCUGAAAUAACUAACCUAAUGUUCUAUUAUGGUUUUCUCCUAAAAUAUGUGUACUUAAAAACCAUUACCUAGAGCAAAAACAUAGUUGAGGGAAGCUUUCACAAGUGAUGCUUAUAACCAUGGCUGAUCAGUCAAAAAAAUAAAAUGUAAAAGACUGUUAAACAGGGAGAAGUGAAAUGGUCUCGGUAUAUGCAUGCUUACUUUUUUUUGCGCUUCCAACUGAGUUGAGGCUAGAUGAAUAUAGUCAGCAUGAAUCUACAAAAAAGUAAAGCUACAGUGUCAGAGUAAACGGAGAUAAGUCUGAUAAUUACAAUGGAGGUAAUAUACCUUUUGCAGGCCCAAUAAUGUGAAAGUGCUAGUAUGAACACCUAGAGGGGGUGAAUAGGUGUAAAAACAAAUUUUGCAAAAUGCAGUGAAAAUAUUUACUUUUAACCUGAGUCUGAAUAACAAAAGACUUUUGAAAUUGUGUCUGAAGAGCAGCAGACUUUGAGCGAGAUCAGACUUUAGCAGUUAAAUAGAAUUACGAACAAAAUAAAGAGAUUCGGGGAAGAGAAUAAAAACACAAGGUUUAUAAUGGUUUGGCUUAGAUCAAGCCUACGUCCACUCUCCCACACUAACAACCUUCUUGGCUGGAUUCCACUAUGCAAUCAACAAGAGAUUACAACUUUGAGUGCAAACAAUUAAUAGAUCACACUAUCUCACUAAGUCACUCUUUUGGUAUUUCUCUCACGAUCACAAACGUUUUAAGCUCACCAAAGACAAGUGUAUGAUCGAAGGUGGCUCAGACUUUGGAAUUAUAAAUUCUACGCUCCGUCUCUUACUUGCUCAUCGGUCCUUCAUCUCCUUAAAUAUUCCUCAACUUCCAAACUAGCCGUUGGACAGUAUCUCGAGGAUCGUCUUCCAAUCUACCCAUUGAACAGAUCUGUAUCUAGAAGAUUUGGUAGCCGUUGAGUGAUAAAAGUAGAAUCCCAAAUUGAUUCCGAUCGCCCAUACAAACAGAAUCUUGGUUUUCAUAAGUAAAGCUCCUUCGUAUAGAAUGAUAUGGAAGACAUCACCUUUUUUAGACUCUAUAGGCUCCCUCGUGUAUCUACCGCGGUUGUUAUUGUCAGGAUGCCACUCAUUGAGACAAAUCCCAAACUCGAUCGGAAAGUUGGCAUUAUUGACAGAGCUGCAUUUGAAAUCUACAGCCAUUGAAGAAUUACCUGAAUCCAUUGGUUCUUUGAAAGAGCUCGAGACUCUAGAUGCCUCUUACUGCAAAUCAUUAGCCCGCAUACCCAACUCAAUAGGCAAUUCAACAUCUCUGUCUUGCCUUAACCUAACGGAAUGCCAUAAACAUGCUCAACUUCCAGACUCUAUAGGCUUCCUCGUGUAUCUACCGCGGUUGUUAUUGUCGGGAUGCCACUCAUUGAAACAAAUUCCAGACGCGAUCGGAAAGUUGACAUCAUUAACUAAGCUACAUUUGAAAUCUACGGCCAUUGAAGAAUUACCCGAAUCCAUUGGUUCUUUGAAGGAGCUUAAGACUCUAGAUGCCUCUUAUUGCACAUCGUUAGCCCACAUACCCAACUCAAUAGGCAAUUUAACAUCUCUCUCUUCCCUUGACGUGAAUGGAUGUCAAAAACUUGCUCAACUUCCAGACUCCAUAGGCUCUCUCGUGUCCUUGCGGCGGUUGUUAUUAUCGAGAUGACAUUCGUUGAAACAAAUUCCAGAGUCAAUCAGAAAGUUGACAUCAUUGACUGAGCUACAUUUGAAAUCUACUGCCAUUGAAGAAUUACCCGAAUCAAUUGGUUCUUUGAAGGAGUUUAAGACUUUAGAUGCCUCUUAUUGCACAUCGUUAGCCCACAUACCCAACUCAAUAUGCAAUUUAACAUCUCUGUCUUCCUUUGACGUGAAUGAAUGCCAAAAACUUGCUCAACUUCCAGACUCCAUAGGCUCUCUCGUGUCCUUGCUGCGGUUGUUUUUAUCGAGAUGCCAUUCAUUGAAACAAAUUCCAGAGUCGAUCGGAAAGUUGACAUCAUUGAUUGAGCUACAUUUGAAAUCUACGGCCAUUGAAGAAUUACCUAAAAGCAUUUUGAAUAUGCAAAACUUGAGGAUACUAGAAAUUAGUGGAACUCCCAUGAUAGAAUUGCUUGAUGACCCGGGAAUAUUGGCAGAACUCCAAGGGUUGAGAGCUUUAGCACGGAAAAAUAUGGAAGGGUCACCUAGUAAUAAUGGCCAAUUGGUUUGGCCAAACGAUCUUGGUUUAGAUGAGCUUCAAAAACUAUCAAAAUUGCGCUCUCGCAUACUAGCUCUAGGUAUCACUUGCCAAUCCCGCAUUUGCUGAAUUUUUCUUAACUAAACUUUCUCAAGAAACUCACUCUUUCUAACUGACUUAAAUGUCUCUCAAACCUUUCUAUAACAUGUUGUAGAAAAGCUAUGAAACUUGAUUUUGUAUCUUACAAAAGUUCAAGCUAUUAGUUGGGCAUUUUAUUUACCUUUUGUCUUGUGAUACAGUUCUCUUAAAGCAUCCCAAGACUCCUCCUACCUACAACUUAGCCGUGGACUACCAAACAACAGUUGAACAUCCUUUGAAGAGAUCAAGACCUUUUAGAAUCUCAGAUGAAGUACUUAUUUCAUUUUGCUUUUUCUUUAUCGUUCUUCAGUUAUUAAAGGAUGGUUCCAUCUACAAAGAGAAGUAUUUUACUGAAUGAUCAAUUAUUUGUUAUGUGUGGAAUGCUUUUAUCAACAUUCGUAACUAGAUCCAUCAAACCUGUUACAUUCUUGCUAUUUUAGGUCUUUUGUUCCUGGAAGUAGGGAUUUUUAGUUUUCUUGAAUUAUGAAGUCAAGGUGGAAUAUAUUGCCCAUUCUUUUGUGUUUCUCUUUCUUAAUUAUCUUUCUUUGCAUGCCAUUGAACGAAAACUUUUUGAAAGCACACUCAUUUUGGUGUUAUUGCGGCAUAUGAUCAUGCAUUGAGAAUCUUCACGAGUGUAGGGGUUAUCUCACAUCGGUUGUGGAAGGAAAAAGUAGUUGGUUUAUAAUUGUGAGGGAAAGUCUCAUCCUUUAAGUUAGCUUUUAGGGUGAGAUAAGCCCAAGACCACCCAACAAGAAGAAACUUUUAGUUUUGAGGUUUCUAGAUACCCUUAAUUUUCAUGAUGUUAACCUAAUGAAAUAAUUGAAGAUUGGAAGGAUUACAAGAAAGUCUGAUGGAAGAGAAAGGAGCAAAAGGGCUAGGGUUGUCAAUUUGUGUCCGCUUGUCAUAAUUGUGUUUGUGAUUGUGUCAAUUCAUCAUGACUUCUAUAAGACAUGUCAACCCAUUGAAUUAGAUGAAAACAUGUAAAUAUCUCAUCAAGUUAAAUGUAUCGUGAUGUGUCAUAUUGGGUUGUGUCUGUGUUUUUCGUGUUUGGUAUUGUUAUGUAAACAGUAUGUGUCACUAUUGGCAACAUUAAUGAGAAGCAUGGACUGGAUACGUGUUGAUUACGUCUCCUCCCAUCAUGCAUGCAUUGUGCUCAUGUAUGCUAGUACAAGAGGGGCUCUCAUAUGAGUCUUUUGCAUCUUUUGAGUGCCAUGGUUUUGAUCAAUUUUCUAAAGGACUCAUUAGUUUUGUAAUCUUCAUGACUUUCUAAUAGGUGAACAAUUUGCCGAAAAACAUUUUUCCCAUUACAUACAGCUGCCAGAGCUUUGGUUAGAGUUCUUAUUCUUCAUAUGACUUGCCUAGAAAUGUAAUCAUUACCCUAAGUCAUGAUUCACUUGUUAAAAGUAUGGAUUUCCAUCCAGUGCAACAAAUUCUACUGCUUGGUUAGCACUUCUUUCUUACUCUAUGAAGAACAUGUUUCUUGAUUUUCUUUAGUUGGAUAUACUUGUUGGCCAUAAGUUUGUGUUUUGGUGCUUGGAAGAUUCCUUUUUAUUGUUUUUUAUGCUAGCUUCAGCUAUUUGAAACCAAGGCAUAUGAUUCUUCAAAUUUUUUGCAUCAAUAAUUUUUAGUGGGAACAAAUAUGGGUGAUGUCAUGGUAUGGGAAGUAAGCAACCGUGCAAGGAUUGCUUUGAGAAAAUUCAAGGUUUGGGAUCUGGCAACAUGUUCAAUGGCACUGCAGGUAUAGAAGUUCCAUUCUAAAUAAAGUCAUGGUAUCUUGUUUUUGGACAUGUGAUUGUGGGUUUUGAUUCUUUGUAGGCUUCUCUAGCUAAUGACUAUACAGCAUCCAUUAACCGUGUAACAUGGAGUCCUUAUGGAUUUCUUUUCGGUACAUACAUAUGUCACUUCUACUUGUCUUAUUGCAAAUUGAUGAAACAACUAAAGCACCGAGAAUGAGACUUCAUUGUAAUAUUUUCAGGAAGAAUGUUUAUAUGCUGCUAUUACUGAUGAUUUGUGGUGUUGACUUUAGGUGUUACUUAUUCCAAACACAUGGUGCACAUAUACUCGUAUUAUGGUGGUGAUGACAUAAGGAACCACCUUGAGGUUUGUUGCUAAACAAGGAGUGAAAAAAUUUGGCUUCUUUGUUUUGUAGACAAUUGCCGCCUAAAAGUGAGUAAAACUUGAUUUUGACUCUAAACUAAUGUUUGAUACAGCUCGAGGCUCAUGUUGGAAGUGUUAAUGAUCUUGCCUUUUCAUAUCCAAAGAAAUGGUUAUGCGUUGUGACCUGUGGAGAAGACAAGUCGAUCAAGGUAUAUCCUGAUUAUUUUCCUCAGUGUUGCAGUGACAAUUUUUGAUCCCUUUUAACUAAGCUAGUAGUUUUGUAGGUAUGGGAUGUAGUGACUGGGGCUAAGCAAUACUGUUCGAGGGUCAUGAAGCACCUGUAUAUUCCAUUUGUCACACCAUAAAGAAAAUAUUCAGGUACUUGAUUAUUUCGCGUACUAACGAAGACACACUGCGAGCAUGGCCCAAUUAGCUGUACCCUUGACCAUACACUAGACUUUUGUUUUCUAAAACUCAGUUAGGUAAAAAAAAAUUGUUUCAAUUUGUAUGAGGAGUAUGAAUAUGUGUUUUAAAGGACCUUGUUCAUUUCAAGGGUUUUGCAAGUCUUCCGACUUUUAACCUAUUUUGAUUAGAAUGUGCUUGUUAAACAUGGUGACAUGGUCCAAAGAUCAACAUGCAAAUUUGAUUCUUUCAGGUGAUGCUACUAAGCAUCAAAAACUGUGUAAAGGUCUUUGCAAUAAUGACUUCCUACUUAAUUAUACAUUCAGAAAGAAAAUUCCUUUGCUUCCAUUAUUUGUUUUCCCUCAGUUUCCUCCUUUGGUUAUGAUUGGUUAAAUUUAUAACAGAAGGCUGUUUAUUAUGUCUGAGUGGAGCAGCAAUUGGCAAUGUUAUUUUCUUCUUUUUAUUUUUUUUAAACAUUUAUGGUUGUGCACAGUGGACACUUUAUUACAAAGAUAUCUUACGAAAUCUCAUUAUUCUAGGAUGCUAUGUUUUAAUAAUUCGAAUUUAAGUGGAUGUGCUCUAUUUGGGCAUGUUACUGAAAUUGGUUAUACAAUUGUUUUAUUGUGUAGUACAUCUUCUCAACAGCAACAAAUGGGAAAAUUAAGGUUUGGCUUUAUGACAACCAAGGGUCAAGAGUUGACCAUGAUGCACUGGGUCACUCUUCUACUGUGAUGGCAUACAACGCUGAUGGAAAAAGGUUCAGACCAUCAGCAUUGCAUUUCAAGCUUGAUUUCAUCUCGAGUCUUUCUUUUUUACUGAAAUAACCUAUUUUAGCGAUUUGAAUUUGCUAUAGGUUGUUCUCGUGUGGGACCAAUAAAGAAGGAGAGUCAUACUUGGUUGAAUGGAAUGAAAGUGAGGGGACUAUCAAGCAUACUUAUCAUGGACUUGGAAAGAGUUCUAGUGGGGUUGUGCAGUUUGAUACCAUCAAAAACAGAUUUUUGGCUGUUGGUGACAAGUUCAUGGUCAAAUUUUGGGAUAUGGAUAAUGAUAGUCUACUUACAAGUACCGAUGCUAAUGGUGGAUUGCUGGUAAUUCAUUGUUGUUAAUUUAUUUUGACUGAAUUAAUCAAAACUUUCUGUUAAUUACCUCACUCUUUAAAUUUGUAGGCUUCACCUUGUAUUAGAUUUAACAAGGAAGGAGUUCUGUUAGCCGUAUCAACAAGUGACAAUAGUAUCAAAAUUCUAGCAAAUUCAUUUGGGAUUGAGCUGCUAAGGACCGCAGAAAAACAUAUACUUCUAGAGUCACUGUUGGGAGUCUUUUGCAGGUAAGCUUUUUUGUGAAUACACUAAUUUUAUGUAAAGAAGUCGCCACUACUCCAUUGUGGUCGGCUAAAACCCAAGGACUUGAUUACACUAGUUAUUUAAUUAAUGCUCUUUGAGUGCUUAGACUUGAUUAAUUUGUUAACUAAGUGUCCAUGCAGUCUUGGACCCUUUUAUUAACCUAUGCCACUAAUUGGUGUCCAUGCAUGAAAUUUAACGACCUAAUCAAGGUCUUUGUUACUAACCAUUUUCCAAUUUUUUAUAUUUUCGAUUUUUUUGAAAAUUUAAUUUUAAUUAUUUUCUGGAAAUAGGGACUCGGGCCGGGCCCUUGGGCUUCGUCCGAAUAUGAGCCACAUACUAGUCUCACGAAUCUGGGCUAAUGGGAAAAAUUUGGGCUAUUAUAUCUAGAUCCAUCCAAUUCUAACUCUACUGAACCCAAUUCAGAUUAUAGGGAGAAGUACACUAUCAGUGCCAUAAGUUGUGUACGGCGCUCACUUUAGUGCCAAAAUUUUCCACUGGAUCACUUAAGUGACAAAUCGGAGGAAAAACGAUCACUUUAGUGCCACUGACGAGAAAUUCCGCCCAAAAUGAUUACAUGGCUUUUAUUCUUAAAAAAAAUAAAAAAAAAAUCAACGUGGCUUAAGAUUGUCCAUGGUGGAUGGCAUAAAAUGAUGCCAUUUUCCUUUCUUCGUAAGAAACGACGUCGUUUCUUGCCAUCCACGGUGGAUUUACAUAAGAAACGACGCCGCAUUGCUCUAUAGCAAAAAACGACGCCGCUGAAGAGAGAGAGUAAAAUAGGGUUUGUAUACAGUUCUCGAUGCCAGCCGUAGCUCGCUCACCCACCGUCGUUCGCUCGCCUGCUGUCACUCGGCCACCGCUGUAGUUGCGCCGUCGUUCACGAUCAUUCGUUGGUUGCAUCCCCAACUCUCGCUCACUUAGGUUUGUCAUGUUCUCUAUGGGUCAAUUUAGUGAAAAAUUUAGAGUUCCGACGGGCAAGUUAGGGCGCGGAGGGCAAAUUGAGGGCUCGGCUCAAGGGGAAAGUAGUGGGGAAAGUGGUGGGGAUCUCACUUUUAUCGGGAUUUGGAAUGUUUGCUUUCUGUUGUGGGGACCGAAUAGAAAAAUAGGGCACGGAGGGGCUUGACUUGGAGGGAAACAAUGGUAAGACCGAAUUUGUUUGUUUAAUUAAUUGGAUUGCUUCUGUGAGGCCGAAUGUGAUUGAAUUGAAAAAUGGGUGGUGGGGACCUUACUUUGUUUAUUUAAUUCUAUUUCUUUUGUUUCUAUAAAUGCACCGAAUUAGAGAGAUUUUAGUCGCAUUUGUUUCUUGACAACAAAAUGACAAGCACCUGCAUGUGAAGUUGCUAAUUCUGUCAUGUGGACCCAAUAAAACGACAAUGACUCUUUUUCUUCUUUUUUUCAUUGGGUGCAGCAUCGACAUGGAUGCGAAUCAGGUAGGUGUCAUUGUUUGCUAUGGUGGAGAGUUUGUUAUUACCGCUGAAGAUUGGGAAUAUAGUGGUGGAAAUGAAUGUACUAUCUAUGUCAAUGUUCGGAAGCCAUCAUAUAUUGAUUUUCUGAGGGAUUUGGUGUAUUUUUUACGAUGCAAAGUGCAAAAACUACAUUACUGUGUUCCUAGGAAGGAAUUGAAGGAUGGAUUGAGAUUUUUUAAUGACGAUAAUGGUAUUAAGAAUAUCAUUUACCAUUAUCUUCACGGUGAAGAAGCUAAGGUAUAUGUUGAAUAUUAUAGUGAGGAUGAGGAUGAGGAUGAGGAUNNNNNNNNNNNNNNNNNNNNNNNNNNNNNNNNNNNNNNNNNNNNNNNNNNNNNNNNNNNNNNNNNNNNNNNNNNNNNNNNNNNNNNNNNNNNNNNNNNNNNNNNNNNNNNNNNNNNNNNNNNNNNNNNNNNNNNNNNNNNNNNNNNNNNNNNNNNNNNNNNNNNNNNNNNNNNNNNNNNNNNNNNNNNNNNNNNNNNNNNNNNNNNNNNNNNNNNNNNNNNNNNNNNNNNNNNNNNNNNNNNNNNNNNNNNNNNNNNNNNNNNNNNNNNNNNNNNNNNNNNNNNNNNNNNNNNNNNNNNNNNNNNNNNNNNUGCAGCUUCAGCAAAGAGGCUCGAGCUAGUAAAUAGGGAUGGAGAUCCAGUUGAGUGUAAUGGAAGUGAAGAUGAAGAAAGCUACGGCGAUAAAGUUGCUGGUUUGGAAAAUGAGCUUGACAAUGAUGAUGAAGAACCUGCUCGUCGAAGAAAAAGUAAGUACCCUUGCUAUAAUCCGACUGUUGAUAAACCUGUUUUGUCGGUGGGCAUGAGAUUUGACGAUGCCAAACAGUUCAAGGAAGCUGUUGUGAAGAACUCCAUUGGUGAACAGAGGAGCGUUUAAUUCAUUAGAAACACUAAGGAAUUUGUGAGAGCUAAGUGUUCACAACCCAAUUGUUCGUGGAAGCUCUAUAGCGCGUUGAGUAAGAACGGGUCAUUUUAUAUUAGGUCCUUCUAGGAGGAGCAUACUUGUCCAAUUAUCUUUAACAAUAAAAGGGUAACAAGUGUGUAGUUAUUGAAGCAUUUUUCCAAUACUAUCAAAGCAAUGCCCGAGAUCAAGAGUCCUCAAUUUCAACAGUUAGUGAAGGAGCAAGUGGGGGUUAAUGUAUCAAGGAAUCAGUGUAAGAGAGCUAAGAUGAGAGUUAUGAAGAUAUUGAUGGGUAGGUAUAAAGAAGAAUAUGCGCAGGUAUGAGAUUAUGCUGACGAAUGCAUGUUUCAAAAUCCAUCUAAUAUGAUAUAUGUAGAGGUAGUUGAGAGGCCACUCCCUGAUCUUGAACCUAGAUUUGAAAGAUUUUAUAACUGUUUUGAUGCAUGCAAACGGGGCUUCUUGGUUGGUUGUAGAAGAGUUAUAGGAUUGGAUGGAUGCUUUGGAAAGGGUUUGUGCAAGGGGGAGUUGUUGGCUGCUAUGGGGAGAGAUGCCAAUAAUCGAAUGUUCUCGAUAACUUAGGCGAUGGUGAAGAUAGAGAACAAGGAUAUUUGGUCCUGGUUCCUAAAAAAUUUAAAGGUUGACCUUGAGAUAACUGAUAAGGGAGGAUAGGCAUUCAUGAGCGACCAAUAGAAGGUAAUUUCAUUGUCAAUUAAUUCACUCCAUUUUAAUAUUAAUCACUUGCAUAUUUUUCUUGAUUUGUAUUUAUUGGUUUCAAUUUUUGUAGGGACUUAUUCCUACAUUGGCUGAGUUGAUGCCAUAUGCUGAGCAUAGAAUGUGCGCGAGGCACAUAUAUGCAAACUAGUCGAGGAACUUUAAAGGAGAUAGGCUACAGAAGCAGUUCUGGCAGAUAGCAAAGAAUACGAACAUUGCUGAUUUCAUAUUAGCUAAACAAGGAUUGUUGCAGCUGACAAAGAAAGGUUUUGAUGCACUCUUCCAGACAGAAACUAAGCACUAGUGUCAGGCCUUCUUCAACGAAGAAUUCAAAUGUGAUAUCAUUGAUAACAACCUCAGUGAAGCUUUCAAUGGCAAAAUUUUAGAGGCCAAAUGCAAACCAAUCAUUAGCAUGCUUAAUGAUAUUCGAGUUAUAGUUAUGACUAGACUAUAUAAGCAAAGAGAUGAGGCUACGAAAUGGAGUAGAGGCUGUGGCCCUAGGAUUGUGAAGAGAUUGGAUGCAAACAUUGUUGCUAGUAGGUUCUGCCAUUCAGUUUGGAAUGGAGAUUAUGGAUAUGAGAUUAUUUAAAAUCAUGAUAAGUAUGUUGUCAACCUGGAUAGAAGAAAGUGUUCAUGCCAAGCUUGGCAACUGAAUGGAAUUCUCUAUGCUCAUGCCAUUUGUGCUAUUCAGAUGAAGCAAGAAAACCCAGAUGAUUACCUACAUGAUUAGUACAAAAAAAACUCAUACGUUGCUUCAUAUCAAUUCAUGAUGCAGUCUAUUAGAAGCAGCAAAUUUUAGGAGCCAACAAAUCAUGAAAGCCCUCUACAUUUACCGCUGAAGAAGCAAAUAGGAAGGCCAAAAAAGAGACGAAGAAUGCAGCAAGAAGAGGCAUCAAGUUAGAGGAUAAGUAGGACUGGGACAAAGGUGAAAUGCUCCUAUUGUCGCAAGGAAUGGCACAAUAAGAAAGGUUGUGAGCUGAAAAAGCAAUAUUAACAGCAAGAUGUAAUGGCUGAUUCAGUGCUAGGAACAAGACCUACUGAAGAGCUUCUUGUUGGGCCUAUUGAAGGGAGGAUAGAAGGCCCUACUAUAAUGCCUAUUGAAGGGCAAACCAAAAGCCAUGUUGUAAGGUAAGUAUGUUGGAGAAAUCUUUGUGAAGUGUUUUGAAGUUGACAAAACGUUUCCAUCAGUCUAGUCUGAAAGUCUGCAGACUCUAUUAGUUAAAGUCUGAAGACUUCCGGACAGCCAGACUCAAGACUCAAAGUCUAUCCUCAUUGACAGUCUCUAAUUCGUUGAAGAAAGGUUAUCCAGAACUGGAUGUUUUGUUCAGGAUUUAACCUUAUCAUCUGGAGAAGAUCUCGUGGCUGGAGAAGACGUAUCAGAAUCCUUUGAUUGAUCAAGAUUGAUUCAAUGAUUGAAGAUUCGAUGAUUGUCUAAAUAUUAUUGGAAGGUUCUACUUAUGGAAACCGAGAUCCUAAUUGUAUGGGCGAACAGGAUUGAUGGGCUAUCAACAUGUUCCUUUAAUAGCUCGAACAAUCUUCCUAAUCGAUUCCGUCCAACGGGUAGAUUGGAGGAAUUCCUUUGGUAAGUGCCAACGGGUAUGAUGGCAUAAAGGAGUAUAUAAGGAAGACGUUCUUAGUUGUUCGAGAAGUGCGCGGUAGAAGAAUUCCAAAGUCUGAAGCUCCUAUUUGUUUAGAUAAAUCCUUUGAGCGAAUACUUGUAUACAAAAGAGAGUCUAUAUUUGUGAGAGACCUUGAGGAGGUGUGGUAAAACAUCUACACUGUGGAAUCAAGGCAAAGCUGUGCUGUAACUUCUCUUUUGAUCAUAGUGAAAUCCAGCCGGUGGGUUGUCAGUGCGGAAGAGUGGACGUAGGCUUGGAAUAAGCCAAACCACUAUAAAUCCUGUGUUCAAUUUUCUCUUCCUCACUCUCUCUACCUCGAUCGUAUUUCAUUUUGUUAAUUAAGAGAGAAUUUACUUUCUAUCAUAUGUUAAGAAUCGCUUCCGUAUAUUGAUAAAUUGUUUAGGCACCUAUUCACCCCCCUCUAGGUACUCAUACUAGCAAUAUCAAUUGGCAUCAGAGCCUGUGUACUUACUUUAUUUGAAGUGUUUUACUUCAUAGUAAAAGAUCCAUGGCUAGUAUGCUAGCACCAGGGCUGAUGGAAGGGCAAAGCAAUACCAGACCACCCUACUUUGAUGGAAAGGAUUACAACAUCUGGAAGAACAAGAUGAAAGCUUUCCUAUGAUCAAAGGAUCCUCUGGAAUGGGACGUUGUAGAAAAAGGAAUUACUCCUACCACUGCAUCAGUCUCUGAAAGAGGAAAAGAAACUGAAGAAACCAGCGGAAUGUCUUAGGAAGAAAUAAUCAAGAGACAAACACUCGAUGCAAAAGCAAUUUACUCCUUAUAUUGUGCUUUAUCACCAACUGAAUAUAAUAGAAUAUCUUCUUGUGGUACAGCAAAAGAAGUUUGGGACAGAUUGCAUAUCACCUAUGAAGGAACAGAUCGAGUGAAGGAAACAAGAAUCAACAUUCUUCUCGGUCUAUACGAAGCCUUCAGAAUGAAACCAGGAGAAUCAAUAUCUGACAUGUUUAGUCGUUUUACAGAUAUUGUGAAUGGUCUUGAAAAUCAAGGUCAACCAACUUCUGAUCCCAUGAAGGUAAACAAGCUACUGCGUGGACUCUCCAGGGAUUGGAAUCACAUAAAGACUUCGAUAAGAGAGACGCAGAGAAUUAUGCCACUAUCUGUUGACGAGCUGAUUAGAACUCUUCAGUCCUAUGAAGUGGAAAUGAUCAAUGAAGAUGAAGAUCCAAAAGAUAAGAAAUCCAUUGCAUUAAAAUCAAAUGAUGAUUCUGAUGAUACAGAUUCUGAAGAUGAUAUGGACGAUGAGGAGCUUGCUCUCAUGAUAAGAAGAUUCAGAAAACUAAAUAGAAAAGGAAGAAGGUUCAACUCAAAGAAACAAAGAUUUCAAAGACAGCAGACCAAGUAUGUUGAUGAUGAGGAACCAAAUAAAGAUGUAGUCUGCUUUGAAUGCAAGAAAAAGGGACACAUCAGACCCAACUGUCCUCUUCUGAAGAAGAAGAGAGGAAAAGCUGAAAAAUUUCGAAAAGCUCUCAAAGCUGAAACCUGGAGUGAUACUGAGUGUGAAGAAAGUGAUAAUGAAUAUGCCAAUCUAUGUCUGAUGGCACAAUCAGACUCAGACUCUAGAUCAGACUCAGGAUCAGACUCAGACAGUGAAUUUGAGGUAAGUAAUUUUAAAAUUCCUGUCAAAGUUUCUAAAUAUAUUGAUGAACUAUGCUUUAGUCUUAAGACUUCUCUCAAAAGAAUUUCCAAAAUAAAAAAGGAAAACUCAGCUCUAAAACAAAAGGAAAAUGUUUUAGCAGAAAGAGUUAAAAGUCUAGACUUGUCUGUUUCCAAUCUUAAAGAAAAUGAAGAAAAUCUUUUAAAAGAAAAUGCUUUUUUAAAAACAGACUUAUCAAAUAUAUCAAAGAAAUUUUCUAUAGGGUCUGAAAAACUUGAGAAAAUUCUUUCAGCACAAAGACCUUACUUCAAUAAGUCUGGUCUAGGUAUGACAGAAGAAACAAUUCCCUUGAUUGAUUUUCCUAAAGUAAAAGAAAGAAUUAAGAAAAGACUCUCGAGUGAGGUUUACAAAAAUCACUUCAAGAAAGUCUUUGUAAAACCUGUAGGUAGAAAUGCUCUAAGAUGUUCUAAGUGCAACAGUCCGGAUCACUUUGAAAAAGAGUGUCCUAUGGUAUGGAAACCUGUUAAGAAAGUAUGGGCUAAUAUUGUUUAUCUUACUAACACCAAAGGACCCAAGAAAAUUUGGGUACCAAAGAAAGCUUGAGACUUUAUUUUAAAUACAGGUCUUCGUCAAGAAACAGGUAAAGUGGUAUCUUGACAGCGGAUGCUCAAGACAUAUGACAGGAGACUCAAAUUGCUUUAUAAAGCUUGCUCAAGUAAAUGGUGGAAAAGUUUCAUUUGGAGGAAAUAGCAAAGGAAGUAUUGUGGGAUUUGGAACCAUGAAAAUUAGAACUCUCACAAUAAGUAAUGUUUCCUUAGUGGAAGGACUCAAUUACAAUCUUCUCAGCAUUAGUCAAUUGUGUGAUACUGGUUUCAAGAUCUUCUUUCAAGAAGGAACAAGUUCUGGAAUCAGUAAAGACUCUACUCAGUCUUUCAUGGGUCGAAGACAUGGAAAUAUCUAUCUUCUGGAUGUGAAACCAAAUGAAUCGCAAUGCCUUAUCGCAAUUCAAGACGAAGCAAGCUUAUGGCACAAAAAGCUUGGUCAUGUCAACAUGAAGCAAUUAGCCAAAAUCUCAUCAAAGCAGCUUGUUCAAGGUCUACCCAAAUUGCCACACCAAAAGACUGAUUCAUGCACUCCAUGUAUUCUGGGAAAGCAGGUAAGAAAUUCUUUUAAGCCAAUAAAUCAUGUCUCUACUAAUCAUGUACUACAGUUGCUGCAUAUGGAUCUCUUCGGACCAACCCGAACUCAGAGUAUUGGUGGUAAGAAGUAUUGCCUAGUAAUUGUUGAUGAUUACUCCCGUUUUACUUGGGUAUAUUUCCUUGCAAGUAAGUCCGAAACCUUUUCGUAUUUUGAAAAAUUUGCUAAAAAGGUUCAAAAUGAAAAAGGAUGUGUUAUCUCUAGUAUAAGAACAGAUCAUGGAGGUGAAUUUGAAAAUCAAGAUUUUACAAAAUUCUGUGAUGAAUCUGGCUUUAAGCAUGUGUUCUCCUCUCCAUAUACUCCUCAGCAAAAUGGAGUUGUGGAAAGAAAGAACAGAUCUCUUCAAGAAAUGGCUAGAACUCUUUUAAUUGAAAGUAAAAUUUCUUCUCGAUUUUGGGCUGAAGCUGUUUCAACAGCUUGCUAUAUCAUCAAUAGAGUCUUCUUAAGAUCUAUUCUUCAGAAAACCCCUUAUGAGUUAUUCAAAGAAAAGAAGCCUAUUGUUUCAUACUUUCAUGUAUUUGGUUGUAAAUGUUUUAUAUUGAAAAAUGCAAAAGAUCGAGUUGGUAAGUUUGAAGAAAGAUCAGAUGAAGGUAUCUUCCUUGGAUAUUCUACAUCAAGCAAAGCUUACAGAGUCUAUAACAAGAAGAGUCAGUCUGUAGAGGAGUCAAUGAAUGUCAAAUUUCAAGACUCAACGCAAGAUGAAUCAAGUCAGACUCAUCAAGAAGAGUCUGAACCUGCUCCAGACCCUCCAAAGUCUACAACUCAAGAAGCAUCUCAGACUCUGGAAAACCAGCAUCAGGAAUUCGCACUAGAUCCAAAAGGCGAGAAGAGUCUAGUGCUGUGGCACUCGUUUCUGAAAUUGAACCAAAGAGCAUAGAAGAAGCUUUAUCUGAUGAAAGCUGGAUUGAAGCUAUGCAAGAAGAGCUCAGACAGUUCAGCAUAAAUGAUGUCUGGGAAUUGACAUCCAAACCAAAAGGAAAAACUGUUAUUGGAGCUAAAUGGGUGUUCAGAAACAAGAUGAACGAGAAAGGAAAAGUCGUAUGAAAUAAAGCAAGACUCGUGGCCAAGGGAUAUACGCAAGAAGAAGGAAUAGACUAUGAUGAGACUUACGCUCCAGUAGCAAAGUUAGAAGCUAUUCGACUAUUACUUGCGUUUGCUUGUUAUAAGAAUUUCAGGUUAUUCCAAAUGGACGUCAAAAGCGCCUUCCUAAAUGGAUUUAUCCAUGAGGAAGUUUAUGUGGAACAACCACCAGGGUUUGAAGACCCAAAGAAGCCAGACUCAGUCUUCAGACUGAAAAAGGCUUUGUAUGGUUUAAAGCAAGCACCUCGGGCUUGGUACGACAAAUUAAGUAAGUUCCUAAUACAAAAUGGCUUUGUCAAAGGUAAAGUAGAUACGACUUUAUUUAUCAAGAAGGAAAACAAAAGUUUCUUACUUGUUCAAAUAUAUGUAGAUGAUAUUAUUUUUGGAUCCUCUAAUGAAAGUCUGUGCAAGAAAUUUUCAAAGUCUAUGCAGGAUGAGUUUGAAAUGAGUAUGAUGGGAGAGUUAACAUUCUUUCUUGGUCUUCAAGUAAAACAAUUGAAGGAAGGAACUUUUAUUUAUCAAGAAAAAUAUGUUAAUGAUCUUGUCAAAAGAUUUGGACUGGAAAAGUGCAAAAAGACCGACAUACCAAUGUCAAGUUCUUUAAAGAUAGACAAAGAUGAAGAAGGGAAGAAAGUUGAUCAAAAGCUGUACAGGAGCAUUAUUGGAUCACUUCUUUAUCUUACUGCCUCUAGACCUGAUAUUUUGUUGAGUGUUUGCAUCUGUGCUAGGUUUCAAUCAGAUCCUAGAGAAUCUCAUCUCAGUGCUGCGAAACGCAUCAUUAAAUACGUCGCUUCAUCAUCAAGCAUCGGUCUUUGGUAUCCUAAGAAGGGAGACUUUAAUCUUCUGGGAUAUUCAGACGCAGAUCUGGCCGGUUGCAGAGUUGAUAGAAAGAGCACUUCAGGAACUUGCCAGUUGCUUGGAAGCAGGACAGUGUCUUGGUUUUCAAGGAAACAAAGCACUGUGUCUCUUUCAACAACAGAAGCAGAGUAUGUAGCUCUUGGAAGCUGCUGUUCGCAAAUUCUAUGGAUAAAACAACAGCUAAGAGAUUUUGAAAUUGAAGACUCAUGCACGGAGAUUAAUUGCGACAACACCAGCGCUAUCAACCUCACCAAAAAUCCAAUUCUCCAUUCAAGAGCAAAGCAUAUAGAGAUUCGACAUCACUUUAUUAGAGAUCAUGUUCAAAAUGGAGAUGUUUCAAUUCAAUUUGUUGACUCAAAGAAUCAACUGGCUGAUAUACUCACAAAGCCUUUGGAGAAAAAUCAAUUUGAGUCUAUACGGUCCAGACUCAACAUUUUGAGGUAUGAGGAUAUCAAAGUCUAAAGACUUUCAGACUCAGGCUUACAAGACUUUAUCUACAGUCUUGGCUCGACCUUCAGACUGUAAGUCUUUCUCUCUCCAAUCUUAUCUUGAAAAGGUACGAUCAUCAGACUGUGUUUAAAUUGUUGCUAUAUUUAAUUAACGUAAAUAUUGCAUCGAUUCAUUUUCAAAAGGGAAGUUAUUUUUGAAAUAGCUAUUUUUGCGGAUAAAGACAGUUAUUUUGAAAAGGCAUAUUUUUAUUUCCUUUGUGACGGUUCGUUUACUCUUCUUUUUAACCGAUUGUGCACUGUCGAUUCAUCUUCACUUUUCUAAUCACUUUUCUCUCAAAAACCCUAGAAAGCAUCGAUCCUCCAUUCCCGUUUGUCUUCUUCGCUCAAUCUUCAAAAAGUUGUCAUCUUUUCUGGGAAAGUCAAGCAAGGAAUCUUCCAAACACUGAGAAAGAUGUCAUCUUCACGAAAGUCCUCAAGAAUCGCAAGCAGGGGACCACAGAGAAUGAGUGAGGGGCCUACGCACUUCGAUCUUACUAAAGAUGAAGUUACUCCAGAUCAGCAACCGAGCCCACAACAUUCUCAGCAGCGUCAUUCUCCACCAUCUAGUCCUCAAGGUGUUGUUCAUCAGCAUCAGGAAGAAAUCAUCGAGGAUGCAGACCCCGUAAGAGUUCAAAAGCCCGCUUUUAUUUACAAGCUAUAUCGUGCCUUAAAAGGAAUUCGUACUCCUUUGAACUAUGUUGAUGAGUUUCUUAAAGACAAAGGAUAUAAGAACGAAUAUAUCUUUCUGCGAAAAAUGGAAAGUUUGGGAAUCGCUCAUAAAUGGGUGGCUGAGGAAACCCUUGCGAAUAUCCCAAGUGAUCCUCGUGACUGGGGGCCGAAUCCUGUAGAUGGGAAUGACGAUGACAAUCUGUUCAGUUUAUUUCAACCGAAAAUGGGUAUUGCGGCUGAAAUUCAAGAAAAAAUGGGAGAUUUGUUCAGAUCAAAGGAACAAAAGGAUCUGUACUCGAAAUUGCUGAAGCGUGGGGUAAUAAACCCUAGGAGUGUGGACUUUGAUUUUCUGGAUGCUGUGAAAGUGAACUUGAGGGAAAAGUUCAGUUAUCUUCAACUUGAAAAGUUCUGCUCUGACUCAACUGAGGCAUAUGCUGAAUUGACUGCAUAUUUCUAUUCAAAUCUUAGCUUUUUAGAUGCGAAUAGAUUCUCCUUCAGCGUUAAAGAACAAGACUAUGUUGUGGAUAUGAAUAUGCUGGCAGAUGUGUUAGAAGUUGAGAGAGGCAGAUAUCAACCAAUCAAAGUUUCCAUUGCACGGGCCACACUUGAACUGGUGAAGGACAGGAGAACAGAUGAGAAGAUCACCUACUCAAGGAUGAAUGCAUUCAACAUCUUGCUUCACAAGAUUGUGAUUAACUGCCUUCGGCCGAAAUCAACUUCCAAAACUGAUGUUUCAAGCUCUGAGGCAAAGUUGAUGUAUGCCAUCCUCUGUGGAAAGAAGUUUUCUCUCCCUCAUACUGUUAUGUUUCACAUGUAUAGAGCAGUGAUGAAGGACAAAGGUCAACUCCCUUACCCAAGCCUUGUUACGAAGUUAUUCAGACAUCUGAAUAUUCAGCGUCCGCAAAUCUUUUGUGUUCGAUCAUGUGAUCAUAUGGUGGUAGGACUGAAAAUGGUGACCAAAAUGCGUCUGAAGGAACUGAGCAAGGAAUUGGAGAAAUUCAAGGAGAAGACUCCUGCCAAAUCUCAUCAACUCUCUUCUGCUGCUAAGAGAAAAAGGGAAGGAGCCCAUGGCUGCUCCAUCAAAGAGAAGAAGAGCUCUCCUCGUUGAGGAUGAAGAUGAUGACGAAGACAUCACCAUCUCUGCAAUGGCUUUGAAGAAUUUAAGUCGUCCUGUUCCACAGAAAGAAUCGGAACAAACGACGAAAGAAGCAGAGGAGAAGGAAGAAGAAGAAAGAGAAGGAGAGGAGAAGGAAGAAGAAGAAAGAGAAGCAGAGCAAGAAGCAGAGGAAGAAAGACCUGAAGAAGAAAGAAGAGAAGAAGGAGAACCUGAGGAAAUCUCUUCUCCACCUGUAGGCAUGGAAACAGGGGGAGAACAGGAGAAAGGAGUGACGUCUUCAUAUCCUGAUGCAAGUGAAGGAGUCAGUCGCUCGCCUGCAGACCCAGAAGAUGUUUAUGCAUCUCAAUUUCCAGAGGAAGGUCAUGAAGCUUCAUCGCCAAACCUGCGAGAUUAUGCUGAUCCACCAUCGUCUGCUUUUACUCCAUCGAACCGAGCCGAAGCAAGUACUCAGACUGAUAAUGGAGCAGAUUUUCGCAGAAUCUUGGAUAUUCUCUUGGAAAUGCGAGGUCAAAUUUAUGCCUUGGGAUGCGAAGUUCAAAGGUUAAAGAAUGAAAGUCAAGCUUCUUCCUGUUCAUUGAAUGAUAAGAUGCAAGCCCUCUCUAUUCAGAAUCAGGCCAAUGCCAAGAGUGAGGAGGUUGUACAGCUGAAGGAAGACUUUAAAAGGCUGGAAGGCAUCGUUCAGUCUAUGGAAGAUUUCCAGCUUGUCCGCGUUCCCAAGCAAUCUUGACUUCAUCUCAUCCUUUUUAAUGAUGACAAAAAAGGGGAGAGAUGCAUGAUUUGAUCAAAAACUUUCAAUCAUUUUUUAACUGUUUGUUGGAUUGGGUUGUUGUUUAACUGAUUUUGACAGACUUUGACUUUGUUUUGUGUCUGGAUGAGAACUGAACUAGACUUGGACUUGACUGCUUCUAUUAACAAGUAUUGAUAUCUUAUGGAUGGUUUUAUUAUAUACUAGACUAACCUAUUUUCUGUGGUUGCAGAUUCUAGUGUUAAUCCUUUAGCCAUUCAUCUCUAUAAGAUAUGCAUAUGUGUUUGAGAAUUUUUUUGUAGGUCAAAGCUAUCCAAAUCUACAUGAAGAAGGGGGAGAUUGUUGGAGAAAUCUUCGUGAAGUGUUUUGAAGUUGACAAAACGUUUCCAUCAGUCUAGUCUGAAAGUCUGCAGACUCUAUUAGUUAAAGUCUGAAGACUUCCGGACAGCCAGACUCAAGACUCAAAGUCUAUCCUCAUUGACAGUCUCUAAUCCGUUGAAGAAAGGUUAUCCAGAAUUGGAUGUUUUGUUCAGGAUUUAACCUUAUCAUCUGGAGAAGAUCUCGUGGCUGGAGAAGAUGUAUCAGAAUCCUUUGAUUGAUCAAGAUUGAUUCAAUGAUUGAAGAUUCGAUGAUUGUCUAAAUAUUAUUGGAAGGUUCUACUUAUGGAAACCGAGAUCCUGAUUGUAUGGGCGAACAGGAUUGAUGGGCUAUCAACACGUUCCUUUAAUAGCUCGAACAAUCUUCCUAAUUGAUUCCGUCCAACGAGUAGAUUGGAGGAAUUCCUUUGGUAAGUGCCAACGGGUAUGAUGGCAUAAAGGAGUAUAUAAGGAAGACGUUCUUAGUUGUUCAAGAAGUGCGCGAUAGAAGAAUUCCAAAGUCUGAAGCUCCUAUUUGUUUAGAUAAAUCCUUUGAGCGAAUACUUGUAUACAAAAGAGAGUCUAUAUUUGUGAGAGACCUUGAGAAGGUGUAGUAAAACAUCUACACUGUGGAAUCAAGGCAAAGCUGUGCUGUAACUUCUCUUUUGAUCAUAGUGAAAUCCAGCCGGUGGGCUGUCAGUGCGGAAGAGUGGACGUAGGCUUGGAAUAAGCCGAACCACUAUAAAUCCUGUGUUCAAUUUUCUCUUCCUCACUCUCUCUACCUCGAUCGUAUUUCAUUUUGUUAAUUAAGAGAGAAUUUACUUUCUAUCAUAUGUUAAGAAUCGCUUCCGUAUAUCGAUAAAUUGUUUAGGCACCUAUUCACCCCCCUCUAGGUACUCAUACUAGCAAUAUCAAAGUAUCCUCUUUGCAUCAGUAACUUUACAGUUCUUAUUCGAUAGAGUUUGAUGGUUGACCAUGUGUACUGGCUUCUCUUGUGCUUUUCCUCUGUCAUGCAUUUGUAAUUUGAGAAGUUUUCUCCAUUUGUUUCCACCAUGAAAAUUAGUAAAUGUCUAAUUAUUCGUUGUAGUUGGUCAUAAUCCUAAUACAGUACAUUGUUGUAAGGCAUACUAAAGGGCUAGAAAAAGGCCCUGUUGUAGGCUCAAGUGCAGGGACAUGGACUGGAAUGGAUAUAACAGUAACAACAACAACUGAGUCCACUAUUAAGCAAACAAGAAAAAAAUAUCCUGUAAGUUGUACAUCACUGUGUUCAUCUUUUAUGGGCUGAAAUUUACAUUUGUUAUAUGUUUCUCAAGUGAGAAGACGAGCAACUACACAAGUUGCAGAGGUUGCUCUCCCAUUUGUUGCUGCUGAAAAUGAUGUACCACAGCGAACAAAAUGGGCUCUUUGAAAAAGAUUAAGGCAAUAUGGUUAUGGGAUUUACAUAGAUGAACGUACUUGAAUGACCAUUUUGAAUGUAAGAUUUGUAGGCCUCAUGCACUUAAUUUGUUGUACUUCAAUUCAUUUGGUUGACGAUAUCACUAUGUUCUUGUUGCUUGGGAGAACUUCAGAUGUAUUUCUCUCUCAAGGUAGGCCAACUCAAGAAUCAAGGGCGUAACCAAAGAAAAGUGCUCCAAAGAAGAAGACAUCAGGUAUAGCUGCAAAACAGCCAUAAAAAAGCACCAGUUCCACCUCAACCAACGAUUGUGAGCAGUAGUGAUGAUAUAGACCAACACAUGACAUGUGCUAGAACCAAAAUAGCCGCCGUCAAAAACAAGGAAAAGGAAAAGGAAAAGGAGGUGACGCAAAGCCCAGUUAAAAAACCUGCACAUCCAGUUCGAAAGAGUGCUCGGAUUAUGAAUCAAUUCAAAACUCCAAGAGGAAAAGGAGAUGGGGGUGUUGUCAAUAUUAACUGAUGGGAGGGUGCUAGACAUGGUCUCUUUUUAUGUUGUGCUGGACAUGGUCUCUUUUCAUGUUUUCUUUUUUAAGGAGGGCGCUGGAUAUUAUAUCAUUGAUAAUAGUUGUAUAUUGCCAUUGUUUUUUUUUAAGAGGGUACUGAACUUUCGGUGAUUGGGAAGUGAAGUUAGACAUGUUGUUUUUCUUUUCUUUUGUAAACAAUUAAUCAAUAUUAAUGGCAAGUACUGGAAUGACUAUUUUCUCUUGUGUUGGUUUCGGCUAGAAUGCUAGCAAGUCAAUUAUGCUAUAUAUAUAUAUUGGUGCAAUGUUGUUGUUGCUGGUUGAAGUUGUGAAUUAUAAUAAAUUUGUGGGGUUCUGGUUAUAUGUGCCGUUGCAAGAAUAUUUUGGGUGCUGGUACAUCUUGUUGCAUCUACACUUGUAUGGUCUGGUGUAAGAAGAUCCACCAGCAACCCAACUGGUGCAAGAAUAAGGUGCAAGUCAAAUGAUGUUUGACACUAACAUGUUCUUUUUUAAAAAACUUGUGCAACACAAGUGAUCACUUUGUAAUCGCGACCGGCACUUAAAUUAUCACUUUUAUAAAAACUUAGCACUCAAGCAAUCACUAUUUACAACUUAUGGCACUGAAAUGGUAAAUCGUGAAUUUGUCACCAUUCCUUAAUUUUGCCAUGGUUUGCAGUUGCAGCAUACCAGCACACCAGCAAAGAGAUACCAAAUUUAUGCAACAAACAAUUAUAUGUGAAGCAAAAACAAACCAAAAUAAAUAUUGAUAAUACAUAACUAAAUAAUAAAACUUUUAAGUGCUCAUAACUAAUGCAUUCCAAAAGCACACUCCAUUUCGUCAUGGUUUGCAGUUGCAGCAAACCAUUACCAAAUAAAAAAUGCAGCAAACCAUUACCAAAUAAAAACAUGCAGCAAACCAUUACCAAAUAAAAAAUAUAGCAAACCAUUAUAUUUGAAGCAAAAACUAACCAAAACAAACAUUGACAAUACACAACUAAACAAAAAAAAUUUUAAGUGCUCACAACUAAUACAUUUCAAGUCCAACCUUGCAUUUCUAUCAUAUAUUACGACAACAAAACCUUCUGCUCUAUACAAAAAUUGCAGCAAAUCAAACACACAUUUUACUUAUAAAUAAUCCAAUACAAGUGCAUAUUCCAUGUCUUCGACUAUGGUAGAUAUAGAAAUUUAUUCUCAUUACUCACUUCACAUUUGAAUAAAUUACCCAAGAGAAUAAGAGCACAAUCAACGCUCAAUAAAAGUUUCUUUCAAUUUUCAGCCUUGAAACCUCCCUCUUUAAAUGGUCCACCAAAGAUGUUAAACCCUUCAUUUGAGCUUGCAUUGAGUCGACAUCCUCCAACUCGUCCAUUAACGUAGGUGGAGGUUGAUUUAGGCCUUCAAGUAACUCCAAUAUUACCUCUGUCGCUCGAUCAGAGAAUUUCCUAUCAACCCAUUUGAAAUAUUGGCACUUUGAGCCUUCUCUAUAUCUGCUGCACCCAUGGAAUCUUCUCCCGGGAUUCAACCAAGUCCAAGAUGUUCUUCUUGGACUCGGUAACCCACAAUAACAAUAACACUCACCAUCUAAUUCGCUUUUCUUAUAGGAAUGUGAGCCGCUGCUGAAGCUUCUGUCCUCCAUUUGCAAGAGUGAGCUGAUAACUUUGGGAGAAAAUCGAAGUAUGCACUCAAAAUGGUUGAAUUGGGGAUUUAGGAUUUCUUAUUUGGGGGAAAACGGUAAACGGCGUCAUUUUGUUCUCUGUAUGCUGAUUGUAUUAUCCGGCGAUCCACGUCGGCGUCAAAAAUUAAUAAAAAACUGAUAUGUCAGAUUUUCGGCCAAUCAAAACGACGAUCGCACCAAAAGUGAUCGUUUUUCAAAAUUUUUGGCACUUAAGCGAUUCGACGGAAACUUUUGGCACAAAAGUGAGCGUCGUACACAACUUAUGGCACUGAUAGUGUACUUCUCCAUCAAAUUAUACCUAUUUUAAGCCCAUUUACCCAUGGAAACUACUCUAGCUCACUUUCUCCUCUAACUGCACCAAGUCAAUCUUUAAGCCCAAUUUCUAUUACAAAUAUAUUAAACCCUAAGCCCAUGCCAACCCUAUCUUAUUAUUAUUUUUUAUCCAUUUUUUUUCUCUUUUCUUACAUUUUUCGUCAUUUUUUUAUUAUUAUUUAUUCUUCAUUCAGCCUAUCGUCCUCUUCAGAGCAAACGAGAAUCUACCAACUCAUUCGAAGUUCAAUACGUUAUCCACAUGACAUGAGCAUUAUAUCUCUUCAUUUAUUUGUAUAAGAAGAAUCGAAUCUGAAUGCUAGCAGACUGGUUGGUAGUAGUAAUUUGUGCUGAAAUUUCGUUAGACUGAAUUAGAUUAGGAAUUAUUUCACUAAUGUACCAUAGAGACAUUACAUCAGAUAGUCUGUGCACCAAAUGGAUUGAAUUUGGUCAUUAAAUUGAGGCUGUGUUUUUGUCUAAAAUCAGUGUUAGAACCAUAAAAAUCGUUACUAAUCAUCAAAUUACAGCUUAGAUCAUCAAUGACAUUCACGAGUUACAUGAAUGUGGUUCAGUCACGCAUCUUUCCAAAACAGGGUAGGAAAUGAAAUCAGCUUGUCAAGGGGGAGUUCCCAGUGAAUAUCUGAAAGUGCGCUGUCAAUGAAGUUUCAAACACGAACGACAUGGUCUGGAUUCUGGGCUUUUAUGGGUCCGAGUAAUGAAAGUUGGAUGAACUUAACAAAUGUGGAUGGGCCAUGGGCUUGGCUUGGACGAAUUGGAUCAAGCCUAGCGCCUUUCCAAUUAGUUGAUGAAUUGAAGUCCCUCUUAAGUCAUUUUUUUUUUUUGUAUUUUUCAUUUUGUGUUUUAUUUAUUCAUUUUUUUAAUUAAAGCCGCCUAGAUUGCCGAUUUUGCUUAAGUUAUCAAUUAAAAAUCAUGUGUCAAUAGCAACUCCAACAUCUCCAAAUUGGGUGAAGCAAUUUCCUAAAAAGUUGUGGUAAUCUUGAAGGGGCUAUAAGUGCAAAAUAUUUGUCAAACACCUUACAAAAGCUACAUCACCCAUCCUUUAUAGCUGAAGUUACUGCAGGAAAGCUUACCAGAUAGUCUCUUCAAAAAAAGAAAAAAAAGAAAAAAAAAGAAAGGGCUCUUCGUGCACCUAACAUUAUUUAUUUUUACUCUUUCCCAAAUCAUUCAUACCUUUUUAGAUAAUCAUAAUAUGAAUCAAUUGUAUAGCAAUUGCUAUGAGAGUUGAAUUAACCUUCAAGCAAUGAAUUAUAAAAAGGAGAUGGGCAAUGGCAUUGGGAGGCAAUUUGUUAAAAGAAGUAUUUCAAGGAGGUAUGAUAAGUGUUCGAUCAUGAAGAAGAAGAAGCAAAACGCCAUUCACUAAGGGAUAACUCGCGCACGCAGAAGGGAGGAAGCAGGGGAAAAUUGCUCCAUCUUCCAUCGUCUCCAGUCACCAUUGGAUGACCUUUCGUCGCGGGGUCUCAAGUUCCGAUAUAGCCGCUAGCUACCAUCGCCGAUCAUUACGAGUUCCAACCCCUUCGUUGGUUGCGCCGUCGACCAUCAGUCUCAGGAGGAACACGUUUGUUCAUUUCCUCGAGAGCACCAUUCCAGAACCCAAAAAAAAAAAAAAAAAAAUCGAGCAAGGAAAAUUCAUCUAAAAAAAGCGAUUCCGUCCGAUUCAGUUGGCGAUUUCAAGCGUCCUGAAUCGAUCACAGUGGCCGUCGCCGGCAUCAACAGCCUCUUCAAUGCCGCGACUCGUCUCCUUCGUUUCUCUUCCGCGGCCGAGAGCUUCGAAAUGUUGUCGUUCCGCUCGAAGCUUCUCCGCCUGUUCAGGUUUCGAUCAUCGACGCGUUCUAGAGUUUCUUUCAGUGAUUCGUGCGCCAACCCGCGGCCUCAAUCCACUUGAUUGACCAGGUAGCAUCUCCUGUUCCGUUGUCACAAGUAAGAGGCCGAGAGUCUGAUUCUCUUAUUAUGAUGAAAUUGACCAUAGUUGAAUUUUUUUUUCUUUGAUUUCGAACAUCAUGUACUGAUUUAGGUUGAGUCUAGUUGUAAAUUCGAGUUCGAAAUGGCUGUGAUCUGUUCCACAACCGAAUGACCAUAAUCUGUUCGAUGAAAUGUGUCUAAGACCUUGGUGUGAAUUGAUUCCAGUAAUCGUCCGAUUUGAAAGCAUAUUAGUGAUGUUCAAUUGAUAUUUUUGAUUUUUCAAUCUUUAGACAUGAUUACGAGUAUAUGCCAUACUUGGCAAGUAUUAAACUGACUCUCCGUUUGUUUUCUCAGUGGUUCCCGUGAUCCUUUGGUGAUUGGUGGUGGUCAGCGAGAUGAGGAGGCUUGGAGUCGCUGGCACAUGCAUGAUCUUUGGUGAUGAUCAUAGUACGCCCUGUCGAACAGAAUUGAGACAAUAUUGCUGAGCAUAAAUCACGAUCAUGCCAAUUCAGAUCACGAACUUUGGCCGACACAUGUUUUGGUCACUAACUGGAGCAAUGUUAUGGCUGAUUGCUAGCCGUGUCCUUGCUGCUGUGUUGCCCCACAAUGUCCUGGACCAUUAAGCUUUGCUUCUGCCCAUGCCUUGCAGUCCAUUGUUGCCAUUGUAAUUGCUGUGGUAAACCUACCUUCCAUAAUGGCUAUCCAAUUGAUCUCCACUUGCAGCAGCACUGUCAUCAGAAGAUACUGCCAUACGUUACUGAUAUGGAUUGACGUACCAAUAGAGCUAUAUCCACCGCGUGUUGUUAAAAAUCGGAUGGCCUCAUACCAUCGGCUUGUUUCUGUUCCAACUGAUUUUUAGAGUUGACUGUAUGUUCAGAUUUCCUUCACUCCUUUGUUUCUUAUGUUCAGGAUUUUGCGUGUCUUCUUAAAUUGAAUCAUGGGAAAGCUAAGUGGUUCGAAUUCCAGUCAUCAUGGGGUCGAUAUUUUGUCACAAAACCAUUGCGCGUUACCUGCUUAGCCAUUCCUACCUUGUCCUUCAGUUAUUGAUUACUCCACCUUUGUCAAUUUCAUUGUCCAGAAGCAGGUAAUAAAUCUGAGAGCACACACUAAAAUGAUAUUUUAUUUCUGUCAUCUAAUUCCUGCUUUAUUCUCUGUGCAUGACAUAUUCUACUUCAUGCAUGCUGUUGAUGGAAAUCAUGGUCGACAAUCAAUAUGAACUGAGCAAGUUAUACUUAUUUCCUGUCUUUAGUUGAUAUUUUUUGUGUAUGACAAUCAACGAAUGAACCAGUAAAGAGCUUGCUCAAAAUUAGUAAAUGAGGAUUUACUUCUUUCUUGGAAGUGUCAAUGUCUCCGAUAGUGGAAGAGUGUAUUGUUGUUUUUGAACUUGCAUAAGAAUCGAUGGAAUGCUCAUGGAGCAGCAAGUACCCGAAAUUUACAAGUUAUAUGAAUUGGUGUGUCCUAUUGUUGCAUAUGCUGUAGUUUAGCGGUUAUUGUUCAUCUAUGUUUGCUGAACCGUUUGAUUUAUUACUUUCAAUUAACAAAAUUUUGAUAAAGACACGUGACAAUUGUGAGAGAUGCACUGAAACUGGCACUUUGGUGAUGACAGUGCUCCGUUGUGUCACAGUAUGUACUUGUUUUUAGGAAAAAUCAUUUAUGAUGUUGGAGAAGUGAAUAUGUGUUGAAGGUGCCAACCCCUCGUGAUCUUGGACCCACUCGUUGAAGAAAUGGAGAGAUAGAAUUUCUACAUGGACGAUGUGAAUGGGUCGUUGCUAAGCUUCUCGGCUGUUUGUUGAAUUUGAUUUGCAUAAUGGGUUGAAGCUAGCAUUUGGGUAGUACUGGAAUUCCAAAAGUGAAGAAUUUGAUGUGUAUCUAAGCAAUGCCCACAAUUAGUAACAUGUUCUGAGCUAAUCAAGGUUUGUCAUCUGAGUAUAUUAUAAUUGUCGCCAAGUAGUGCAUCACUUAGUCCUUUUUAGAGUAAAUGCAUCAUUUAGUUAGAAAUUUGAGCAUGUUUAGAUUAGUACUUAGUUCAUGUGGGUUACUGUCUCGGGAUUGCUGUCCCGGGCUUAGCUCGAGAAUUCCAGCACAUUAUGACUGGAUGUAUAACCUUCCACAUCAUACAAAACAACAUAUCAGACGAACCCAAAGAUUUUCCGUUGUUCCACAAAUUAAGCAGGCUGGCACCUUAUCUUGCUGCUGGCAUAGUCGGCAAACGUGAUAAAGAACAGAACCAAAAUCUUAUUCACAAUCAGUUCGAAGAUGGGCACCCCUGAUGAUGUUGCAGUACGUAACCACAUUUUCGAUAAAGUUAAUUCUUGCAAUCAAUCAAGUAUGUGCCAUACUUGAAAUCUUUAGCAAUGUAAUUGAACCUUCCGAGAAAAUCAAAGGAAGACCCUUGGCACGGCACCAGCCUGGGGUAGUGUCAUACCGACUUAUUUUAAACAUGAAGAUUGACGAAUCAAGCAAAUAUGCACAUGUCCAUCAAUGUAUGUUUUACAGGGCAUUUUUUUCAUCUUCAUAUAUAUACUUGAGUUCAAAGGUACAUUUUUGCUACAAAUUCACAUGGAUAGAGCGGAUAGAGCGUAAUCACAAUAAGUAGAAUAUCACUUGAAAUGUAAAAUAUAACCAUGCACCAUCUUAAUUAAGAGCCAGGAGAAGUUUGAGGUGAGUAUAUAAGUUUAACACAAACUCGAUAUUUUACGCUUGGACGGUGCUAUUACUUUCGUCACCAAUUGACUUACAAGAAAUAUGACCCAGAAGUGACAGGAUGAUCAGAUCUAAUAACCAUGAUGAGACACUGCAAAUAUUCUCGUAUGAGAGUAUGAGAGACAACAAAAAAAAAAAGGUCCAAGAAGCCACACCAUUGAGCUAUUCCAAAUCACCAAAGAAAUGUCAUAAUCAUUUAAAAGAAAUCUAGAACUUUGUAAGCACGAUGGCGUAAAGAUCUAGCAUAAGCCUGAAUAAGAAAAAAGAAUUUUUUUUUUUUAUACUUUUCAUACCUGUACUAUCACAUUUUUAUUAAUUAUGUCCAUAUACCUUAAACUUGUCUAAUCAAAUCUUUCUACUUUUACGAAUUUACUAAUCAAGAUCCUACCAAAUUUAAUUGACGUAACCCUUGAACAACGCCCAUUAUGAUGCAGAUGCUCACGUAGACAUGUGUGGAAAAAUUUAGCUAAUGUAGACAAUAUUAAAAUGUGACACCGAUAAAAUUUAGCUAAGGCGUUUGUCAAAGUAGGCGUCCAUAUUGGAUCUUUUUAUCUAUGACACACGAUGACAUCAUCUGAUGAUUACACCAGAUUUUGUGUUAGAGAGAUUUGAUUAGGAAAUUUUGUUAAAUUUGAAGAACUUGAUUCGACAAAAUAAAAGUACGAUGGAGAAAACAUUAAAGUAUAGGAUAUUUCCAAAAACCAACAGCAAAUCCAGUCAGCAAAUAUCAGCAAAAGAUAGCGGCAGCAGCUGAGCAAUUAUGGUCUAAACUAAUUUAACCUGCAUCAGCAAAAGAAUGCCUCACCUGACAAGACAACUAAGUCUAUUUUGUACCUCAUGAGCAAUGAAUGGAAUGGUCACCCUGUCACCCCGAGUACUCAAAAUUCCGCUGGUAUCUGGGUCCGAUCUCAACGACAUCAAAAGCCAAGAAAAGGUCGCGACUGUGAACUUGUCUCUAUAAACUUGUCUCAUUUUAUCAUAUGCUUCAACAGGGAACAAAAUUUCUAAGCCGAACUAGCAGCUGUAAGGGAAAUAUAUUCAGCAAGGAUGCUAACACCUAAAUUUUAAUGAUCUAGUUAAUUAUUUAGUGCAAAAUAAAAAUUGAGGAUCAAUCCCGGUCCCUAAAAAGAUAUUAGCUAAAUUGCAUAUACAUAUUAGAAGCAUUUUUCAUUCAUUAAAUAGUAAGUCCACAUAUGAUUACAUUUUGAUUGGACUGGUGUAAGGAGAUUAUGAGCUUAAUUGAGUUUAUCAGACUAAGCCCAUGAGAAUGAGAAAUUCGGCCUAACCCGUCUAUUUCCUUUGCUCGACCAGACAUCAAAUAUGCAGCAUAAGGAAUUUAGCACGACUGAAGGAGCAAAUAUUCGUUAUUAAGGAAUAUAUUCUGAAUAAUUUUUUGGGAGAAUUAACUGGCCAAUUCUUUCCAUUAUUAAAAAUGCGCAUCAUGCUUAAAGUAGGCAAUUUAAUUUUUCUUAGUCAAAACUGGAAGUAAUUGAACACUAUUUGAAAGGAAAGAAACAAAAAUAGAAAAAGAAAAAGGAAGAAAACGGUGAAGAAAGAAAGAAAUUCACGGCCCGAGCAUGAUAGACCAGAGAAUAAUGUACGCACUCACAAGAGGAAAGUGGAAUUCGGUCAGCCCAAAUGGAGUUCUCGCCAAGUAUAAAGAGAUAACACUGCAACAUGUAAAAGAGGAGGCAAAGGAGGGAGACAAAAUGUUCGAUAAAUUCACGUUCGCAAUUAAUGAGAAGUGUGAGCAAUACAUAAAAGAGAACUCAAGUUUUUUCUGUGCCUCGAAAAGCUAGCCCCUACGCAGUAAGUGUGUCUAUGUUUUGAAGUUAGGAUUGGGAGAAAACAUGUGGGUUCAAUGACAUUGGAGAUUGAUUUACAUGUCUCAGAGUCAUCAGUUGGAAUUAAAAGUGGACUGUAAAAUGCAUGUGAAGAUAUUCGAAAAGUACACUUGUAAUAGGUGGAGACGAUAUCUAGGGCACUCAUGAAAAAAAAAAAGGAUUGAACAAACCAAAAUAUUUUAGAUAUUUAUAGCAUAAGUUUCGUCAUAUUAAUGCAAUUCGUUAAUCAAUUUUUUUGAUCUUGAGGAGAAACUUCAAUUGCAUUCACUUAUAGUUAAGAACUAUAGAUGGACGUAAAUGAUCACCAACACAUUUUCUAGGGUUGCAUCUUCCACGUAUUUUCAAAUUUCCACACCUUUAAAAAUAUUUUGGAAAAUGAAUGAAAAAUAGGAGGGAAGUUAGGAAUUCAACAUGAAGCGUUAAAAACUAUUAACUUAAGGAGAGAGAUAAAAGUGACUUAAGCGGAGGGUAAAGACUGGAUAAAACAUGAUAUAGCGUAGAGAAAUCUGGUAUGAGAAAAUUACGUCGGAAGAGAUUAAUUUUCAGAGUUACUUUCCCAGACGAAUCUCUUUUGAUAAAAGUAAUGCGUCCUGCAGGCAUUUGAAUAACGAAAUUCUAGAUAAUACCACGCUUGAUAUGAUUUUGUCAUUGACUCAUGUACAUUGGCAGCGGGAGCAUGUGACUGUCGGUCGUUAGUUUUCUUUUUCUAUUCUGUUUACUAAUAGAAAAGGCAAGCCAAAUCAAGACAAUGCUUGAGGAUCUCAAAUCUCAAUGAACGCACCUGCAUGCACCUUCCUCGAUUAUAUCCUGGAUUCCAACUAUUUUUUUUUUAAAGGAGGGAAUUAUCCAUGGAGGACGCACACUAAUUUGUAGAGGCACCAUUGGGAGAAAAGAAUAAACUUUAUGAUGUGAAAAAAUUGCAAUUCAUAUUCUUCCCUAAAUUUUAAUUUGUUUUCUCUUUGCUAUUUAAUCUUUAUUAUAUGUAUAUACUUGUUUAUUUCUUUGAUAACGAAAAACAUAGCUGCUAAUCUAUCAUCCUUGUGAGACACAAUGCCCACUAUUUUAUCACAUCUCAUUUUUUUUUCAUCUGUAAUUUGAGGUAGUACAUGUAGGAAAAUGGCUGAUAAGAACAAAUAAAUUUGUCUGAGGUGUGCAAGUGUAAGCAUUGUCCUUAAGGAUAAUUCCGUCCCUCGGAGUGCGAAACUCGGUGCGAUAGGCUUCUGACGGCUAUCCUCCCAAGAUACAACAAACAUUCUUCUUUAUUCCGCAUUGAAUAUUAGAAGGAAUAGAAAUAACGUCUGUGUAUAACCCAGCAAGAAAAAGGAAAGGAAAGAUUUCAAAAAGAAAAAAUAUUCUCUAUUUCAUUCAGUGUGUAUUUUAAGAUUGUCUUAUGAGAUUUUAUAUUUAGACAAAAUAGAGCCGUUAAAAGAGCCGUUGUAAAAUAAUGAAGGAUUUAUUUGAGAAAUAAAUUAAACGUUACAAAACAAUUGAAAAACCGUUGUAUGAUCGUUAAAAAUAAUAAUGGUCUUCAAUACGGUCAUAACUAUUAUCGAAGUUAUUAUUGUUAAUAUUUCAAAAUAUUAUUGAAAUAUCCAACAAACCCCCACAUAUUUCAAAAGAUUUUGAAAAUAAAAUUAACAUGAUGCUGGGUUAUUGGAGUGUAAUGCAUCGGAACUGGUGCUUGUUAGGCUAUAACCCAGCCCUAGAAAAAAUGAAAUAUAAUUCACGAAAUUAUUAGUGAAGUUUGAAACUUCUAUGAACCAAAAAUUUCUUUUGUGAAUUAUAAUUUUCAUCAAUCACAUUGCACUCCCACAAACUUUGUUGUUCAACGCGGUUUUGCGCUAAUAAGCCAUGCGCAUGCUUGGUUUAUUCAUAAGUGCUUUAGAGAUUUUCACCAAAAAUUCUCAUAGGAGCGGCCCCACUUCACACUUAUAUAGGUGAUUCCAUUAAGUGUAUUCUGCAGCUUAAUACACCACCAAUAAUGGCUAUGGAAUUUCAUUAAGAGCUUAGCUCAACCUCUUUUUUCUUUGCAGUUUUGCACUAUUCUCAUCUUAGGAUGGACAAUAAUUUUUAAUAGUAUAUCACUAGAACAACAAGUGACUUGUUAUUACCCAUAUGAACCUAAUUCAUGGGAUCACCAAUCACAUAGGUUGGGUUACCAUCACUGUUGCUUUUCCUCAAUUGGCUUAAGUCCCAUUCCCCUUGAUGUAUCAUAAAUUAAUUUUCUUCCCACAGGUUUAGUAAGAGGAUCGGCCAAAUUCACUUAUGACUUUACAAAAUCAAUAGAUAUAAUUCCAUCUUUAAGCAGCUACUUUACUACAUCAUAUCUCAAUCGGAUGUGUCUAUUUUUACCAUUAAAAGUUUUAUUCUUUGCAAUGGCUAUUGCCGCUUGGCAAUCACAAUGCACAGACACAUAAGGUGUUGGUUUCAUUCCCAAAGGAAUAUCCUCUAAGAGGUUCCUUAACCACUCAGCCUCAUUGCCAGCCAAUUCUAAAGCCACAAACUCUGACUCCAUGGUGGAUUUAGCAAUUAUUGUUUGUUUGGCUGACGUCCAAGUUACAGCACCUCCGACAAGGGUGAACACAUAUCCAUUAGUGGAUUUUGUCUCAUCUGAAUUUGAAAUCCAAUUAGCAUCACUGUAUCCUUCUAAUACAGCGGGAAAUCCACUAUAUAAAAUACCAUAAUUCAUGGUUCCUCUCAAAUAUUUCAUUAAUUUGCUCAAAACAGUCCAAUGAUCAUCAUUGGGAUUUUGUAUAUAUCUGCUCUGUCUACAUACAGCAUAAGCUAUAUCAGGUCGAGUAUAAUUCAUCAAAUGCAUCAAACUCCCAAUAAUUUGAGCAUACUUAGACUGAGCCACACCAUCUCCUUUGUUUUUCAUUAAUUGGAUAUUAGAAUUAUAAGGAGUAUUCACAGGUUUAACAUCAAAGUGAUCAUAUUUUUUAAGUAGCCUCUCCACAUAAUGCGCUUGAGUAAGCAUUAGGCCACUAUCACUCUUUAUGAUUCUCGUACCCAAAAUAAUAUUAGCUUCUCCCAAGUCCUUCAUAUCGAAUUUAGAAGUUAAAAAACAUUUUGUUUCAUUCACUACAUCAAUACACGUACCAAAAAUAAGCAUGUCAUCAACAUAUAAGCUAAUAAUUAUAAAUUCACCAUCAAUAGAUUUUGUGUAUACACAUUUAUCUACUCCAAUAGAGAAAAAUCCAUUACUAACUAGAACAUCAUUAAAUUUCUCAUAUCAUUGCUUUGGCACUUGCUUUAAGCCGUAUAAGGAUUUAGCAAGUUUACAAACUUUAUUAUCUUGGCCAGGAAAAACACAGCCCUCAGGUUGCAACAUGUAAAUUUCCUCUUCCAAAUCACCAUUUAAAAAAUCUGUUUUAACAUCCAAUUGGUGAAUAAUAAGUUUGUAAAUAGAAGCCAAAGCAAUUAAAACACGAAUUGAUGAAAUUCUUGUAACUGGAGCAAAAGUGUCAAAAUAAUCAACAUUUUGUUUUUGUGUAAAACCUUUUGCAACUAAUCUUGCUUUUAUAUUUAUCAAUAGAACCAUCAUGAUUAUGUUUUCUUUUAAAAUCCAUUUACAACCGAUCGGUUUCGCACCGGGUGGUAAAUCAACUAAUUUCCAAGUUUGAUUUUGUAAGAUAGAAUCAAUCUCGAUUUUUAUAGCUUCUUUCCAAAAAUUGCUUUCUGAGGAAGAUAUUGCUUUAGAAUAAGUCAAAUGAUUGUUGACACCUAAAUUUUUGCCCAAAAAUAUUUCAUGUUAAAUUCUUGCAUAUAGAUUAUUUAGGCAUUUAAUAUAGUGUUUUAAAUAGAAGAUGUUUUUACUUAAAAAAAAAAUUGAAAAUAUAAAAAAAAAAUUAAAAAAAAAAGAAAAAAAAAAAAUUUGGGGCCAAUGAUCUAAAUGUGGCUAGCCAAGCCCAGGAGGUCAGAUUGGAAUUCAAAUGGCAAGUUGGGGCCAAAAUACAAUUUCCAAAAGUUGAGGGACCAAUUUGCAAAAUUUGCAAAAUUUGUGCCCGAGCCCGUAAAUCAUCAUCUUGGUCACCAAUUAAGUUGAAAUUGAAUUUGGACCAACUCGAAUCAAUCAAAUCAAGCCAAAAAGACCAAAUUUGCCUUGAAUUGGGUAUUUUCGGAUAAGAAAAUGGCUAACUUUGAGGGAUCUUUUUGCAAACUUGGGUGGGCAAAAUUGCAAAAUCCGAUUGAGAUCUUAAAAUAAUAUACAUGAGCUUGCUAAUUGAUCAAAAAUCGCAGCCAAAUUAAUGGAUUAAAGCACCUAAACCAGCUGACAAAUCCUAGUCCUCAAGUUGGUCUAAAGUCGGAGCUGCUGAGUAAGCAAUUUGGUGGCCCCACCAUAUCCUCCUUAGCUGUCCAACCGGCCUGAUCUUUGCACGUGAUGGAAGACCGUAAUGAGUAGUGCAAGUGGACGGAAAUUUGCUAGGGAUAAGCUGCUGCAAGCACGGGAAAGUCGCAGCAAAAUCGGCACACUCAACAUCUGCGAGAUUUGAAAAUUCUGGCUUAAGUCAGAAAGUGGGUGGAUAGCUCAGUUGGCAGGCUUGGUAGGUGGACAAAAAGCCGACCAAGAGAUUGAUGAAUCCGGGGGAUAAGAUCACGGAAGCAAGGUCUUUCAAGGGAAGAGAGAGAGGAGAUGAUAGGGAGAGGAGAGAUCUGGGAAUCGUUCCCCAAAGACACCUUCAGAAGCAACUCCAGAAAGAAAAAACCCAGAAAAUCCAGACUGACCUUGAGAGAGAAAAGUGAGAUUUUCACAUAUCUGCGGCCAAAAUUAGCCAAAACCUUCAACUAGAGAGUGAAACUUCACUCAAAUACAUUUCCAAACAUAGGUCGCACGUCCCAAAUGGAGAUUGGGAAGGCCUCCUAAAGCCCCCCGAAACAGUGCCCUCCUGGCGGGCCAAGAAAGUCCGAAAAGUUUUCGAGACUGGUUGGUCACGAGUGAGGAAAGCUAGUGUUUUUGAGAAAGUUGAGAGAUAAAUGAGGAAAAUAUUGACUUUUAACCCAAACUAUAAUACAUAUAGUUUGGUGUGGUGUCAAUUUUUCCAACAAAAUACGUCUUGAAGUCUAAUGUUAGAGGUCAACGAAAACCUUCAUUGUUAGUUCUUUUUUUUUUGCAGAUCUCAUUUCCAGUUGAAGAAGCCAACUUCCACAGGCCCCCGAGGAUAAUUCGUCGGUUUCAUCGGCCAAGAACCACUUGAAAAGGAAACUAGGAAGCAAGGUAAGCAUCAUUGAUGUAUUUAUUUUCGAGUUUGAGCAUGUUUUGAUCAUGAAAAUCAAGAGGAAAACUAGCCCGGAAAACUGAUUUCUGAGGCUGAAAUUUUUCUUAAGUGUUUGAAAUCUCUUCAAGAGUUUUGCAUGUGUGCUUCUUAAAGAGGUCGUUUUGAUGUUGUUCGGUGGGUCAUUCUCUAUGAUGUUUCUUGCAUUUGAAAGCUCAUGUUACCUACUUUCACUCGGAUUAAGUUGUGUUUCCCUUAGAUCUCGUAUGUGAUGAGUGUCGGGGCUUGAAUAUGGGCAUUCAACCUGUUUGCUUGACUUGGGUUCAAACCCAGAUUUGCAAAAUCAGAUCAAACCCGCAUAUUUGAUGACGAUUCCAGUUUGGUUUUCGUGUGUUUUAAGCUGUAAUUUUUAUCUAAUCUUACUCCUUCCAUGUGGUUGUUUAACCUUGAUGUUUUAGUUCCACAUAAUAUUGCUCAUGCGUUGAGAUUGAAUGCCGCAAACAUGGCCCAAGGAAGCUGGUUUGGGGUGAUUUGAUGCACGCCAAGUGUUCAAUGAAAUGCGCAAACCAAAUUUCGAUCUUGAAACGGUCGAUUUGAGCCCGGUUAUUGUGAUAUUCAUGUGAUGUGUUGUUCAAUGUUAGCAUAUAUCGGUUUAGGAGAUUAUUAUUUUUAUUUAAAUAAAAAAUAAAAAAAAUCCCAAUAUUUCAAAAAAUAUAUAUAUAAAAGUGAUAGAUGUAUCAAAUUAAGGCAAAAAUGGCAUCUAUGAAAUUUUCCUAUUUUUAAAAGGUCAUUUUCCUAAUUUAAUGCUAUUUUGGUAUUUUAUGAUCAUUUUUUUAAAUAAUCCAUUUUGCAUAGAUUAAAAUUAUCUAGAGUAAUUUCAUGCAUAUUUAAAUUUCCAUUCCGCUCACGGGGGUCUUGUCCCGGGGCGUGAUAACAAGGCCAUGUAAUAUUAUUUGCCCGACUUGUAUCGGGUUUACCUUUUCUGCGUUUAUUUUCAAGUCAUUUCAAUUUCUUGAAUAUUUACUUACGCGCCGCUUUUCAUUAAUUUGAGUGUAAAUUUCUCUUCUAAAUUAUGUUAGAAUUAGUCUAGACAUUAAAAGAAAAACUACAAAAACAUUUGCAUGGACACUUAGUGGUUUCAUAAAUAUUAUAAUUGGUAAUCAAGAUUAUAUGGCCAUUUAGAUAAACAACCUUCCAAGUUAGUGGUACCGCAUGGGCGCUAAUAGAAACAUUAGCGCAAACGAGUCCCCGUUCCUAGAAAUCUCUGGUUGCGUAUGAAUCGAGACAACACUCCUGUGUCUUGAUUGGUUUCUAGCCGACCCCAAUAGGCUAGUGGCGACUCCUAGAAUUACAUAGGUUGUUAAGAACUAAAAAACGAAUCUAACGUCGCGCGGGGUAUGGGCUUGGGAGAGCCCGCGCCUAAUCUAGGGCCAUUGGUCCACCUCUUUAGGCAAAUACCCCUAAACCCUCUUCCUUUUCCCCCGGACGGGAAAAAAAAAAAGAGGUCGUGACAAUGAUCAUUAUCAAUAAGAUAAGUAUAAAAAUCAUUCCUAAAAGAAGUUUCUUUCCUUAUUCUUUUGCUUCUUCUCAAUUCGUCAUUUGAAUUUUCGAAAACGUUUUUAUGAAGAGGUGCAGGAGAAAUAUUAUCAACACUUAAUGGAAAAAUAUGCUCAAAAAAUUCUGCAUUUUUUGUCUCAACUAUAGUAUUAUUAUCAAGCAUGUCACUUUUUAAUACAAGAAAUUUAUAUGCAGCACUAUGUUCAGCAUAACCAAUAAACAUACAAUCAGAUGAUUUAGAGCCUAUUUUCCUUUUCUUAGAAUUAGGAAGCAUAACCUUAGCAAGACAUCCCCACACUUUCAAAUAUUUUAAAUUUAGACGAUAACCUUUCCAAAAUUCAUAGGGUGUUUUACCAGUUUUCUUAUGAGGUAUUCUAUUUUGGAUAUGACAUGCAGAUAAAAUAGCUUCACCUCAUAAAUUAUUUGGAGCAUUAGAACUAACAAGUAUAGAAUUCAUCAUCUCUUUCAAAGUCCUAUUUUUUCUUUCAGCUAUGCCAUUAGAUUCAGGGGAAUAAGGAGGCGUAGUUUCAUGAAUUAUUCCUUUUUUUCACAAAAUUCAUUAAGCAAUACAUAUUCUCCACCUCUAUCCGAUCUGAUUCUUUUUAUCAUUUUAUUCAAUUGGUUUUCUACCUCAGCUUUAUACAAAAGGAACAUAUCAAAAACUUCAUCUUUAUGCCUAAGCAAAUAAACUUUAGUAAAUCUAGAAUAAUCAUCAAUGAAGGUCACGUAAUAUUUUUUACCUCCUCUAGUCACAGUUUGUUUUAAAUCUCCUAGAUCAGUAUGAAUUAAACUCAACAAAUCAGAUUCUCUAUUUACAGAAAUACAGAAAUACUGCUUUUGCUUAAACCUUGUUUUUGCAUUUUCUUAAUAUAAGAAAUAUUAACAUGACCUAAUCUACCAUGCCAUAAAUCAACAGAUUCAACCAAGUAAGCAAAAGCAGUAGCAUUUUCAUUGAUAACAUUAGAAACGUUAAGAACAAAAAGUCAUUGAUUACAAUAACCCUUUCCCACAAAGACGUUAUUUUUUGUCAUUACAAUCUUAUCAGAUUCGAAUGACACCUUCACCCCCAACCUUUCCCAAAAGCACUACUGAGACCAGGUUUGCCCUUAUAUUAGGGACAUGUAAUACAUCAUUCAAGGCCAAAGUCUUGCCAGAUGUGAGCUUGAGAAGAACUUUUCCUUUCCCAAGAACUUGAGCUGUUCUUGAAUCACCAAGAUAAAUAAUUUCUUCUCCUUCCCCUACUGGCGUGUAGGAGGAAAAGGCAUUUUUGUUUGCACAAAUAUGCCUGGUAGCACCUGAGUCUACCACCCACUCUUUCACAUUGGCCACAAUGUUGGCCUGGGAAAUAAUCGCAACAAUUAUAUCAUUAGAGUCAUCUGCUUUAACCAAAUUGACUUUUGGUUUAGCAGGAUUGUCAUUUCCCAGUAUUCUCUUUCUGCAGUGCGGUGCAUGAUGACCUGGUUUUCCACAAACAAAGCAAGAGCCUUUCUUUUUGAAAGUGGGGUGAGCAACUUUGGGUUUGUAAUCAGGUUUUUUGUUAUAAUACCUGUUUUGGCGAUGUUGAAAUUUGCCUUGCACCAAAUUUGCCCUCGUAGCAAUUUCCUUAGCUUUGGCAGCUUCGAUCUCCUUGCGAGUUGUAUCCUCAAUGAUGAUAUGCACGAUCAGAUCGGCUAGUGAUAAUUGCUUGUCCUUGUGCUUGAGUUGUUGCUUGUAGUUAUUCCAAGACUCAGGCAACUUUUCAAUCAACAGACCCGCAAGAAAUUCUUCUUGUAAGUUGAUGUUUUCUGCCUUCAAGUCCUCCACUAGCUUGUGAUAUUCAUUGAUUUGUGUCUUGAUCUCCUUAUCAUCGGACAUUUCCCAUCGAUAAUAAUUUCCAAUUACAAAUUUUUGUCUGCCCACAUCUUCGGCAGUGUACUUUGCAGUCAUGGAGUCCCAUAUUUGUUUCGCUUCCUUGUACGAACAGUAGACAUCAAACAAUUCAUUAGAAAGAGUACUAAUAAUUGUGUGCCUGCAUACCUUAUUAGCGUGUAUCCAUUGAUUUCAAAGCUUGUUAUCAGUUGGUUCGACCUCCGUAAGUGCAAAAGCCACACCGUGCACAUCUAUAGAGAAAACGCUUUCUUGCCACCUUUUGAAAUUGUUGCCGUUGAAAACUUUGAUCUUGGAUAUGUUGGGGAAUGGUUUGGCAUUGGACAUAUGUGGUAGUGGUGGUAAUGCAACUGGACUGGUGGAGAUUGAGGCAUCAGUAGCAGUAUCGACUUGAUGCUCCAUGGGUGUUAUCCUUAAGAUUGUAGGAAAAAGGCUGAUAAGAACAAAUAAAUUUGUCUGAGGUGUGCAAGUGUAAGCACUGUCCUUAAGGAUAAUUCCGUCCCUCGGAGUGCGAAACUCGGUGCGAUAGGCUUCUAACGGCUAUCCUCCCAAGAUACAACAAACCUUCUUCUUUAUUCCGCAUUGAAUGUUAGAAGGAACAGAAACAACGUCUGUGUAUAACCCAGCAAGAAAAAUGAAAGGAAAGAUUUCAAAAAGAAAAAAUAUUCUUUGUUUCAUUCAAUGUGUAUUUUAAGAUUGUCUUAUGAGAUUUUAUAUUCAGACAAAAUAGAGCCGUUAAAAGAGCCGUUGUAAAAUAAUGAAGGAUUUAUUUGAGAAAUAAAUUAAACGUUACAAAACGAUUGAAAAGCCGUUGUAUGACUGUUAAAAAACCGUUAUGUGACCGUUAAAAAUAAUAAUGGUCUUCAAUGCGGUCAUAACUAUUAUCGAAGUUAUUAUUGUUAAUAUUUCAAAAUAUUAUUGAAAUAUCCAACAGUACAUUGUUAAGAGACGAAGGAAAACGAAAGGCCCAUGUGUACUCCACUAUCGGUAGAAUAUAGUUUCCACGCCCCGAUUUUACAAUCAAGACGUGCUGCACCCCAAAUUUCAAUCAAAGCACGGGGCAUAAGUAGGAUCCACACACCUUCCACAUAAUGCUGCGGAAAUUAAUUAUUAUCAAACAACAUUUUCUUUCAUUUUAAGUCCUUAAAAUGGUCCAUAUUGGAAAUACAGUACUCGAAAUUUCAGUAAUUAUUUUUCAGUUUUAUCUAAACAGGCUCAUACUCUCAGCUUAUUUUUCACAAAUGAAUUUAAGUUCAGCAUCGGCAAAAAGACAAGUUGAGUCAAGUUGAAAGUCGAGUUAUAGCACCUAAGGUUUGACUUGAAAUUACCUAUGUAAUCAUUUACUUUAAGCCGUUAGAGUACAGUUUGAAUAUAAUUUACAUCUUAGCAAUUUAUUUGGUUUGACUUCUAGCUUUUUCUUAACGACGAAGCGCAAAUUAGACACGUAAUCCACAUAUCAACAAAUUCUCCACUUAUCAAGCGAGACACAAGUCUCCAUAUACGAAACGGUUUAUGCUUGCAAAUAUGACGGACCAAACACACAUCGUGUACCUAGUCUUCAUAUACUAAUUUUUACUUUCUAUUCCCUUGCGACUCUUACAAUCAAACUUUUUUUUUAACAAAAAAAUCACUUAAAAGAUUCAAAAUAUGCAAAUACUAUCACGCAAAUAAUUAUAUAAUUAUAUUUGUAAUUUAACUUAAAGAAUAUACAUAUUUUAAAUUUUUUAAAUGUAAAAAAUCAAUUAUAUUUUUAAGUGCAGCCUAAAUUUUUAUCAAAGGUUGCGUACCAAAAUUCUCUUUUAUUUUGAAAGAGGUAAAGCACCUCAUUAGUCAUUAGAGAAAAAGGCCAAAGCAUGGAGCCACCUCAGUUAGCGCUGUCGGGAAGCAUUGCAUAUUUGCCGUCUCCUUUUUCAAAAGCCAAAAGAAACGUCCAAAGCAUGGAGCCACCUCAGUUAGCACUGUCGGGAAGCAUUGCAUAUUCGCCAUCUCCUUUUUCAAAAGCCAAAAGAAAUCGCCCUGAACGUCCAAAGCAUAGUGCUGUCGGGAAGCGUUGCAUAUUCGCCGUCUCCUUUUUCAAAAGCCAAAAGAAACGUCCAAAGCAUGGAGCCACCUCAGUUAGCGCUGUCAGGAAGCGUUGCAUAAUCGCCAUCUCCUUUUUCAAAAGACAAGAAAUCGCCCCGAACGUCCAACCCGCCCACUCGCCUCGGCACGGGAAGUCGCUCGGACUGCGCGGCACGUGAGCUCGAGGGGCCUAUUCGGUACAUUCGGAGUGACCAAAGAUAUCCUCGAGAUGCGACGUGGGGACCACACGUUGGCUUCGGUUUCAGAGCAGCUGACCGUCGUAGCGGACAAGCAAAGCGGAGAGGAGGAGCGGCGUGGGUCCCGCGUGAAGAGACAAAAGCAGAAUCCACGAGGCAAAUUUCUACUCUGUUUUUGAGGAUAAAAGGGUCUUGAACAGUUGGACGGCAAAUAACUCGGCAUCGUUUGAGCAAGCGUGGGAGAGUGUGUUGAGUGUAGUUAAUCCGAGGUCGAAGGCUGGGAACCGGCAAAUAUCACAGCAGUGGUGGAUUGCGUUGUUCGUGCACUUCUUCGGUAAUCGAUUGCUCCAUUCACCUUUGACGUUUCGAUCAGAGUUCUUAGAGACAUUUCUGCAUUCUGAGAUCUGGACUCUAAAAUCUACCUUUUUUUCAAGACUCUGCUCGAUCAAUUUCCUAUUCGGUCGAUCAGGCUUCAUUUAUGUUUGAACGUAGCUAUGAAAUGAACUCUGAUAGACAUUUCUACAAUUCCCAGAUCUGGGAUUCCAUAUAUUCUCUUCUUUGUUUCCCAUUUUCUUUUGAGGCGCUCCUUCAUCAAUCUCUUCCAUUGCCUUUGUAGGUGAUUACAUAGGCGGAGCCUAAAAGAUCCAUUAUGUGGGGCCUCUUCCUCAACCUCUUUCGCUGCCUUUGUGGGCUGUGCUCCCCCAAUUCUCUUGAGAUGGAAAGAAAUGAACCCACUCGUUCAGAUCCGAAUUUUGGGGCUUCUUCCUCAUCGACUUCUCUGCCUGUAGGUGAUUAUGAAGGUGGAACCAGAAGGAUGGAAAAAAAUGAUUACGAAGUGUUCUUGAGCUUUAGAGGGGAGGAUACUCGCAAUGGCUUCACCGCUCAUCUCUAUACUAGUCUUGCCAAUGCAGGAAUUCGCGUGUUCAGAGAUGAUGAUGAGCUUCGUGUUGGUGAGAAGAUUGGAACGGAACUUAUCCGUAGUAUUACACAAUCUAAGAUCUCCAUCCCAAUUAUCUCAGAAAACUAUGCUUCUAGCAAAUGGUGCCUUCGCGAGUUGGCUCUUAUGUUGAAUUGCAAGAGAAACAAAGAGCAAAAGGUGUUACCCAUAUUUUACAAAGUGAAACCUUGGCAAGUGGAGCAUCUCAUUGGGAGAUUUGGAGAUGCUAUUAGAACACACAAAAGCGAUGUGGAAGAAAAGAUUGUGAAGGAAUGGGAAGAAGCGCUCAAAGAAGUCACUUCCUUGAAAGGAUUGGAAUCGGAGAAAAUCGAUAACGGGUACAUUAUUCUCCACCACAAUAUUGUUUACUUUCUCAUAACUAGAUCUCACUUUAAAAAGAAUAUAAAUAUUUCUAUAUUAUAUUGAAAUUUGUAUUGUUAUUUGACAGGAAUGAAGCAACAUUAGUUGAAACAGUUGUCAAAAGCAUUGUCCGAGAGUUAAAAAGAUUGUUUUUGCUAGAUCUUCCAGAACAUUUGGUGGGAAUUGAUGAUCAGCUGAGACAUAUUAUGAGCUUCAUAGAUGCUAAAUUCAGUGAUACACGGAUUAUCGGAAUCUAUGGAAUGGGCGGUAUCGGUAAGACAACUCUCGCAAUGGCGUUAUACAAUGAACUUUCUAGUCAUUAUGAGAAGCGUAGCUUCGUGCUAAAUAUUCAAGAAACAUCUAAGGGCAAGGGGAUUGAACACUUACAAAAGAAACUCUUUCGUGACAUAAUGAAGGGGCUGUGGGAUGUGGAUGAUGUCAACGAAGGAAUCCGUAUCCUUGAAUCUCGAUCGAUAAGUGAAAAAGUUCUUAUUCUUCUUGAUGAUGUGGAUGAUAAUACUCACUUGAAGGUUUUGAUUGGGGACAAGAGUUGGUUUAAAGCUGGAAGUAUAGUCAUUAUAACAACCAGAAACAAGAGUAUUCUUGACAAGGCUAGUGCAGACUACGUGCAUUUACUCGAGGGGUUGCCUUUGGAUCCAUCAUUGAUUUUAUUUAGUAGACAUGCAUUUCGAAAGGAUUCACCCCCAAGUGAUUAUGAGAUGAUCUCUCGUGCUUUAGUAUCUACUACCAAGGGGCUUCCCUUAGCUAUUGUAGUUAUAGCUUCACUAUUAAGUGAUAAGAGAAUGGAAAAAUGGGAAAAUACAUUAAAGGAACUACAAGAAAUGCCUGCAAAGGAAGUGCAAAAGAGGUUGAUGAUAAGUUACGAAGCAUUAGAUGAUAGAGAAAAACAUAUAUUUUUGGAUAUUGCAUGUUUUUUCAUUGGAGAAUCUCAACAAAAUCCAACUUAUAUGUGGAAUGCAUGUGGCUUUUUACCAUUGAGCGGAAUUGAAGAAUUAAGUCAUAGGUCCCUAAUUGAAAUUGAUAAAGAUGGCACAUUCAUGAUGCAUGAUCAGCUGAGAGAUCUUGGGAGGGAAAUUGUUCGUCGACAAGGAUUAACGGCUCCUCAAAACCGUAGCAGAUUAUGGAGCGAAGAAGCCAAAUUUGUCCUUGAUGGCAAUAUAGUAAGCAUUUUCUCUACUUGUCUUAAUCAGUGAAUAUGAGUCCAUCUCCUCUUUCUUUUUUGAAAUAGAAAUUAUCGCCAGUCUUCAAUCCCCAAAACUUGCUGCUUCCACCAAGAAAGGUGCUCUUCCGAUCAACAGUUGUUCUCGCCUAAUUAUAGGACAUAAUUGAGAAGCAAUUUAUUGGUUAUUGAUAAUUGAUAUAUCUUUGCCUAGCAGCAUUGUGAUGAGGAUACUUUCCUUUGGGUAACUUCAAUGGAACAACAAAACUAUGAAACACAAUAUUUGACAGAUCAUUUUUUAAAGAAAAUUUGAUAUCUAUAAAUUAUUAGGGUCGUGCUUUUCCCACAUAUUUGUUUGAUGCACAUGUUUGAUGUUUGGAUUUUUGCCUUGAAUUCUUGUGAGGUCUUUUCAUAAUUUUUUUCUUUUACUGAGUAUUGACUUUCUUAUGAGUUGUUGGCCAUGAUAAAUGAGACCUCCAUUCAUUUAUGGUGAAUAGCUAUCUUGGUCCCGUAUUUUUUAGGAUUGAGAAUAGCUAUUCAUGCAAGUAAAUAUUGGAAUAGACUAUAAUAGCCAUUACUGUAAUGAAAAAUGCUCUAAUAAUCUAAAUGUGUUGUAAUAAUACAUUGCUACAUAAUGUAUAUGUAACUAAAGCUUAGUAUAUGUGUAUAACUAAAUGGUAUAUAUUAUGUGGUAAGAUCUUUGGUUCAAAAUAAGACCUUAGAAAAAAAAAGUCGAAAUUUUCCAAUAAACAAGUUUAUUAGAGCCAUAAAUAUUUUACUUAGAUUUUUAACACUACUUUAAGCUUCUGCUUCGCACUCUAAUCUCAAUAUCUCAAUCUUCUCUAAUUUGAGAUGGUAAAUGACUUACACUGAUGAUCUAAACUGCAACACUUAAGAUAUCAAGACUCAACUUCUUGGGAACUCCAUCAAAUACUAAUGGAAUGCUCUAUCACUCUAAUCCAUAUCUCUCAAGCUCUUCCCAAUUUAUGUAUCCUGAUUAAUUUGAGGACUGAACUAGGCACGUGUCAAAUGGUUGAUGAAAUAAUUUGUGACCAAGCAAAAAUGCCCUCCAACAUGCUCAUGCAACUCAACAUCUCACAUUCUUCUUCUGAUCCAUGUGUAUUUUUUCUUUUUUCUCUCUUUUUUUUAAAGCUCCUCCACAAAAGGAAGUCUAAUCAUAUUGAGUUAAUCACAAUAUUUGCAUUCUACUUAAUCCUCGAAAAUACAAGUUGUUACCUUACGGUGGACUUCUGCUACUAUUACAAUCUACGACACUAGAAAAAUAGAGAAUCUAAACACUCGUUUCUUGCAUUAUUAAGAAGAUAUUAUAUAAAGAAGUUAUCGCCAAAGAAAAAAAAGCAAAACAUGUUGCAUAAAGAAGAAUAUGAUAAAGAAAUGGAAAGGCAAAUGGAAGUUACUAAGGAAUAUUAAUAGAUAAUUAAAUCAUGUAGCGAAGGGGGUACACUCUGGAAGUUCAUUCAAUUAGUAUAAAAUAAAUAAUUAGUAUAUUGUGCUAAUUAGUGUAUUAUAAGUCAUUUUCAACAUAAUAAGUGAUAAUGAGUUAUCAAGAUAACACAAUCACCAUUUCAUCGAGUAUUGACCUAUUAUUUCAUAUAUUAUAUAUGAAUGAUAUAAUAAGUGAUCAAGAUAACAAAUAUCCAUGAUCCCAGCAAUUUCAUGGAGGAAUAGUUAUUAUGACAUCUCUGUGUACAUAAACGUAUCUGAAAAAUUAAUUCCCAAGUAAAAUUUUCCGUGAAAAGUGUUUACAAUAAUUUUUAGAGGUAAAACUGUAGAUUUGUUUACAACAUCACCCGAUACUUCCAUAAGAAUACAUAUUUGCAUCGAUAUGUUUUUGACAAUACUUUUGAAAUUUUAUUUGAGAGCUAUGUAUUUUCAACAAAACAUAUAUUAACAAACAUAUAUUUUCAAUACCAUAAUUCUAAAAAUUUUAAAGUUGAAGUAUUAUCAAAUCUAAAUUUUUUAACAUGAUACUUAAACUUGGAAGUUAAAUAUUUCAACGAUACAUACAUGACCUUGUUUUUUUUUUUUUUAUAGAGAAUCAUCAAAGUUUACAUUUGAGUGAUAAAAUAAAUUUACAGUUACAACAUUUUUAGAAAUUUAUUAAAGAAUGAUAAUUAGUAAUACAACUAAACAAUUUCACAACCAUAUGCUUGCACAGAAGUAAUAUUAACAUAAUAUAAUUAUUCUUCAUGUCCAAUAUGUCUGUUAGCAUGAUCUUAAUAAUCUAUGGGAAAAUUGAUCAUAAAAUUAGAUGAGUGUUAUUUCUUUCUAACAAAAUUAACACGAAAUGAAAAGUUAGCAUCAAACAUAUGUAGUAAGAAAAAGAGAAGUGAAAAUCAUUUAUAUAACAUUUGAUAUGUUUUCUUCCACAUAUAAUGAAAGACACUCAUUGAAGAAACACAUUACAAGAAAGGAAUGUAAAACACGUAUACUUCUUGGGAUGGAAUUCUCAUUUUUAUUUUGCUAUUGAGAAUUAUAAACAAGGUACAAAAGAAAAGGAGGGGGAUUCUACAAUUGGGAUUCUUUAGUAUCGAUACAUGUUUUGAUGAUAAAUUUGCUAGAUGCAUUUGAAGUUUUGAACCGUUAGAAAUAUGUUGUUUCACAUAUAAAGGAUUUGAGUUAGGGGUUUUGUUAUUUCCCAUAUAAAGGACAUGGGAUUUGAUAAAUUUAUUUGAAGUAGUGUGUGCAUGAAGAGAGGCCUUCUAUAUAAAUUUUGAAAGGAUGCAACUUUUGGAAAUUUAGAAAGUGGAAAUCGUGAAGGGCAUAAUUGGAAGAGGAAAAGUUUGGAAAGACCCUCUAGAGCUUCACAUUUUUACAUAGAUUACCACAACCUGACACAUCAUGAUAUGACAACAAAUUUGAAAUCAAUACGUCUUUUCUCAUAUACAGUUGGUUUCAACCCAUUAUUCAAAACUACGAUUUACAAUGUUGCCUAAUUGCAGGGCACUAGUAAGAUUGAGGCCCUUCAUCUUGGCUUAUGUGGUGGGAGAGGAAGUUACACAGCUGAAUCAUUUAAAGAAUUGACCAACUUGAGGUUUCUUCAAUUGGGAAGUGUGAAUCUCACUGGAGAUUUUCAAAACUUGCUUCCUCAAUUAAGAUGGCUUAUGUGCGAUGGUUUUCACUUGGAUUUUGAAUCGACCAACCUUCACUUGAAGAAAUUAGUCGUGCUUAAUAUGUCGCAUAGUGAGAUUUCAGAGGACUGGGGAUUUGGUCCACUAAAGGUGAGAUAUGGAGUAGGCAUAAUCAUGUGUUGUCGACAGGCCCAAUUACACCAAGUUCUUCUUUAUUUCUUUUGAAAAUCCUUUCUCAUAUCAUGGAUUUUUCCUUGGGCAACGAACACAUCAAGUGCUAUAACUUGAUACAAGGAAACACAUAAGUACCCAAACUUUUAAAAUGCACACUUAAGUGUCACUUUAAAAAAAAAAUUGAAUACUUAAAUGCCAAUUUUGGUGAGCUUGUUGGAAAUUUGAUAUAGCAUUAUUUUAUUAAUAAAAUCAGUCUACAUGGCUCGCCGAAAUGCCCACUCAACAAUCCUUGUCUAAAACGAUGUUGUCCUCUAUGCUCACUUAAGUGCUAGUCGUGGCUCAAAAAGAAUCACUUAAGUAUUAAGUUACGGCAUAAGUGAUUACUUAAGUGUCAUUCAUGGUUAAAAAUAAAUAUUUAAGUGCCAUGUUGCAGAAAAUGAUAACUUAAGUGCCAAAACAACAUCGUUUAGCAUCAUCUCGCAUAAUCUAUGUGGACGGCGAGAUGUCGUUCCCCUUGUCUAUGUGGAUAAUUCUUUUUAAAGAAAUGCUACAUAAUUUAAAAUUCUCGUCGGAAAAAGUCACGUGAACUGUUUGGCCGGAAAUUCUCGCGGUCGGUUGUUAUGUGCUUCUUUUUUCUAUGAUUUUGGUACUUAAGUGUACUUUUUAGAAGUUUUGGCACUUACGUUUCCCCCCAUGUCAACUUGCAACACUUGGGGUGUUCUUCUACUAAUUUUCCUCUAAGCAUAGGAGGAAGUUAUUGGCACUUAUAUAUGCCAAAAGCGUUUUCCGCUUAAUAUUUUAACGACUAGUCAUGCUUAACAUUAGACCUACUAAUAAAAACUUUUUUACUGCAUUAAUUAACAUCUACCAAAAAUAUAAUUACAAUACUUAUCUUAUUUUUAAUCUAAAUGGUAUAUGGUUUCUAGUUAAUUUCUCCCCAUGCAUGUCUUUUUAGCAAUUCUUGUUAUAUGUAUAUAUCAAUCUUCCGUGGACAAACAAAAACUCCCUCACAGUGACUUGUGCUCUACAUGCAUACUAAAAUUCUAAAUUCAUUGUUAUUUUUAGAGUGAUGGAAAUAACAUGUGAACAGCUCUAACUUAUUGCGCACAAUAUUUAUUCAUUAUAAUUGUUGAUUGUUGAAGUCACCGUACAACACAUUUAUAAAGUAGUAAUGUUAUAUGAGUAAUAAAUUUAUCUUUGAAAUGGCAUUGAAAUAUUUUUAAUGGGACACCUUUUUACCUCUUGAACAUAUAGCAUUUAAAAAUCGUUUUUCAUAAUUAAAGUAUUCAUUUCUCUUUGAUUUUAUACUAUUGAAGGAAAACAUAGCACCAAAUGAAUGCAUCUUGUUUCUUCCAUUUAUCUUUGUCAUCUAUAAUUUGAUAAUAAAAUUCGUAUAUCUCUAAUCGAUAAUUUAUAGCACAGUCAUAACUUUGAAAAACUAAAUAUGAUUUUUUCGAUGAAAUUUAAUUUGCAAAUAAUUGUAGUUAGCACUUAUACAUCCCUAAUGUUCUCUUUUCAAUGAUAUGCUUAAAAAAAUUUAUAUGUUGGCUUAGCCAACACUAAUGAAAAAAAAAUUAAAAUUAAAUAAGACAGUUGUGAAGGACCAAGGAGCAUGAUUAUUUUUAUUGCCCAAUCUCAUAGUGAUAACCUCUAUUUCUUUCAGAUGGCAACGGAGCUCAAAGUUCUCGACCUUUCGUAUUGUACUUUGAGAACAACUCCCGACUUGUCGGCUUUCAAGGGCUUGGAGAUUUUGAUACUUGCACAUUGUGGUGAUCUAGAAGAGAUUCAUCCUACUAUUAAGGAUAUUAAGACCCUUGUCUCCUUAAAAGUCAAUUAUUGUUGGAAAUUGAAAGAGCUACCGCGAGAAGUAGGAAGAAUGGAAGAAUUGAGAGAGCUUAUCAUACAAGAAACUAGUAUACGAGAGAUUCCUAUCUCGAGAGGUUUUUUGACGAAGCUAGAGACUCUAAAUGCCUCAUGGUGUACACUACUUACUCGACUUCCAAAAUCCUUAGGCUCCCUUAUGUCGUUAACUCAGCUAAACUUAUCACACACAAACAUUGAAGAAUUACCGGAAUCCAUUGGUUCUUUGAAGAAGCUCGAGACUCUAGAUGCCUCUUUUUGUGUAUUGUUACUUCACAUGCCCAACUCAAUAGGGGAUUUAGAAUCUCUGUCUUGCCUUAACCUAACAUACUGCCAUAAACUUGCUCAACUUCCAGACUCUAUAGGCUCCCUCGUGUCUCUACAACGAUUGUUAUUGUCGAGAUGCCACUCGUUGAAACAAAUCCCAGACUUGAUCGGAAAGUUGACAUCAUUGACUGAGCUACUUUUGGAAUCUACAGACAUUGAAGAAUUACUUGAAUCCAUUGGUUCUUUGAAGGAGCUCAAGAUUCUAGAUGCCUCUUAUUGCAAAUCAUUAGCCCGCAUACCCAAUUCAAUAGGCAAUUCAACAUCUCUAUCUCACCUUGACCUAAAAGAAUGCCAUAAACUUGCUCGACUUCCAGACUCUAUGGGCUCCCUCAUGUCUCUACAGCAGUUGUUAUUGUCGAGAUGCCACUUGUUGAAACAAAUCCCAGACUCGAUCGGAAAGCUGACAUCAUUGACUAAGCUACUUUUGGAAUCUACGGCCAUUGAAGAAUUACCUACAAGCAUUGGAAAUAUGCAGAACAUAAGGAUGUUGGACAUUAGUGGAACUCCCAUAAAAGAAUUGCUUGAUAACCCGGGAAUAUUGGCAGAACUCCAAGAGUUCAAAGCUUCUGGAUGGAAAAAUCUAGAAUGGUCACCUAGUAAUAAUGGCCAAUUGGUUUCACCAAACAAUCUUGGUUUAGACAAGCUUAAAAAAUUAUCAGAAUUGCGUUCUCGUGUACUAGCUCUAGGUAUUACCUGCUAGAUCCUGCAAUGACUGAAUCCCAACUAAACUUUCUCAAGAAACUCACUCUUUCUAAUUGGUUUGAGUGUCUCCCAAACCUUUCUAUAAAACGUUGCAAAAAAGUUGUGAAUCUUGAUUUUGUAUUUUCCAAAGUUCAACCUAUUAGUUGGGCAUUCUAUUUACUUUUUGUCUUGCGAUACAGUUUUCUUAAAGCGUCCCAAGUCUCUUGUAGCCAACAACUCAACCAUGGACUACCAAACAACAGAUUUUGAACACUUUUUGAAGAGAUCAAGACCUUUUGGAAUCUCAGAUGAAGUACUUAUUUCAUCUUGCUUUUUCUUUAUUGUUCUUUAGUUAUUAUAGGAUGGUUCCAUCUAUAAAGAGAAGUAGUUUACUGGGUGAUUAAUUUUCUAUUAUGCAUGGAAUGCUUUUCUCAACAUUCGUAACUAGAUUUGUCAGACUUGUUACAUUUACUUCUCGCUAUUUUAAGUCUUCUAUUCAUGGAAGUAGGGAUUUUUAAUUUUAUUGAAUUAUAAAAUUAAGUUGGAAUAUAUUGCUCGUUCUUUUGCGAUUCUCUUUCUUAAUUAUCUUUCUUUGCAUGCCAUUGAACGAAAACCUUUUGAAAGCGCUCACUUUGGAGCUGUUGCAGCAUAUGAUCAAGCAUUGAGAAUCUUCAAGAGUGUGCGGGUUAUCUCACAUUGGUUGUGGAAGGAGAAGGUGAUCAGUUUAUAAGUGUAAAGGAAAGCCUCACUCUUUAAGCUAGCUUUUGGGAUGAGAUAAGCCCAAGACCACCCAACAAUGAUAAACUUUUAGUUUUGAGAUUUCUAGAUACCCUUAACUUUCAUGAUGUUAACUUAAAGAAAUAAUUGAGGAUUGGAAGGAUUACAAGAAAGUUUGAUGGAGAAAAAAAGGAGCAAAAGGGCUAAGGUUGUCAAUUUGUUUCUACUUGUCUUAAUUGUGUUUGUUACCGUGUCAAUUCAUCAUGACUUCUAUUAGACAUGUCAAACCAUUAAAUUAGACGAAAUCAUGUAAAUAUCUCUCAGCUAACUGGUUAAACGUAUGGUGAUGUGUCAUAUUUGGGUUGUGUCUAUGUUUUUCGUGUUUCGUAUUGUCAUGUAAACAGUCAGUGUCAAUAUUGGCAGCAUUAAUGAGGAGCAUCAACGUGGACUGGGAAGGUGUUGAUUGCAUAUUCUCCCAUCAUGCAUGCAUUGUGUUCGUGUAUGCUAGUAAAAGAAGGGCUCUCAUAUGAGUUUUGCAUCUUUCGAGUGCCAUGGUUUUGAUUAAUUUUCUAAAGGACUAACUGGUUUUGUAAUCUUUAUGACCUUCUAUUAGGUGAAUAAUUUGCCAGUAAACAUUCUGCCUGUCUCAUACAACUGCCCAAGCCUCGAUCAGAGUUCUUAUUCUUUAAAUGACUUGCCCAAAAAUGUAGUCAUUACCCUAAGUCAAGGUUCACUUGUUAAGAGUAUGGAUUUCCAUCCAAUGCAACAAAUUCUGCUGCUCGGUUAGCACUUCUUUCUUACUCUAUGAAGAAAAACAUGUUCCGUGCUUUUCUUCAAUAUACUUGUUCUCGUUGGAGGCCAUACGUUUGUGCCUUAGUGCUUGGAAGAUUGCUUUUUGAUGUUCUUUUGGCGCUAGCUUCAACUAUUUUAAACCAUGAGAUAUGAUUCUUCAAAUUUUCUGCAUCAAUAAUUUUAGUGGGAACAAAUAUGGGCGAUGUUGUGGUAUGGGAAGUAGACAGCGGUGCGAGGAUUGCUUUGAGAAAAUUCAAGAUUUGGGAUCUGGGAACAUGUUCAAUGGCACUGCAGGUAUAGAAGUUCAACUCUAAAUAAAAUCAUGGCAUCUUGUUUUUGGACAUGUGAUUAUGGGUUUUGGUUCUUUGUAGGCUUCUCUAGCCAUUGACUAUACAACAUCCGUUAACCGUGUAAUGUGGAGUCCUAAUGGAAUCCUUUUUGGUAUGUACGGAUGUAACUUCUACUUGUAUAUCAACUUAAGAAAUUAGGCAAUACAUACUUGCAAAUUGAUGAAAAAACUAGAGUGCCGAGAACCGGACUUCAUUGCAAUAUUUUUAGGAAGAAGUGUCCACAUGCUGCCAUUACUGAUGAUUUGUGGUUUUCACUCUAGGUGUUGCUUAUUCCAAACACAUGGUGCACAUAUACUCAUAUCAUGGUGGUGAUGACAUAAGGAACCACCUUGAGGUUUGUCGCUAAACAAGGAGAAAAAGAUUAAGCUUCUUUGUUCUGCUGACAAUUACCGCCUAAAUGUGAGUACAACUUGAUUUUGACUCUAAACUAAUGUUUGAUACAGAUUGAGGCUCAUGUUGGAAGUGUUAAUGAUCUUGCCUUUUCAAAUCCAAGCAAACAAUUAUGCUUUGUUACUUGUGGAGAAGACAAGACGAUCAAGGUAUAUUCUAAUUGUUUUCCCUAGUGUUACAUUGUUUUGCUAUUUGAUCAUUUUUAACCAAGCUAGUAGUUAUGCAGGUAUGGGAUGCAGUGACAGGGGCCAAGCUACUUGCUUUCGAGGGUCAUGAAGCACCUGUAUAUUCCAUUUGUCCACACAACAGAGAAAAUAUUCAGGUACCUGGUUAUUUCGCAUACUAACAUGGACACACUACAAGCAGAGCUAAUUGGCCGUACCCUUGACUAUACAUUGGAACUUUGUUUUCCAAAACUCGGUUAGGUAACUUUUUUUUUUUUUUUUAAUUUGUAUAAGAAGUGUGAAUCUGUGUUUUAAUGGACCUUGUUCAUUUCAAGGAUUUUGCAAGUCUUCCGACUUUUGACCUGUCUUGAUUAGAAUGUGCUUGUUAAAAAUAGUGACAUGGUCCCAACAUCAACCUGCAAAUUUGAUUCUUUUAGGCGAUGCUACUAGAUAUCGGCAACUGCGUAAGGUCUUCACAAUAAUGACUUCCUACUUAAUUAUACGUUCAGAAGGAAAAUUCCUCUGCUUCCAUUAUUGGUUCUCCCUUAGUUUUCUCCUUCAGUAAUGAUCGGUUAAAUUUAUGAGAGAAGGCUGCUUUUUGUGCCUGAGUGGAACAACACUUGGCGAUGUUAUUUUCUUCUUUUUAAUUUUUUUUAAACAUUUAUGGUUGUGUGUGCUUUAUUACAAAGAUAUUUUACGACAUCUCAUCAUUCUAGAAUGCUACAUUUUACUAAUUAGAUUUUUAAGUGGGUGUGCUCUAUCGGUGCAUGGUAUUGAAAUUGAUUAUACAAUAUUUUUGUGGGGUAGUUCAUCUUCUCAACAGCAACAGACGGGAAAAUUAAGACUUGGUUUUAUGACAACAUGAGGUCAAGAGCCAACUAUGAUGCACCGGGUCACUCUUCUACUGUGAUGACGUAUAGCGAUGAUGGAUCAAGGUUCAGACCAUUAGCAUUGCAUUUCAAGCUUGAUUUCAUCUCGCGUCUUUCUUUGUGACUUAAAUAACCUAUUUUAGCGAUUUUUAUUUGGCUAUAGGUUGUUCUCAUGUGGGACCAAUACAGAAGGAGAGUCGUACUUGGUUGAAUGGAAUGAAAGUGAGGGGACUGUCAAGCGUACCUAUCAUGGACUUAGAAAGAGAUCUGGUGGGUUUGUGCAAUUUGAUAGUGCCAAAAACAGAUUUUUGGCUGCUGGAGAUGAGUUCAUGGUCAAAUUUUGGGAGAUGGACAAUAAUAAUCUAUUGACGAGUACUAAUGCUGAUGGUGAAUUGCCGGUAAUUCAUUGUUGUUAAUUUAUUCUGACUAAAUUAGGCAAACCUUUCUAUUAAACUGACUCCUUAAAUUUGCAGGCUUCACCUUGUAUUAGAUUUAACAAGGAAGGAAUUCUAUUAGCCGUAUCAACAAGUGACAAUAGGGUCAAAAUUUUAGCAAAUGCUGAUGGGAUUAGGCUGCUAAGGACAGUGAACAAUCGACCUUUUGAUGCUUCUAGAAUCACUCCUGGACCUCUUAUGAAGGUAAGCCUUUUCAAGAGCACACUGACUUCAGAGGGAGGAACUUGCUAAGUGUCUUGAAUCUUGUACCGUGACCAGCAAUCACAAUAUUUGGUUCUGAUAAUGCUACCGUUGGGGCAAGCCUGGGCAAUGGAGGGGUUCCGGUGGUGGUAUUAAAAUGUUUGAUCCAAUUUCUAGAUGGCCAUUUGGUAGAGAAGUCUAGAAAAAUCUUUUAUAUAUAUACACAAGAAUAUCUAGAGUCCACUAAAGUUUUGUGUAGAAAAAUUCGUAAAAAUUAUCUCUAACUCGAGCAGAUAUUUUUGCAUGUCUAAGUCGGUAUGGUAAACCCAUAAAAGGCUUGGGGUGGUCUAAAAGCAAACACAUGUAGGAUUUUUACUUUUUUAUUUUUCUAUACUCAAAAAUAGGUUUAGAACAUAAGUCUAUUUAAUAAUGUAAUUACAUUUUUCUAUUUUCGAAAAAAAUAAUUUUUAACCUAGAAAUAGGUUUGGAAUAAAAAUAAAAAUAAAAAUUUUCUACUUUUCUAUUUUUGAAAUAGAUAUAAAUAUAAAAAAUUUUCUUAUUACUCGCCUUUGAUCACCGCCCACCCGCUACCCUCCACCAAUCGUCGCCACCCUCUAUCCGCUAAUCGCCGAUUGUCACCCAAAAUUUUUAAAGCCUAUCAAAUGAAUUUCUAUUUUUAGAAUAUAAAUUUAAUGUCGUUAUCAAAAUGAGUGUCUUUCUUCAAAAACUCAUUGAGAAAAUAGAAAUAAAAUUUUUUAUUUGUGACCAGAAUUUCUGGAAAUAGAAUGGUUAGGAGUCAUUCGUAGUAAACCUCUCCUCCUGUGUUCGUAUUAUCCAUUGAAUAAUAAAAGCCUCUUUGUUUUAUCCUUUUCUCCCUUGCUGCCACUUUCAGAAAUCUUUGUCCAAUUCUUUUACAUCAGCAGCAGCUGACGUGCGGAGCAUUUUUUUUCCUCACAUCCAUCCAGUCAUAUUUUAACACAUUUCUGUGGAUUUUGAAUUUAAAAAAAAAAAAAAUUCCUUGAUGUUCCGUCGGCCAUGGACCUCGGACUAGCCGGCUGCCACCCUUGAAGACCACCGCGCCGGAGGCCGAGCGCCAAAUCUAGCCGAGUCGUGGCCUCGACGCCGGACCAGAUCUAGUCCACCUUCACUUGCUUCAAGCUCGUCCAUGGCCGCCUCCAAAUCUGGUCGACCUCGACUUCGCGCCAGAUAUCGUCCGCCUUAAAACGGUUCGAGCUCGGCAACUUCUCCAUGACCGCCGAGAAGCCGCUGAGAUCUCGGUCACAACGUCAAGCUUGGCAGCCAUAGAAGGCCAUCACCUCCAGAUCUAGAGGCUCAGUGGCAAUGGAGGCCGAGCGUCCAGAUCUGGCCGUGGCGAAGGUCGUGACAUGACCUCGA
rnacentral:lncRNA from 1 species